AGCUGCUGACGACGAAGAAAUGAAACUCUAUUUGGAAAAUUGUGGUGAUGCUUGUGUCAAUUUCUGCAACGGUGAUGCUGGCCUCACAUCCCUUACUGCCUAAUGAUGUGUAUCCAUGGUCUGAGAUUUCACAGGGCAAGGUGUGUCUGACCUUUGCGUUCAAUAAAAUUGGAUCCCAUCGAGAGUAUCCAAACCAGUGUGUCAACCUGUUUUAUGUGUGUGUAUUUCCAUUCCUUGUUCGAAUAAAAGCCGUCAUAAUGAAUGCCAUGUUGCUGCCGUGAAGUACCGCCAUGACUGAGAUAAAAUGGUACAUGUUGUAUCAUUUGCCUGUGGAUAUAAACUUCAUGAGUACAUGCUUCAAGUAAUUUUCUCUAGUCCUUUUUUUAUUUAGGCUUGAGCACAAGUUCUGUGUUGUCGUGACGUAAGCCUGAAAUGGAUCAAUUUUUUUGCAUUUUUGGUGAGCAAUUCUCUGAGCUUUUAUUUUUACACAUGAGGCACAAGAUCUUUGACCCUUUUAUUAAUUAAGAAGCAGAUUUUGCUCGGUUAAUUAUGAAAAACCUGGCUAAAACCGAUACAAAGGUGAAGUCCACUCCCAAACAUUGAAACACACUGGGACAAGCCCACACCCGUCGACGAUGGGCUGAACACCAUAACAAACGCCAACCAUGCAAACACACAACAACGUGAAGCCCUCCUCCGCCAAGUGAGCCAACUGUCCACUGCCGCCGAAAAGAAGAAGUUAACAUUGUUAUGGGAGGAGCGGACUCAGACUCUCCCGCUGAGGUGAAGAGACAAGUACCCACAAAGACAUACAUCGGAUACACUAGAUGACAUGUCAAUGACCAACUUUGACGGCAACCUCAUCGCCCACACGAUUCUGAGAUCAAUGCAGUCCAAGCUGCCAAGCUAUCGGGGUCGCCACCCCGACAUCCACCUCUUCUCUCUACGCACUCAAUCAACACAGCCUUCCAGGACCGCCACCCCGACACAUCACCACUUUUCUCGAAUUGCAACACCUUAUGACCCAGCUGCCUACAGUCAACCGUCCAUAGACCACGUCCGUCGCACCACAUCCAUGGCCGCUGCCCCCACAUACCAUCCAACCGCCCCCGCUAGGAUGCGUCAAUCGAGCCGAAAACCCUAUUGCCCAUGCAGCCAAGGUUGUCAUCCAAGCCACGUCGAGCUGUAAACCUGCUUCAUGGAGCUGCCGCCGCAUUCUACGAGAAUGCACUUCACAUAUUAGUUUUGAUCUUUUGUUGAACUAUUUUUUGUUGAACUAUUUUAGGAUCGAGUGCAAAUUGUCAUAUGUCUAUCAUAUAAUCCAUAAUCUUUAGACUUUAAUGUUGGGGUUUUUCCUUUGGCACAUAUCCUGGUAAUAUUUAUGGCAUUCAACAAACAAGUUCGGGCUAGUACUACAUAUAAAAGCGCUAACUUCUCUACACUAUUACAUUAUUACAAGGACAUUUCGGUCGCACUCGAGCUGUCAUAGGACUCAAGUGAAUUGACUAGUCGAGUACCUACAAGACUAGUAUACACUAGUAGAAAAUGAGGCUUUCGGUCGGAGGCCCAAAUCCCAGUAGCCCUGGUCCAAGUGAAACCGAGACCAAUGUGAGGCAUUGGUCCUGGUUCGAGCUGCCAGAGCCUCACGGGGCAAUAGUCCUGAUUAGGUUCGAUGCAUUAGUCCCGGUUCGUCCCUAAAAUCAGGACUAAAGAUCCAGCGACUGACACGUGGCGUUCCGCGGAGCAUUAGUCUUGGUUGGGAGCUGGAACCGGGACUAAUGGUUAGUCUUCUGUCCCGGUUCCGGCCACAAACCGGGACCAAAGAGAUGCCUAUAUAUACCCGCGCCCUGCCCACCCUCUUCUUUGUUUUUUGGCCUAGGUCUGCAUGCAUGCCAUGCUCUUGUUGCCACCCUUCUAUGCAUGCACAUGAGGUGUUGGAUGACAUGCCCGAGACACACUUAAGCUUUCUCCUCUCCAAGCUCGACCUCGAAGCUCCAUUUUCCUUAAUAUUUGUCUAGGUUUGGCGGUGCACCAACUACACAAGUGUUUUAGAAGGUUAGCUACUUCAUCCUUUCAUCUCUCACUGCUAGUUUCGCUCAUUUCAAAUGCUCUAGAAGUAGAGUGGUUUGUGGGUUUUAGUGUAGGAGUGUAUGUGGGAUUUUGUUUUUAUUUAGAUGCAAAAUUUGAGCUUAAAUUAACUUCUUAGAGUCUGCACAUGUGUAAGGUACCGUCCCAUACCCGUCCUCACCAUCAUCGAUCGCCCGCACCGAUCUCGUCACCAGCACCACCGUGGUGAGCCUCUUGUUCUUAUCUUUUUUUUAAAACAAAAAAAAAUUCUCAUUUGUAUGAUUUAGAUAGAUACUUGUAUAAAUUACUUACUUUUAUUAUUUUUUGUAAUUAUAUAGCGCAAUGGUUUUGCUAUCCGCUCAUGUCGACCCUCGUUCGGCCUAUGAUUCGGACAUGGUAUAUUUUCUUUUAUCAUUAUUUGUUUCAUUUAGUGUUUAUGACGACAAUUAUGCCGACCAACGUGACAUGAAUAUUUUUAUCUAGGAUGUAUGUGAACCGGAAAUUCCAAUCGACCCUCUUGUCGAGAGGUAAAAUUUAGUUGAAAAAUAAAACAAUUAUUUGAAGAAAAAAUUGAAAAUAAUUGAGGAGAAGAAUAUGGAACUAGAGUUGCAUGUUGUCGAUGUCGUCGAUGAUCACAAGAUCAAGAUGGAUGCAAUGUGCUUGAAGAUGGAUGCAACGCGCUUAAAGAUUAGAAAUAUUAGAAAAUAUGUCAUUGAUAAAGAGGUUUUGUAUCAUUAAGUUGUUGGGUCAAUUGUUACCUUAGUUGCGAUUUUGAUCGCAUUUGUUAUUGCAUUUAAAUGUUUUACAUAGUUGUAUGUUGUUUUAUAGGAGAACUUUAUGUAUUUAUUUUUGUAAUAAUAACAUUUGAUCACUACUGUACUUUGGUUUUAAUGUGAUGAUAAACUUGUAUUAAUUUGGUCAUUUCUCUAUUCAUGAUGUUCUGCAAUGGUUUUUUGAUAUACUUAAUUUCAUAAUACAGAUGAACCGCCAAUGGAUGUACGGUGACGGACGCACUUCAGAGUACAUUACGAACCGGGACUAGUGUCCCUCCCCUGCCUAUAAAUAAACCCUCCCCACCCACUUAUUGUUUUUCUUUGCUACGCACAAGAGGUGUUUGAUGAAAUGCCCGAGUCACACUUAAGUUCACACAAAAUGGUAUCCUCGACCGAGGUUAGCAAACUUAUCAUUUUCAUCUAUAAUCGAUACAAAAAUAUUGCAUGUGUCCAUGUACGAUGGUCAUUUCACUAUUCAUGUAUGAUGUAGAUCAAUGCACGGAAGCGAUGGAUGUACGGUGAACGACGUGGUUCCGGAUUUAUUGCAGGCCUGCAUAAAUUUAUCGAUGUGGCUGAGGCAAAGAAAAUGGAUAAUUUUAUGCCUUGUCCAUGUGUUGACAGUCGAAAUGUCAGGGAGUACUCUGGCUCAAAAAUCAUUCAAGGCCACGUGCUUUGGAGAGGUUUCAUGCCCAGAUAUUAUUGUUGGACCAUGCACGGAGAAAGAGGGGUUAGGAUGGAAGACAAUGAAGAAGAAGAUGAUGAUGACAACUAUCCUAUGUUCACUGAAGAAUACAGUGAUACUGCAACGGAAGACAAUGAAGAAGAAGGAGGUGAAGAACAACCGGCAUCAGAUGAGCCCGCUCAUUUGUGAUGCAAAGCGAGAAUGCGUUACAGACAAGGAGAAGCUGAAGUUGGAGGCCAUGCUAAAGGAUCAUAAAAAGUUGUUUUACCCAAAUUGCAAAGAUGGCAGCACAAGGCUGGGCACCACACUAGAACUGUUGAAAUGGAAUGCAGAAACUGGUUUAUCUGACAAGGGAUUUGAGAAGUUACUGAAAAUAUUGAAGGCGAAGCUUCCAAAGGAUAACGAAUUGCCCGAGACUACAUACGAAGCAAAGAAGGCUAUCUGCCCUCUUGGAUUAGAUGUGCAGAACAUACAUGCAUGCAUUAAUGACUGCAUCCUGUACCGCGGUGAGAAGUACGAGAAUAUGGAUAAAUGCCCGGUAUGCACUGCAUGUCGGUACAAGAUCAGACAAGAUGACCCUGGUGAUGUUGAGGGCGAUGACGAGCCCCUCAGGAAGAAGGUUCCUGCUAAAGUUAUGUGGUAUGCUCCUAUAAUACCACGGUUGAAACGUCUGUUCAGAAACAAUGAGCAUGCCAGGUUGUUGCGAUGGCACAAAGAAGAGUGUAAGUAAGACGGGAAGUUGAGACACCUCGCCGAUGGGUCGUAGUGGAGAAAAAUUGAGAGAAAGUACCCGGACUUUGCAGGUGAUGCGAGGAACUUAUGGUUUGGUCUAAGUACAGAUGGCAUGAAUCCUUUUGGGGAGCAGAGCUGCAGUCACAACACCUUGCCCGUGACUCUAUGUAUCUACAACCUUCCUCCUUGGUUGUACAUGAAGAGGAAGUUCAUUAUGAUGCCAGUGCUCAUCCAAGGAUCGAGGCAACCCCGGCAACGACAUUGAUGUGUACCUAAGGCCAUUAGUUGAUGAACUUUUGUAGUUGUGGGCCAAACCAAGUGUACGUGUGUGGGAUGAGCACAAACAACGGGAAUUUGACCUACGAGCAUUGUUGUUCAUAACCAUCAAUUAUUGGCCUGCUCUUAGUAACAUUUCAGGACAAUCAAACAAGGGAUACAAUUCAUGCAGGCACUGUUUAGAUAAGACUAAAGGUACAUAUUUGUAAAAUCUAAGAAGGUUGUCUACCUAGGGUGUCGUCAAUUUCUUCCGACCAAUCAUCUCGUAAGAAAGAAAGGCAAGCAUCUCAACGGUGAGGCAAAUCACCGGAAGAAGCCUAACCUCCCUACUGGUGAUGAGGUAUUGGGUAUGGUCAAGGAUUUGGAUCAAAUAGUAAUCUUUGGAAAGGGUCCUGGCGGUCAAUCUGUUCUGAAAGACGUCGUUACCGGACACGUGCCCAUGUGGAAAAAGAAAUCUUUAUUUUGGGAGCUACCCUAUUGGGAAUACCUAGAGGUCCAGUCUUCAAUCAGCGUGAUGCACGUGACGAAGAAUCUUUGCAUGAACCUGCUAGGCUUCCUGGGCGUGUAUGGAAGAUAAAAGAUACACCAGAAGCACGGGAGGAGUAGCAACGUAUGAAAGACCUAUACGACAAGAAGAUCGAUAAAGGGCGUCAAUACUUAAGCAGCUACGCUCUUACCAAAGCAGAGAAGGAAAUCUUGUUCGAAUGCCUGAGCAGUAUCAAGGUCCCUGCUGGCUUCUUGUCUAAUAUAAAGAGAAUAAUAAAUAAGGCAGGGAAAAAAUUCCAGAACCUGAAGUCUCAUGAUUGUCACAUGAUUAUGACGCAGUUGCAUCCGGUUGCAUUGAGGAGGCUUCUACCGGAAAAUGUUCGAUUACCCAUUUUGAAGCUAUGUGCAUUACUCAAUGCAAUAUCUCAGAAGGUAAUUGACCAAGAACGUCUGGAAAGGCUACACAGGGAUGUGGUCCAAUGUCUUGUCAGUUUUGAGUUGGUGUUCCCCCGCCCUUCCUCAAUAUUAUGACGCAUGUCCUAGUUCACCUAGAACUAAAACAACUACGGGAACUAAAAUAACUACGAGAACUAAACCCUAAGCAACUACGCCAACUUUCAACCUUUUCAGAUCCCAUUUAUAGUGUUUUUCAAUUACAGGGUCAAUUAGCUCAAAGAAUAGCAAAAAGAAUGAAGUAAAAAGAAUCAACUAAAACAUUAACUCAAAAUAAUAAACUAAAAAGAAUCAACUAAAAUUAUCAAAGUGUUUAUUUGUUAUAAAGAAUCAAGUAAAACACUAACUAAAAAGAAUCAAAAACAUAUCAACUCAAAAGAAUUUUCAUAAAGUUUUCAGAGCCCAUUUGUAGUGCUUUUCAAUUUCAGGGUCUAUUAGCUCAAAGAAUAAACUAAUAGCAAAAAGAAUCAACUAAAAAGAAUGAACUAAAAAGAAUCAACUAAAACAUUAACUAAACAGAAUGAACUAAAAAGUAUCAACUAAAAUUAUCAAAGUGUUUAUUUGUUAAAAAGAAUCAAAAAAAUAUCAACUCAAAAGAAUUUUCAUAAAGUUUUUUUUGUUAAAAUAUUUAAUAGAAAACUAAAAUAAAAGAGAAAUAAUAUUUAAUAACAAAGAACUAAAAUAUAAACUGAGACUAAAAAUUAUUAAAGUAAAAAAAUGCCACCUACUAGGCCAUCACGGCGCGCAUAUGACUAGAAACCCUAGAAGCUAGAUGGGCUAGGAUGCAGGCCCACAGAAGACCGAGUAGGACCACAUGGCAAAGAGAGUGUGUUUAGGCCCGUAGGCCUACUUUUGAGAGAAGCUCAAGAGGGUUGGCGCAGCGGGGCUUAUAAACCACUCUCAGCUCCUCUCAACUAGCGAGGUGGGACUAAACAUUUGGCCGCGGCAUCACCCUCCUUUAGUCUCGGUUGGGGGCUUCAACCGGGACUAAAGCCCCCCUUUAGUCCCGGUUGGAGCCACCAACUGGGACUAAAGGAAGGUGCUUCCCGCCCUUCGGCCUGACGAAAAUGAGCUUUAGCCCCGGAUGAUGGCUCCAACCGGGACUAAAAGGGGGCCUUUAGUCGCGGUUAGAGCCCCAAACCAGGACUAAAGGUCUCUAUGUAUAAGCGGGAGUUGGAUUUUUUCCAAUCCAUCGCCAGUUCCUUCUUCCUCCUACCUCCGAUGCCGCUGGGCUUUCGGAGUCGCCGCCGCCCCCGAAGCCAUCCUCGUCGUCGCUGCCACCGACGUCGGCCGCCUACGCCUCCUCCCUCUGCCUGCGAUGAGUAGUUGUUGCGCCCCGACCCUCCUCUGCUCCCAUAGUGAGCUCGCCGACCCGCUCCUCCCUCUCCUCCCCUGUUUUCUACUAAUGCCCUAGCUCCGGCCGCUUCCUGUCGGGCUUCGCUCCGGCGACCCCUCCUCUCCCCACGCCGCGCUCCGGCACCCCCUCCUCUCCCCUCAUCGGUGCCGCGCACCCCCGCAACCCUCGCCGACAGAUUUAUUUUCUAAAUUACGAUGAACAAAUGUUUUCUUAUUAUUAUAAGGACAUAGUAAUGUAUCUAUGAGAGUGGUGAUGAUCAUCAUUAUUAUGAUGUGUUAUAUAUCCCUAUGCCAAUAUCCGUACUAAAGAGUAACACAUAUAGUACAAUUAGUAGCAGUGCAAAAAUUUGCAUCACAAACAAUGGAAGUGCUUAACCUGUAGAAAAAUCGACCAAGGCAAAAAUUUCCUGUGUUAGAUGAUUUUCCAUGAGCAAAUUUGUACUAGAUCAUGUAAUGUUAAGUUUGAUUAAUUUUAUCACCCUAGGUAAAUUUUCUUUUUUGUUAGUUUGAUACUGGUAUUUCUCUAUUAAUAUUUUAGAACUAUUUUAUCAAUAUUAAAUAGUUGUAAAAGUUUAGAAAAGUUUAUUAAAUAGUAGAAAUUUAAAUACUUGUAGAAUUGGUUCUCGGCGUCGACGUACGAUGCCUGGCCCGCAUCCUCGUCGUCGACUCGGUGGCGACCACCUGCUUGAGAGGUGCCAGCAUGUGCGGGACUGGGCUCCGCCGGGCUGGCACUGGGAGGAGCUAUCUUCCGGGGCGCGCAUCUUGGUGAGGAAGCGGGCUCCCAUCGUCGACCCGGAGCUUCUUUGGUGGUGGUUGCGUGGUCCACUUUCGGUGUUGAGGGUGCCGGCCCCCGAGGAGGAGGUACGUCGUCGUGUCACGGAGGAGGACGAGCACGUCCGUCGCUACAUGGAGGCGUUAGAUGCCAGGUUCUCCAAUACGUGGCAGGUUCUUUAGGGAUCUCACCCGAGCUAUGAUCCGGUGAUGGUUCCCGCUCUUUGGGUGUCCAUCGUACGCGCCUCAGUAUAGCGACAGCUCUUUGUAACACCCUGAUUUUUGCAACUUUUUCUUUCCAAAACCUUUUGAGUUUUUUACUUGCAAACCUGGUUGCUUUUCAAAACUUUUCAAACUAAUUUGGAUCGGUGAAUAUGUGAACUUUUCCAAGUAACCCAAAACCCUCCUCCUCUUGCCAAAACCUUUCCACACCUCUCUUGGAUUAAUUUCCAAUAUUAAACCCUUUCCAAUAAUUCUUUUCUUUAUUUGGGGAAUUAUGCCAUCACCAUGGGUUGUGAAGCAACAUAUAGUUUGGAUGAUCUAUAAAACCCCAAACUUUUUCCCCACCUUCUCAUCAUCAUAUGAUUCCAAUAUAUCCAAGAAUAUUCCAUUGCCCAAUGCAAAUAUUUUGGCCAGAAUAACUAUUUCUUUUCUGACCAGAAAUGCACCAUUGUGAAGAAACCCCAUCUUUCCUACCUUGGAAAAUUUCCAAAAAAUUUCUCAAGCUCCUAGGGAUCCUAUCUAGCCACAAUAUCCAAUAAUAUCAUUUGGUUCAGUAUAAUUUUUGAGCAGGAGAACUCUGUUAAUUUCCUGCUGAUUCUGAACCUUUGUGAAGGAAGUACCAGCUAGGGGUGCACAAAUGAUCUAUAAUUUUUUGGGCAUGUGUGCACUACCAAAUAACUCUCCUCCACCAAGUUUCGGCCUCAGCGGAGUAAGCAUGUGAGCACCUCAAGCUCAUCUCUAUUCUGGACCAGAAUAGUAGUUUCCAAAGGAGCUAUGCUCAUUUCUUCUUCAAAUUCUUUCAAACUUUGCCAGUUUUAAGUCCUUCCUAUGCUGAUAACCCCAGACACUCCAUUUAGCUCCAUCCCUAUCCCAAUUCAUCUCUAGAACCUUCCCAAGUUUGGAGUCAGGGAGUGUUGGUGAUGCUGCCUCUCAUCUGAGUGGCUUUCUGGGCAAGGCAGUGCCACGAGGGGACUCUACAGAGCACGAACGAUGCUCCGGACAAGGUGUGGUAGGCCAGCACGCGCCACCAGUGCCAGUGCACGCGGUGAGCGCGUAGCUAGCCUGCCAAAAUCGCGCUCUGGGCGCCGACAAACUCGGGUCUCGUCGAAGUGAGACGCCCGCGUGGCCAUCUCGUGCCAACUCGCUUCCCGACAGCUUCCUAGACCUUCCACACCCUUCCCCCUCGCUGGAGAAGCCCUCGCCGGCCACCACCGCAGCGCUGCACUGUAAAACCCGCGUGGUCACAGUGGCGUUCCCGCCGUCGUCUUCCCCCGCGAGCCGUCCCUUCGCACAUUGAAUGCCCCUUCUCUCUUCCAUCUCUUCGCCUCGCGUCGCGAUAGCCAGCUCACCGUCUCUGCUCCAGUGGCGUAGCCACGUCGCCGCCGUUCCAGCGAGAUCACCGCCCUCGCCUCCCGCCCAUUGAAAGCCCCGCGCAGCCCCUCCAAGCUCCUCACCCCUCCUAGCCACCCUCCAAUCGCCUCCAUAGCGCCCCAGUUAGAGCCGGGAGUUCGUCUCCCUCAACUCCAGCGAAGGCUCUGCCGCCCAAGCCCCUCCUAUCGCCAGCCACUUCCGGUCUGCCCCAGCCCCACCUGAGGCCGCCAUCGAGAUCACCUGGUCCCCCUGGACCUCCUAGAGCCCUCAGCUAGCCCACCCUUUGCCGGAUUCGACGCCGUCGACGACCACCGAAGUGCCCAUCCGCCGGAGAGGAAGGAGGUGACGUCAUCCGACCACCUCCGAAGGAACUGCGGGUACAGGGAGGACCGCCGUCGAGCACCCGAUCCAUUCCUCCCAUCUCAUAGCCCAACCGCCGUCCCCAUCACCGGUGAGCACCACCGGUGAGCCGCCUUUCCCCUCUGUCUCUCUCCCUCUCUCUGUUUUAAACAAACAUGCCCCAUGUGUCGGCGACAGGAGCCCGCGCCUGAAUCGAUAAGUGGAGGCGCCUCCUCCACUUUACGCCUUCGAUGUGGCCCCUCCUCUGUUUUCUAAAUUCUGUUUUAAAAUACAGAUUUAAACAGAAACUUUGAACCCUUCCAACUUUUUAUUUACAAGUCCAAAUCAAUUGAUUCUUUUUGCAUUGAGUUAAUACCGAGCCCCUGUAAUUUCUAAUAAAUUUUGGUAUUUUUCCUAUGCUCACAGAAUCUCUGUUUAACAAAAAGGUAUCAUAUGACAUUUUCUUUUUGCAAAUUCAAAAUGUUUUAGAAGCAAACUUUGGUGAAUUUGAAGACCAGGAGUGCUUGAACAACCCAACUGAGCAAGGCAAGCCAUGAUACCCAUGUUAUGUAGUAUUUCCAUAGCAUUGCAUACUUUCACACAUUAUGCUUAGUUAUUUGUUGUAGGAUAAAUUCAUAUUAAAUUAUUUAAAGUAAUUAGUUUCUCAUUAUUAUAAAUCACUAUAUUGGAAAUGACUUAGUGGUUGAUCUAGAGUCACCUGUCCGAGCUUAACCGUGCAACCACAUUUGCCGGUAUGGGACAACCGUGACUUGGGCUGAUCGCGUGACCUUUCACCGGUACCUCCAAAGAGGGAGGGUUAUGCACGCGUGCUACCCUGAUCAGGUAGGCGGUGAUAACCCUGUGAGCCUAGUUGAGUUGUUUUGGGCCCGUCCCCGUUUGGGACAGUUUAGUUUGGCCACGAUGGUGUCAAAUGUCAUGAGGACACAGGGGCCACCCAGGGCAGGACUCCGGGGGAGGAUGAAUGCCGGUGGUGUUGGAAAUAUGCCCUAGAGGCAAUAAUAAAUUGGUUAUUAUUAUGUUUCCUUGUUGUAUUGAUUGGAAACUCAAAUACAUGUGUGGAUACAUAGACAAAACACUGUCCCUAGUAAGCCUCUAGUUGACUAGCUCGUUUAUCAAGGAUGGUUAAGGUUUCUUAGCCAUAGACAAGUGUUGCCACUUGAUAACGGGAUCACAUCAUUAGGAGAAUGAUGUGAUGGACAAGACCCAAACUAUAAACGUAGCAUAUGAUCGUGUCAGUUUAUUGCUACUGUUUUCUGCAUGUCAAUGUAUCUGUUCCUAUGACCAUGAGAUCAUGCAACUCCCGGACCCCGGGGGAAUACCUUAUGUGUAUCAAACGUCGUACACUUAAGGCUCUGCAUGACAAAGGGAACAACAUACGUGAUUAAGUGAAUCCUUGACAUAGAGGUUCAACCGAUAAAGAUCUUCAUAGAAUAUGUAGGAGCCAAUAUGGGCAUCCAGGUCCUGCUAUUGGUUAUUGACCGUAGAAGUGUCCCGGUCAUGUCUGCAUAGUUCUCGAACCCGUAGGGUCUGCACACUUCAGGUUCGGUGACGUUUCGGUAUAGUUGAGUUAUAGGUGUUGGUAACCGAAAGUUGUUCGGGGUCCUGGAUGAGAUUCCGGACGUAACAAGGAGCUCCGGAAUGGUCCGAAGGUAAAGAUUGAUAUAUAGGAAGUUCUUUUUUGGUCAUCGAAAAAGUUUCGGGCUCAUCGAUAGUGUACCGAGAGUGCCGGGAGGGUACCGGGGACCAUCGGGAAGGGUGUCACGCCCCGAGGGGCCUUAUGGGCUAUGGGAGGAUACAAACCAGCGCCUAGUGGGCUGACAUAAGCUCCCACUAAGGCCCAUGAGGUUUGAGAGGCAAAAAACACAAAGGUGGAAAGGGUUUCCAAGUGGAAAGGAGGAAUCCUACUUCUAGUAGGAUUGGAGUAGGACUCCUCCACCUCCAAUUUCGUCCAAACCUUGAGGGUUUGAGGCUGCCUCCUCCCCUCCCUCCCUCCUAUAUAUACUAGAGGUAUUGAGGGUUUUUGAGACAGAGAAAAACAACCACGUGCUGCCCUUUCUCUAGAUCUGUUUCUCCUCUAGUCUAGUUUCAGCGGUGCUUAAGCGAAGCCGUGCUGGAAUAGCUCCACCACCACCACCACCAUGCCGCCGUGCUGGAGAACUCAUCUACCUCUCCGUCCCUCUUGCUGGAUGAGCAAGGUGGGGAUCUUCAUCGAGCUAUACGCGUGCUGAACGCGGAGGUGCCAUCUGUUCGGCACUAUAUCGGGAUGGAUCGUGAUGGGAUCGCGGGACGGAUCGUGAUGAGAUCGUGGGACAGGCUGCGAUUUGGAUCGCGAAGAUGUUCCACUACAUCAACCGCGUUAUAUACGCUUCCGCUUAGUGAUCUACAAGGGUAUGUAGAUUCACUCUCCCCUCUUGUAGAUGAUCAUCACGAUGGAUAGGUAUUGCUUGUGCGUAGGAUUUUUUUUGUUUCCCAUGCGAUGUUGCCCAACAGGUGAUACAAUGGGAGAGUCACGGGUCAGGCAGGUUUCGUUGGAGCAAUACUGAUCCACCCGAAUGGGAUCACGAGGUCAGUGCUCCAUGAUGUGGAUAAAGUGUGCAACCUCUGCAGAGUGUCAAACCUAUUCGAAUAACCGUGUCCACGGUAUUGGACAGCCCGUCCAGACCUCAGUAGGUGGUCAACCAUAUUAGUGUUGGUAAUGAUGGAAAAACUCUUCGCAUGAUCGAAGAUGCUCGAUGAGUAUUCUGGCUGUGGUGAGACAACCCAGAUGAGAGUAAGUUGGUAACUGGUACAAUUAGUAAUGUUGCUUAGUAAUUUAUCGUAUUGAUUGCCAUGCUAUUGUUUGCUGUAUUACUUGGUUGUUGUGAGAUUGCGAGUACAUUCAAAGUACUCAUCUGGCGUAUCAUGCUAGAUGCAGGAGAAGCCGAGGACGGAGGUCCUGAUGGUCCGUACUAGGAUGUGUCCACAACAGUGUCUCUGUGGAUGGAGUUGCCGCUAUGUUCCGCUACGCCGUAGUAGUAUUUAGUAGUCUCGAGGCCCCGCUAUGUUUUAUAAAUAAUGUAGAUACUCUCGCAGCACCGAGGGUGCCUUUGGCCUCGCUAUCGUUGUAAGAUAUGUGCUUGUACCGUAUGCCAUCAAUAAAGUCAGUUCAGUUCUGUUCCAAGUUGUUCUGUGUUGGUAAUCCGGUUCUCUGAGCCGGGGUGCCACACUCUUUGUUGGUUGAUCAGUUAGAUAUUAUUGGAGAGAUGUAUUACUGUAUUCGAGAGAUGUAUUAGUGAUGUAUUCCAGAUUAUAUAUUCGAUAAUAUUAAGUGGAUUAUUCAAUGAUACAUUAAUUAAGUGGAUUAUUCGAUGUAUAUAAGCGGGAGUUUUAGUUGUUUAGUUAAUUUAGUUUUUUUAUGUUUAAUUAAUUUGCAUAUACUAUGGAUCCAAUACACGGCAGAGAUGAAUAUCACGAAGACAUGAUGCAUAAUGUCAUCCGCGGGGAUGAUUUUAUUAUUGACGAUGUCAUCAAUCAGUUUCUGAACAAGUCCGGCGAGGUAGAUGAGUCUCUCAACACAUGAGGUAGAAGCUUCGAUGCCUCGGCCGAGAGAGGACUCAACGGCUCCGAUGAGGGAGAAGCCGACGCUCCGGCGAGGUGCAUAUAUGUAUUAAUAAAUUAAUCCUCUGCCAUCUAUAUCUAAGUAUUAACGCUCUUUCUUCUUUCAGCUUUUCGAAUCGAGCAAAACUUUAGUACGGACGAGACGAGGCCUGCUACCAACAGCCAAGAAAUGAAAAUCAAUGUGAACGUUGCGGUCGUGCUUGUGAUAGUUUCUGUAAUCAAGGAGGAUACUCACCUGGCAUCCCUUGAUGCGUAAUGAUGCAUAUCAGCAUAUGCAUGAUCUGAAAUUUCGCAGGCCAAUGUCAUGUCUCACCAUCCUGUUCAAUAAAACUGGAUCUCACUGAGAGUAUCCAAACCAGUGUGUCAGUUUGUUUAUGUGCUCGUGCGUAUUUUCUUUCGUUGCUCCAAUUAAAGAUUACAACGGUUACAGUGAUUGGCCAAUUUAGGAGCCGUCUACGGUCUAUCCACCUCAAUCUAAUGGUGAAAAAAUAAAAGUUACAAAGAGUUACGAGAUUGAAAUUACAAGAAAUUAGAAAUAACGGUGGGAUCAUUACAUAUUUUUGAUGGGAUCAGUUUUUCUUUCAAAGGGUAGAUUCGUCAAGGAAAUAUGUAACUCAGCACAUAGAGUUUUCUUGCAAAACUGCCGAACGACUCAGAUCGCCUCUCGCCUUGCUCGUGGCUUCGAUAUUUUUUUGCUGGCGUCCAUCUUCCCUGGCUCGCUGGCCUCGGCCCCGCUGAGCACCUUCGCUGACAGUGAGAUCAGCAACAGCCGGCAGCCGGACUUGUGAAUCGUCUCCAUCGGCCGUCGGCACACCGGACUUGACCUCGCGCGCCGCAGCAACGCCGAUGUCUCCCUAUCGUGUUAGAUCAGGUUACCUAGCGCGGUGGACGGACGAUGAGUCGGGACCGCGCACCGCAAGCACGCCUAACCCAAGGAUCCUUCUACCUGGUGAGGAAGUACACUAGCAUGAAGAGCCGAGGAAGGACGCCAUGAGGGUUCCCAUUCUCGUCAGCAGCAAUCAGUUACAAAUUCACUGAUUCAGUUUUAAUUUAACACCUUCUCUACUGGUAGGCUACAACACAGAGCACCCAACCGUCUGAUUCGAUAAAGGAAAACUAUGUGUCCAUGUCGUUUAUUUCAUCUCUGUACCAUAAGAGCAACUUCAACGGACCGACUCAAACGAACGACGACUUUGUUCGUUUUUUGUCCGUUUGGGUCGGUCUCCCGCCCAACGUCCGUCCUGUUUUAAAUAUCGAUCGGCAGUGCGUCCAACGUGUCGAUCCAUUUCAUGUCCGCAAUUAACAUUUAAUAAAAGGGCCUGCGGCCGAUCGUGCUAGCGGUCAUGUCUCAUGCCGGCACCAUGCCAGCACCGGCAUACAAUGCCAGCUUCAAAAAAUAACACCACAGUUUCAUGCUAGCGCACUCGCCAGCCGGCCGACACACAUGCCAGCACACAAAAGGGGUUGGACUUGAGUUCGACCACGCCAUCGCGGCCCCGUGGUCAUGCGAGUACACCUGACGGCAUACAAAAUGAUGGCUCUCGUCGCCAUAGAUCACUCCUCGUCGAACUUGAUCAUGUCGGCCUGCAUCUUCUCGAACCACGACCUCUUCCUUUGCGACACGGUGUUGAGAUCCACCUUCAUGAUCUCCACUCAGGUCUUCAUGCUCGCGAGAGCCAGCGGCCACCGGUGUAGCGUUGAGGUCGAUGGGCGCGGGCGCGAGCGUGGAAGGCGCGACCACGCUCACCUUGGGCGAGCACCCCUCGUGAGGCGGGAGGCCUGCGGGUAGACGUGGAAGCCGGGCACCGGGUUGCAAGUCGACGCGCGGGGCGAGUCGGGCAGCACCGUCCGAGGGAAGCCGGAUGAGCCGGUGCUGACCGCGGCGGCCACGGCGGCGUUGACGAGGUCGUGCUAGCUAGGGUUUAACCCAAGUAUGCAGAGCGCCUCCCUCGUUGCCGACGCGGCGGCGGCGGCUUCUUCCCUCGCGUCCGCCGCGUGCCUCCGGUCCUUCCUAUUGGAUGACUCCUUUGCCUGCUUUCAGCCGUCAGCACCUUCUUCGGCUUCGGCGCGGCGGCCUUCCGAGGGGCACGAGGUUUGCCGGAUGAGGCGACGGAGGCGGGGCCGGUGGCGGCGUCGAGGUCGAGGUCGUCGUCCAUGGCGGACGUGGGUGAGAGCGGGAGUGGGAGCGCACGAGGGCGGGAGGGUUUUUGAGGGAAAUGGUGGUGGAUGCCACCGACCGGCGGUCCCGAGGAGAGGAGUUGGCGCAGGCGGGCGUCCGUCUGUGUCCGCGCUGACGCAAAUCCGGCUCAAAAUUGGGCCGGGAAUGGGUCGCCAGGCGUACGCCAAGCGGACGUGCGUCCGUUUAGAUCUGCACGUUGGACCAUCUUUUUUUCCGCGCCGACCUAAACAAACGGAACGGACGAAAUGGAUCGCCCCAUUAAAGUUGCUUGGAGUUGCUCUAAGAAAUUGAUUCCAGUGAACAAGGUAAACAAUAAUAGGCAUGAAACAAGCCAUCAAUUAGCUAGCCAUUGUCUCACGUCAAGAUGAUUAGUUCUUGUCUGAACGCAAUCUGCCCAAUCCCAAUUCAUGGAGCACUAGCAUUCGUCCUAGUCUAAUUGAAACACCCACUAAAAUUAGCCCUGGUACUUGCAAUCCCGCUAGCCAUAAUAAAACAAGAAGCUAGCUAGAAGUUUCGACUAUUUACUCAUUCUCAAAUCAGUUUGCCGGGCUGGUACUAAGUACUCCCUCCGUUCCUAUUUUAAAGAUUUCACUAGGGACUACAUAUGAAGUAAAAUAAAUGAAUAUACACUUUAAAUUAUGUCUAUAUACAUCUGUAUGUAGUCUUCUAGUGAAACCUUUAAAAAUACUUAUAUUUAGAAACGGAGAGGAGGGAAGUCUGUUUUAGACCUUUAGAUUGUAGAGCCGGUCUGAAAUGAACCCUCACAUUCAGAUCCCUGAAGUCUGUACCCUGUACUCAUGAAUCACGGUCAAUCUCAACCUUGAACCCAGGGCCGGCCCUGAGGGGGGCAGGGGGGCGGCCGCCCCGGGCCCCCAAAAUCCAGCCCCCCCCAGGUAUGUAUGUAGAUUAGGGCCCAUAUUAUUAGAAGGAAAGGAUCUCUCGAUCGCUUGAUUUCAGCGACAUAACCUAGGGUCGUUAGAAAACGAAAAACAAGCAAUCUGACGAUUCCUUUACCGAGCCCUAGCUACUGUCCGCCGCCGACGUCGCCGUAGUGGCCGACUGGCCGUACGCAGCAGAAGCAGUCCUGCAGGAUAACAGGAGAGACCCUGGCCCUGUCUUCAGAACACAGCGCAGCAACGGGAGCAGCCCUGUAGGACAGCAGGACGCAGACGCUUGAAACUUUGAAAGUGAACAAAACGCCGGGUUGAUCUCGGAAGACAACAGGAGAGUCAGACGCAUCACGCGCAUGCUUGAGCCUUGAUCACGCAUGCAGCCAGCCUGUACUCGUCUACUCGCCGCCGUCCUCUGGUAAUUAACCGUUUUUUGAUUAAAACGAUUUCAGCAAGCCUACAUACUACAGAAAUUAGUAUGCCGUGCUUAAUUCCUUUCAUUCAUGUGCAGACCUGCAGAAUAUAGUCUACACAGUACACACACGUACAAUACAGAGUAUUUAAAAUCUGAAAUUUGGCCAUCAAGAUUCAGGAUCAGGUGAAUUCUUUUUUCAUUCAUCUGCAGAUUUUUUUUGGUUCACAGCUGGCACCGUUCAACAACUGAUGCAACAUUUUUUUGUUUUCAGCAUUGUGUCUGUUGUCAUGCCGGCCAACAAGAGGAAAUAUCCAUCGGGUAGCGACAAAAGGAAAAAAAAGAUGGCCGUGAAAAAAUUGAUAAACUCGCAACGCGUAGGUAUUCGACAAUUUCUCAAGCCAAGUAAUAUUGGUGCUUCGAGUACUUCGCCAAACCUAGAUGAUGCGUUGGCGAUUGUUGCCAUAGUGGAAGAGCAACCGACUAGUGAAAAUUCGGACUCUGAUCAGCAAGAAGAAAAUAUCAACUCCAACAUCGGCGAUAGCAAUGUAAGUGGCUUCGAGAAUGUAGGUAAUUCAUCAGAUGCACAUGUUAAAUCUGCUAGUGUUGAUGAGCAACCAGUUUAUACUGCCGAUAUUUAUGAUCCAAGAAAUUGGGACAAUCUUGAUAAUAAAGCAAGAGAUAUUUUAGUUGAGAAAGGGCCUGUCAGAGAGGAUAAAAUGGAAUACCAUGUAGAUGAUGACGAAAGACAUUUUUCGUGCACUCAUUAUCGUAGAAAAUUAAGCAAUGGAGAGGAACAUGAUAGGAAAUGGCUAGUUUAUUCAAAAGAUGUCAACAAAGUUUUUUGCUUCCGUUGUAAGAUCUUCAAGUCUAGCACCAACAGGAUACAAAGUUCCUUAGCACAUGAUGGAUUAGGACAUUGGAGGUAUAUUAGUGGGAAGCUUAAAGAACAUGAAAAUAGCAUCGAGCAUAUUAAUAACAUGAACAAGUGGAAUGAAUUGAGGGUUAGACUACGGAAAGAGGAGACAAUUGACAAGGAAUUGGAACAUCAAAUAACGAAGGAGAAAGAACGUGUCAGGCAAGUUCUGUUAAGAAUAAUAGCCGUUGUAAAAUAUCUUGGUAAACGCAGCUUGGCUUUUCGUGGAAAUAGUGAGAAGCUUUACAAGGAUGAUAAUGGUAAUUUCUUAGCUUGCAUUGAGAUGAUUGCAGAAUUUGACAUGGUAAUGCAAGAUCACCUUAGACGUAUUGAGAACAAAGAAAUCCAUUAUCAUUAUCUCAGUCAUAAAAUACAGAAUGAGUUGAUAUCUCUUUUGGCUUCUGACAUCACAUGUUCUAUCAUAAAGGUUGUUAAAGAGGCCAAGUAUUUCUCCGUUAUCCUAGAUUGUAACCCUGAUGUUAGUCAUAAAGAACAAAUGACUUUUUUAGUUCGAUGUGUUAAUCUGUCUGAUGGGAAAAUAAAAAUUGAGGAGUACUUUCUGGGGUUCUUGAAAGUGGAUGACACUUCUGGCUUAGGGAUUUUUAAAGUACUGCUUGAAUCUCUUGAGUCUUUUGGCCUAAAUAUUAAAGAUAUAAGGGGUCAAGGUUAUGACAAUGGUUCUAAUAUGAAAGGAAAAUAUCGAGGGGUACAAUCUAGGUUACUUGAUAUGAAUCCAAGAGCAUUAUAUAUGCCAUGUGCUUGUCAUAGUCUCAAUCUCACUCUUUGUGAUAUGGCAAAAUCAUGUGAAAAAGCUGUUUCAUUUUUUGGAAUUGUUCAGCGCAUAUAUGUAUUAUUUGCUGGCUCUACAAAAAGGUGGAAUGUUUUGCUUAAACAUGUUCCUAGUUUGACCGUGAAGUCAUUGUCCAAUACUCAUUGGGAGAGUAGAAUCAAAAGUGUUACAUCAAUAAGAUAUCAAGCCAGUGAGUUAAGAUCAGCUUUGUCUGAGUUACGCCAUGCUUCUGAAACUGAUCCUAAGGAUAAAAGUGAUGCAAAAAAAUUUAUUUGAUGUACUUGGUCGCUUUGAGUUUCUAGUUGGUAUGAUUAUUUGGCAUGAUAUUCUAUUUGCUGUAAAUAAAGUUAGCAAGAUGUUGCAAUCAUCAACCAUGUGCAUCGACUCCGCUUUGAAGCAAAUAAAAGGUAUAACACAAUAUUUUGAGAAGUACAGAGAUGAGGGAUUUUCUUCCAGUUUGAGCAUCGCUGAAGGUAUUGCAACUGAAAUGGGAAUAGAGCCAUUGUUUCCAGUGAAACGCCGUGUUACGAGGAAGAAGCAGUUUGACGAAAAUGAUUGUCAAGAAGAAAUUCUAGAAGGUGAGAAGGCUUUCCGUGUUAAAUAUUUUAAUGUUUUGGUUGAUAUGACGAUCAAUUCUUUGAAUGAUAGAUUUAAAGAACUCAUGGUGUUUAAAGAUAUAUUCGGAUUUUUAUUGAGCUCGGGCACCCUCAAGUCAUAAGUGACAGUGUACUUGAAGAAUGUUGUACGAAAUUUGCAGAAACUUUCUUUUUUAAUGGUUCAUCAGAUGUUGAGGUAUACAAUCUUAUUUCUGAACUGAAGAUUAUGAGAUUCACUUUGCCGGAUGGCGUAAUGUCCGCUAUGGAGAUUUUUGGGCAUGUGAGAGAAGUUGAUUGUUAUCCUAGUAUCUCCAUUGCCUAUCGCAUCUUAUUUACAGUGCCGGUGACGGUCGCAUCAGCUGAAAGAAGCUUUUCAAAAUUGAAGUUAUUAAAGAAUUAUUUAAGGUCAACAAUGACUCAAGAGAGAUUAAAUGGUUUGGCUACUUUAUGCAUGAAGAAAAAAUUAUUGGAUGAUAUUGACAUCGACCCAUCAUAAGUGACUUUGCAUCGAGGAAUGUUAGAAGAAAUUUUUAAGGUAGUACGUAUAAAUUAUUUACUACGCAUACAGAUUUUGGUUGCAUCUAAGUGUUACUGAUAAUAAUUUCUAUAUACAUUUUUAGACAACUAUAUAUAUAUAUGUAUUUCUGAGGCAAACUAUAUAUAUAUAUAUAUAUAUAUAUAUAUAUAUAUAUAUAUAUAUGUAUGUAUAUAUAUAUAUAUGUAUGUAUACAUAUAUUAUAAAGACUUAUAUAUUAAGGCCCUCAAUUUUUAGUUCGCCCCGGACCCCCAAAUUCUCAGGACCAGCCCUGCUUGAACCUAUCUAGGCCAAUUUGACGUGCUAGGAAAUCAAAUAUCCCGACCGGAAUCACACUUUAAUUUCACUGACUGGAUAAGCAGUAGCUAAACGAUCUAGCACCGAACGCUCAUAUAUGUGCUAACCAACUUAAUCAAUCUUGGCCUAGUGAUAUGAUUGAAUCUGUGCACAACGGGGACCAGCGUGUGGCUGCUAAGGAUGGAUUCAGCAUGUAUGAGGCGCUCUGCAUCUGCAACUUCCCGUUCGUCUCCGGCACCGUGCCGCGAGCUCAGCUGCGUUGGUCAGCGUGGUGGCCACGAACUACGGCCGCUCACACGCAGUGAGCUUGAAGCCGCGAAUGGCGAGAACGAAAUUGCAGAACCUGCUGUGCCAGCAAGAGUGUGACUCCAAGCUCGUCUCCGGCGGGCACUUGCUUGGUGAACACCCGUGAUGGCGCCGCCGUCCAGGGCUCUUGACUACACACCAUUGUUCGUUAACGACCCUCGAGGCGCGCAUUGUUGUUCUCUGCCUUGGUGGCGUCCAGGUGUCUGCGCUGAUUUGGAGAGAGAGAAGGAUGGAUCUAAAAUGUGGGAUGAGGAUGUAAGUUAGAGGUAGAGGAUUUUAAUCCCGGUCGGGAUGUUUCUUUUCCCAGGGCGCCAAACACGCCUAGGGUCCAGAUUGACCGGGAUAAAUAAGUACAGGAUAUAGAUUUCAGGUUUUUAAAAGUAAGGGUUUAUUUCUGACGAGCUGUAUAAAUUCAAGGUUUAAAAUAAACUUCAUCCAACGGAGGGAGUACUAACCACUAAUACCAUCAUGCAAUACAUAUCCAAUUAACCAUGGAUUAUUCUACUAUAUAUUUCUUAGAAACAAUGCAUCGCUAGUAAGAUUAGAGGAUCGCGUAUCAAAAGAAGAGACCAACCUAGAGCUUCAAAGCUUUAGGACCGCUGUGCGAGCAGGUCUCCAUCAGCGGAGCGGCUGCGGCUUCCAUGAGGUGCGGCCUGGGAGAGCCGCCAUAGCCCUCGAUUUGAGGAAUGGCUCGGAAGGCGCGUCUGGAAGGCGGCCCUCGACUCCGGUUCAUAAGAUGGUGUCGUUGCCCCAGGUCCUCGCGCCCACAGCGUCGCCUUCAAGUCCACAUGCCGUCGCCACCGUCUACGCACUCGUGAGAUGGGAUCCGCGAUAUGUGACAGUUACACACAAUGUUUCCAAGAAAAAGCCACAGACCAUAAUACCCUAUUUUAAAUACAAUAUUUUAAUUAACAUGCUAACCCAACAGUGGAAAACAAUCAAAAAAGGAGUUACACGAAAUUACAUUUCGUAACUCUCCAAUCACUGUAAAAGAGCUCAUAAAAGAUAUCAGGGUUGUUUAACGGGAAUAGAGGGAUUGGUGGAAUAAUUGUUGUAUUGCUUGAGCCUCGUGAGCAUAUAUAUAUGAGUACAUGAUCAUUUCAGAGUACAAGUCAAGGCAGGAACAAAUCCUAGUCUAUCUAUGCUUUUCUAAACAAUCACAUUACUCAACAUCCCCCCACAGUCACAACGAUAACGACGCAGACGGUGAGACUAGAGAAGAAUCCGAAGGUAAGCCGACACUCAUCCCCUCACAGUCGUAACGGUCGAUGCAUCACGGAAGUUGUGGCCGGAGUAGAAACCGACGAGGUUGCUCAAGCAAGGCGGUAGCCCUUUGUGCCAAUGUCGAGGUAGCCGAGAGCGUGGGGUGGCGUAGCCGUGGUCGAGGUAGCCGUGCAAAGAAUGCCAUGGUCGAUGUCGAGUCGGGUAGCCGGUGUCGAGGGUCGCCUUGGAGCCGCGGGCGCAAGGAGGCGCCGAGUUAGUCAUGGGCGCAGUGGUGUCGAAGUAGUGAUGCGCCGGAAAGAAGACGUAGUUGAGACACGUCGCGUCGAGUUUGCCAAGCCCGGGACACAUCAUGGACGAAGGCACGCAUCGGUGUUGCCAACACCGCGCAUGCGUAGACGGACGAAGUCGAUGUUGACGAUGCGUCGCUCCAAAUUUGCCAGGCCUGGGAACACACUGGAGACGAAGGCACACUACGCAAAACUUUAGUACGGACGAGACGAGGCCUGCUACCAACAUUGAAGAGAUGAAAAUCAAUGUGAACGUUGCAGUGAUGGUUGUGAUAGUUUCUGUAAUCAAGCAGAUACUCACUUGGCAUCCCUUGAUGCGUAAUGAUGCAUAUCAGCAUAUGCAUGGUCUGAAAUUUCGCAGGCCAAUGUCAUGUCUCACCAUCCUCUUCAAUAAAACUGGAUCUCAAUGAGAGUAUCCAAACCAGUGUGUCAGUUUGUUUAUGUGCUCGUGCGUAUUUUCUUUCGUUGCUCCAAUAAAAGAUUAAGUGUCAGUUCCUAUUUUUUCUAUGUUUUUAGCUUUUUUUUAGAUCUGAUUUUGAAACGGAGUCCAAACGGAAUAAAAUCUCCGAAAUGAUUUUUUCCCGAACGGAAGAAGAUCAGGGGGCCUGUGGGCCAAACCAGGAGGGCUCCAGGGAGCCCACAAGCCCCCACUCCGCCACCAGGGGAGGCGGCGGUGGCAGGGCUUGUGGCCUCCCUGAGCGCCCCCUGACCUAGAUCUUUGGCCUAUAUAUUCCCUAAAAUACAGCAAAAAAUCAGGGGAGCCUCGAAAAUACUUUUCCGCCGCCGUAAAUUUCCGUUUCCACGAGAUCUCAUCUGGAGACCCUUCCCGGCGCCCUGCCAGAGGGGACUUUGGAGUUGGAGGGCUUCUUCAUCAUCAUCAUCGCCCCUCCAAUGACUCGUGAGUAGUUCACUUCAGACCUACGGGUCCGUAGUUAGUAGCUAGAUGGCUUCUUCUCUCUCUUGGAUCUUCAAUACAAAGUUCUCCAUGAUCUUCAUGGAGAUCUAUCCGAUGUAAUCUUCUAUGGCGGUGUGUUUGUCGAGAUCCGAUGAAUUGUGGAUUUGUGAUCAGAUUAUCUAUGAUAUAUAUUUGAGUCUUUGCUGAUUUCUUAUAUGCAUGAUUUGAUAUCCUUGUAAGUCUCUCCGAGUCUUGGCUUUUGUUUGGCCAACUAGAUCUAUGAUUCUUGCAAUGGGAGAAGUGAUUGGUUUUGGGUUCUUACCAUGUGGUGACCUUUCCCAGUGACAGUAGGGGCAGCAAGACACACAUUGAGUGUUUGCCAUCAAGGGUAACAAGGUGGGCUCUGUCGUUGAUAUGAGAUUGUCCAUCUACAUCAUGUCAUCUUGCUUAAGGCGUUACUCUGUUCUUUUGGACUUAAUACACUAGAUGAAUGCUGAAUAGCGGUCGAUGUUGGAGUAAUAGUAGUAGAUGCAGACAUUAUUGGUCUACUUGUUUUGGACGUGAUGCCUAUAGAUACAAUCAUUGCCAUAGAUGACGUCACGACUUUGCGCGGUUCUAUCAAUUGCUCGACAAUAAUUUGUUCACCCACCAUCUACUUGCUUUCAUGAGAGAAGUCACUAGUAAACACUACGAUCCCCGAGUCUAUUCACAUCUAUCGUUUACACCUCCGCUUUUACUUUGCUUUGUUACUUUGUUGCUUUCAUAUCUCACUUUGCGAACAAUCUAUAAGGGAUUGACAAAUCCUUCAUAGCGUUGCGAGCAGGUUCUUUGUGUUUGUGCAGGCACUUGUGAUACUCCUUCACUGGAUCGAUACCUUGGUUCUCAAAACUGAGGGAAAUAUUUACCACCGCUACGCUACAUCACCCUUUCCGCUUCGAGGGAACACCAACGCAAGGCUCCAAGGCUGCGGGGAAAUCCUUUGCUUAUUUGCCUAGUAAGUCCCUAAAGGCGUAGCCGUAGCAGAAGGAUUCCUGAUGUCGUUGUUGAGGAGAAUCAAGACAAGAACAGUCUCCCGUCAGCACGUGUUUCUGGCGCCGUUGGAAGGUCAUUUGUUGCAGUAGCAAGCACAUAGAGCAAAAUUAUCUAGAUCAAAAGAUAUAAGUGAAGCACUAUGAGCAUUCUAGCAAAAUCACGAUGAGUGCAUGUCUCUCUCUAAAGGUGUGCAGCAAGGAUGACUGUGACACAACAAAAAGAAAAGACUCCUACGAUACAAGACGCUCUAAGCAAAACACAUAUCAUGUGAUGAAUAAAAAUAUAGCUCCAAGUAAUGUUACCGAUGGAUUAAAGACGAAAGAGGGGAUGCCUUCCCGGGGCAUCCCCAAGCUUAGGAUUUUUGGUGUCCUUUAAUUUGGCUUGGGAUGCCUUGGACAUCCCCAAGCUUGAGCUCUUUCCACUCCUUAUUUCUUUGUCCAUGAGAACAUCACCCAAAACUUGAAAACUUCACAACACAAAACUUAAACAGAAACUCGUGAUAACAUUAGCACAAGAAAACAAACUACCACCACUUUAGGUACUGUAGCAAUCUUGAUUCAUAUUUAUAUUGGUGUUAGAUUACUGUAUUCUCACUUUUCCAUGGCUAGUACCCCCCGAUACUAUUCAUAGUUUCAUCAAAACAAGCAACCAACUCAACAAAAACAGAAUCUGUCAAAAACAGACCAGUUUGUAGCAAUCUGUAUGCUUCGUAUACUUCUGUUACCUCAAAAAUUCUUAACUAUUACGACUGCCUGGGAAAAAGGCAUAUAAACUAGAAGCAAAAAGAAUCAACUCAAAAUCUCUUUCUGAAUAAAAAUAAAAAAUCAUCUCGUGAGAAAAAAGUUUCUGUCUUUUUCCAGCAGGAUCAAACAACCAUCACCAAGUCUAGUCAUAAAGGUUUUGCUUGGCUCAAACACAAAAAGAAACACAAAAGACACAAUCAUAGAAUUAUGAUGGUGUGGACGCAACAAAACAGAAAGAAAAAGAAAUAAAUUCAUUGGGUUGCCUCCCAACAAGCGCUAUUGUUUAACGCCCUUAGCUAGGCAUAAGGCGAUAGUAUCGUCGUCUUUGGUGCUCAAACCAUAAGUAGCGUGAUCACUUAUCAUCUUAAGGUUUUCAUCUUUCUUGCUAGAUGAUUCACCACUAUUUUUGGGAACAAAAAUAGACUUGGUGACCUUAUUGUGGGCAAAAUUUGGAGUAUUCUGCACAGCGGCAAAAGCGGAACCCAAGUUGGUUAUAACAUCCUCUAGUUUGCCAAUCCUAGCGGAAUCAUGACCUAGUUUUUCGUUAACUGUAGGUUCCUUCUCCUUUAAAUUUUUCAAAACCAUUCCCACCUUGGAUCCGUACCGAGUGAUUUGGUUGUGGAUCUUUUUAUCCAAAUUCUCAAUGAUUUCGAUCGUAGCAACUUUAUUUUCAAUGACGUCCAGCCUACGCAUCACAUGUUCCAGAGUUAAGGUAGUUCCAUUAACCAUGAGUGGGGGUGAGCCUGCCAAAUUUAUUACAGCUCCGUAAGAAUCAACGGUAUGGCUAUCUAAGAAAUUUCCACCUACGAUGGUGUCAAGAAUAUACUUAUGCCAAGGAGAAACACCCACAUAAAAACUGGGAAGCAGGACGGUAGUGGAUUGCUUAUGAGUAGAUCUACUCUGAGCAUUGCAAAUCCUAUACCAAGCGUCCUUUAAGUUUUCUUCCUCAAUUUAUUUGAAAUUGAGAACUUUGUUCUCGGGAGUAUCGUUCGAAGUGGUGGAUCUAGCAUGAGGACAGGUAGACUAUCCCACACAAAUGAACAGAAAGCAAGCGAGAGAAAAUGGCGAACAAAAAAUGCAAACGAAAAAGGCAAAUACUUUUUUGUAAAUUUUUGCUUUUCAGAAGUGGAGGAGAGGAAAACGAGAGGCAAAAAAGUAAAUGCAAGAGAUGAAUUUGCGACACUUACUUGGAUGAGUUCUUGACUUGAUCCUCCCCGGCAAAGGUGCCAGAAAUCCUUCUGGUACUUCUCAAACAACAGCGCCAGAAUUUGACACAUUGACGGAGACUUGCUUGCGUUGGUUUUUCCCUUGAAGAGAAAGGGUGAUGCAGCACAGGAGCAGUAAGUAUUUCCCUCAGUUUGAGAACCAAGGUAUCAAUCCAGUAGGAGAAUCCCGUCAAGUCCAGAGUACCUGCGCAAACACAAAAGAGCUUGCACCCAACGCUAUAAAGGGUUGUCAAUCCUUCAAGAUUUAUUGCAAAGUGAGAUCUGAAGGCGAAAAGUGCAACGAAGAAAAAGAGUAAGGCUGAAAAUAUGGUGUGGAGUAGACCCCGGGGCCAUAGUGUUCACUAGAAGCUUCUCUCAAAAUAGCAAAUAUUACGGUGGGUGAACAAAUUAGUGUCGAGCAAUUGAUAGAACCGCGCAAAGUCAUGACGAUAUCUAAGGCAAUGAUCAUACAUAUAGGCAUCACGUCCGAGACAAGUAGACCGAUACUUUCUGCAUCUACUACUAUUACUCCACACAUCGACCGCUAUCCAGCAUGCAUCUAGCGUAUUGAGUUCAUGACGAAUAGAGUAACGCCUUAAGCAAGAUGACAUGAUGUAGAGGGAUAAACUCAAACCAAUGAUGAAAACCCCAUCUUUUUACCCUUGAUGGCAACAACACGAUGCGUGCCUCGCUACCCCUUCUGUCACUGGGUGAGGUCACCGCACGGUAUGAACCCAAAACCAAGCACUUCUCCCAUUGCAAGAAUCAUAGAUCUAGUUGGCCAAACAAAACCCACAACUCGAAGAGAAUUACAAGGAUAUGAAAUCAUGCAUAAGAGAGAUCAGAAGAAACUCAAAUAAGAUUCAUAGAUAAUCUGAUCAAAAAUCCACAAUUCAUCGGAUCUCGACAAACACACCGCAAAAUAAGAUUACAUUAGUUAGAUCUCCAUGAAGAUCAUGGAGAACUUUGUAUUGAAGAUCCAAGAGAGAGAAGAAGCCAUCUAGCUACUAGCUAUGGACCCGUAGGUCUAUGGUGAACUACUCACGCAUCAUCGGAGAGGUCAUUGUGUUGAUGAAGAAGCCCUUCGUAUCCGAAUCCCCCCUCCGGCAGGGCACCAGAACGUGCCCCAGAUGGGAUCUUGCGGAGACAGAAGCUUGCAGCGGCGGAAAAGUACUUUCGAUGAUCUCCUGAUUUUUUCUGGGAUUUUAGGGAAUAUAUAGGCGAACGACCUAGGGCAAAGGUGCCUGAUGACCCACAAGUAUAUGGGAUCAAUCGUAGUCCUUUCGAUAAGUAAGAGUGUCGAACCCAACGAGGAGCAGAAGGCUCUGAUAAAAGGAUUUCAGCAAGGUAAUAACUGCAAGCACUGAAAGUAGCGGUAACAAGUGAUGGUGUAGCUAGGUGAAACGUAGCGAGCAAAAACUAACAAGUAACAAGUAGUAGCAACGGUGCAGCAAGUGGCCCAAUCCCUUUUGCAGCAAGGGACAAGCCUGAACAAAGUCUUAUAGGAGGAAAAAUGCUCCGGAGGACACACGGGAAUUUCUGUCAUGCUAGUUUCAUCAUGCUCAUAUGAUUCGCGUUCGUUACUUUGAUAGUUUGAUAUGUGGGUGGACCGGCGCUUGGGUACUGCCCUUACUUGGACAAGCAUCCCACUUAUGAUUAACCUCUCUCGCAAGAAUCCGCAACUACAGAAGAAGAAUUAAGACAAAGUCUAACCAUAGCAUUAAACUAGUGCAUCCAAAUCAGUCCCUCACGAAGCAACACAUAGACUAGGGUUUAAGCUUAUGUCACUCCAGCAACCCAUCAUCUACUUACUACUUCCUAAUGCCUUCCUCUAGGCCCAAAUAUGGUGAAGUGUUAUGUAGUCGACGUUCACAUAACACCACUAGAGGAAAAGACAACAUACAUCAUAUCAAAAUACCGAACGAAUAUCAAAUUCACAUGACUAUUAUUAACAUGACUUAUCCCAUGUCCUCAGGAACAAAAGUAACUACUCACAAAACAUAAUCAUAAUCAUGAUCGGAGGUGUAAUGAAUAGCAUCAAGGAUCUGAACAUAAACUCUUCCACCAAGUAAUCCAACUAGCAUCAACUACAAAGAGUAAUCAACACUACUAGCAACCUUACAAGUAUCAAUCGGAGUCGUGAGACGAAGAUUGGUUACAAGAGAUGAACUAGGAUUGGAGAGGGGAUGGUGCUGAUGAAGAUGUUGAUAGAUGCCUCCCCUCCGACGAAAGGAGUGUUGGUGAUGAUGAUGGCGACGAUUUCCCCCUCCGGGAGGGAAGUUUCCCCGGCAGGAUCGUCCUGCCGGAGCUCUAGAUUGGAUCUGCUCAAGUUCCGCCUCGUGGCGCUGGCAAAACCACGAAAAAGCUCCCCUCUGAUUUUUUCUGGACCAAGACGCUUCAUAUAGCAAAAGAGGGGGGCUAGUGGGCCGUCAGGGAGCCUACAAGCCCCCACUCCGCCACCAGGGGGUGGCGGUGUCAGGGCUUGUGGCGCCCUGGCAGCCCCCCUCCGGUAGUUCUUUCGCCCAGUAUUUUUUAUAUAAUCCCAAAAAAAUCCACGCAACUUUUCAGGGCAUUUGGAGAUGUGUAGAAUACUGGACUAGGAUUUGCUCCUUUUCUAGUCCAGAAUUCCAGCUGCCUGAAUUCUCCCUCUUCAAACAAACCUUGCAAAAUAAGAGAGAAAAUGCAUAAAUAUGGUACCACAAGUAAUAAAACAUCCCAAAACGCAAUAAAUAUCAACAUGAAAGCAUGAUGCAAAAUGGACUUAUCAACUCCCCCAAGCUUAGACCUCGCUUGUCCUCAAGUGAAAACCAAGUUCCAUAAACAUGUCCACAUGUUGAGGGACGAAGGUGUCGAUAAAACAUAAUACUGACAUAAGGGCAUCAUGAUCAUACAUAGGACAGCAAUACAUCAUAAAGAUUCUUAUGGGAAAGUAACAAUUCCUUCACAAAGCAAAGCAUCAAUCAAAAACCUUACCGUGAAGUAACCAACAAUAGUCCAUAGUCAUUGAAGCAAUUGCAAUUUAUCACAACAUCAGAAAGAGUCAAAUAAGAGCUUGUAAGGCAAACCCACAUACUCAAUCAUCUCUUUUGUUUUCCACAAUUGUUACAACUCACGUGGUACUCAUGGUGUCAAAGUUUCAGCUGGACACAGAGGAAGAUAGGGGCUUAUAGUUUUGCCUCCCAACCAUUUACCUCAAGGCUAAAGUCAACAACAAUAAAGCAUAAGUACUCAACUCCAAGUUGAUAUAUGAAUAUAGAUCUUUCCCAAGCAUGUGACGGUAGCCAAGACAAAGGCAAAGAUAGGGAAUUGGUGAUGAUCACCAUGACUCUUACAAGGGCAAAAAGUAAAGGUACAAGAUAGGCCCUUCGCAGAGGGAAGCAUAGGUUCUCAUGCGCUUUUGAGGUUUGAAUGUGUGUCCUCUUAGUGCGGAGGAACUUCACUUUAUAUUGCCUCCUGUGAUAAAGAACUUUAUUAUGCAGUCUGUCGCUUUUAUGUCUUCCUCAUCACAGGUUCGUACAAAGCUUAUUUUCCACACACUAAUAGAUCAUACAUAUUAGAUAGCAAUUUUUAUUGCUUGCACCGAUGACAACUUACUUGAAGGAUCUUAUUCAAUCCAUAGGUAGGUAUGGUGGACUCUCAUGGCAAAACUGGGUUGGAGGUUUAAGGAUUCACAAGUAGUAUCUCUACUUGAUGCGGGAGUUUUGGCUAAUAUGAGGUGGAAGAAAUCGUCACAUGCUAAGGGAUCUCUAAUCAUAUAACAUUGUUUGGAACCAAGCAAACACAAUUCAUUAUGUUGUCUUCCUUGUCCAACAUCUACUCCUAAGCAUGCAAUAGUUUGGUGAGUGCUCACAAUUGUAAAAAGUGUCUAAGAUGAUAUAUUUAUAUGUGAACCUCUCUUUCCUUAUUACUUCUUAUUAAUUGCAACAAUGACUGAGGUCUAUGUUGAUUUAUUCUCAACAAGUUUCAAUCAUCAUACGUGCCAUAUGUGAAGCUAUCACUUUCCAUAAGAUCGUCUCAUGAUCUUUCAUGCUAUCGUUCUUUUCACACUAUUGAUCAUGGCACAAAGCAAAGUCCUUGACUAAGACACUCUUUAUUAUAUAGCUCGUAAGUUCGAAUACAUCGGGAGAGACAAAAGCAAAAGAUUCAAACUAAACACUAAAGACUUAUUCCUCUAAGAGAAGAAAUAAAAACUGAAAAGGAAAGAACUAAAACAAAGGUAAAAGCAAAAGAUAUAAAGGUGAUACGAUACCAGGGAAACUCCCCCAAGCUUGGCAGAAGCCAAGGGGAUUGCCCAUACCAAUGCUUAGUUGUCUUCCUUUGUUGGUGAUGGUGGUGUUGUUGUCGCCUUUGAUUCCAAGAGAGCUAUCAAUCUUUGAUUUAUACCUUUGAGAUCUGUGACAUGGUUUUCCAGCAAAACAACUUCACGAGAAAGAGAAAUAUUGCGAGCACGAGUUGUUUCGCAAAACCUCAAGAGUUCAAUCAAGGAUGGAGACAACACAUGGAGGAAGGGUUGGAGAAAAUCUACUCCUUCAACGUCUUCAAUGUUGAACAUAGGUUGAACUUCCUCCCUAGCUUGGGUUUUCUCCUUAGCUUGGUCACUGGCUUCCGUGACUUCUACUCUUUUCAGAUCUGCAUGUACUUCAUCAUGAACUUGGUGAAGAUCAUUCUCCCCAACAGAUUCCUGAGACAUCUUUGCUGCAAAUCUGCGGCAGAAAACAAGCUCGAAACGAAAACAGAGGAAAACUACGCGAUACGGAGAUCAAAACCUUCGGGCGACUAUAUAUUGAUUUUUUCUGGGCCAGAAGGAGUCCUCGGCAAGAAAACAGAGUCCGGGAGGCACACGAGGUGCCCACAAGCUUGCCCUCCGCCACCAGGGGGUAGGGGGCGGUGGAAGGGCUUGUGGCCGCCUCGUUCGCUCUCCGGACUGCUUUUUAUUUUUCUAAUUUUCCAAAAAUUCCAAAACGGAAGAAAUUUCCUAUUGGAAAAUCAUCGGAGUGCAAUUUCUUACCGAAACAGAUACAUCUUCGUUUUCAAGGUCUGAAACAGGCUGAUAAACAUCCCUUAUAUACUCCUCUGGAGUUAUGACAUUGAUGACAUUGGUCUCAAUAUUUAUGGGAGUAUGAUGACCCACAAAUAUAGGGGAUCAAUCGUAGUCCUUUCGAUAAGUAAGAGUGUCGAACCCAACGAGGAGCAGAAGGCUCUGAUAAACGGAUUUCAGCAAGGUAAUAACUGCAAGCACUGAAAGUAGCGGCAACAAGUCAUUGUGUAGCGAGGUGAAACGUAGCAAGCAAAAAGUAAUAAGUAACAAGUAGUAGCAAUGGUGCAGCAAGUGGCCCAAUCCCUUUUGUAGCAAGGGACAAGCCUGAAAAAAGUCUUAUAGGAGGAUAAACGCUCCCGAGGACACACGGGAAUUUCUGUCAUGCUAGUUUCAUCAUGUUCAUAUGAUUCGCGUUCGUUACUUUGAUAGUUUGAUAUGUGGGUGGACUGGCGCUUGGGUACUGCCCUUACUUGGACAAGCAUCCCACUUAUGAUUAACCUCUCUCGCAAGCAUCCGCAACUACAAAAGAAGAAUUAAGACAAAGUCUAACCAUAGCAUUAAACUAGUGGAUCCAAAUCAGCCCCUUACGAAGCAACACAUAGACUGGGGUUUAAGCUUCUGUCACUCCAACAACCCAUCAUCUACUUACUACUUCCCAAUGCCUUCCUCUAGGCCCAAAUAUGGUGAAGUGUUAUGUAGUCGACGCUCACAUAACACCACUAGAGGAAAAACAACAUACAACAUAUCAAAAUACCAAACGAAUAUCAAAUUCACAUGACUAUUAUUAACAUGACUUAUCCCAUGUCCUCAGGAACAAAAGUAACUACUCACAAAACAUAAUCAUAAUCAUGAUCAGAGGUGUAAUGAAUAGCAUCAAGGAUCUGAACAUAAACUCUUCCACCAAGUAAUCCAACAAGCAUCAACUACAAAGAGUAAUCAACACUACUAGCAACCUUACAAGUACCAAUCGGAGUUGCGAGACGAAGAUUGGUUACAAGAGAUGAACUAGGGAUUGGAGAGGAGAUGGUGCUGAUGAAGAUGUUGAUGAAGAUGCCUCCCCUCCGAUGAGAGGAGUAUUGGUGAUGACGAUGGCGACGAUCUCCCCCUCCGGGAGAGAAGUUUCCCUGGCAGGAUCGUCCUACCGGAGCUCUAGAUUGGAUCUGCUCAAGUUCCGCCUCGUGGCGGCGGCGAAACCACGAAAAAGCUCCCUCUUGAUUUUUUUUCUGGACCAGGACGCUUCAUAUAGCAAAAGAGGGGGCUAGUGGGCCGUCAGGGAGCCCACAAGCCCCCACUCCGCCACCAGGGGGGUGGCGGUGUCAGGGCUUGUGGCGCCCUGGCAGCCCCCCUUCGGUAGUUCUUUCGCCCAGUAUUUUUUAUAUAAUCCAGAAAAAAUCCACGUAACUUUUCAGGCCAUUUGGAGUUGUGCAAAAUAGUGGACUAGGAUUUGCUCCUUUCUUAGUCCAGAAUUCCAGCUGCCUGAAUACUCCCUCUUCAAAUAAACCUUGCAAAAUAAGAGAGAAAAGGCAUAAAUAUGGUACCACAAGUAAUAUAACAGCCCAAAAGGCAAUAAAUAUGAACAUGAAAGCAUGAUGCAAAAUGGACGUAUCAACUACCCCAAGCUUAGACCUCGCUUGUCCUCAAGCGAAAACCAAGUUCCAUAAACACGUCCACAUGUUUAGGGAUGAAGGUGUCGAUAAAACAUAAUACGGACAUGAGGGCAUCAUGAUCACACAUAGAACAACAAUACAUUAUAAAGAUUCUUAUGGAAAAGUAGCAAUUCCUUCACAAAGCAAAGCAUGAAUCAAAAACCUUACCGAGAAGUAACCAACAAUAAUCCAUAUUCAUUGAAGCAAUUGCAAUUUAUCACAACAUCAGAAAGAGUCAAAUAAGAGCUUGUAAGGCAAACCCACAUACUCAAUCAACUCAUUUGUUUUCCACAAUUGUUACAACUCACGUGGUACUCAUGGUGUCAAAGUUUCAGUUGGACACAGAGGAAGAUAGGGGCUUAUAGUUUUGCCUCCCAAUGGUUUACCUCACGGGUAAAGUCAAAAACAAUAAAGCAUGAGUACUCAACUCCAAGUUGAUAUAUGAAUAUAGAUAUUUCCCAAGCAUGUGACGGUAGCCAAGACAAAGGCAAAAAGGGAAUUGGUGAAGAUCACCAUGACUCUUUCAAGGGCAAAAAGUAAAGAUACAAGAUAGGCCCUUCGCAGAGGGAAGCAGAGGUUGUCAUGCGAUUUUGAGGUUUGAAUGCGUGUCCUCUUAGUGCGGAGGAACGUCACUUUAUAUUGCCUCCUGUGAUAAAGAACUUUAUUAUGCAGUCUGUCGCUUUUAUGUCUUCCUCAUCACAGGUUCGUACAAAGCUUAUUUUCCACACACUAAUAGAUCAUACAUAUUAGAGAGCAAUAUUUAUUGCUUGCACUGAUGACAACUUACUUGAAGGAUCUUAUUCAAUCCAUAGGUAGGUAUGGUGGACUCUCAUGGCAAAACUGGGUUGGAGGUUUAUGGAUGCACAAGUAGUAUCUCUACUUGGUGCAGGAGUUUUGGCUAAUAUGAGAUGGAAGAAAUCGUCACAUGCUAAGGGAUCUCUAAUCAUAUAACAUUGUUUGGAACCAAGCAAACACAAUUCAUUAUGUUGUCUUCCUUGUCCAACAUCUACUCCUAAGCAUGUAAUAGUUUGGUGAGUGCUCACAAUUGCAAAAAGUGUCUAAGAUGAUAUAUUUAUAUGUGAACCUCUCUUUCCUUAUUACUUCUUAUUAAUUGCAACAAUGACUGAGGUCUAUGUUGAUUUAUUCUCAACAAGUUUCAAUCAUCAUACGUGUCAUAAGUGAAGUUAUCACUUUCCAUAAGAUCGUCUCAUGAUCUUUCAUGCUAUCGUUCUUUUCAUACUUUUGAUCAUGGCACAAAGCAAAGCCCUUGACGAAGACACUCUUUAUUAUAUAGCUCGUAAGCUCGAAUACAUCGGGGGAGAGACAAAAGCAAAAGACUCAAACUAAAAACUAAAGACUUAUUCCUCUAAGAGAAGAAAUAAAAACUGAAAAGGAAAGAACUAAAACAAAGGUAAAAGAAAAACAUAUAAAGGUGAUACGAUACCAGGGCAACUCCCCCAAACUUAGCAGAAGCCAAGGGGAUUGCCCAUACCAAUGCUUAGUUGUCUUCCUUUGGUGGUGAUGGUGGUGUUGUUGGAGCAGUCUUGAGCUUGUCUAAUUUCCACUUGAGCAAAAAGUUCUGCUCCCUUAGAUCGUCAUUUUCCUCCUCAAGUUUCAAAACUCUAUGGCAAAGCUCCUGCUUACUCUCCUGCAAGAAACGAGAAGGGAUAAACAAGGUCUUAGGCUUCUUCCUAUGGUCAGGGAGGCUUGACUUCUUGAACUCCACAUGGGUGUUUGCUGGUUGAGGUAGAGGAGCCUCCUCUUCAUCGUAACUCGUUUGCUCCUUCCCUUUGGGCUUAUAGUCCUCUUCCUCAUCAGUGGUCCAGCCAUAUGGUUCCAAGUCCCCAUAGACCUUGGGGUUAGCAAGGUAGUCAGCCACAUAGCUCUCUCCCUUUGAAUCUUGAGAAUACAUCUUGACCUAGAUCUGCGGCAGAACAAGCUCGAAACGAAAACAGUGGAAAACUGCGCGAUACGGAGAUCAAAACCUUCGGGCGACUAUAUAUUGAUUUUUUUUUCUGGGCCAGAAGGAGUACUCCGCAAGAAAACGGAGUCCAGGAGGCACACGAGGUGCCCACAAGCUUGCCCUCCGCCACCAGGGGGUAGGGGGCGGUGGCAGGGCUUGUGGCUGCCUCGUUCGCUCUCCGGACUGCUUUUUAUUUUUCUAAUUUUCCAAAAAUUCCAAAACGGAAUAAAUUUCCUAUUGGAAAAGUAUCAGAGUCCAAUUUCUUACCGAAACAGAUACAUCUUCGUUUUCAAGGUCUGAAAUAGGCUGAUAAACAUCCCUUAUGUACUCCUCUCGAGUUAUGACAUUGAUGAUAUUGGUCUCAACAUUUAUGGGAGUACCAGAGAUGUAAUGCUUGAUUCUUUGCCCGUUUACCACUCUAGGAAAAUUUCCUUCCGUGUUAUCGAUUUCGAUGGCACCGGAACGAUAUACUUCCUUGAUAACAUAGGGACCUUCCCAUUUAGAGAGAAGCUUGCCUGCAAAGAACCUCAAACUAGAAUUGUAUAGCAAGACAUAAUCACCUACAUUGAACUCUCGUUUCUGUAUUCGUUUGUCGUGCCAUCUCUUAACCUUUUCCUUGGACAACCUGGCAUUUUCAUAUGCCUGGGCUCUCCAUGUUGGAAUUAUGCCCUAGAGGCAAUAAUAAAUGUAUAGUUAUUAUUAUAAUUCCUGUAUCAAGAUAAUAGUUUAUUAUCCAUGCUAUAAUUGUAUUGAAUGAAGACUCAUUUACAUGUGUGGAUACAUAGACAAAACACCGUCCCUAGCAUGCCUCUAGUUGGCUAGCCAGUUGAUCGAUGAUAGUCAGUGUCUUCUGAUUAUGAACAAGGUGUUGUUGCUUGAUAACUGGAUCACGUCAUUAGGAGAAUCACGUGAUGGACUAGACCCAAACUAAUAGACGUAGCAUGUUGAUCGUGUCAUUUUGUUGCUACUGUUUUCUGCGUGUCAAGUAUUUAUUCCUAUGACCAUGAGUUCAUAUAACUCACUGACACUGGAGGAAUGCUUUGUGUGUAUCAAACGUCGCAACGUAACUGGGUGACUAUAAAGAUGCUCUACAGGUAUCUCCGAAGGUGUUAGUUGAUUUAGUAUGGAUCAAGACUGGGAUUUGUCACUCCGUGUGACGGAGAGGUAUCUCGGGGCCCACUCGGUAAUACAACAUCACACACAAGCCUUGCAAGCAAUGUAACUUAGUGUAAGUUGCGGGAUCUUGUAUUACGGAACGAGUAAAGAGACUUGCCGGUAAACGAGAUUGAAAUAGGUAUGCGGAUACUGACGAUCGAAUCUCGGGCAAGUAACAUACCGAAGGACAAAGGGAAUGACAUACGGGAUUAUACGAAUCCUUGGCACUGAGGUUCAAACGAUAAGAUCUUCGUAGAAUAUGUAGGAUCCAAUAUGGGCAUCCAGGUCCCGCUAUUGGAUAUUGACCGAGGAGUCUCUCGGGUCAUGUCUACAUAGUUCUCGAACCCGCAGGGUCUGCACACUUAAGGUUCGACGUUGUUUUAUGCGUAUUUGAGUUAUAUGGUUGGUUACCGAAUGUUGUUCGGAGUCCCGGAUGAGAUCACGGACGUCACGAGGGUUUCCGGAAUGGUCCGGAAACGAAGAUUGAUAUAUAGGAUGACCUCAUUUGAUUACCGGAAGGUUUUCGGAGUUACCGGGAAUGUACCGGGAAUGACGAAUGGGUUCCGGGAGUUCACCGGAAGGGGGCAACCCACUCCGGGGAAGCCCAUAGGCAUUUGGGGGGUCACACCAGCCCUUAGUGGGCUGGUGGGACAGCCCACCAAUCCCCUAUGCGCCAAGAAAGAAAAAAUCAAAGGAGAGAAAAAAAAAAGGAAGAAGUGGGAAGGGGGAAGGACUCCCUCCCACCAAACCAAGUAGGACUCGGUUUGGGGGGGAGAGUCCUCCCCCCUGGCUCGGCCGACCCCUUGGGGAUCCCUUGGACCCCAAGGCAAGGUCCCCCUCGCUCCUCCUAUAUAUAUGGGGCUUUUAGGGCAGAUUUGAGACGACUUUCUCAUGGCUGCCCGACCACAUACCUCCAUAGUUUUUCCUCUAGAUCGUGUUUCUGCGGAGCUCGGGCGGAGCCCUGCUGAGACAAGAUCAUCACCAACCUCCGGAGCGCCGUCACGCUGCCGGAGAACUCUUCUACCUCUCCGUCUCUCUUGCUGGAUCAAGAAGGCCGAGAUCAUCGUCGAGCUGUACGUGUGCUGAACGCGGAGGUGCCGUCCGUUCGGCACUAGAUCGUGGGACUGAUCGCGGGAUUGUUCGCGGGGCGGAUCGAGGGACGUGAGGACGUUCCACUACAUCAACCGCGUUCUCUAACGCUUCUGCUGUACGAUCUACAAGGGUACGUAGAUCACUCAUCCCCUCUCGUAGAUGGACAUCACCAUGAUAGGUCUUCGUGCGCGUAGGAAAAUUUUUGUUUCCCAUGCGACGUUCCCCAACAGUGGCAUCAUGAGCUAGGUUAAUGCGUAGAUGUCUUCUCGAGUAGAACACAAAAGGUUUUGUGGGCGGUGAUGUGCGUUUUGCUGCCCUCCUUAGUCUUUUCUUGAUUCCGCGGUAUUGUUGGAUUGAAGCGGCUUGGACCGACAUUACUCGUACGCUUACGAGAGACUGGUUUCAUCGUUACGAGUAACCCCCUUUGCUCAAAGAUGACUGGCAAGUGACGGUUUCUCCAACUUUAGUUGAAUCGGAUUUGACCGAGGAGGUCCUUGGAUGAGGUUAAAUAGCAACUCAUAUAUCUCCGUUGUGGUGUUUGCGUAAGUAAGAUGCGAUCCUACGAGAUACCCUUGGUCACCACGUAAAACAUGCAACAACAAAAUUAGAGGACGUCUAACUUGUUUUUGCAGGCUAUGAUUGUGAUGUGAUAUGGCCAAUGAUGUGAUGUGAUAUAUUGGAUGUAUGAGAUGAUCAUGUUGUAAUAGAAAUAUCGACUUGCACGUCGAUGGUACGGCAACCGGCAGGAGCCAUAGGGUUGUCUUUAUACUAACAUAUGUGCUUGCAGAUGCGUUUACUAUUUUGCUAGGAUGUAGCUUUAGUAGUAAUAGCAUAAGUAGCACGACAACCCCGAUGGCAACACGUUGAUGGAUGAUCAUGGUGUGGCGCCGGUGACAAGAAGAUCGUGCCGGUGCUUUGGUGAUGGAGAUCAAGAAGCACGUGAUGAUGGCCAUAUCAUGUCACUUAUGAAUUGCAUGUGAUGUUAAUCCUUUUAUGCACCUUAUUUUGCUUAGAACGACGGUAGCAUUAUGAGGUGAUCUCUCACUAAAAUUUCAAGACGAAAUUGUGUUCUCCCCGACUGUGCACCGUUGCGACAGUUCUUCAUUUCGAGACACCACGUGAUGAUCGGGUGUGAUAGACUCAACGUUCACAUACAACGGGUGCAAAACAGUUGCACACGCGGAACACUCGGGUUAAGCUUGACGAGCCUAGCAUGUGCAGACAUGGCCUCGGAACACAUGAGACCGAAAGGUCGAGCAUGAAUCGUAUAGUUGAUAUGAUUAGCAUAGAGAUGCUUACCACUGAAACUAUUCUCGACUCACGUGAUGAUCGGACUUGAGAUAGUGGAUUUGGAUCAUGUACCACUCAAAUGACUAGAGAGAUGUACUUUUUGAGUGGGAGUUCUUAAGUAAUAUGAUUAAUUGAACUAAUUGUCAUGAACAUAGUCUAAUGGUCUUUGCGAAUUACGAUGUAGCUUGCGCUAUAGCUCUACUGUUUUUAUAUGUUCCUAGAGAAAAUUUAGUUGAAAAUUGAUAGUAGCAACCUUUGCAGACUGAGUCUGUAAAACCGAGGAUUGUCCUCGUUGCUACGCAGAAGGCUUAUGUCCUUAAUGCACCACUCGGUGUGCUGCACCUCGAGCGUCGUCUGUGGAUGCUAUGAACAUCCGACAUACACGUUACUGAUGACUACACGAUAGUUCAGUGCAAGAUACUUGAUGGCUUAGAAGCAAGGCGCCGAAAACGUCACGGAACAUAAGUGAUGUUCCGAAGAGAUGAAAUUGUGAUUUCAUGCUUGUGCCCUUGUUAAGAGGUACGAGACCUCCAAACAAGAAUCUUUGUCCACAAAGUAAAAGAGAAAAGCUCAAUCGUUGAGCGUGUGCUCAGAUUGUCUGAGUGCGACAAUCGCUUGAAUCAAGUGGGAGUUAAUCUUCCAAAUGAGAUAGUGACGGUUCUCCAAAGUCACUGCCACCAAGCUAUGAGAGCUUCGUGAUGAACUAUAACAUAUCAAGGAUAGAUACUAUGAUCUUUUGAGUGAUUCGCGAUGUUUGACACUGCGAAAGUAGAAAUCAAGAAGGAGCAUCAAUAGUUGAUGGUUAGUAAAACCACUAAGUUUCAAGAAAGGCAAGGGCUAGAAGGGAUACUUCGUGAAACGGCAAAACAGUUGCUGCACUAAUGAAGAGACCCAAGAUUAAACCCAAACCCGAGACUAAGUGCUUCUGUAAUGAGGGGAACAAUCACUGAGGCGGAGCAACUCAAGAUACUUGGUAGAUAAGAAGGCUGGCAAAAGUCGAAAGAAGUGUAUUUGAUAUACAUGAUGUUGAUGUGUACUUUACUAGUACUCCUAGUAGCACGAGGGUAUUGGAUACCGGUUCGGUUGCUAAGUGAUUAGUGACGCGAAAUGAAAGCUACGGCAUAAACGGAGACUAGCUAAAGGCGAGGUGACGAUGCGUGUUGGAAGUGUUUCCAAGAUUGAUAUGAUCAAACGUCGCACGCUCCCUCUACCAUCGGGAUUGGUGUUAAACCUAAAUAAUUGUUAUUUGGUGCUUGCAUUAAGCAUGAACAUGAUUGGAUCGUGUUUAUUGCAAUACGAUUAUUCAUUUAAAGAGAAUAAUGGUUACUCUAUUUUCUUGAAUAAUCACCUUCAAUGGUUUAUUGAAUCUCGAUCGUAGUGUUACACAUGUUCAUGAUAUUGGUGCCAAAAGAUACGAGUUGAUGAUGAUAGUACCACUUACUUGUGGCACUGCCGCUUGAGUCAUGUUAGUAUAAAUUGCAUGAAGAGGCUCCAUGCUGAUGGAUCUUUGUACUCACCUGAUUUCGAAUCACUAGUGACAUGCGAAUCAUACCACAUGACCAAGGCCUUGUUUUCAUUGAGAUGAAAUAAGAUAGUAACUUGUUGGAAGUGAUACAUUUUGAUGUAUGCAGUCCAAUGGGUGCUGAGGCACGCAGUGGAUAUCAUUAUGUUCUUACUUCACUGACGAUUUGAGUAGAUACUAGAGUAUUUACUUAAUGAAUCACAAGUUUGAAAUAUUGAAAAGUUCAAUUCUGUUUCAGAGUGAAGUUCGUCGUAAUAAGAGGAUAAACUGUCUACGAUAUGAUCAUAGAAAUGAAUAUCUGAGUUACGAGUUUUGGUACGCAGUUAAGACAAUGUGGAAGUUGUUUCGCAGUUCAUGCCACCUGGAACAUCAUAGUGUGAUGAUGUGUCUGAACAUCAUAGCCACGCACUAUUUGGUAUGAUGCAUAAUAUGAUGUCUCUUAUCGAAUUACCACUAUCGUUUAUGGGUUAUGCAUUAGAGACAACCGCACUCACUUUAAAUAGGGCACCGCGUAUUUCCGUUGAGAUGACACAGUAUAGACUGAGGUUUAGAGAAAUCUAAACUGUCGUUUCUUGAAAGUUUGGGGUUUCGACACUUAUGUGAAAAAGUUUCAGUCUGAUAAGCUCGAACCCAAAGCGGAUAAAUGCAUCUUCAUAGGAUAUCCAAAACAGUUGGGUACAUCUCCUAUCUCAGAUCCGAAAGCAAAGUGUUUGUUUCUAGAAACGGAUCCUUUCUCGAGGAAAGGUUUCUCUCGAAAGAAUUGAGUGGGGGGGGGGGGGUAGUAGAACUUGAUGAGGUUAUUGAACCAUCACUUCAACCAGUGUGUAGCAGGGCGUAGGAAGUUGUUCCUGUGGCGCCUACACCAAUUGAAGUGGAAGCUGAUGAUGGUGAUCAUUGAGCUUCGAAUCAAGUUACUACAAACCUCGUAGGUCGACAAGGUCGCAUACUGCUGCAGAGUAGUACGGUAACCCUGUCUUGGAGGUCAUGUUGUUGAGCAACAGUGAACCUACGAGUUAUGGAGAAAGCGAUGGUGGGCCCAGAUUCCGACAAAUGGCUGGAAGCCAUGAAAUCCGAGAGAGGAUCCAUGUGUGAAAACAAAGUGAAGACUUUGGUAGAACUACUUGAUGGUCAUAGGACUAUUGAGUGAAAAUGGAUCUUUAAAGGAAGACAGACGAUGAUGGUGAUAAGUCACUAUUAAGAAAGGCUAGACUUGUCGCAAAGAUGUUUUCGACAAGAUCAAACAGUUGACUCUGAUGAGACUUUCUCACUCGUAGCGAUGCUAAAGGUCUGUUAGAGUUAUGUUAGUUGUUGAUGCAUUGUUUAUGAAAUAUUGCACGUAGGAUAUCAAAACAUUGUUUUCUCGACGGUUUCCUUGAGCAAACAUUGUAUGUGAUACAACCAGAAGGUUUUGUCGAUCCUAAAGAUACUAGCAAGUAUGCGAGCUCCAGCGAUCCUUCAAUGGACCGGUGCAAGCAUCUCGGAGUUGGAAUGUAUAUACUUUGAUGAGAUGAUCAAAGAUUUUGGGUUUGUACAAGGUUUAUGAGAAACUUGUAUUUCUAAAGAAGUGAGUGGGAGCACUAUAGAAUUUCUGAUAAGUAUAUGUGGUUGACAUAUUGUGGAUGAGAAGUAAUGUAGAAUUUCUGUAAAGCAUACAAGGUUGUUUGAAAGGAGUUUUUCAAAGGAAAUACCUAGAUUGCGCUACUUGAACGUUGAGCAUCAAAGAUCUAUGGAGAUAGAUUGAAAGCGCUUAAUAGAAGUUUCAACAAGAUGCAUGCCUUGACAAGUUUUUGAAGGAGUUCAAAAUAGAUCAACAAAGAAGGAGUUCUUGGUUGCGUUGUAAGGUGUGAAUUUGAGUAAGACUCAAAACCCGACCACGGCAGAAUAAAGAGAAUAGACGAAGGUCGUAUUCUAUGCCUUAGCCGUAGAAUCUAAAGUAUGCCAUGCUGUGUACCGCACCUGAUGUGUGCCUUGACUCAAAGUCUGUUGAGAGGUACAGAGAGUGAUCCAUGAUUGAAUCACUAGCAGCGGUCAAAAUUUAUCCUUAGUAACAAAUGGACUGAGGAAUUUUUCUCGAUUAUGGAGGUGGUUAAAGAGUUCGUCGUAAAGGGUUACGUUGAUGCAAGCUUUGACACUAAUCCGAAUAACUAUGGGUAGUGAAACGGAUUCAUACAGUAGAGUAGAUGUUUGGAGCAUUUCCGAAUAGCACGUAGUAGCAGCAUCUAUAAGAUGACAUAAAGAUUUGUAAAGAACGCACGGAUCUGAAAGUUUCAGAACCGUUGACUAAAAACCUCUCUCACGAGCAAGACGUGAUCAGACCCCAUAACUAUACGGGUGUUGGAUUCGUUGGAAUAACAUGGUGAUGUGAACUAGAUUAUUGACUCUAGUGCAAGUGGGAGACUGUUGGAAAUAUGCCCUAGAGGCAAUAAUAAAUUAGUUAUUAUUAUAUUUCUUAGUUCAUGAUAAUCGUUUAUUAUCCAUGCUAUAAUUGUAUUGAUUGGAAACACAAUACUUGUGUGGAUACAUAGACAAAACACUGUCCCUAGUAAGCCUCUAGUUGACUAGCUCGUUGAUCAAAGAUGGUCAAGGUUUCCUGGCCAUAGGCAAGUGUUGUCACUUGAUAACGGGAUCACAUCAUUAGGAGAAUCAUGUGAUGGACUAGACCCAAACUAAUAGACGUAGCAUGUUGAUUGUGUCAUUUUGUUGCUACUGUUUUCUGCGUGUCAAGUAUUUAUUCCUAUGACCAUGAGAUCAUAUAACUCACUAACACCGGAGGAAUUCUUUGUGUGUAUCAAACGUCGCAACGUAACUGGGUGACUAUAAAGAUGCUCUACAGGUAUCUCCGAAGGUGUUAGUUGAUUUAGUAUGGAUCAAGACUGGGAUUUGUCACUCCGUGUGACGGAGAGGUAUCUCGGGGCCCACUCGGUAAUACAACAUCACACACAAGCCUUGCAAGCAAUGUAACUUAGUGUAAGUUGCGGGAUCUUGUAUUACGGAACGAGUAAAGAGACUUGCCGGUAAACGAGAUUGAAAUAGGUAUGCGGAUACUGACGAUCGAAUCUCGGGCAAGUAACAUACCGAAGGACAAAGGGAAUGACAUACGGGAUUAUACGAAUCCUUGGCACUGAGGUUCAAACGAUAAGAUCUUCGUAGAAUAUGUAGGAUCCAAUAUGGGCAUCCAGGUCCCGCUAUUGGAUAUUGACCGAGGAGUCUCUCGGGUCAUGUCUACAUAGUUCUCGAACCCGCAGGGUCUGCACACUUAAGGUUCGACGUUGUUUUAUGCGUAUUUGAGUUAUAUGGUUGGUUACCGAAUGUUGUUCGGAGUCCCGGAUGAGAUCACCGACGUCACGAGGGUUUCCGGAAUGGUCCGGAAACGAAGAUUGAUAUAUAGGAUGACCUCAUUUGAUUACCGGAAGGUUUUCGGAGUUACCGGGAAUGUACCGGGAAUGACGAAUGGGUUCCGGGAGUUCACCGGAAGGGGGCAACCCACUCCGGGGAAGCCCAUAGGCAUUUGGGGGGUCACACCAGCCCUUAGUGGGCUGGUGGGACAGCCCACCAAUCCCCUAUGCGCCAAGAAAGAAAAAAUCAAAGGAGAGAAAAAAAAAGGAAGAAGUGGGAAGGGGGAAGGACUCCCUCCCACCAAACCAAGUAGGACUCGGUUUGGGGGGGAGAGUCCUCCCCCCUGGCUCGGCCGACCCCUUGGGGAUCCCUUGGACCCCAAGGCAAGGUCCCCCUCCCUCCUCCUAUAUAUAUGGGGCUUUUAGGGCAGAUUUGAGACGACUUUCUCACGGCUGCCCGACCACAUACCUCCAUAGUUUUUCCUCUAGAUCGUGUUUCUGCGGAGCUCGGGCGGAGCCCUGCUGAGACAAGAUCAUCACCAACCUCCGGAGCGCCGUCACGCUGCCGGAGAACUCUUCUACCUCUCCGUCUCUCUUGCUGGAUCAAGAAGGCCGAGAUCAUCGUCGAGCUGUACGUGUGCUGAACGCGGAGGUGCCGUCCGUUCGGCACUAGAUCGUGGGACUGAUCGCGGGAUUGUUCGCGGGGCGGAUCGAGGGACGUGAGGACGUUCCACUACAUCAACCGCGUUCUCUAACGCUUCUGCUGUACGAUCUACAAGGGUACGUAGAUCACUCAUCCCCUCUCGUAGAUGGACAUCACCAUGAUAGGUCUUCGUGCGCGUAGGAAAAUUUUUGUUUCCCAUGCGACGUUCCCCAACACCUUGGUCACCACGUAAAACAUGCAACAACAAAUUAGAGGACGUCUAACUUGUUUUUGCAGGGUAUGAUUGUGAUGUGAUAGUAAUAGCAUAAGUAGCACGACAACCCCGAUGGCAACACGUUGAUGGAUGAUCAUGGUGUGGCGCCGGUGACAAGAAGAUCGUGCCGGUGCUUUGGUGAUGGAGAUCAAGAAGCACGUGAUGAUGGCCAUAUCAUGUCACUUAUGAAUUGCAUGUGAUGUUAAUCCUUUUAUGCACCUUAUUUUGCUUAGAACGACGGUAGCAUUAUGAGGUCAUCUCUCACUAAAAUUUCAAGACGAAAUUGUGUUCUCCCCGACUAUGCACCGUUGCUACAAUUCAUCGUUUCGAGACACCACGUGAUGAUCGGGUGUGAUAGACUCAACGUUCACAUACAACGGGUGCAAAACAGUUGCGCACGCGGAACACUCGGGUUAAGCUUGACGAGCCUAGCAUGUGCAGACAUGGCCUCGGAACACAUGAGACCGAAAGGUCGAUCAUGAAUCAUAUAGAUGAUAUGAUUAGCAUAGGGAUGCUUACCACUGAAACAACUCCCGACUCACGUGAUGAUCGGACUUGGGAUAGUGUAGGUGGAUCAUGAACCACUCAAAUGACUAGAGAGAUGUACUUUUUGAGUGGGAGUUUAGCAUAUAAUUUGAUUAAGUUGAACUCUAAUUAUCUUGAACAUAGUCUAAGUCCACUUUGAAUAUAUUUGUGUUGUAGAUCAUGGCUCACGCAAGUGUCAUCCUGAAUUUUAAUACGUUCCUAGAGAAAGCUAAGUUGAAAGAUGAUGGAAGCAACUUUGUAGACUGGGCUCGUAAUCUUAAGCUAAUCUUACAAGCUGGGAAGAAGGAUUAUGUCCUUAAUGCUGCGCUAGGAGAUGAACCGCCCGCUACGGCUGAUCAGGAUGUUAAGAACGCUUGGUUAGCGCGUAAGGAGGACUACUCAAUAGUUCAAUGUGCAGUCUUGUAUGGCUUAGAACCGGGACUUCAACGUCGCUUUGAGCGUCAUGGAGCAUUUGAGAUGUUCCAGGAGUUGAAGUUUAUCUUUCAGAAGAACGCCCGGAUCGAGAGGUAUGAGACCUCCGAUAAAUUCUAUGCUUGCAAGAUGGAGGAAAACUCGACUGUCAGUGAACAUGUGCUCAAAAUGUCUGGGUACUCAAACCGUCUAGCUGAACUGGGGAUUGAACUCCCGCAAGAAGCUAUCACUGACAGAAUCCUUCAAUCACUGCCGCCAAGCUAUAAAGGCUUUGUGUUGAACUACAACAUGCAAGGGAUGAACAAGUCUCCCGGCGAGUUGUUUGCGAUGCUGAAAGUCACAGAGUCGGAACUCCGUAAAGAGCAUCAAGUGUUGAUGGUGAGCAAGACCACUAGUUUCAAGAGAAACGGCAAGGGCAAGAAGGGCAAUUCGAAGAAGAGCGGCAAGCCUGUUGCCAAUCCGCCGAAGAAACCCAAGGCUGGACCUAAGCCUGAAACGGAGUGCUUCUAUUGCAAGGGUAUGGGUCACUGGAAGCGCAAUUGCCCCAAGUAUCUGGCAGAUAAGAAGGCGGGCAAAGAAAAAUCAGGUAUAUUUGAUAUACAUGUUAUUGAUAUGUACUUAACCGGCCCUCGUAGUAGUGCCUGGGUAUUCGAUACCGGUUCUGUUGCUCACAUUUGCAACUCGAAACAGGAACUACGGAAUAGACGAAGGCUGGCGAAAGACGAAGUGACGAUGCGCGUAGGAAACGGUUCCAAGGUUGAUGCAAUCGCCCUCGGCACCGUGUCACUUCAACUACCAUCGGGAUUAGUGAUGAACUUAAAUCAUUGUUAUUUAGUGCCUGCGUUGAGCAUGAACAUUAUAUCUGGAUCUUGUUUAUUGCGAGACGGUUACUCUUUUAAGUCUGAGAAUAAUGGUUGUUCUAUUUCUAUGAGUAACAUCUUUUAUGGUCAUGCACCGAAUGUGAGAGGAUUGUUCAUAUUGAAUCUUGAUAGCGAUACGCAUAUACAUAACAUUGAGACCAAAAGAGUUAGAGUAAACAAUGAUAGCACCAUAUUUUUAUGGCACUGCCGUUUGGGUCAUAUUGGUGUAAAGCGCAUGAAGAAACUCCAUGCUGAUGGACUUUUGGAGUCACUUGACUUUGAUUCACUUGACACGUGCGAACCAUGCCUCAUGGGCAAGAUGACUAAGACUCCGUUCUCCGGAACAAUGGAGCGUGCAAGUGACUUGUUGGGAAUCAUACAUACCGAUGUGUGUGGUCCAAUGAGCGUGGAGGCACGCGGCGGAUAUCGUUAUUUCCUCACCUUCACUGACGAUUUAAGUUGAUAUGGUUAUGUCUACUUAAUGAAGAACAAGUCUGAAACAUUUGAAAAGUUCAAGCAAUUUCAGAGUGAAGUAGAAAAUCAUCGUAACAAGAAGAUCAAGUUUCUACGGUCUGAUCGUGGGGGUGAAUAUCUGAGUUUCGAGUUUGGUACUCACUUAAGACAAUGUGGAAUUGUUUCGCAGUUAACACCGCCUGGAACACCACAGCGUAAUGGUGUGUCCGAACGUCGUAACCGUACUUUGUUAGAGAUGGUGCGAUCUAUGAUGUCUCUUACUGAUUUGCCGUUAUCAUUUUGGGGUUAUGCAUUAGAAACAGCUGCAUUCACUUUAAAUAGGGCACCAUCAAAAUCCGUUGAGACGACACCAUACGAACUGUGGUAUGGCAAAAGACCAAAGUUGUCGUUUCUUAAAGUUUGGGGAUGUGAUGCUUAUGUCAAAAAGCUUCAGCCUGAAAAGCUGGAACCCAAAGCGGAGAAGUGCGUCUUCAUAGGUUACCCAAAGGAGACAGUUGGGUACACCUUCUAUCUCAAAUCCGAGGGCAAAGUGUUUGUUGCUAAAAACGGAACUUUUCUCGAGAAGGAGUUUCUCUCGAGAGAAUUGAGUGGGAGGAAGAUAGAACUUGACGAGGUUGUCGAACCUCUCAUCCCUCUGGAUGGUGGCGCAGGGCAAGGGGAAACCUCUAUCGUUGCAACACCGGUUGAGGAGGAAGUUAAUGAUGAUAAUCAUGAAACUCCAGUUCAAGUUUCUGUUGAACCACGCAGGUCGACGAGAUCACGCGCUGCUCCAGAGUGGUACGGUAAUCCCGUCUUGUCAAUCAUGUUGUUAGACAACAAUGAACCUGCGAGUUAUGAAGAAGCAGUGGUGGGCCCAGAUUCCAACAAAUGGCUAGAAGCCAUGAAAUCCGAGAUAGGAUCCAUGUAUGAGAACAAAGUGUGGACUUUGGAGAUACUACCUGAAGGCCGCAAGGCUAUUCAGAACAAAUGGAUCUUUAAGAAGAAGACGGACGCUGACGGUAAUGUGACCGUUUAUAAAGCUCGACUUGUGGCAAAGGGUUUUUCACAAGUUCCAGGAGUUGACUACGAUGAGACCUUCUCACCCGUAGCGAUGCUUAAGUCCGUCAGAAUCAUGUUAGCAAUAGCUGCGUUUUUCGAUUAUGAAAUCUGGCAGAUGGAUGUCAAAACGGCGUUCCUUAACGGUUUCCUUAAGGAAGAGUUGUAUAUGAUGCAACCCGAAGGUUUUGUCGAUCCUAAAAAUGCUGACAAGGUGUGCAAGCUCCAGCGAUCCAUUUAUGGACUGGUGCAAGCGUCUCGGAGUUGGAACAAACGCUUUGAUGAGGUGAUCAAAGCAUUUGGGUUUAUACAAGUGGUUGGAGAAUCUUGUAUUUACAAGAAAGUGAGUGGGAGCUCUGUGGCGUUUCUAAUAUUAUAUGUGGAUGACAUAUUACUGAUUGGAAACAACGUAGAGCUUUUGGAGAGCAUAAAAGGUUACUUGAAUAAAAGUUUCUCUAUGAAGGACCUAGGAGAAGCUGCUUACAUUCUAGGCAUUAAGAUCUAUAGGGAUAGAUCAAAACGCCUGAUAGGACUUUCACAAAGCACAUACCUUGAUAAAGUUUUGAAGAGGUUCAAAAUGGAACAGUCGAAGAAAGGGUUCUUGCCAGUGUUACAAGGUACGAGAUUGAGUAAGACUCAGUGCCCAGCAACUGAUGAAGAUAGAGAGCAUAUGCGCUCCGUCCCCUAUGCUUCAGCCAUAGGCUCUAUCAUGUAUGCAAUGCUGUGCACUAGACCGGAUGUUAGCCUGGCCAUAAGUAUGGCAGGUAGGUUCCAGAGUAAUCCAGGAGUGGAUCACUGGACGACGGUCAAGAAUAUCCUGAAGUACCUGAAAAGGACUAAGGAGAUGUUUCUCGUGUAUGGAGGUGACGAAGAGCUCGCCGUAAAAGGUUACGUCGAUGCAAGCUUUGACACAGAUCCGGACGACUCUAAGUCGCAAACCGGAUACGUAUUUAUUCUUAAUGGGGGUGCAGUAAGCUGGUGCAGUUCCAAGCAAAGCGUCGUAGCAGAUUCUACAUGUGAAGCAGAGUACAUGGCUGCCUCGGAGGCGGCUAAGGAGGGUGUCUGGAUGAAGCAGUUCAUGACGGAUCUUGGAGUAGUGCCAAGUGCACUGGAUCCAAUAACCUUGUUCUGUGACAACACUGGUGCCAUUGCCUUAGCAAAGGAACCAAGGUUUCACAAGAAGACCAGACACAUCAAACGAUGCUUCAACCUCAUCCGCGACUACGUCGAGGAGGAGGACGUAAAUAUAUGCAAAGUGCACAUGGAUCUGAAUGUAGCACACCCGCUGACUAAACCUCUUCCACGGCCAAAACAUGAUCGACACCAGAACUGUAUGGGUGUUAGAUUUAUUACAAUGAAAUUCACAUGGUGAUGUGAGGGCUAGAUUAUUGACUCUAGUGCAAGUGGGAGACUGUUGGAAUUAUGCCCUAGAGGCAAUAAUAAAUGUAUAGUUAUUAUUAUAAUUCCUGUAUCAAGAUAAUAGUUUAUUAUCCAUGCUAUAAUUGUAUUGAAUGAAGACUCAUUUACAUGUGUGGAUACAUAGACAAAACACCGUCCCUAGCAUGCCUCUAGUUGGCUAGCCAGUUGAUCGAUGAUAGUCAGUGUCUUCUGAUUAUGAACAAGGUGUUGUUGCUUGAUAACUGGAUCACGUCAUUAGGAGAAUCACGUGAUGGACUAGACCCAAACUAAUAGACGUAGCAUGUUGAUCGUGUCAUUUUGUUGCUACUGUUUUCUGCGUGUCAAGUAUUUAUUCCUAUGACCAUGAGAUCAUAUAACUCACUGACACUGGAGGAAUGCUUUGUGUGUAUCAAACGUCGCAACGUAACUGGGUGACUAUAAAGAUGCUCUACAGGUAUCUCCGAAGGUGUUAGUUGAUUUAGUAUGGAUCAAGACUGGGAUUUGUCACUCCGUGUGACGGAGAGGUAUCUCGGGGCCCACUCGGUAAUACAACAUCACACACAAGCCUUGCAAGCAAUGUAACUUAGUGUAAGUUGCGGGAUCUUGUAUUACGGAACGAGUAAAGAGACUUGCCGGUAAACGAGAUUGAAAUAGGUAUGCGGAUACUGACGAUCGAAUCUCGGGCAAGUAACAUACCGAAGGACAAAGGGAAUGACAUACGGGAUUAUACGAAUCCUUGGCACUGAGGUUCAAACGAUAAGAUCUUCGUAGAAUAUGUAGGAUCCAAUAUGGGCAUCCAGGUCCCGCUAUUGGAUAUUGACCGAGGAGUCUCUCGGGUCAUGUCUACAUAGUUCUCGAACCCGCAGGGUCUGCACACUUAAGGUUCGACGUUGUUUUAUGCGUAUUUGAGUUAUAUGGUUGGUUACCGAAUGUUGUUCGGAGUCCCGGAUGAGAUCACCGACGUCACGAGGGUUUCCGGAAUGGUCCGGAAACGAAGAUUGAUAUAUAGGAUGACCUCAUUUGAUUACCGGAAGGUUUUCGGAGUUACCGGGAAUGUACCGGGAAUGACGAAUGGGUUCCGGGAGUUCACCGGAGGGGGGCAACCCACUCCGGGGAAGACCAUAGGCAUUUGGGGGGGUCACACCAGCCCUUAGUGGGCUGGUGGGACAGCCCACCAAUCCCCUAUGCGCCAAGAGAGAAAAAUCAAAGGAAAGAAAAAAAAAAGAGGAAGAAGUGGGAAGGGGGAAGGACUCCCUCCCACCAAACCAAGUAGGACUCGGUUUGGGGGGGGGGGGAGAGUCCUCCCCCCUGGCUCGGCCGACCCCUUGGGGAUCCCUUGGACCCCAAGGCAAGGUCCCCCUCCCUCCUCCUAUAUAUAUGGGGCUUUUAGGGCAGAUUUGAGACGACUUUCUCAAGGCUGCCCGACCACAUACCUCCAUAGUUUUUCCUCUAGAUCGCGUUUCUGCGGAGCUCGGGCGGAGCCCUGCUGAGACGAGAUCAUCACCAACCUCCGGAGCGCCGUCACGCUGCCGGAGAACUCUUCUACCUCUCCAUCUCUCUUGGUGGAUUAAGAAGGCCGAGAUCAUCGUCGAGCUGUACGUGUGCUGAACGCGGAGGUGCCGUCCGUUCGGUACUAGAUCGUGGGACUGAUCGCGGGAUUGUUCGCGGGGCGGAUCGAGGGACGUGAGGACGUUCCACUACAUCAACCGCGUUCUCUAACGCUUCUGCUGUACGAUCUACAAGGGUACGUAGAUCACUCAUCCCCUCUCGUAGAUGGACAUCACCAUGAUAGGUCUUCGUGCGCGUAGGAAAAAUUUUGUUUCCCAUGCGACGUUCCCCAACACUCCAUUCAUCUAACGAGCUGAUAUCAAGCAACCGCUUCUCACUGGCAAGUUUGAAAUCAAAGUUGAUCUCUUUGAUUGCCCAAUAAGCUUUGUGUUUCAGCUCAAGAGGUAAAUGACAGGCCUUACCGUAAACCAUUUUAUACAGUGACAUGCCCAUAAUAUUCUUAUAAGUAGUCCUAUAAGCCCAUAGUGCAUCGUCAAGUUUGCUAGACUAGUUCUUUCGAGAUCUAUUGACGGUCUUUUGUAGGAUCAACUUGAUCUCCCUAUUACUCAACUCCACUUGACCACUAGACUGAGGAUGAUAAGGAGAUGCAACUCUAUGGUUGACAUCAUACUUAGCUAGCAUCUUGCGGAAAACACCAUGAAUGAAGUGUGAACCGCCAUCAGUCAUCAGAUAUCUAGGGACUCCAAAUCUUGGGAAUAUGACUUCUUUAAGCAUCUUAAUAGAGGUGUGGUGAUCAGUAUUUUUAGUGGGGAUAGCUUCUACCCACUUAGUGACGUAAUCCACAACAACUAAGAUGUGAGUGUACCCAUUGGAACUCAGGAAGGGUCCCAUAUAAUCAAAGCCCCAGGCAUCAAAUGGUUCAAUGACAAGUGAAUAGUUCAUAGGUAUUUCCUCAUGCUUACUGAUAUUCCCUAUCCUUUGGCAUUCGUCACAAGACAAGACAAACUUACGAGCAUGCUUGAAGAGAGUGGGCCAAUAGAAACCUGAUUGCAAUACCUUAUGGCCAGUUCUAUCUCCAGCAUGGUGUCCUUCGUAGGCUUCGGAAUGACACUUCUGCAAGAUCUGUCCCUGUUCAUGUUCAGGCACACAACGUCUAAUAACACCAUCUACUCCUUCCUUAUAAAGGUGAGGAUCAUCCCAAAAGUAGUGUCUCAAAUCAAAGAAGAAUAUCUUCUUUUGCUGAUAGGUGAAACUGGGUGGUAUGUAUUUGGCUACGAUAUAAUUUGCAUAAUCGGCAUACCACGAUGCACUAUGUGAAGUGUGGAUGACAUUUAAUUGCUCAUCAGGAAAGCUGUCGUCAAUAGGUAGUGGGUCAUCAAGGACAUUCUCUAGCCUAGGCAAGUUAUCUGCUAUAGGGUUAUCAGCACCCUUUCGGUCAACGACGUGCAAAUCAAAUUCCUGUAGCAGGAGAACCCAUCUGGUCAGCCUAGGUUUAGCGUCCUUCUUCUCCAUGAGGUACUUAAUAGAAGCAUGAUGAGAGUGAAUAGUGACGUUGGAGUCAACUAUGUAAGAUCUGAACUUUUCACAUGCAAACACGACUACUAAAAAUUCCUUCUCCGUAGUGGCAUAGUUUCUUUGGGCACUGUCUAGAGUUUUACUAGCGUAGUGAAUAACAUUCAACUUCUUGUCAACUCUUUGUCCUAGACCAGCACCAACAGCAUAAUCACUAGCGUCGCACAUGAUUUCAAAGGGCAAGUUCCAGUCAGGUGGUUGAACAAUAGGUGCGGUUAUCAAAGCCUUCUUAAGUAUUUCGAAAGCUUCCUCACAAUCCUCAUCAAAAACAAAAGGAACAUCCUUCUGCAAGAGGUUGGUAAGAGGCCUAGAAAUCUUAGAGAAGUCUUUAAUGAACCUUUUAUAGAAACCAACAUGACCUAGGAAACUUCGUAUACCUCUGAUAUCUGUGGGGCAAGGCAUUUUCUCAAUUGCAUCAACCUUAGCCUUAUCAACUUCAAUGCCUCUUUCAGAGAUUUUGUGUCCUAAGACGAUACCUUCAUUAACCAAAAAGUGGCACUUCUCCCAAUUCAAGACGAGGUUGGUUUCUUCGCAUCUCUGUAAGACUCGAUCAAGGUUGCUGAGGCAAUCAUCAAAGGAAGGCCCGUAAACGGAGAAGUCAUCCAUGAAAACCUCAACGAUCUUUUCACGAAAGUCAGAGAAUAUAGCCAUCAUACAUCUUUGGAAGGUGGCAUGUGCAUUACAUAAGCCAAAAGGCAUACGUCUAUAGGCAAAGGUACUGAAAGGGCAGGUGAAAGUGGUUUUCUCUUGAUCAGAUUGUGCAACAGGUAUCUGCGAGAAACCUGAAUAACCGUCUAGAAAGCAGAAGUGAGUGUGCUUUGAUAGCAUUUCUAGCAUUUGGUCGAUGAACGGCAAAGGAUAAUGAUCUUUCCUGGUUGCCUUGUUCAGUUUCCGGAAGUUUAUCACCAUUCUAUAGCCGGUAAUAAUCCUUUCUGGGAUUAGUUCAUCCUUAUCAUUAGGAACGACGGUGAUACCUCCCUUCUUAGGUACGCAAUGUACUGGACUUACCCAAUCACUAUGAGCAACAGGAUAAAUGAUUCCUGCUUCCAGAAGUUUUAAUAUUUCUUUUCUAACGACCUCUUUCAUCUUAGGAUUUAAUCUCCUUUGAUUAUCAGCAACUGGUUUAAAGUCAGGAUCGGUUUUAAUCUUGUGCUGACAUAGGGUAGGACUAAUACCCUUAAGAUCAUCAAGAGUAUAUCCAAUAGCAGCGCGGUGCUUCCUCAGAGUUGUUAGUAACUUCUUCUCUUCGCGCUCUGAGAGGAGGGCACUAAUAAUGACAGGAUAUAUCUCCUUCUCAUCAAGAUAGGCAUACUUAAGAGUAUCCGUCAACUGUUUAAGCUCGAACACAAGAUCACCCUUUGGUGGGGGAGGAUCCCCAAGCAGUUCAACAGGCAGAUUAUUCUUGAGAAUAGGAUAUUGUUCUAAGAUAAUUUUAGCUAUCUCAUCUCUCUCCUCCAUAUGCACAUCAUUUUCAUGCUCAAGUAGAUAUUGCUCUAAAGGAUCCGUAGGAGGUACGGCAAUAGAGGCAAGAGCAAUGAUUUGAUCCCUACCAGACGACUCUCUUUCAUGGGUUUGUCUUUCAAAUUGGAGAAGUUAAAUUCGUGAGACACACCCUCAAAACUUACUGUGACAGUCUGCUUAAUGCAAUCAAUGUGAGCGUUGACAGUGUUGAGAAAGGGUCUACCAAAUAUGAUGGGACAAAAGCUAUCUUGUGCAGUACCAAGGACGAGGAAAUCAGUAGGAUACUUCGUCUUACCACACAGGACUUCUACGUCUCUCACAAUUCCCAAAGGGCAGAUAGUGUCUCUAUUAGCUAGCGUAAUAGUGACAUCAAUGGGUUCUAACUCAUCAGGUGCAAUCUCAUCUUUCAUUUCAUCAUAUAGAGAACGGGGUAUUGCACUAAAACUAGCUCCCAUAUCACAUAAACCAUGGUAACAGUGAUCUCCUAUCUUAACAGAAACAACGGGCAGGCCAACUACAGGUCUGGCGCGCCCAAGAUGCGACCCUAUCCUCAAUUUGGCACGAAGGCCUCGUCAGGGAUAGAAGCGCAUCUCGUCGUGUCGCAAGAAUGGAUAUCGUCACAAGUACAUGUACUGAAAAGAAGAGUUAUAUAUACAGAGUUGGCUUACACUCGCCACAAGCUACAUCAGAGUCACAUCAGUACAUUACAUAAUCAUCAAGAGUAAGAGCAGGGCCCGACUAUGGACGAAAACAAACGAGAAAAAUAAGAACGACGUCCAUCCUUUCUAUCCCAGGCUGCCGGCCUGGAACCCACCCUAGAUCGAUGAAGAAGAAGAAGAAGAAGCAACUCCAAAUGAACAAUCAACGCGCUCACGUCAAGUAACCUUUACCUGUACCUGCAACUGGUGUUGUAGUAACCUGUGAGCCACAGGGGACUCAGCAAUCUCAUUUCCAGAGGUAUCAAGACUAGCAAAGCUUAAUGGGUGAGGUAUGGUUAAGUGGUGAGGUUGCAGCAGCGACUAAGCAUAUAUUUGGUGGCUAACUUACGAGUACCAGAAAUAAGAGGGGGAAGAUCUACGCAUAACGGACGUGAACUACUGAUGAUCAAAUGAAUGAUCCUGAACACCUACCUACGUCAGACAUAACCCCACCGUGUCCUCGAUCGGAGAAGGAACUCACGAAAGAGACGAUCACGGUUACGCACACAGUUGGCAUAUUUUUAAUUAAUUAACUUCAAGUUAUCUAGAACCAGUGUUAAACAAGGUUUCCAUGUUGCCACAUAACCGCGGCCACGGCUUUCCGAAAGGUUUAACCCUGCAGGGGUGCUCCAACUAGUCCAUCACAAAUUACCACAAGCCGCAUAGAAAUCCUCAAUCACGAAGCUCGCGAUCUCGUCGGAUUCCCUAGUGGAAAACCUCAACUCUGAGAUUACCCAAAGCAUCACCGGAAUCCCGAUGCACAAGAUAUCUCGUCAAAGGUAAAACUAAUCCAGCAAGGCCACCCGACGUGUCGACGAUCCCGAUAGGAGUCGCGUACCUCGUUCUCAGGACACGACGGAUGAGCAAUGGUUACCACACCAAACGCCGAGUUGCCCCGGGUAGCGUUAAUAAGCUGCUCUGUUUUGGACCAACACACAUGAGGAGCACUGGCCCAGGGGUUGAUUAAAAUAGUCCGCGGGUGCCGGCGGGUCCCUAUGCAAUUUUAUUAGGUGAUUAGGAAAAUGUAGUACCAAUGUUGGGCCUUGCCAGACCAGCUUUAAUCUAAAACGAAUUAUCAAGGGGGUCCCCAUAACAACCCCGAUCGUGUUAGGAGCGCUCAUUUAUGGAACAUAACACCGGUAGCCGGAAACUAAGGGGGCAAAGGUGGAACAAAACACCAGGCUAGAAAGGCCGAGCCUUCCACCUUUUACCAAGUAUAUAGGUGCAAUAAAUUAAAUAGCAUUUAAAUAUGGUGGUAUAACAAGGAACCCAUGUUUUCACAUGGAAGAAACUACAGCUGCAACUAGCAACGCUAACACAGGGUCAAGCAAGCAGUAACAUAGCCAAUCAUUGGUUUGCUAGGUUGAACAGGUUGAAGAUUAAGAUGGCAUUGUUGAGAGGCUGAUAUUUAACAAGUGGUAGGCAACGAGACAUAAUCGAUAGCAUCGAAAUAACUAGCAUGGCAAUGAUACUAAUGGUAUCUGGGGACAUGAUCAUCUUGCCUGAGAUCCCGCUUGGAAGAAGAAUGCCUCCGUGAAGCAGACGAACCGAUGUAGUCGAACGGGUCCUCACAAUCCGGCACGCUGCGGAACUCUAGCGAGACGAAGCCAACCGGAAACACAAAUCAACACACGAAAUUCACCACACGAUGCACAACACAUAUGAUGCAUGAGCAGCUGAAUAUAUGCAAGUCACGGCAUGAAAAUUCACACAAUCAAACACUACACAUUAAGUGAAGUUCAAUAUGCAACGAGUUACAAAUUGACGAAACUCCACGUUAAUUUAUUUAGUUCUAUCCCAAUUAAAUACACGGCAAUAUUAAAUGUGGUUAAACAUGGCAAGAGGUGAAGCGUGAUUAAUCUACCUAUCUAGGCAUUUUAAAUGAGGUCGGAUAUGACAUAUAGCAUCUCCGAGAUGACCUCACUUGUUAAUUUACGAUUCUGUCCAGAUCUGAACUAAUGCAUUUAAUUGGUUGUUAAACAGCAAAACAAAUAGGUUCACAUGAUUCUACGCGUCAUGGCAAGCAAUCUACACAUAAAGAACAUCUCCAACGGAGCUACGGGUCAAAAGUUACAAGCAUCGCAAGAUAUGAUGGCAUGAAUGCAAUAUGUGUGCAACGACGGCUACGAGCACUUCAAAACAUACAAACAGCAAGAGAAAAUGAAACUACACAAGAUCCUAAGCAAGUUUCAUGUAGGACACGAUCAAAUCAGAGCUACGGUUCAACAACUACGAGCAAAACAAGAAAUCUUCACAAUCUGCCAAAAUCAGCCACAUGGCAUUUUAUACGCCUCACAACUUCGGCUACACAACUCCGAUAAGCUCAAGCAAGGCAUGGCAUGGAAGAGGACAAGAAUCACUACUACGAACAACUAACAACAACUAGCAUGGCAGCAAGGAGCACUAGGAAAAGAAGACACAAAAUGGCAUCUCACACACUAUUUCAGACUUAGUGAAAAUUACACCUCAUGAAAGUGCAGUUUUCGAUCUGAAGCAAUGUUGACAGCAGCAAAACCUAUAGCUACAGGAGUCCAAAUGGCAUGAAAAUUAACAGCAUGCUAGAGAAUCACAAGGGGUAGAACUAACUCCAUUGGACCAACCUCAAAAGAGCUACAGAUCACAAGAUGCAAGCAAGACAAGAUAGCAACAAAAUAUAACAGAUUCCAGACUUAGAAAUAUUUCAGCACGUCUAAAACAGCACUAUUUCUAGCAACUUGAGGGCUAUCGAAACACACCUAAACAUGCAUUUCUAUUGCAACCAAAAAUACCAGGGGCUAAUCAAAACAUCCAAGAUCAACUCUCUAGUUGACAACUCCGUCAAACGACGUACGGAAUAAAUCCUACGAAUUAAUCAAAAGGGCAACAUAGCAAAAUAUCUUGCGAACUAACUUGCUCUAAUGCUAAAAAUAAUUGCACAGAAAAAUCCAUGGGAUUUUGCUACCCCGAAAACAUAUAAAAUAUGUGGGGUUUGCAACACAAAAUAAUGCCACACAUUAAUGCGAGAAAAUAACCUAUAUACGGGAAAAUAAACUACCGGCAAUCCAUACACGCAAAAAUACAAAUGACAGGUCUAAAAAACAUGAUAAAAUGGUCCCUAAAAAAUAGACAUUUUAUCUACGUCAUACGGGCAACCCGGUCUUGCACGAAAAAUAAAUACAGGUCGAAACCUAUUAGGACAGCACACUUAUCUAGGCAAACAGCAUGCUAAACAACGUCAAACAAAUGUGCAAGUUUUAAAUUCGGAUUCUACGCGAAAAGUUACACGAGAUACAUAUCUAAAUCUUCGCGAUCCGACUUACGGAUAAUAUUCUGCGGGCAUUCUAAUAUAGUCUGAUUACUGGAAUUAAUUAAAUUCCUAAAAUUCCUAAAUGGGCCGAACAGGUGGGCGCGAGGUAACAGGUCAGUGCAUGGGCGUAGAAUAGUGGCUUGGGGGGUGCUCACCUCGGGCCUUGGCCCGGCUGGAGGAGCAGGCCGAGGGGCGCGCUGGGCCUGGCUCGGGCGCUGGCCAGGCGCUAGCUGGGCCGCGACGCUCCUGGGCCUGGGGCGACGCAGCUGGACGAAGGGGGCCUGGGGCGCGGGGAAGAGUGGCUGGGCCUCGGGGGCGCUCUGGGCCGAUGCGGGGCCCACGGGGCGGCGCUCUGGGUCUCCUCGUCGCCCUCCUCUGGCCUACCGCACGAGGCAUGGCGGCGCCGACCUGGAACCGCCGGAGGGCGCUGACCACAGGGCGGAGACGGUCGGGACGGGGCCGGGGUCGGCCGGAUCUGGCCGGCCUUCGCCAGAUCUGGCCGCCGGCGGGGGCGAGGCAGCAAGGGCGGCGGUGCUGGCGGGUCAAGGCAGCAAGGGCUCGGCCGACAGGGAGAGCGCGGCGCUCCGGCGGCUGCCGAUGGCCGGCGGGAGGCGGCGGGACCGAGUGUAGCAGGAGCUGCGAGGCUCCCCGGCGAGGGGCUGGCCGGCGGCGCAGGAGGCUCCGGUCAAGGAGGUGCGGCGGCUCCCGGGAGGAGGAGGCACGGGCAGGGAGGUCGAACGGGGCGGCGGCGUGAUGCGGGCUCGGGUGGGCUCCAGAUGGGCCUGGCAUGCCCACGGCGGCUGGGGCUGGGGAGAGAGAGGAGAGGUUGUGGCGGCUAGGGUUAGGUUUAGGUGGGGCGCGGAAAACAAGGCAGGUUAGGGAUGGGUGUCCGAAAAUUAGAAGGGGUCUAUAUAUAGACAAACGGGGGGGCUCGGUUAACCGGAAUCGCGCUCCGGAUCCAACCGCGGGGUCGGAUUCGGACGAUUCCGCACGAGGGAAUGGGUACGCGGCCGUGUAGAGGGGAUAUCCGGAGAUGAGAGGGAGAACGGGCGAUGCGGCACGAAUUUUAAAAACACCGACAGACGUCCGACGGUGGACCGAAUACGGUGCCGCUACGGUCGACCGUUCGGGUACCAGACGGACUCCGAUCGCGACGAAAUUCGACAAGCGGCCUAGCUAUAACUAAUCACGACCGCGUGCCAAGUCUCACCUUGAUCAGAGAAAGUUUUAACCGCGCUUUUAAAACAGGGUUUCGACGGUGCCGCGGGCGUGUGCGAGUGCGGUCGGGCUCAGAACGGACGACGACGCGAACCGGCAACUAACAACGGAUGCAAGUUUUGAAAACUGGCGGCAACGGAGAUGCCGAUGCGAUGCAGAUGAUGCGCAUGAUGCGAUGAUGAUGCGACAAAUAACAUAAAUAACACGACGAAAACGGAAAGGAAAGGGAAUCUUCUGGAACGUCGGCAUCGGGCUGUCACAACUCUCCUACACUACAAGAAGAUCUCGCCCCGAGAUCCAAGAAUGAAAGGGGGAGAGGAUGAGAAAGAACAAGAGGUAAAACUUAGUCGCUUCUUGACAAACGAGUGAAACCAACGAUCCUUGAAGGUUGCAAGGCAAUGAGAAAAGAUAUGAGAGGAAGCAAGAAUUCACGGAAAAUUUCGACAGCACUUCGGUAGGAAAAUGGGACAAAAAAUUCGAUAAGAUGGUAGAAAUAGACAAUAUACAUAACAAACAACUAAAUAGAACAAGGGAACACCAUGAUCUUGAUAGAACAACACAAUAUAACCAAAAGAGCAACAUCACAAUGCCUCCGGAACAAUAGAAUAGGAACUAGCUCAAGCGAAAGAAGAGAAUGAAGAAAGAAAUGACAACUAUCAACUCCAAUGAACUUGGCAAGCAUGCUUGCAAGAAAAAUUGAACGAAGUUGUUGGAAAAACAAUAACGAAAAGAACAAGAUAGUAGUGGGCUUAUGGAAAUCAUCUCAACAAAUAUGAGGUGACAACCAACCACUAAAAGAAAGAAGGAUAGAUUGGGAGAAACAAGAUAUGAACAAUUCUUACACCAAGAGGAUGCAUUGAGAACUUAGAUUAAAGACAAGCACCAUGAUAGUACAAUCCCUAGGAAAAGCUUUAGGUGAAAUCCAACCCAAGAUAGCUCAAAGGAGAAAUCAUGGGUUGAAAUAUCUCAUGAUCAUAGAAUUGGUGGGUUUAAUUAUCUCAUUCUUGAAAGGAAAAUUCUCUGAGGCUCCUACACUAACAAGAAGGCUAUAAUACCACCUCAAAGGAAAAGGAAUAACAAAUGCACUUGGGAAUGCAAGAGAACGGAUACUUGAGGAAAGAAUUGAUAUGAUGAUGAACCACCAUGAAGGACCUCCGUAAGAAUGAUGCAACGAUAAGAAGGUAGAAAAGGAUAAGAUUAUGACCUUGCCAAGAUUUAGAUGAAGCCUCACAGAGAGAAACUUGAUAGAACUUGGAACUCCGGAAAGAAAUAUAGGCACUUGAGAAAAGAAUUUAUAUCAUGAGUCCUCCGGAAGAAGAAUUGAAAUCUCUUGGAAGGAGGAAGGACAAUAAUAAGAAUUAUGUUAUGCUCAUCCUUCAUCAAGUUUAAUUGAUGACAAGCAACGGAUUUAGCAUACAACUUAUUCUUGUAGAAAAGAUUGAGGAGAGAUAUGAGCACAAACUAGAAGAAGUCUUGAAGGAGACACCGGUGAGAAUUUAAAUGAAUGAGGCAACCAUGAAUGACUCAAGAAAGAUGAGAAAGAUGAGAUCAUGAACCACCUAACAGAAAACUUGAAUAAGGCACCGGAAUAAUCGAGAGACGAACGAAGAGACAACAAUUGAGAAGAAUUGAGGAUGAAAGCCGAAAGCUGAGAACGAAGAAUCUUCUAAAAUGAUGGCCUUCGGAGGAACGAGAAAUAAAAACGACUCAGAGAAGCACCGGAUAGCACGAAAGGGAUUACCCACGAUUGGGAAUAAUUCAAGAUGAUGCCAGAAGGCUGAAACGAUGAAUCAUGAAGAUAAUGGGCCAAGAUUGAGAGAAACACUCCUUCAAAUGCAAGCUGAGAAUGAUGACGAUAACAACGCCAAGAAUUACUAAGACACUCCGGAAUAAAGAAGAAUGAAAGGUUGAGCCAAAGAAUGAAUUAAUUCAAAUAGAACUUGAAGAAGUAAUAUGACUGAUGGAAAUCAUACUUACGUCAUAGUUGAAAGAUUUAAUGAUCUCCGGGAAAAGAUUAAAAAUGCCAGGAAAGAUCCUGGGAAAGAACCAGUGGGUUAUGGGCCCACUCAAAGAAACCACCGUUAGAAAAGAUUGCUAGACCGAGAGAUAUUGCACCGGUAUGAAGAGAACUAGAUGAGGUUAGCACCUCGAAAUAAUUAAAGAAUUGAGAACAAGAAUUCUGAGAUAACUUCAACGCUCCGGAUAGAAUAGAGAGAAAUAACAACAAGAAAAUAGACUAAUAAAAAUUUCCAACAUAGGAAAUAAUUACAAGGAUGAAAAGGAUAUGAUGAACACAGACAACUGAAUUGAAUUCACCGGUAAGGAUGACAAAAAUGAACAAAGAGGAACACGAAGCUCCUGAGAAUCUUCACAAUGAAUCAUCGGCUACGAAAGGAAGAAGAGAUAGCGGAAGCACAAUGAAAUGAAUGCGCUUGGAUGAAAUCCAAUCACCGAAGAAAAAGGGCGGGAGGGCGGGAAAAAAACAAAGACAACUUGGGACAGAUGAGAUGAACUCCGGAUGGAAUAAAAGAAUGCUAUCGACAAUCCACUUGAGGAGAAGCACACCGGUUGGAAAAGAAAAAACAUGACGACUCCGGUCGACAAGAAUUGAUAAGACAACUGAUUAAGCAAAAGAAUUAGCAUUCACGUAAAAAUAUGAGAACACAGAUUAGGAAAGAUCUGAAAUCACCACUUGACAUCGAAGCAACACAAAUUACCAUAUUCAACAAAACAAAGGGUGAGGCUUAUGAAACAAGCCAGAACAAACUCAUGAGAAAGAUUUCGUCCGAUAUUUUCAUGGACAGAUCGCACGGGCUCGAUUUUACAGUAGCCAUCAAGUGCAAGGUAGUGCACCCGACAUACGAAGUAUCCCCGAGUCGUAGCAAGCUACAAGGACUCUUUAAGACACAACGUGUACCGCUGUAAGUCGACCGUGAACAAACGAAUCCACUAGAUGUCGAACCCCAACCUAACAACAUGCAUUUGUUGGAAGAUUGUCCUAUAAGCAACUACUUGAAUUCUCACCUAUGAACUCCCGAAAUAUCUGGUCAUGUAAUCUGGUACACGGAUACAAGGAGUAAUAUCACACAACUCCUAUACUAACCCGUCACUUGUAUCACAUCCGUCAACACACGACCAGAAUCUCGGACCUUCAUCUACUACAGACCCUCGUGAUCACAACGAUACAGAGUAUGGCAGUACUCCCGAACAAUCUGCACCAGUACCGGGGAUAUCGGGGUUAUCUCGCCACUACUAGUAUUGAAGCAAUUACGAACAUCCUUCGUUCUGAGAUACUAAGAAAUCUGAAUGAUAACGAUGUGCUGAAGAAUCCCCUGGAGCUCAACUCCCCGGAAGAAGAUCAAGUCAGACAGGAGGCACCAAGACAGAACUCCGUCACAUCGGCAUCAUAUAGAUUCCAAAAAUAUCUGUGUGAUCCUAAAAAAAAAUUUGAGUGAGAAGAGGAGUAGAAUAAAUUAUUACGUCAAGAUUCCUCACGAGAGCAUAGAAGAGGAGAAAAAAGAAUCCUACUCUCCGAUAUAUAACUAGACUCAAAGUAUUUUUACUAGACUCGACUCGGUCAAAUUUGAUUAAUGAAGGGGGCUCCUAGGUCGGUACUGGUCUGAUACCAACUUGUCACGCCCAAGAUGCGACCCUAUCCUCAAUUUGGCACGAAGGCCUCGUCAGGGAUAGAAGCGCAUCUCGUCGUGUCGCAAGAAUGGAUAUCGUCACAAGUACAUGUACUGAAAAGAAGAGUUAUAUAUACAGAGUUGGCUUACACUCGCCACAAGCUACAUCAGAAUCACAUCAGUACAUUACAUAAUCAUCAAGAGUAAGAGCAGGGUCCGACUACGGACGAAAACAAACGAGAAAAAUAAGAACGACGUCCAUCCUUGCUAUCCCAGGCUGCCGGCCUGGAACCCACCCUAGAUCGAUGAUGAAGAAGAAGAAGAAGCAACUCCAAAUGAACAAUCAACGCGCUCGCGUCAAGUAACCUUUACCUGUACCUGCAACUGGUGUUGUAGUAACCUGUGAGCCACAGGGGACUCAGCAAUCUCAUUUCCAAAGGUAUCAAGACUAGCAAAGCUUAAUGGGUGAGGUAUGGUUAAGUAGUGAGGUUGCAACAGCGACUAAGCAUAUAUUUGGUGGCUAACUUACGAGUACCAGAAAUAAGAGGGGGAAGAUCUACGCAUAACGGACGUGAACUACUGAUGAUCAAAUGAAUGAUCCUGAACACCUACCUACGUCAGACAUAACCCCACCGUGUCCUCGAUCGGAGAGGGAACUCACGAAAGAGACAAUCACGGUUACGCACACAGUUGGCAUAUUUUUAAUUAAUUAACUUCAAGUUAUCUAGAACCAGUGUUAAACAAAGUUUCCACAUUGCCACAUAACCGCGGCCACGGCUUUCCGAAAGGUUUAACCCUGUAGGGGUGCUCCAACUAGUCCAUCACAAAUUACCACAAGCCGCAUAGAAAUCCUCAAUCACGAAGCUCGCGAUCUUGUCGGAUUCCCUAGUGGAAAACCUCAACUCUGAGAUUACCCAAAGCAUCACCGAAUCCCGAUGCACAAGAUAUCUCGUCAAAGGUAAAACUAAUCCAGCAAGGCCGCCCGACGUGUCGACGAUCCUGAUAGGAGUCGCGUACCUCGUUCUCAGGACACGACGGAUGAGCGAUGGUUACCACGCCAAACGCCGAGUUGCCCCGGGUAGCGUUAAUAAGCUGCUCUGUUUUGGACCAACACUCAUGAGGAGCACUGGCCUGGGGGUUCAUUAAAAUAGUCCGCGGGUGCCGGCGGGUCCCCAUGAAAUUUUAUUAGGUGAUUAGGAAAAUGUAGUACCAAUGUUGGGCCUUGCCAGACCAGCUUUAAUCUAAAACGAAUUAUCAAGGGGGUCCCCAUAACAACCCCGAUCGUGUUAGGAGCGCUCAUUUAUGAAACAUAACACCGGUAGCCGGACACUAAGGAGGCAAAGGUGGAACAAAACACCAGGCUAGAAAGGCCUAGCCUUCCACCUUUUACCAAGUAUAUAGGUGUAAUAAAUUAAAUAGCAUUUAAAUAUGGUGGUAUAACAAGGAACCCAUGUUUUCACAUGGAAGCAACGGCACCUGCAACUAGCAACGCUAACACAGGGUCAAGCAAGGAGUAACAUAGCCAAUCAUUGGUUUGCUAGGUUGAACAGGUUGAAGGUUAACAUGACAUUGUUGAGAGGCUGAUAUUUAACAAGUGGUAGGCAACGAGACAUAAUCGAUAGCAUCGAAAUAACUAGCAUGGCAAUGAUAGUAAUGGUAUCUGGGGAAAUGAUCAUCUUGCCUGAGAUCCCGCUUGGAAGAAGAAUGCCUCCGUGAAGCAGACGAACCGAUGUAGUCGAACGGGUCCUCACAAUCCGGCACGCUGUGGAACUCUAGCGAGACGAAGCCAACCGGAAACACAAAUCAACACACGAAAUUCACCACACGAUGCACAACACAUAUGAUGCAUGAGCAGCUGAAUAUAUGCAAGUCACGGCAUGACAAUUCACACAAUCAAACACUACAGAUUAAGUGAAGUUCAAUAUGCAACGAGUUACAAAUUGACGAAACUCCACGUUAAUUUAUUUAGUUCUAUCCCGAUUAAAUACACGGCAAUAUUAAAUGUGGUUAAACAUGGCAAGAGGUGAAGCGCGAUUAAUCUACCAUCUAGGCAUUUUAAAUGAGGUCGGAUAUGACAUAUAGCAUCUCCGAGAUGACCUCACAUGUUAAUUUACGAUUCUGUCCAGAUCUGAACUAAUGCAUUUAAUUGGUUUUUAAACAGCAAAACAAACAGGUUCACGUGAUUCUACGCGUCAUGGCAAGCAAUCUACACAUAAAGAACAUCUCCAACGGAGCUACGGGUCAAAAGUUACAAGCAUCGCAAGAUAUGAUGGCAUGAAUGCAAUAUGUGUGCAACGACGGCUACGAGCACUUCAAAACAUAUAAACAGCAAGAGAAAAUGAAACUACACAAGAUCUUAAGCAAGUUUCAUGUAGGACACGAUCAAAUCGGAGUUACGGUUCAACAACUACGAGCAAAACAAGAAAUCUUCACAAUCUGUCAAAAUCAGCCACACGGCAUUUUAUACGCCUCACAACUUCGGCUACACAACUCCGAUAAGCUCAAGAAAGGCAUGGCACGGAAGAGGGCAAGAAGCACUACUACGAACAGCUAACAACAACUAGCAUGGCAGCAAGGAGCACUAGGAAAAGAAUACACAAAAUGGCAUCUCACACACUAUUUCAGACUUGGUGAAAAUUACACCUCAUGAAAGUGCAGUUUUCGAUCUGAAGCAAUGUUGACAGCAGCAAAACCUAUAGCUACAGGACGCCAAAUGGCAUGAAAAUUAACAGCAUGCUAUAGAAUCACAAGGGGUACAACUAACUCCAUUGGACCAAUCUCAAACGAGCUACAGAUCACAAGAUGCAAGCAAGACAAGACAGCAACAAAAUAUAACAAAUUCCAGACUUAGAAAUAUUUCAGCACGUCUAAAACAGCACUAUUUCUAGCAACUUGAGGGCUAUCGAAACACACCUAAACAUGCAUUUCUAUUGCAACCAAAAAUACCAGGGGCUAAACAAAACAUCCAAGAUCAACUCUCUAGUUGACAACUCCGUCAAACGACGUAUGGAAUAAAUCCUACGAAUUAAUCAAAAGGGCAACAUAGCAAAAUAUCUUGCGAACUAACUUGCUCUAAUGCUAAAACUAAUUGCACAGAAAAAUCCAUGGGAUUUUGCUACCCCGAAAACAUAUAAAAUAUGUGGGGUUUUCAACACAAAAUAAUGCCACACAUUAAUGCGAGAAAAUAACCUAUAUACGGGAAAAUAAACUACCGGCAAUCCAUACACGCAAAAAUACAAAUGACAGGUCUAAAAAACAUGAUAAAAUGGUCCCUAAAACAUAGACAUUUUAUCUACGGCAUACGGGCAACCCGGUCUUGCACGAAAAAUAAAUACGGGUCGAAACUUAUUAGGACAGCACACUUAUCUAGGCAAACAGCACGCUAAACAACGUCAAACAAAUGUGCAAGUUUUAAAUUCGGAUUCUACGCGAAAAGUUACACGAGAUACAUAUCUAAAUCUUCGUAAUCCGACUUACGGAUAAUAUUCUGCGGGCAUUCUAAUAUAGUCUGAUUACUGGAAUUAAUUAAAUUCCUAAAAUUCCUAAAUGGGCCGAACAGGUGGGCGCGAGGUAACAGGUCAGUGCAUGGGCGUAGAAUAGUGGCUUGGGGGGUGCUCACCUCGGGCCUUGACCCGGCUGGAGGAGGCGGCUCGAGGAGCAGGCCGAGGGGCGCGCUGGGCCUGGCUCGGGCGCUGGCCAGGCGCUAGCUGGGCCGCGGCGCUCCUGGGCCUGGGGCGACACAGCUGGACGAAGGGGGCCUGGGGCGCGGGGAAGAGUGACUGGGCCUCGGGGGCGCUCUGGGCCGAGUCUCACCUUGAUCAGAGAAAGUUUUAAACGCGCUUUUAAAACAGGGUUUCGACGGUGCCGCGGGCGCGUGCGAGUGCGGUCGGGCUCAGAACGAACAACGACGCGAACCGGCAACUAACAACGGAUGCAAGUUUUGAAAACUGGCGGCAACGGAGAUGCCGAUGCGAUGCGCAUGAUGCGAUGAUGAUGCGACAAAUAACAUAAAUCACACGACGAAAACGGAAAGGAAAGGGAAUCUUCUAGAACGUCGGCAUCGGGCUGUCACAAGGUCCGUGUUUGUCUUUCGCGUGAGGUUUACCAAUUCUAGCGGAGUCCUCACAGAAUUUGAUAACAUGCCCAUCUAUGUCUUCGGCUAAGAGAUCUUUGAUAAUAGCAACACUAGGUAUCACAGUUGGUCCAAGUGGUCUAAUGUAACCCCUACGUAUCACAGUUGGAGCUUUAGAAUAAUCCUUUAUCCUAGCAGGGUAUGGUGGUUUCUCAGUGUAAGCACAAGGAACAACAGGAUCACUAAAAGCAAUGACUUUCUCCUCAACUAGAUUGGUUUUGGCUAUGUUGCUUUCUACAGGAGGAUGAUAUUUAAACCACUUCUCUUUGGGAAGAUCAACAUGAGCAGCAAAAGAUUCACAAAGAGAAGCUACUAUCUCAGAGUCAAGUCCAUACUUAGCGCUAAAAUCUCUAGAAGUGUUUGUCUCAACAAAAGAUUUAACGCAAUCAAACUGGAAAUUCAUACCUAACUCCUUACCUUCCUCCGGCUCCCAAUCUUCAGAGUUGCGUUUGAUUCUCUCCAAUAAAUUCCACUUGUGAUCAAUAUCCUUCUUCAUAAAAGAACCGGCACAAGAAGUGUCAAGCAUGGUACGAUCUUCAUGACAAAGCCGAGCAUAAAAGUUUUGAGUGAUGAUUUGCCUCGAGAGCUCAUGAUUGGGGCAUGAAUAUAGCAUUGAUUUAAGCCUCCCUCAAGCUUGAGCUAUGCUUUCCCUGUCAUGAGGCCAAAAGUUACAAAUAAAGUUCUGAUCACGAUGUACUAAAUGCAUAGGAUAGAACUUUUGAUGAAAUUCCAAUUUCAACCGAUUGUAGUCCCAUGAUCCAGUAUCAUCACAUAGCCUAUACCAUGUCAACGCCUUAUCCUUCAAAGAUAAAGGAAAGACUUUCUUCUUUACCUCAUCCUCGGGCAAACCUGCAAGCUUAAAUAAACCACAAACUUAAUCUACAUAGAUUAGAUGCAAGUGUGGAUGUGAAGAUCCAUCUCGUGUAAAAGGAUUAGCCAGCAGUUUCUAAAGCAUACCCGAAGGAAUUUCAUAAAAGAUAUUUUCAGUAGGUACCUCAGGUUGAGGAGCAACUCCUCGUGCUUCCGUUCAUGGUGAAGAUACCCCGAACAAACUCCUCAAAGGAACAAUUUCCAUAGUGACAAGUGACAAUAAAUUUCAGCAAAGUAUAAAAAUGUUUCCUUACCAAUUUCCACUUACCAAAGGCACUUCACUCCCCGGCAACGGCGCCAGAAAAGAGUCUUGAUGACCCACAAGUAUAGGGGAUCAAUCAUAGUCCUUUCGAUAAGUAAGAGUGUCGAACCCAACGAGGAGAAGAAGGCUCUGAUAAACGGAUUUCAGCAAGGUAAUAACUGCAAGCACUGAAAGUAGCGGUAACAAGUGAUUGUGUAGCGAGGUGAAACGUAGCAAGAAAAAAGUAACAAGUAACAAGUAGUAGCAACGGUGCAGCAAGUGGCCCAAUCCCUUUUGCAGCAAGGGACAAGCCUGAACAAAGUCUUAUAGGAGGAAAAACGCUCCCGAGGACACACGGGAAUUUCUAUCAUGCUAGUUUCAUCAUGUUCAUAUGAUUCGCAUUCGUUACUUUGAUAGUUUGAUAUGUAGGUGGACCGGCGCUUGGGUACUGCCCUUACUUGGACAAGCAUCCCACUUAUGAUUAACCUCUCUCGCAAGCAUCCGCAACUACAAAAGAAGAAUUAAGACAAAGUCUAACCAUAACAUUAAACUAGUGGAUCCACAUCAGUCCCUCACGAAGCAACGCAUAGACCGGGGUUUAAGCUUCUGUCCCUCCAGCAACCCCUCAUCUACAUACUACUUCCCAAUGCCUUCCUCUAGGCCCAAAUAUGGUGAAGUUUUAUGUAGUUGACGUUCACAUAACACCACUAGAGGAAAAGACAACAUACAACAUAUCAAAAUACCGAACGAAUAUCAAAUUCACAUGACUAUUAUUAACAUGACUUAUCCCAUGUCCUCAGGAACAAAAGUAACUACUCAAAAAACAUAAUCAUAAUCAUGAUCAAAGGUGUAAUGAAUAGCAUCAAGGAUCUGAACAUAAACUCUUCCACCAAGUAAUCCAACUAGCAUCAACUACAAAGAGUAAUCAACACUACUAGCAACCUUACAAGUACCAAUCGGAGUCAUGAGACGAAGAUUGGUUACAAGAGAUGAACUAGGGAUUCGAGAGGAGAUGGUGCUGAUGAAGAUGUUGAUGAACAUGCCUCCCCUCCGACAAGAGGAGUGUUGGUGAUGACGAUGGCGACGAUUUCCCCCUCCGGGAGGGAAGUUUCCCCGGCAGGAUCGUCCUGCCGGAGCUCUAGAUUGGAUCUGCUCAAGUUCCGCCUCGUGGCGGCGGCGAAACCACGAAAAAGAUCCCCUCUGAUAUUUUUCUGUACCAAGACGCUUCAUAUAGCAAAAGAGGGGGGCUAGUGGGCCGUCAGGGAGCCCACAAGCCCCCACUCCGCCACCAGGGGGUGGAGGUGUCACGGCUUGUGGCACCCUGGCAGCCCCCCUCCGGUAGUUCUUUCGCUCAGUAUUUUUUAUGUAAUCCCAAAAAAACCCACGUAACUUUUCAGGGCAUUUGGAGAUGUGCAGAAUAGUGGACUAGGAUUUGCUCCUUUUCCAGUCCAGAAUUCCAGCUUCCUGAAUUCUCCCUCUUCAAAUAAACCUUGCAAAAUAAGAGAGAAAAGGCAUAAAUAUGGUACCACAAGUAAUAUAACAGCCCAAAAAGCAAUAAAUAUCAACAUCAAAGCAUGACGCAACAUGGACGUAUUAGUGUCCCAGGGAGCCCACAAGCCUAGGAGGCGCGGCCCCCCUAGGCGUGGCUAGGGGACUUGUGGGGUCCCUGGUGCCCCCUGUCCUGAUUCUGAGGCUUCCCGAUCUUCUUCUGUUUCGGAAAAAAUCUUUUUGGAAGUUUCGUUCCGUUUGGACUCCGUUUAAAAUCCUCCUCUGAAAGGGGUCAAAAACAUGGAAAAAACAGGAACUGUCACUUGGCACUGAGUUAAUAAGUUAGUCCAAAAUAAGAUAUAAAAGGUAUACAAAACAUCCAAAGUUUGACAAGAUAAUAGCAUGAAACCAUCAAAAGUUAUAGAUACGUUGGAGACGUAUCAGGUUCCCCCUCAUGUGUUCUUCUAGGGUUCAUGCUGGGCUAGAUCCCCUUCAUGUGUUCUUCUAGGGUUCAUGGGGCUAGGGUUAGGGUUCAUGCUGCAGCACGAUAUGUCAGUUGUACUCGGGUUAGGGUUAGGGUUCAUGGGGUAAAUAUGUCAGUUGAAUAUAGAAUGACAUAGUUGUUUUGAUCUGCGUAGAGAAGCAAGUCGCAUUAGGCCGUGUGAUGGGUGGCGGUGGCUGGGUAGAUGCGGAUGCUAGAGCUACCAUUGUAAUGAGCUAAGUUGUAUGCUUCUUCUUUUGGUGAUGGUAUUUCCCUGCAAGGCCAGAUACCCAUCUAUUUAUUACAACUGUUAUGGUGUCUUCAAAGUUAAUACUACUAAGAGCUAGAGCUUGUGUUUUUCUUUGGAAACAGUCAGUGGUGAUGCUGAUGCUAGGUGUAGGUGAGCUAUUCAGACUUCAUUGUUGGUGUUUGGCUUGGCUUGGCUUGACUUGACUUGAGUAGUAGUGAUUCUAGGUGUAGGUGAGCUAUUCAGACUUCAUUGCUGGUGUUUGGCUUGGCUUGGCUUUAGUUGACUUGAGUAGUAGUGAUGAGUCUGGAUAUAGGUGGCUUGUUUUAAUUUUUUCUGAACAUAAUUUGUUGUUCAUUUGAAAUAACAUGGCAUAAUAUAUUCUGUAUGCUGUUUCGAUGAUGGGAAGAACAUUUAUCUUGCUGAAGCAUGCGAUUAAUUCUGCUGUGCUUUUUUUUCCUUCCAAAAAGAGGAUUAUCACGGGCCUCUGCAUCAAGCGAUGAACACUGUCAUAUAGUUGUGUUGUGCUGCAUGAAUGAAUGCGGAAUGAUUCGGUGGCAGUGAAAAUCAUGAUUGUAUAGACAACAUUUGGCUAGAGUCUUAACACAUAAAUUUUGAGUAGAAUCCUAUUAAUUUCUUGUUAGUGUGUCUUACUUGAGCGGUGCUUUAAGUGAAUGAUGUUGGGCAACCAGUUAAUGCAUAUGUUUGCCACCAUUAGGGAAUACAGUUGAGUAAUUACUUUGCUUAUAGAUGAUUGCAGGUACAUGGAUAAAAUUUCAAGUUAAAACAUAAAAGCAAUUGUUGUAAAUAGUUAAUGCAUUGCUUCACAUAUAUAGUUUUCUUCAACUAUCGGUUUAGUACAUUACUACCUCUUGUUUCACAUGUAUUAAUACUAAUACAUUGCUACACUUGUAUGUGCAUGCUGGUCCAAGUGCUUCAAUUUAGUUGCUUGCUUCAACUAUCAGUUUAGUACUGAUGCAUUAACUGUAUGUGCAUUGCUACACGUGUAUGUGCAUGUUGGUCCAAGUGUUUUACAUGUAUUAGUACUGAUGCAUUAACUACAUCACCAUAUUGUUGAUCCAACAAGUUUGCUUCACAUGUAUUACAUGUAUAUGCAUGCUCGUCUAAAUGAUUUCCUUUAUUGAUAUAAGUGCAUCAUUUUACUUUAUCCCUGUUGUAUCUGAUUGUUGUUUAUUCUAUUUUGCAAGCACCACCUCAAGAUCAUCCAUGGCAAGGAUGACAAGGUCAAACCCGAGGCAACCCAUUGGUGUGCAAGUUGCUCCUUGUGGUUAUACUGUCAGAUUUAUAAAAUGUGUCUUAAUAUGCUAAGUGAAAUGUAAUAUGCUAAGUAAAAUAUCUUGGAGGGUGGUGAUGUAAAAUAUUGUCAGAUUUUAUUAUGCAAAUGUAUUGCUGUAAUCUGAAUUAGCUGGCUUAGCUGUGUGUGUGUGUUGGUACUCUUCCUUAGCUGAAUAAGUAUUAAAUGAUAAUAAAAUAUCAUAAGAUAUGUUUGGCUGUCUAUCUAUGCAUUCCAACAAUUAACCUAAUAAUUAUGUUUCCUUUGCCUUGCAAAGAUGAGCAUCCUCUCACCGAGUACGAGAAGGUUAGGGCUAGAAAUAUGAUGAGGAACAAUCGGAUAUUCGAGUUCCUUGGCAUUGGUGCAAUAGCGUCAAUGAUUAGGAAAACAAAUGAUGUACAAGAAGGUAGAACUAAUGAGGUUCAAGAAGGUAGUGGAGUUAUCAAUGAUGACCUAGAGUACAAUCCUGAGGAUGAAGUUGUAGUGCACAAGAAUGUUAAGGUGCAAACUCUCUCUUGCUUGGAGGGUUCGGGUUCUUGUAUGCUCUCUGUUUCCUUGUCCUCACAUAUUUAUCUUGUGAUCUAUUGUUUAUUCUGUGUUAUUUAUAUAAGGCACCGAAGGAAUCUAGAACAAAGAGGCCUGGUGUUAAGAAGACAGCCAGCAAGAAGAGGAAGAGCUGAGAAGCAUCUGCUGCAAUGCAUCCAGGAAGGGUGAUGGCCCCACCUCCAGGACAAACAAAGAGGAUCCUGGAACCUGAUGAACCUGAUAGAGUCACAAGGCAGAAAGCAACUAUGGCGGCUGUGACGGACCAUCAGGAAAGUCCGCUGGGCAUGGACUUUGAGAGCUCGGUGGAAAUGUCUGAUGAGUUUUCGCCCAUGGAUGAAGAAACCACUCUCUGCAUGGAUGAAAGCGGCACUGCCUGCCUACGCCUCAGGCGUGGUGCACCUUCUAUUGACAGGAAUGAUGUCGUCAGUGAAGAAGAACAGCAACUUGUGCUUCAACCAGGCAAGUUCACCUUCUCUUUUACUAGUGCAUUUUGCAAAUGGAAGUGAUCAUGUAUUCUUACCUGUUUAGCAGACCCAUUCCUGCAUUUGUCGAUUUCUCUUCUAAUUUACGAGUUCAAUUUCAUUUUCAGAUGCAAUGACUAACAAGCAUAGACUUAGAAAGGGCAAAGGGCUAGAGAGAAUUACCAAGUCGCUUGGCACAAAGGUGCCUAUCCAAAUUGCCCAAGGGAUGAAGCGUCCAGAGAAGCCUCUACAGGCAGCAAAGUUUGCUUCUGAGUGUGGACUCGUUGCAAGAAGCCAUCUGCCGGUUCUUCCUCACUUCAAGGAAUACAAAAAUAAUGCUACUCUAGUGGAGGACUACAUUGGGAAAGUUGAUGUAAGCUACUUGUUUUAUAGUUAAUGUGCUACUCUAUUUUCUGUUUUGUAGUUAAUGAUCACUAAUGUUGUUCCUUCCUUGUUUGUUGUCUUGGUAGGCAAAUUUUGAGAUGAACACACACUCGGAGACCAUCAAGUACGCGCGCAAGGAUGUUCUGCAGAAAAGUUCAAAGAAUCGACGCCAUAAGAUCAAGAAGUAGUAUUUUGAUACCGUAGCAGCAAACAAAGUGAGCACCAAGUCUCCGGUGUCAGAUCUGACGGACGGUGAAUGGCAAGCUCUGGUGCAGAUGUGGUCUACCCCAAGACACAAGGUUUGUAUAUGCUCUGUUUGCUGAUUUAUGUUCUGCACAUCAGGAUGGGAAUGGGCCAUGGUCCCCUUCUUCCUCUUCCAUGUUUCUGAUCAGAGUAGGAACAAUAGAGAGCAUCAACUUUCAAAAUCAACACCAUAUGUAAUACACUGACUCUUAUAUAGUACUAGUUGUUCAUGUACUUGUGCUAGUGCAGGAUAACUGAAAUAUUUCCAAAUCGAAUAUGCUCAGACUCGUAUUGUCCUACUAUACUACUGCCUAUUCGACUUUCUUUCAACUUGGCAAAUAACAUUGUGCUUUUUUGUAGGAAACCUGUGUGUCGAACAAGAUUAAUCGAGAAAAGGUCGUGUACCAACAGAGAAUUGGUUCCAGGCACUACACAGAACACAUUUUUGCCACUGUGAGUACCUUUUUCUAAAGACCUUACCAUUUGAUCCUCGUUGAAUAUCAUUUCUUAUUCUUGCUGAAUAACAUUUUGAUUUUUGUUAAAAAACAUUUCAGAAAGAAGAGCAUAAGGGUGAGGAGUUGUCUGCGAUUGACUUGUUCAAGGCCACCCACAACAGCAAGAAGCACGGGUUUUCGGAGCCAGGCAAGAUUGCUAUAGUAAGUCACUCCAUGCUUUUGUCCAGCUAGUUCAAAGUUUUGUCUAUAGACCUCAGCCCUGUUUGAUUCACAACCAGCAAGAACACACCCUAGAUUUGAUGUUGUUUGCUAGAGCCAAUGAUAGGUUUGGUAUCUCAACAAAGAUAUCAGAAUUUGUUGUACAGUUCUCAACAAAGAUAUCAGAACUUGCUGUAGCUAUUUGUUGCAUUUUUAUGAUAUGAUGAAAAUUGAUCUGAAUGUUAGUUCUCAACAAAGAAGCCAUAUUAUAUAGAACCACCAUAUUGUUCCGAUUGCAUGUCUCUAGAUCACAUAAGUGUGUACACUUGUUGUAGCCAGAUUCAAAUAAUGCUUUAAGUUUAGUAGCUAUCAUCUACUUCUGUUUGAGUUUGAGUAAAAUAUCUACAUAUAGAUUUUGUGUGCUGGUUUGAUUACUUCAAAUAAUCCAUUUCUUGGUCUGGUUUGGUGGCAUUCUUGUUUGGUUUCUCUUGCAGAAUGUGAAAUAGAUAUGCCACUAAUGUCUAUCAUUUUCCUCCAUAUGCUAGCUUAUGUGUACACUUGUUGUAGCCAGAUUCAAAUAAUGCUUUAAGUUUAGUAGUUAUCAUCUACUUCUGUUUGAGUUUGAGUAAAAUAUCUACAUAUAGAUUUUGUGUGCUGGUUUGAUUACUUCAAAUAAUCCAUUUCUUGGUCUGGUUUGGUGGCAUUCUUGUUUGGUUUCUCUUGCAGAAUGUGACAUAGAUCUGCCACUAAUGUCUAUCAUUUUCCUCCAUAUGCUUGCUUGAGAUGGAAAAAAUGAAGGGCGCGCCGGUGUUACUGCAACAAAAGACCUUCCAACGGCGCCAGAAAUAGGUGUGUCAAUGGCACCAGGAAUCCUUCUGCUACGGCUACGCCUUAAGGGACUUCCUAGGCAAAUAUGCAAAGGAUUUCCCCCGUGGCCUUGGAGCCUUGCGUUGGUGUUCCCUCGAAGUGGAAAGGGUGAUGUAGCGCAGCGGUGGUAAGUAUUUCCCUCAGUUUGAGAACCAAGGUAUCGAACCAGUGAAGGAGUAUCACAAGAGCUUGCACAAACACAAAAAGCUUGCUCCCAACGCUAUAAAGGGGUUGUCAAUCCCUUAUAGAUUGUUCGCCAAGUGAGAAGUGAAAGCAACAAAGUAACAAAGCAAAGUAAAAGCGUAAGUGGAAACGAUAGGUGUGAAUAGACCCGGGGGCCGUAGUGUUUACUAGUGGCUUCUCUCAUGAAAGCAAAUAGACGGUGGGUGAACAAAUUACUGUCGAGCAACUGAUAGAACCGCGCAAAGUCGUGACAUCAUCUAUGGCAAUGAUUAUAUCUAUAGGCAUCAUGUCCAAAACAAGUAGACCGAUACUUUCUGCAUCUACUACUAUUACUCCACACGUCGACCGCUAUCCAGCAUGCAUCUAGUGUAUUAAGUCCAAAAGAACAGAGUAACGCCUUAAGAAAGAUGACAUGAUGUAGAUGGACAAUCUCAUAUCUACGAUAGAGCCCACCUUGUUACCCUUGAUGGAAACUACACGAUGUGUGCCUUGCUGCCCCUACUGUCACUGGGAAAGGUCACCACACGGUAAGAACCCAAAACCAAGCACUUCUCCCAUUGCAAGAAUCAUAGAUCUAGUUGGCCAAACAAAAGCCAAGACUCGGAGAGACUUACAAGGAUAUCAAAUCAUGCAUAUAAGAAAUCAGCAAAGACUCAAAUAUAUAUCAUAGAUAAUCUGAUCACAAAUCCACAAUUCAUCGGAUCUGGACAAACACACCGCCAAAGAAGAUUACAUCGGAUAGAUCUUCAUGAAGAUCAUGGAGAACUUUGUAUUGAAGAUCCAAGAGAGAGAAGAAGCCAUCUAGCUACUAACUACGGACCCGUAGGUCUGAAGUGAACUACUCACGAGUCAUUGGAGGGGCGAUGAUGAUGAUGAAGAAGCCGUUCAACUCCAAAGUCCCCUCCGGCAGGGCACCGGGAAGGGUCUCCAGAUGAGAUAUCGCGGAAACGGAAGCUUGCGGUGGCGGAAAAGUAUUUUCGUGGAUCCCUUGAUUUUUUGCUGUAUUUUAGGGAAUAUAUAGGCGAAAGAUCUAGGUGAGGGGGGCGCCAGGGAGGCCACAAGCCUGCCCACCGCCGCCCCCUGGUGGCGGAGUGGGGGCUUGUGGGCUCCCUGUAGCCCUCCUGGCUUGGCCCACAAGCCCCCUGAUCUUCUUCCGUUUGGGAAAAAAUCAUUUCGGGGAUUUUAUUCUGUUUGGACUCCGUUCCAAAAUCAGAUCUGAAAAGAGCCAAAAACACAGAAAAAACAGGAACUGGCACUUGGCACUGAAUUAAUAAGUUAGUCCCAAAAAAGAUAUAAAAGGUACAUAAAACAUCCAAAGAUGACAAGAUAACAGCAUGAAACCAUAAAAAAUUAUAGAUACGGUUGAGACGUAUCAGCCGGUACCAGAAGGUGAAGAACCAAAGUCUGAUGCUGAGAUUGUUGAAGAAGUGCUCAAGACCGAAGUCAAGCAAAGCACAUUCCUCAGGAAUGUUGGGCUCAAGUCAUCUAGUAACAACUUUGGCAAAGGAACUGCUGUUGUGGCUGCUCAUGUUCGUGAUCUUGAGCAGAAACUGGAGAGGUCGGAGCUUCAAGCUGAAGUGGUGCAAGAAGAAAUGGCAGCAAUCAAACUAAAGGCGGAAGAAUUUGAAGCUGCACGCGACAAGGAACUUGAGCUGCUGUGCAAGAAGUCUCAAGAACAGGAACAGAAGUUAGCCCACUUGAUGGCUCUCUUCUACGCUAAAGCAUCGUAGAAGUUGAACAUGUCGUAGAACUUGUCCUAGAAACAGUGAAGUGGGCUAACUUCUCAAGAACCUCAUGAAGUUAGCCCACUUGAUUGGUCAUUCUGGUGAUGAAACAGUGAAGUGCUCUAUUUGAACCUGUGAAGUAUUUUGAACCUGUGAACCUGAUGAAGUAUUUUGUGAAACAGUGUCUUGCUCUAUUUGAACCUGAUGAAGUAUUUUGUGAACCUGAUGAAGUUGUCAAUUAUUUGAGUUUUGUUUGGACCAUUUGGUUUGGUCACUAAAGUUAGUUUGGACUGCAAAAAGGCUGAGGCCCAAACAAGAAAUAGACUAAAAAGGCUUGCGCCUAAAAAAAGAGUAGGCCAAGGCCCAAAUCAGAAUUUGUCUAAAAAGCUUGGGCCUAAAAAAAGAGUAGGCCAAGGCCCAAACAAGAACUGGACUAAAAAGAGUAGGCCAUGGCCCAAAAGAAAAGUGGCCUAAUAAAAAACAUGCUUAGUAAAAGAUUCUAUCCUAGAAAAUAAAAGGCCAAAUUAUUGGGCCCGGCCCAUGUAGAAGAUCGGAAUGGACCGGGCUGAAUCUAAUUUACGACCUUUUCAUUUGGUCUUAAUUCUGCCACAUCAGCCUGCCACGGUGGAUCUGAAGUGGUGUAGGCGGAUUGCAAGUGACCAAAUCAGUUGGUCGUUAAACCUACGACCUUCUGUUUGGUCGUAAAAUCCUACGACCAAUCUAGGAAAAAUGUCAUUAUAGUUCAUUAGAGACCCUCAGCUUUUGACCGUCUGUUUUUGGUCGUAAAAAGGUCACAAAUGGAAAUCAAUGACCAUUCGGUGACCAAUAUUGAAGGUCGUUAGUUGACAUAUUUCUUGUAGUGCCUCUCCGUCACACGGAGUGACAAAUCCCAGUCUUGAUUCAUACUAACUCAACGGACACCUUCGGAGAUACAUGUAGAGCACCUUUAUAGUCACCCAGUUACGUUGCGACGUUUGAUACACAUAAGGCAUUCCUCCGGUGUCAGUGAGUUAUAUGAUCUCAUUGUCAUAGGAAUAAAUACUUGACACGCAGAAAACAAUAGCAAUAAAAUGACACGUUCACAUGCUACGUUUAUAGUCUGGGUCUAGUCCAUCACAUGAUUCUCCUAAUGAUGUGAUCGAGUUAUCAAGUGAUAACACUUGCAUAUAGUGAGAAAACCUUGACUAUCCUUGAUCAACUCGCUAGCCAACUAGAGGCUUGCUAGGGACAUUGUUUUGUCUAUGUAUCCACACAUGUAUCUAUGUUUUCUUUCAAUACAACUAUAGCAUGGAUAAUAAACGAUUAUCUUGAAACGGGAAAUAUAAUAAUAACUAUUUUAUCAUUGCCUCUAGGGCAUAUUUCCAACACUUACCUUUACGGAAGAGUCAUGGUGAUCUUCACCACUUCGUAUAUUUCGCCUUUAUCUCUUGGCAAGCAUCAUGUGGUGGGGAAAGAUCCAAGCAUAUAUGGCCAUUCAAAUAUAUUUGAUCAUGAAUUAUUAUUGUUGACAAUUAUCCGUAUGAUAAAUAAGUUGGGAGGCGAAACAUUAAGCCCCUAUCUUUCUCUGUGUUCGAUGGAUGCUAUCUGUUCUAAAAAUAUGCUUUGAGUGUUAGCAAUCAUGGAAGACUACAUGAUAGUUGAGUAUGUGGAAUUUGCUAAAUCAAAAGCUUUUACAUAUACCCUUCCUGAAAAUAAGACGAAUUGCAAUUGUUUGGUGACUGAAAGCAUGGUUUAUUAGUUUUCAAAAAAAAUUAUGGUCUUCACUUUAACAUGUGAAUAGAUUAUUACUUUAUCAUGAGAUGUUUUAUGAGAUGAGCUACAGUUUAUGGUUUAUAUUGAUGCUAGAAAAAAGUGUUUGGGAGUAUCAUUGAUCAAACUUGUGCACUAUGCUAGCAUUCACACUUCAUAAAUUAUAUCUUUUAUCAUUUACCUAUUCGAGGACGAGCAUGAAUUAAGCUUGGGAAUGCUCAUACGUCUCCAACGUAUCUAUAAUUUAUGAAGUAUUCGUGCCAUGUUUACAAUAAUUUUAUAUGAUUUUGGUAUGAUUUUAUUAGAACUAACCCGGACUGACGUUGUUUUCAGCAGAUCUACCAUGGUGUCGUUUUUGUGUGGAAAUAGAAGUUCUCGAAAUGGGCUGAAAAGUUACUGAGAAUAUUUUUGUAAAAUAUAAAAUAUACUGGAGCAAAGAGCUGGGCCAGGAAGUGGACCAGGAGGUCACAAGCCUGCCACUCAAGACCACCCCCUAGGACGCGCCUGUGUGGCUUGUGGACUCCUCGAGCACCUCCUUGACAUGAGACUGGCGCCAAAAAUUCCUAUAAAUACCAAAACCCCCAAAAAGAAACCUAGAUCGGGAGUUCCGCCGCCGCAAGCCUCUAGAGCCACAAAAACCAAUCGGGAGCCCGUUCCAGCACCCUGUCGGAGGGGGGAAACCAUCAUCGGAGGCCAUCUUCAUCAUCCGGUGGUCUCCAUGACCAGGAGGGAGUAGUUCACCCUCAUGGCUAAGGGUAAGUACUAGUAGCUAUGUGUUCAAUCUCUCUCUCUCUCUCUCUCUCUCUCUCUCUCUCUCUCGUGUUCUUGAGAUGGCACGAUCUUGAUGUAUCACGAGCUUUAUUAAUAUAGAUUAAUCAUAUGGAGUUUUCUCCUCUCUAUCUUCUUGUGAUGAAUUGAGUUUUCCCUUUGAAGUUUUCUUGUCGGAUUGAGUCUUUAAGGAUUUGAGAAAACUUGAUGUAUGUCUUGUGAUGGGAUAUCUGUGGUGAUAGUGGGAUGUUCUAUUGAUUCACUUGAUAUAUGUUUUGGUGAUCAACUUGUGAAUUCCGUGACCUUGGGAAUCUAUGCAUAGGGGUUGGCACAUGUUUUCGUCUUGACUUUCCGGUAGAAACUUUGGGGCACUCUUUGAAGUUCUUUGUGUUGGAUUGAACAUGAUGAAUCUUAAAUUAUGUGAUGCAUAUCGUAUAAUCAUGCCCAUGGGUACUUGUGGUGACAUUGGAGUAUCUACGUGACAUUAGGGUUUUGGUUGAUGUGUAUCUUAAGGUGUUAUUUUAGCACGAACUCUAGGGAUGUUCGUGACACUUAUAGGGAUAGCUCAUAAGGUUGAUUAGAAAAGAUAACUUUGAGGUGGUUUCGUACCCUACAAUGAUUUCUUCGUUUUUUCUCCGCUAUUUGUGACUUUGGAGUGAACUCUUUGUCGCACGUGGGGGAUUUAUAUGUUAGUAUUGUUGAGAGAACUUGCACUAGUGAAAGUAUGGACCAUAGGCCUUGUUUCCAAGCAUUUAUACAACGUUUUGCUUUGAUGUUUACUAUUUGUUACCUUGCUGUUUUAUAUUUUCAGAUUACGAAAACUUAUAUCUACCAUCCUUAUUACACUUGUAUCACCAUCUCUUCGCCGAACUAGUGCACCUAUACAAUUUACCAUUGUAUUGGGUGUGUUGGGGACACAAGAGACUCUUUGUUAUUUGAUCGCAGGGUUGCUUGAGAGAGACCAUCUUCAUCCUACGCCUCCCACGGAUUGAUAAACCUUAGGUCAUCCACUUGAGGGAAAUUUACUACUGUCCUACAAAACUAUGCGCUUGGAGGCCCAACACGAGCCUACAAGAAGAAGGUUGUGUAGUAGACAUCAGCCAGCCAUGAGUCCUAAAGAUCACACAAUGAGUUCUCACUGAAUGCACCAAUGUCGGUGUCAAAACCGGCAGAUCUCGGGUAGGGAGGGUCGAGUUGUGAGAUCGGAUCGACGGUAACACGAGGCAACGAACACGAGCUUUUUACCCAGGUUGGGGCCCUAACGAUGGAGGUAAAACCCUACGUCAUGCUCUUGUUGUAUUGAUGAUGUAGCGAUUAUAGAGUUGAUCUACCUCAAGAUUGUGAGUUUGUGGGCUAAACCCUAGGAGUUAUGAUGUUGUGUAUAUGAUUGUCCUCUACGGGCAAACCCCCACAGUUUAUAUAGGUACUUGGGGUACUAGGGUUACAUGACUGUCGAUUAUCGUCUAUGGGUUACAUGUCAAACGGGUCAUCCUUUCCCUGGAGUGCACGAUAACUCUUUGGUAGAAUCCGUGAUAUUCUCACAAUCCUUUAUUGGGCCUCCGAAGUCCUUCCUCCAAGGUGGGCCUCUUGCUCAGCACAUGGACUAGUCCACCUCGGAUGGGACCACUUGGUCGAGGACUCCCGCUCCCAGCUACCAAGAAUGGCUUUUUUGUAUAGGAAGAAUGGGUCCUCCAAAAUGAAUGUGGAUGUUGGUAUUUCCAGGCCAGGCUUAUAUGUUACUGAUGUUGCAGUCUGUAGGGAUGAUCAAGGAUUAUAUUGGACACUUUAGCUCUUGUCUUAUCGGAGAUUAGUGAUCCUGUAGGCUUGGAAUCUAUUGCUUCUCCCGAAGGCAUUGCAUUGGCUAUAGACUUGAAUCUCCACAGGGCGCAUAUUGUGAUGGAUUGUCUAAACGCGGUCAAUCACAUCGCCACUUUACAAGAUGGUAAAUAUGAUGUGGUUUUCAGUGAUAUUAGUGCUUCUAGGUCUUCUUUCACCUUAUGUAAUUUCUUCCAUGAGAGAAGAGGCUCAAAUUAUGAAGCCCGUAGUCUAGCUAGGUUGGGAGACACACAUGGCUUGGUCUGCCCCAUGACACUCUUUGUAUUCCAAUAAUUAUUAAUGAAUAAACCUAGUGGAUUGUGCUAAAAAAGGAAAAUUGUUCAAGCAGCUCAAAAUAGUGUCAGUAUACUUUUUAUACAAAUUUCAUGACACUUACCAACAAUUUUCACUAAUUUAUAAAAAUAUCCGUGAUAUUUAAAAAAUGGUUGUACCAUCCAGCAAAAACUCGUUUCAAAAAAUUUCAUGAAAUAUAAAAAUGUGCUCACUCAAUUUUUAAAACAUGUUCGUGACUUAUAGAAGUGCUUAUAACCAUUUAAAAAUGAUUUUAGCAUUUGUAAAAAUGUUCAUGAAAAUGUAAAAUAUAGUUCGUGUAAAUUUUGGAGAAUUUUCACGGCAUACAACAACAUGUUCAUGAAAAAUGUGAAAAUUUGUUCAGACACUUUUUUUAAAUGUUUAUGCCAUAUAAAGAUGCUCACUCUUUUAUUUUACAAAUAACAUGAAAAACAAAAAUGGAAAAAUAAGGAAGAAAUUCAACUGAACAAAGAAAUAUAAAAUAUAAUAAUCGCUAGAGAAUAAAGAAAGAAAAGAAAAGAAAAAGAUGCAAGCUUCCAGAAACCGCAUAAAAGGUUCGCAAAACCUGUCACUACCGUACAUAGAAGCUUCUCAAAAUGGCACAUGGAAGGUUCUCAAAACCGAAGUUGGGUUGGCGCACUUGAAUCAGCAACGUAGGCGAAUGCUCAUUUCAUCUCAGAGUAAGCCAGAUUCAACAUUUGCGUGCUAUCCCUUGUAUCAACCUCUUAUUUGAUUUUCUGCUCCAACACAUGCCACUCCUAUCUCUUCCCACAUCAUCAGAUUUGUGAAAGAUUCAUUGUUAAAUUUUUUUCAACAAAAUUGUAUUAUCUCAUCGUACAAACUUUCCCGAUCCCAGGUAGAGGUCAAUUGCGUUCUAGAACAAAGUAAUGGUGCUCACUCAUGAGUGAAUCUACCAUCGAUGCGACACCUUAUGUUAGACAUUUGUAUACGAUGACUUUGUAUUAAAAAUGGCAUCUUAGAUACCUUAGUUUGUGCUUUGCUGGGCAUUCUAGAGGUUUUUGGAUCCACCACAGGUGCUUAGACAAGGUGCUAAGUGCAUCGAAGGACUUAUGAACUAAAUUCCCCUAUGCAUGUAUAUAUGCUUAGCUUUUUCUAGCUAAGAUUUCUCCAUUUUAUUGUUUAGCAACAAAAAUUCCGCAUGCAUACGUGUUUUGCAUAGAUUCACUCGUUUGACAUUGUUGUUUCUUCCUUGGGUCUUCAUGCUUUCUCUUCUUCUUAAUUGCUUUGCUACGUCAACUUUUUGCCGAUGUGGCAUUCUUAGCACCGUGGAGGGUUGAAAAGGCCCUAAAGCACAUAAGGACAAGAACUAGCUAACUGCCAAAAGUUUCGGUUUUGAGGGAUUCAUUACCAACACUUAAGUAAUAUACCAUGUGAACUGCGGUCGCAGAUGGUUUAAUACAAACAUGUUCACGUGCACGUAUCUCACAACCAUCAUCUUUAUCAUACACACAUGAUUAUAACCAAAUUUCUCUUGGGAUGGAUGACAGUCAUAAGGUCGCCUUUUUGCCAUUGCCGCCUGUGAUUAAAGACACUUUGUUGUCAUUGCCAAAGUCGGCUCCUUGGCAAGGCAAGAAGGACAAGGUCCAAUAUUUGUCCAUAAGCUAUUUUAAAAAGUAUCAUGUUUAAGGAGUGAUUUUUUUUUUAGAAAAGGAGGAUGACCCCCGGUCUCUGCAUCUGGGAGAUGCAUGCGACCAUUUUAUUGAUUAUUUCCGAGGACCUUACAAAGUAGUACAACAAUAUGUCUGAAUCCGCCAUCUUGGCAACAUUUGCCGCUACUCCUAUCCAUAUGAUGAAGGGGUGCAAGCUGAGCCAAAUACCCAGACCUCUCACCUAAGCCUAACAUCUAAAGCCGGAGGCCCCGACCGAGCCACAUACCGGGUCAGGGGCACAAACCGGUCUGACACACUCACAUGUGUCGCCGUCACCAUCUUCCACUGGUUCAUCUUCAGAGCAGAUUGAGGUACCAGCCUUGGCAGGUGCCUCCGCCAUCGACGCCACCAUGACGCCAAACGACGACCUCCACCAACGCGAGUCCAUCUCCAAGCAGCGGACAUAGAUCCAUGCUAGGAUAGGGUCGCACCACCGCCGUCGCCCACCACCCACAAGCACCAGCCAGCCCAAGGUUCCCAAAGCGGCGCCUUCAAGAAGGGAACGACGCCGUGAGCGCCGCCGCUGCCCAACAAAGUUAGGGCUUUCGCCCGGGAGACCUAGGGGAAGGGGAAGUGAGGGGAUCAGUCCAUACCGACGCCUCCAAGGAGGGGAACGGCGCCCUCAGGCGUCGCCGUCGACGCAGUCGGCCAUGGCCGGCCAGGGAUUUCGCCCGAACUAGAUCCCCAUCAUCAGCAGUGCCUCCUGUACAGAACCGGCGACCCAAGGAAGCACGGUCCGACCAUGCUAGCCCGCACGCCGAACAUGGGAGGAGGGGAUGCGCCAGAUCGCGCGCACCGACCACCGCAGAAGCUGCCGCCGGCCGGCAACGACCACUGGAUCCCGCCGCCCGCGCGGCUCGAACGCGAGAUCCACCGUCCGCACGACUGCUAGCUUGUCGUGCCUCAUCCAUGGAGCCGCCGCUCCAGAUCCGGAGUUCCCCACACAGAGGCAGGGCAGCCAAGGCCCCGCCGCCACGAUCCUUGGCGCCCCGGGCUUGCCCGACGGCUGCCUCACGCGGCGGCGAGGAAGGGAGGGGGAGGGAGUUGGGCGGCUAGGGUUGGGAGGGGGAGGGAGUUGGGCGGCUAGGGUUGGGAGGGGAAGGGGAUGUUUAAGGAGUGAUAUGCAACUAGAAACUGAUUUUGUCAUUGUCACGUGUGGAUAAUGAUUGUGAGUGGAGUUUAGAAGUGGAGUGAAGUAGAGUUUAGAGGUGGAGUGUACCCCUUCAAACACACUCGUAGUUAACAGCUAGGAGCUUUUGUUUUCGUCCGGCUGGCAUGAACACGUAACAUUUACAACAACCAUCACUUGGACAUACCAUGUGCCACAACCACCAUCUCCUAUAACUAAGAGCCAUCCAAGCCCAGUCUCAAUACUCCCAUCAACCAAAGCCUGUGUUCUGCAAGAUAGCCUGCCAGCCAUGGGAAGCAAGGGCCUCAAGGGUGUGAUGGUGUGUUUACUCAUACUGGGGUUGGUUCUGGAACAUGUGCAAGUAGAAGGCAAGAGUUGCUGCAGGAGCACCCUAGGAAGAAAUUGCUACAACCUUUGCCGCGUCCGUGGUGCUCAGAAGUUAUGCGCAAACGCCUGUAGGUGUAAACUCACAAGUGGCCUAAAAUGCCCUUCAGGCUUCCCGAAAUUGGCCCUUGUGUCAAACUCAGGUAAAGGGAAUGAACUCCUUCUAUUCCAUAUUACUAGUUCUUUCUAAAAUAAGAUGUCAUCAUAUAAAGCGUAUGGCCAGUUCGAGUUUUCUAAGUUUUCCGAAUAAUAUAAUGAACUUUUUUUAAAAAAAAUCCGAUGAUAUUUGUAUGAUCAGUUUUUCAUGAAUAAUGUUUCCAUAAAUAUAAGUUUUCUUAACUUUUUACCAACAAGUAAAUUUUUUUGAAAGGCGGUCUCUUAGGGUCCGGUUCAUCAAAAAAGUUAGAGAAAAGUUGCCUGGUUACCAACAAGUAAUUGUGAAAUGACUAAUAAAAAGCGAAUGAUGGAGACGAUGCCAAUAUCGAAGAUGAUAAUCGUAUUGUAACAGAGGAAUUGUUUGUCUUAGAUGCGAUUAUAUUUACAUGCUAGAUAUUUUAUUUUGACAGAUGAACCAGACACCAUCGACUAUUGCAACUUGGGGUGUAGGGCUUCCAUGUGUGACUACAUGGUCAACGCAGGUAAAUAAAAUUGAUCUGGUAUCUGUAUUCCUGUAAACUAAUUGAAAAGGCUAGUUCUUGACACAUAAUAUGCUAUAUAUUUGGGCACCAGCUGCUGACGACGAAGAGAUGAAACUCUAUGUGGAACAUUGUAGUGAUGCUUGUGUCAAUUUCUGUAACGGUGAUGUUGGCCUCACAUCCCUUACUGCCUAAUGAUGUGUAUCCAUGGUCUGAGAUUUCAAAGGGCAAGGUUGUAUCUCACCUUUGCGUUCAAUAAAAUUGGAUCCCAUCGAGAGUAUCCAAACCAGUGUGUCAACCUGUUUUAUGUGUGUGUAUUUCCAUUCCUUGUUCGAAUAAAAACCAUCAUGUUGGAUGCCAUUUUGCUUCCCUGAUGUACUACCAUGACUGAGAUAUAAUGGUAUAUGCAGGCCCUGGGUAUAUGUUGUAUCAUUUGCGUGCGUGUGGAUAUAAACUCUAUGAGUAAAUGCUUCAAGUAAUAUUCUUUAGUCCUUUUUAUUUAUUUUAGUCUGUGACACAAGCCCUGAAAUGGAUCAUGUUUUCUUUUGCAUUUUUGCUGAGCAAUUCUCUGAUCUUUCUUUUUAUGACACACAAGGCAAAAUAUUUGCCCGUUUUAUUAACUAAGAAGAAGAUUUUCCCGUUAAUUAUGAAAAACUUGGGUAAAACCGAUACAAAGGUGAAGCCCACUCCCAAACAUUGAAACACACUGGGACAUGCCCACAUUCGUCGACGGCGGGCUGAACACCAUACCAAACGUCAACCAUACAAACACACAACAACAUGAAGCUCUACUAGCCAAGUGAGCCAGCCAUCCACCACCGUUAAAAAGAAGUCAAGACAACUAUGGGAGGACCAGACUGAGACUCUCCCGCGGAGGUGAAGAGGCAAGCACCCACAAAGACAUGCAUUGGAUACCGUAGAUGAAAUGUUGACGACUAACUUUGGGGGCAACCUCAUUGCCCACACGACUUUGAGAUCAAUGCACUCGAAGCUGCCAAGCUCUCGGGAUCGCCACCCACUCAACCGACACAACCUUUCAGGCCCACCACCCAGACACAUCACCACUCUCCUCGAAUUGCAACACCGUACGACCUAGCUGCUUGUAGUCAACCAUCCAUAGACCACAACCGUCGCACCACAUCCAUGGCCGCUGCCCCGACAUACCGUCCAUCCGCACGCACGAGGAUGCGUGAACCGAGUCCACAACCCUACUGCCCAUGCAAGUGUUGUGAGAAGAUAAUAGGUCACUAUGAUCAAGGGAUAUAUGGGUGCGGAUAUAUGGGAAAAAUGAUGAUCCCCAAAUAUGUGGGUGGCCUGGGGUUUAGAGAUAUCGAUAUUUUCAACCUGGUGUAUUAGCAUGUUAAGCAUAGGAUAUUCUGGAGAACUCCAAGAGGCUGAUUGGUCAUAUAUUAAAAGUAGUGUACUUCCCUGUAAUUCUUUUUGGAUGUUAUAUAGUGGGACUCGACCAUCCUAGAUUUGGCGGGCAAUUGUGGAAGGUAGGGAUGUCUUGCAAACUAGCCAUUACGCAUAACUGAGAAUGGCCACACAAACAUAGAUAUGGAACCAACACCGGAUCCCGAGAGCAUAAUAUUAAGAUAAGUGGUUGACCUUUCUGAUUACCCAUCAAUUCUGGUCCCGAGAACACGAGCAUGACGAAGAGCAUUAUCUCCUCCAUGAGAGCCUGAACCUGGGUAAAAACCCUUGCCUCUGUUAUCAUCGUGCCAAUCGCCUAGCUAGGAUACCCCAUAGAGGGAUCUACUGGAGUUGUCGCAUGGUGUGUGCCGCAGGGGCUUGCAUCCUGCUCGCAGUUGCGGCCUACUCUGGACCUGCCGGCACACCAUUGCUCAGAUUGGGCGGUCGGCGGCGCUGCUCCAGGUGUUGUUCUGGUGACGUGGUAGGCCGUGUGGGAGGCAUCAAUGUUGCACGACGGUGGUUUCUCACGCUCUGACUCGAAGGGCUCAAAUCAAGGCAACACCCGAUUUGACGCUCCGUCUUUGGAGGUGACCUCUUCGGGUUGAUGAUGGCGUGACUACACUUUUCGCUCUGCAGGAUGACUCUAAUGCAGUGAUGCGUGUGUUAGUGCAUCGCGUGGCAACACGGUGGUGUUGUUGGUGGGCGUCAUCGGUGUGCUUUGGUUGCGGCUACUCAAGCAACAUGCUAGAGUGUUAGUUUGUGACGAGGCAGUGUUAGUUGGCGGCGAGAUUGUCCUCCGGUGAACGCACGGAUGAGUAUGGCUACGAGGUGGUUGCUGCAUUUUGGCUUCAAGGGUCCUCGUAGUAGUGGUGGUGUUGACACCUAUGCAGGCGGCCCUUCAUGGUGUAGUGGAGGCCCCGAUGUUUCUUUUUUUCCUUUUGGUUUGGUUCGCCGUUGUUGAUCUUAGUAAGGGCCUGCCCCUACCCUGGGUCAAAGGUGGCGAGGCAUAAGGCUGUUGUCAAAAUCCAUAUUCUUUGAUGGGGGUCGUUGCUGGUGAUGUUAGCGCCCGUAGGCGUCCUUCUCCUCUCGGAUAUAUUGUUGAAGAUUACCUUUUCACACUAAUUUGCGGCUGGUCGGCAUGGAGUGUGGCGUUGGAGGCCGAUGGCUAGGCUUGAUAUUUUCCAAUGUUUGGCGGGGCCGUCGUGCAUGUUAGGUGGUGUUGGCAUGUUUGUUUUGGUGUUAGUGUUGGUUCAUGUUGGUUUUUGGCCUUGUUUUACUUUUAAACCGAUGAAGCAUGUAUUUGCCUUUUUUCUCUCUUAAUGAAAUCGACAAAGCUCCUGCUUUGCUCAUAAAAAUGAAAGUCAUUUACAAUGGUGCGUUUAGUGGAUAAUGCAUGGGAUGGAAUAAACAAGACGCGGAACACAUUUACGGAGAUGCCUACUUAAAAACACCAAACCUGACCGGGAAGUGUGUAAAGAUCAAAUUAAUAGCUGAAGAGUACCAACAUAGGAAAAUUAAAACCAGUAGUGUCGAAGUCAAACUACUAAGUACAUCACCGCUGUUGAUCUUCAAAUUUUCUUCUGCAUGUGUCUACGGAGAGGUGGUACCAAUUAGCGGACACAUAUGCUGUAGACAGUAAUCCAAUGCUAUCGCAUAUGUCCGGUUUCAUUUUGGAAGAACUCUAACAAAAAUUGAACAAAUUUGAUAAACAUUUGAACACACCAGACAAUAUUCAUUCAUAUGUGGAUGAUUUUACAUAAAACCGGAGCAAAUUCAUUGCACUUAGACAUAUUUCAAAUAAACCGGACUCUAAACCUAUACUAAAAUAACCACCAACGCUCGUUCCCCAUCUUCGGCGGGCCAUGAACCCCGGAAAAUAAAGUCCCGCCUCCUCCUCAGCUAUUAAGGACAGUAAAACUAGACCUAAAAGGAGCUCUCUCGUGCACUCACGAUUUUGGCCGUCGGAUUACCAAUUUAUAUCAUUUCUGGCUGUCAGAUCAUUGUUUAAGGCCGGUUUACCACGAUUGGGCAGACUGUCCUGAUGGUCAGCUACUCUGGAGACUUUUUUGAAGGCAUUUUUUUCAUUGGGCCCAAUGGCCCAUUAUCUAACUUGCAAACUACAGAAAAAUCGAUGCUUCGUUGGCCCAUUUAUCAUCUGCAUCUGCGUCGGCUGAGAUAAGCCGAGGCGACGCCAGCGAAGGAACCGGCGAUCGAAGGGGUUCAGCGGAGGCCAGCCAUAAGCGCUCAAGGAGCCGAUGCGACCCACGCGAGCAACCGACGGUCCAGGGGAUCUAGCCACAGCAAGGCGCCCAAGGGGAUCCGGCGCUCUAGCGGCUGCCUCCAGGCUAGUUCGGUGAUCCUCCCCUUCUCUUUCAGGCCCUGAAAAUCUCUAGCCGCGCUGGCGGCAGCGGCAACGAGCCGACGGCGCCUCCGACGAGGUUGCAGCGAUGGAACCCGCAUCAAGGCAGGGCGAGCGUGCGGCAUGGGCCACUGGCCUUUGGAGCGAUGGCGGAUGACAUCUCAUCUCCUAGCCGGCGACGGUCGAUCAAGGCUGCAACAGCGCACACGGCCCCCUCCUCCACAUCUUGGUGACGCUGUCAUGGCCUCCUCAUUCAUUGAGAGGCGCUCAACCAACUCAAGUUCUGAACUCUAGUUAUUUUAAUGCUAAUGAUAUCCUCCUUUUCUUUUUGGCACAUGGAACUCUUGGUGGGAAAUCUGUUCUUCUCCAUGGUGCUCCAGCAAGUGCACAACGAGGUUGGGCCUCUGAGAUUGGUGUCCUCCAGAAUUCAGGUUUGAGGUAAAGGUUAUGCAGGAAACUGUACAAGAGAGGACAUAUCUAUGAGGAACAACAUACACCAGGUCCCCCCAUAUUUCUUUGUGUUUCAUGUACGAUUCCUUCUUCCACCAAAUAAUUUAUUUGUCCUCGCAUCCUUCCAAUCCAAUUUGUACAUACAGGUAAUGUUUUGGCGGUGGUCAGUUGAGUCGCCAAUGGAGAGAGCAUCUGAGAGGAGAUGAGUAGAUGUUCUAGAGGCUUUUGUACAUCGAGCAACUUCCUCUUCAUAUAUCUGAUCUAUUCUUCAAAAAGUCGAGCGACUCGAUUUAUACACUUGUCCGUUAGAGUCAAUAGGCCAGUUCACUGAUCCUCCCCCUUCUCUUUCAGGCCCUGAAAAUCUCUAGCCGCGCUGGCGGCAGCGACAACGAGCCGACGGCACCUCCGACGAGGUUGCAGCGAUGGAACCCGCAUCAAGGCAGGGCGAGCGUGCGGCAUGGGCCACUGGCCUUUGGAGCGAUGGCGGAUGACAUCUCAUCGUGCUCCUAGCCGGCGACGGUCGAUCAAGGCUGCAGCAGCGCACACGGCCCCCUCCUCCACAUCUUGGUGACGCUGUCAUGGCCUCCUCAUUCAUCAGAGGCGCUCAACCAACUCAAGUUCUAAACUCUAGUUAUUUUAAUGCUAAUGAUAUCCUCCUUUUCUUUUUGGCACAUGGAACUCUUGGUGGGAAAUCUGUUCUUCUCCAUGGUGCUCCAGCAAGUGCACAACGAGGUUGGGCCUCUGAGAUUGGUGUCCUCCAGAAUUCAGGUUGGAGGUAAAGGUUAUGCAGGAAACUGUACAAGAGAGGACAUAUCUAUGAGGAAUAACAUACACCAGGUCCCCCCAUAUUUCUUUGUGUUUCAUGUACGAUUCCUUCUUCCACCAAAUAAUUUAUUUGUCCUCGCAUCCUUCCAAUCCAAUUUGUACAUACAGGUAAUGUUUUGGCGGUGGUCAGUUGAGUCGCCAACGGAGAGAGCAUCUGAGAGGAGAUGAGUAGAUGUUCUAGAGGUUUUUGUACAUCGAGCAACUUCCUCUUCAUAUAUCUGAUCUAUUCUUCAAAAAGUCGAGCGACUCGAUUUACACACUUGUCCGUUAGAGUAAAUAGGCCAGUUCGCUGAUCCUCCCCCUUCUCUUUCAGGCCCUGAAAAUCUCUAGCCGUGCUGGCGGCAGCGGCAACGAGCCGACGGCGCCUCCGACGAGGUUGCAGCGAUGGAACCCGCAUCAAGGCAGGGCGAGCGUGCGGCAUGGGCCACUGGCGUUUGGAGCGAAGGCGGAUGACAUCUCAUCGUGCUCCUAGCCGGCGACGGUCGAUCAAGGCUGCAGCAGCGCACACGGCCCCCUCCUCCACAUCUUGGUGACGUUGUCAUGGCCUCCUCAUUCAUCAGAGGCGCUCAACCAACUCAAGUUCUAAACUCUAGUUCUUUUAAUGCUAAUGAUAUCCUCCUUUUCUUUUUGGCACAUGGAACUCUUGGUGGGAAAUCUGUUCUUCUCCAUGGUGCUCCAGCAAGUGCACAACGAGGUUGGGCCUCUGAGAUUGGUGUCCUCCAGAAUUCAGGUUGGAGGUAAAGGUUAUGCAGGAAACUGUACAAGAGAGGACAUAUCUAUGAGGAACAACAUACACCAGGUCCCCCCAUAUUUCUUUGUGUUUCAUGUACGAUUCCUUCUUCCACCAAAUAAUUUAUUUGUCCUCGCAUCCUUCCAAUCCAAUUUGUACAUACAGGUAAUGUUUUGGCGGUGGUCAGUUGAGUCGCCAACGGAGAGAGCAUCUGAGAGGAGAUGAGUAGAUGUUCUAGAGGUUUUUGUACAUCGAGCAACUUCCUCUUCAUAUAUCUGAUCUAUUCUUCAAAAAGUCGAGCGACUCGAUUUAUACACUUGUCCGUUAGAGUAAAUAGGCCAGUUCGCUGAUCCUCCCCCUUCUCUUUCAGGCCCUGAAAAUCUCUAGCCGUGCUGGCGGCAGCGGCAACGAGCCGACGGCGCCUCCGACGAGGUUGCAGCGAUGGAACCCGCAUCAAGGCAGGGCGAGCGUGCGGCAUGGGCCACUGGCGUUUGGAGCGAAGGCGGAUGACAUCUCAUCGUGCUCCUAGCCGGCGACGGUCGAUCAAGGCUGCAGCAGCGCACACGGCCCCCUCCUCCACAUCUUGGUGACGCUGUCAUGGCCUCCUCAUUCAUCAGAGGCGCUCAACCAACUCAAGUGCUGAACUCUAUUUAUUUUAAUGCUAAUGAUAUCCUCCUAUUCUUUUUGGCACAUGGAACUCUUGGUGGGAAAUCUGUUCUUCUCCAUGGUGCUCCAGCAAGUGCACAACGAGGUUGGGCCUCUGAGAUUGGUGUCCUCCAGAAUUCAGGUUGGAGGUAAAGGUUAUCCAGGAAACUGUACAAGAAAAGACAUAUCUAUGAGGAACAACAUACACCAGGUCCCCCAUAUUUCUUUGUGUUUCAUGUACGAUUCCUUCUUUCACCAAAUAAUUUAUUUGUCCUCGCAUCCUUCCAAUCCAAUUUGGACAUACAUGUAAUGUUUUGGCGGUGGUCAGUUGAGUCGCCAACGGAGAGAGCAUCUGAGAGGAGAUGAGUAGAUGUCCUAGAGGCUUUUGUACAUCGAGCAACUUCCUCUUCAUAUAUCUGAUCUAUUCUUCAAAAAGUCGAGCGACUCGAUUUAUACACUUGUCCGUUAGACUAAAUAGGCCAGUUCGCUGAUCCUCAACCUUCUCUUUCAGGCCCUGAAAAUCUCUCGCCGUGCUGGCGGCAGCGGCAACGAGCCGACGGCACCUCCGACGAGGUUGCAGCGAUGGAACCCGCAUCAAGGGAGGGCGAGCGUGCGGCAUGGGCCACUGGCGUUUGGAGCGAUGGCGGAUGACAUCUCAUCGUGCUCCUAGCCGGCGACGGUCGAUCAAGGCUGCAGCAGCGCACACGGCCCCCUCCUCCACAUCUUGGUGACGCUGUCAUGGCCUCCUCAUUCAUCAGAGGCGCUCAACCAACUCCAGUUCUAAACUCUAGUUAUUUUAAUGCUAAUGAUAUCCUCCUUUUCUUUUUGGCACAUGGAACUCUUGGUGGGAAAUCUGUUCUUCUCCAUGGUGCUCCAGCAAGUGCACAACGAGGUUGGGCCUCUGAGAUUGGUGUCCUCCAGAAUUCAGGUUGGAGGUAAAGGUUAUGCAGGAAACUGUACAAGAGAGGACAUAUCUAUGAGGAACAACAUACACCAGGUCCCCCCAUAUUUCUUUGUGUUUCAUGUACGAUUCCUUCUUCCACCAAAUAAUUUAUUUGUCCUCGCAUCCUUCCAAUCCAAUUUGUACAUACAGGUAAUGUUUUGGCGGUGGUCAGUUGAGUCGCCAACGGAGAGAGCAUCUGAGAGGAGAUGAGUAGAUGUUCUAGAGGCUUUUGUACAUCUGAUCUAUUCUUCAAAAAGUCGAGCGACUCGAUUUAUACACUUGUCCGUUAGAGUCAAUAGGCCAGUUCGCUGAUCCUCCCACUUCUCUUUCAGGCCUUGAAAAUCUCUAGCCGCACUGGCGGCAGCGGCAACGAGCCGACGGCGCCUCCGACGAGGUUGCAGCGAUGGAACCCGCAUCAAGGCAGGGCGGGCGGGCGGCAUGGGCCACUGGCGUUUGGAGCGAUGGCGGAUGACAUCUCAUCGUGCUCCUAGCCGGCGACGGUCGAUGAAGGCUGCAGCAGCGCACACGGCCCCCUCCUCCACAUCUUGGUGACGCUGUCAUGGCCUCCUCAUUCAUCAGAGGCGCUCAACCAACUCAAGUUCUGAACUCUAGUUAUUUUAAUGCUAAUGAUAUCCUCCUUUUCUUUUUGGCACAUGAAACUCUUGGUGGGAAAUCUGUUCUUCUCCAUGGUGCUCCAGCAAGUGCACAACGAGGUUGGGCCUCUGAGAUUGGUGUCCUCCAGAAUUCAAGUUGGAGGUAAAGGUUAUGCAGAAAACUGUACAAGAGAGGACAUAUCUACGAGGAACAACAUACACCAGGUCCCCCAUAUUUCUUUGUGUUUCAUGUACGAUUCCUUCUUCCACCAAAUAAUUUAUUUGUCCUCGCAUCCUUCCAAUCCAAUUUGUACAUACAGGUAAUGUUUUGGCGGUGGUCAGUUGAGUCGCCAACGGAGAGAGCAUCUGAGAGGAGAUGAGUAGAUGUUCUAGAGGCUUUUGUACAUCGAGCAACUUCCUCUUCAUAUAUCUCAUCUAUUCUUCAAAAAGUCGAACGACUCGAUUUAUACUCUUGUCCGUUAGAGUCAAUAGCCACAGCCUCUUGCGUAUUCAGGUCCCCCACUCCGCCAAUAUGUGUAUUUCAAAAUAUUCAAGCCCUUGGUUCUCUUUCAUGUGACCGCCUCUUUGUGAUUUCCGACUCAACAAUUCAUGGCAUUUACAUGAAUUAGUAGUAGUGAUAAGUAGUAUGGAUGCCAUAGGAUUAUUUUCCUUCUCACAUUCAAGUACUGUAUUAGUUAUUGCGAGCUUCUUCUCUAUAGUUUGGUAAACCUACUAACAUCAGUUAAUUGUUUUUCUUUUUCUUGUGCUCAACUUGCAGGUAACAAUUACUUGAAAAGUCUAAUAUGCAUCCUUUCACUCAAAAACCUUGAAAAUAAAAUGACAAGAAUUUGGUAUACAUUUCUGGAAUUAAAUUUCUUUCUUAUAUUGCAAUUUAUAUUAUCAAUGAUUUUUGAUGAAUUAAAUUUCCUUUGCUUGAAAGCAAAGCCACCUUUUUCUAACACGGUAAAGCUAUGCUUACAAGUAUUCACUAAUUAGCUUGUGAAGAUAUCAGACACAAGGUCACUCACUAUUAAAAAUAAGGAAUGGAUCUGUACAAUAAUGAGUUGGUACUUUCUUUUAAUUUGAGUUUCAUAAUUUGGACAGUGUUUUUUCUCAAUUGAACUAUGAUUAUUAUUGUUGUUCCAUGCAUUUGUUAUGAACUAAUGUCCCAUCUUAUGUUACUUGACAAUAUUGCAAAGCAUAUGUUUUGGUGGAGCUAUUUGAAUGACUAUGAUUUUACCUUCUUUACUAUUUUCUGUUGAUACUACCAUUUGGAUAGAAAAUUCAUAUGUGAUUAGUAAGUUUGCAUUUAGAUUUUUCAUUUAUAUUUCAUGUGUUUCCUCAAAGAUUUAUUUCACAAGGUAAUAUCAUUUGCAAGAGACCUACUCAUCGCCUCCAGACAUUUGUCUCUCUGUAAGUAAUAAAGUGGUUUGGAAAUUUUGAUUUGUGGUAUGGUUAGGAUGUCAUCAUCAUUUUUUGUAUGAUAGUAUUAUCCGAUAAUGGGAAAAUGACACUUUUUUCAUUACCACAUAUGUUGUCUUACCAUUAACUGUACUAAAUCUGAAAUAAUGUUAAUUGGGGCUUCAAGUACUCCACUACCUACUAGCUUUUGGAGAGGAAAUCAUAACUGACCAAAUUUGCAUAUUUUCUGAAAAAUUCCAUGGUAACGAGGGAUAAUGUUCAUAGCUACAGCCCAUAGCUAGAAAAAAAGUACCUUCAUAUUUUAUUUGGUGUCGUGACUGUUGCAAAUAUUGUCAUCCAGUCAAUGUUCUAGGCUACUUGCAUACAAGGUCUUGCUUCUUAGAGUGGUUUUGUAUUAGGAAAUGACCUAUUAUCACAUAUAAUAUUUUGACAUGCCCUCACUAAACUAACUCGUUACCUUCUCAUACCGCAUUUUUUUUGAAAAGAUGCAAAGUGUUGUUUCUCACGUGUGAUUCACAACUACUUUGAGAUUUCUAAUUCAACUCAUGCCUGCCUCAGCAUAAAUUUGUAUGCCAGUGCACUUUUCAAUUUAUUCCCAAUUUAAACAGAAUGGGCAAAGUAGCUCCCUUAUGUAUAGCGUAUUACGUUAUUAUGGACCGACUAUUAACAUUAUUGUAUUUUUCACUGAAUGUAGUAUCGAGUGUACAUAUUGUACUACCAUUAUUUAUAUAUACAUAAUUAUACUAUAUAGAUUUUUUCAAAUAUUUAUAUUAUUCUUUUAUCAGAAUGGACGAGUGUGCGAAUAGAUUCUAUGACUGAACUUACAUUUAUAGAUAUAUGGGUCACUAUGUUAUUCUCCUACAUUGUUUAUCCUAAAAGUACUACUCUCAUUGUUUUGUGGAAUCAUAUAUACUAUUGCAAUUCCUAUCAUUCUAUUGGUAAAAUCGACGGACGCAGCAACGCGCACCAUGAAUGAUCUAGUGGGUACAGAGAACUGAAGCUAUAUCCGCCUCCUCCACAACCAUGAGCCCCGGGAAUUGAAGCUAUCCACCUCCACGUCACCGCCAAGCGUCUAAUCGAUCGACGAUAUUAAGCCCACCAAGCUUCUCUUCAAUGGAAGGGAAAGAUUGGUGGCCUUCAUGGGAUAUAAGCAUCCACGACCUGUUAUGCACUACUCUUCCUCAUUCCCGGCAGCGCUCGCGAACGUGUCGGCUUCGUGGUCGUGGCGGCGGGGCGCUGCCAGGAUAGAGUUGACGAUGUCCUUGUCGCCGUCGAACACCUCAUCCACUGCCUCGUCCAUCUUCUCGUAGUCUGACUGUAAAUCCGCUUGAUACUGUAUGUACCGCCGACGGCCGCAACGGAUUUCACAAGAGGUGAUAUAGGAGUCUAUCAGCGCCUCUGAGGGAGUCCAGGACUAGGGGUUCUUGGGCCACCAGUCUAUCUCCGGAUAGGUGGGCCGCUCUGUGACUAUUACGGAAGGCCCGAGCUAUAAGACAACACCUUCUUCAGGAUGGAAACAUGUGAAGUCUUGGUGUGUGCUUGAAGUCAAGAUGGUAGAAUCGGCAUGUUUAUUCCCUCAUGGUAACCGAUGAUAUGUAACCCUAGGUACCACUAGUGUCUAUAUAAAUCGAAGGGUUUUAGUUCGUAGGAGACAAAAUCAUUCUCCGACCCAUCUAGGGUUUAGUUCAUCUGAUCUCGUGGUAGAUCGACUCUGCAAUCGUCAUAAACACAUCAAUAUAAUCAAGCGGGAUGUAGGGUUUUACCUCUUUAAGAGGGUCCGAACCUAGGUAAAUAUUGUCCCUGUUUUUUUCUUUUUUUUCCCCAUUAAUGCAAGAUCCACAACUCGGGACCUGUUGGGGAUAUUCCCCAUGGUUUGGCCCGGCCAGGAGGUAAGACCCGGCCCAUCAUUUGGCAGCUCAUGGGUCACCUAGAUUACCGGGUCGAACGAGAUGACAAGGCCUAAGGCCCAGUGUGCAACCCGAUGAAUGACAGCUCAUAGAGAGGUCUUGAGGGCCGCCUCGCACAGAAGGUCCAAGGAGAGGAAAAGUUCCUUGAGAAGAGAAGCAAGACCCGGACUAAAAUUUAGCUUGUUUUCCUUUUAAACCGAUGAAGCAUGUAUUUGCCUUUUUUUCUUUCUUAAUGAAAUCGACAGAGCUCAUGCUUUGCUCGUAAAAAUGAAAGUCAUUUACAAUGGUGCUUUUAGUGGACGUGUAAACAUGGUAGAAUUGUUCUCCGUAAAAGUUAAUAUUAUCGGUUUUAAAAGUUUAGAAUGCAACUUUUCUGCUUUUGAAGUUGAAGGACUAAAUCUAGACUUUGUCAAGAGUUAAGAUACGAAAACUAUAUUUUUUUCUAAUCUCUAAAAUAUAUGAGCAGCAUAGGGAAAAAAAGAGCUCCAAUUUAGAUGUCAUAUAAAGCCAUGUGUGUGCACACGAAAAACCUCCCGCGGCAAGCGUGAUCAACAAUCUACAAAUCUCACACACGAAAACCAACGUGGCAUUGGGAACACGUUGUUUGAUAUAUGUGUAUAACAAAGAGAUGUUUUUCCGGCAUGUACAUAUUGUUCCCAACAACAAAAAAAGUGUUUUGACGGCAUAUAAUAUGGCAUUCCCCUUCUAUCCCACACACACAUGUCAUUUUGCAAACCAAGCCGUGGUUGGAUGGUUAGUAGGAAUGUGGUAUCUCCUGCUCAUCAGAUCAAAUUUCAGAUUUAAUAUUGGUGCUUACAUUUUUCUGGAUUUAUUUCAGGUCUUUUGACGAUUUCCUUAAGUGGGAGCAGACGUUCCCAUCGACUACAAAGGUGUCUGUGGCGACUUCAUUAAUCUCAAGAUGAUGUGUCGGCUCUCCUGAAUAUCCUCAUAGUGAUAGAAUGUGCGUGUGUGCGUUCAUAGGGAUGAGUGUAUCUUCGUGUUUAUGAGGAACUUCGAUUGUACUCUGCUAAAAAAACACAUGUCAUUUUGACAAAAAAAUGUAUAUUAUCCAAGCUCCCCCCAUUAGUUGUAUUCUCGGACAAAAUAGGACCUGCUAGAGCGGAGUCGGAUUUUUAAAGUUUUGAAAAGAAAAAUCCAAACAAAACGUGCUUGUGCUAGAGUGGACUACUUUAUUUUUUAUGUGUAGCUCACGUCAAAAACGUAUUUCAUCAUACAUAUUCUUUAGAAAAUGUAGAGAAAAAACGCACCGGCUUGCGCUUUUUCUUUUUGAGAAGGAGGAAGCGAGCCCCCGGCCUCUGCAUCAAUCGAUGCAUGCAGUCAUAUUAUUAAAAAUAGUUCAAAGUAACAUCUUAGGUCCACAAAGCUCUGAAGCUCGAAAUGAAAAGCAAAGCAAAAAUGAUAUGAAGGAAAAACUGCCACAUCCGGCAUAACUAAUAGCAGACUACGAUGCCUAUACACCUAGUCUAUUAUUAGCACGCCAUCCAAACCGGUUGAAGAUAACCCGUGCGACCAUCUCCCAUCAGUUGCACCCAAUAUCCAUAAGCUCCCUGGAGUCCGCAUGGCUGAGUAACGACCACGUACGGAUCCAAGAUGUUGCUCUGAAGAUAACCUGUAAAAAGUUGUUGAAGUUCUUGCCAUUAAAAAUCAUGUCAUUCCUGGUAUUCCAUAUAGCCCAAAAUAGAGCACAUAUCCCAAUUCUAAUAAGUUUCGAUAUUUUAACGUCGACUCCAUUAAGCCACGUUGUAAAUAUGGAGGUAAUACAUGUAGGUGGGAUAACAUUAAAGGCUAUAUCAACAGUGCGUCAUAGUAGUUUUGCAAGAGGACAGUCCAGAAAAAUGUGUCUUAUUGUUUCAUUUUGCUCACAAUAGCAACAAUUAGAUCUACCUCUCCAACUACGUUAAAUUAAGUUAUCUUUGGUUAAUACCACACCUUUGUGUAUAAACCACAUGAAAUUUUUAAUCCUUAGCGGCACUUUGAUAUUCCAAAUAUGUAAAGAUCUGGAUAAGGGUCCCGUGUUUAUUAAAUCCGUAUACAUGGACUUUACUGAGAAUACUCCAUUCACAGCUAAAAUCCAGCGAACACUAUCUGGCUCAUCAGAUAAUUGCACUUGCAUUAGUCUUCUGACCAAAUGCAACCAUGCCUCCCAGCAUGCUCCCACUAAAGCUCGUCUGAACUGCAUAUUAAGAGGUACCGAUUGUAGUACCGUGGACGCAUAGUCCUCUUUACGUUGUGCAAUAUUAUAAAGCAUGGGAUAUUGAAAUGCUAGAGGUGUGCCCCCAAGCCAAGUAUCCUUCCAAAAUCUUGUUGAGGCACCAUCACCUACUAUAAAUUUCACCCUCUGGAAAAAAGUCACCUUUAUCUUCAUUAACCCUUUCCAGAAAGGUGAGUCAUUUGGUCUACUUGUAACCUGGGCUAAAGUUUUUGAAUUUAGGUAUUUAUUCUUCAGUAUUUGAAUCCACAUUCCUUCGGUCUCCGUGGAUAGCCUAGAUUUUCAAUGCCCAAACCCCCCUGGUCUUUCGGUCUACAUAUAAUAUCCCAACGUGCCAAUCUGUAUUUCUUCUUAGCCUCAUCACUUUGCCAGAAGAAACGAGAUCUAUAAAAAUCUAGUAUUUUCCGUACCCCUACUGAUAUUUCAAAAAAAAGACAAGAGGAACACGGGUAGGCUUGUUAACACGGAGUUUAUUAAUACAAGCCUCCCUCCAUAUGACAUAAGCUUNNNNNNNNNNNNNNNNNNNNNNNNNNNNNNNNNNNNNNNNNNNNNNNNNNNNNNNNNNNNNNNNNNNNNNNNNNNNNNNNNNNNNNNNNNNNNNNNNNNNNCAUAUCAAAAUACCGAACGAAUAUCAAAUUCACAUGACUAUUAUUAACAUGACUUAUCCCAUGUCCUCAGGAACAAAAGUAACUACUCAAAAAACAUAAUCAUAAUCAUGAUCAAAGGUGUAAUGAAUAGCAUCAAGGAUCUGAACAUAAACUCUUCCACCAAGUAAUCCAACUAGCAUCAACUACAAAGAGUAAUCAACACUACUAGCAACCUUACAAGUACCAAUCGGAGUCAUGAGACGAAGAUUGGUUACAAGAGAUGAACUAGGGAUUCGAGAGGAGAUGGUGCUGAUGAAGAUGUUGAUGAACAUGCCUCCCCUCCGACAAGAGGAGUGUUGGUGAUGACGAUGGCGACGAUUUCCCNNNNNNNNNNNNNNNNNNNNNNNNNNNNNNNNNNNNNNNNNNNNNNNNNNNNNNNNNNNNNNNNNNNNNNNNNNNNNNNNNNNNNNNNNNNNNNNNNNNNNNNNNNNNNNNNNNNNNNNNNNNNNNNNNNNNNNNNNNNNNNNNNNNNNNNNNNNNNNNNNNNNNNNNNNNNNNNNNNNNNNNNNNNNNNNNNNNNNNNNNNNNNNNNNNNNNNNNNNNNNNNNNNNNNNNNNNNNNNNNNNNNNNNNNNNNNNNNNNNNNNNNNNNNNNNNNNNNNNNNNNNNNNNNNNNNNNNNNNNNNNNNNNNNNNNNNNNNNNNNNNNNNNNNNNNNNNNNNNNNNNNNNNNNNNNNNNNNNNNNNNNNNNNNNNNNAGUUCCGCCUCGUGGCGGCGGCGAAACCACGAAAAAGAUCCCCUCUGAUAUUUUUCUGUACCAAGACGCUUCAUAUAGCAAAAGAGGGGGGCUAGUGGGCCGUCAGGGAGCCCACAAGCCCCCACUCCGCCACCAGGGGGUGGAGGUGUCACGGCUUGUGGCACCCUGGCAGCCCCCCUCCGGUAGUUCUUUCGCUCAGUAUUUUUUAUGUAAUCCCAAAAAAACCCACGUAACUUUUCAGGGCAUUUNNNNNNNNNNNNNNNNNNNNNNNNNNNNNNNNNNNNNNNNNNNNNNNNNNNNNNNNNNNNNNNNNNNNNNNNNNNNNNNNNNNNNNNNNNNNNNNNNNNNGUCCGACGGCCACCUUCAUGGAUAUGUUCUUGAAUUUCUAAUGGAGUUCACAUGAUGUUGACUCCUUGAUUCCAUCCACGGGGUAGCCGGGACCGCCCUCUAUCAUUCUUCGUUCAUCGUCGGGCGGGGCCUCAGAUUCAGCCACGCUGCUUUUCCGCUUAGAUGGGGCGCCGGUAAUAUCAAGUGCAGGAUCUUCCUGGCGCGGUACUCCUCUAAGCUCAUCAAUCUACUUCUGUUGCUCGUUAAUCCUGGCAAGCAACUGGUUGAACUUGUCAUUCUCCUCAUCCUGCUGCCGCUUCUUUGCUCUCUCUCGGCUUCUGUAAGUGUCUUGCCCUCUGGCAAACCCAAGCCACCACGGGUAAGAAGGACCGAAGCCUCGCGUUCGUCCUCCAUGUUCGUCAUUGCCGAGGACCAGUGUGAGCAAAUCUUUAUCUCUAUCUGCAGUGAACUUUCUUUGUCCCUCCUUAAUUUCUUUCACUAUCCUUUUCCAAUUGUCCCUGGGUAUCCUAAGAUUGUCAUUGCAGAUGAGGUCCCCUGUUGUUUCGUCGUACGACCCACCAUGCGCAAGGAACCAAUUUCUUGCUCUCAAGUCCCACUCAUCACGGAGUGGUUCAGGUACGAUGCCUUUAUCUAUCAUAUUGUGUAGAAACACAGGACCGAGAAUUCUAAUCUCUUCGACUAGGUGAACUAGGAGGUGUGUCAUUAUAUUGAAGAAGGAUGGAGGGAACAACAACUCAAAGCUGACCAGACAUUGGACCACAUCAAUUUGUAACCCUGAUAGACUUUCUCGAUCGAUUACCUUCUGAGAAAUUGCAUUGAGGAAUGCACAUACCUUCACAAUUGCCAGGCGAACAUUUUUCGGUAGAAUUCCCCUCAAUGCAACCGGAAGCAAUUGCGUCAUAAGCACGUGGCAGUCAUGAGACUUUAGGUUUUGGAAUUUUUUGUCUUUCAUAUUUACGAUUCCCUUUAUAUUCGACGAGAAGCCAGUCGGGACCUUGAUACUGAAAAGGACUUCAAAGAAGAUUUCCUUCUCUUCCUUAGUAAGAGUGUAGUUGGCACGCCCUUGAAACUGCCCUGGAUGCAUGCCAUCUCUUCCUUUAUGACGUUCCUGGUCCUCCCGUGCUUCCGGUGUAUCUUUUGACUUCCCAUACAAGCCCAGGAAGCCUAGAAUAUUCACGCAGAGAUUCUUCGUCAGGUGCAUCACGUCGAUUGCCGAGCGGACCUCAUGGACUUCCCAGUAGGGUAGCUCCCAAAAUAUAGAUUUUUUUCUUCCACAUGGGUACGCGCUUAUCAGGGCCGUUAGGAACAGGUUGGCUGCCGGGACCCUUUCCAAAGAUUACUUUUAAAUCUUUGACCAUAUCAAAUACUUCAGCACCAGUACGGAUGACAGGCUUCCCCUGGGGUUCUGCCUUGCCAUUGAAAUGCUUGCCUUUUUUCUUUAAGGGAUGCUUGGGCAGAAGAAAACGACGAUUGUACGGAUACACAUUCUUCCUACAGUUGUCGAGAUAUAUACUUUCUGUCUGAUCCAAACAGUGCGUGCAUGCAUUGUAUCCCUUGUUUGAUUGUCCUGAAAUGUUACUAAGAGCAGGCCAAUCAUUGAUGGUUACGAAAAGCAACGCUCGAAGGUCAAAUUCCUCUUGUUUGUGCUCGUCCCACACACGUACACCUGGUUCGGCCCACAGCUGUAAAAGUUCAUCAACUAAUGGCCUUAGGUACACAUCAAUAUCGUUGCCGGGUUGCUUUGGACCUUGUAUAAACACUGGCAUCAUAAUGAACUUCCGCUUCAUGCACAACCAAGGAGGAAGGUUAUAGAUACAUAGAGUAACGGGCCAGGUGCUGUGACUGCAACUCUGCUCCCCAAAAGGAUUCAUGCCAUCUGUACUCAGACCUAACCAUAAGUUCCUUGCGUCAGCUGCAAAUCUCGGGAACUCUCUCUCGAUUUUUCUCCACUGCCGACCAUCAGCGGUGUGCCUCAACUUAUCGUCUUUCAUACGAUCUUCCAUGUGCCAUCGCAACAACUUCGCAUGAUCUUUAUUUCUGAACAGACGUUUCAACCGUGGUAUUAUAGGAGCAUACCACAUCACCUUGGCAGGAACCCUCUUCCUGGGUGGCUCGCCCUCAAUAUCACCAGGGUCAUCUUUUCUGAUCUUAUACCGCAAUGCAGUGCAUACCGGGCAUUUAUCCAUAUUCUCGUACUUCUCACCGCGGAAGAGGAUGCAGUCAUUAGGGCAUGCAUGUAUCUUCUCCACGUCUAAUCCUAGAGGGCAGACAAGCUUCUUUGCUUCGUACGUGCUGGCGGGCAAUUCGUUCUUUCUUGGAAGCAUCUUCUUCAUCAGUACCAGCAACUUUUCGAAUGACGAGUCAGUCACACCGGUCUGUGCCUUCCACUUCAGCAAUUCCAGUGUGCUACCCAGCUUCUUCUGGCCAUCUUCACAAGUUGGGUACAACAAUUUAUUGUGGUCCUGUAACAUCUGCUCGAACUGCAACCUUUCCUUUUCUGUGUCGCAACCUCGCCGUGCAUCAGAAAUGACCCGACCAAGAUGAUUAGCGGGCUCAUCUGGUUCCCGUUCUUCAUCCUGAUCUUCUUCUUCAUUGUCUUCCAUUGCAGUAUCAGCAUACUCAGGGAACAUAGAUCGGUAGUUGUCAUCAUCGUUCUCUUCUUCUUCAUCAUCGUCUUCCAUCAUAACCCCUCUUUCUCCGUGCUUGGUCCAAACAUUAUAGCCCGACAUAAAACCGGACCGAAGCAGGUGGCUCUGAAUGACUCUUAGGAAGUGUAAUCCUUCUCAUUCCGACAUUCAACACAUGGACAAAACAUAUAGCCACCACCAUGCUUGUUCAUAUCGGCUGCAUCUCGAAAAGAAUGCACGCCUUCUCUGUAAGCGGUUGUGCGUCGAUCACUGUACAUCCAUGGAUGGCUCAUCUGCGUUAUACGACAGUAUAUCAAAUACAAUCACGAUCCUAAAAAUUAGUACCGCACGGUCUAAACGAGGAAAUAUAGUUGCUAACCUUUUAGAAUAAGUAGAAAUAAAGAGGAAGAUGUUUAAGCGUGGCUCAGGCAUCUCAUAUCGUAGUUGUGUUCAGUGAACUGAAGCGGCAUCGCUCUAACACACAUUUCAACAAACACCUCUAGUGCAUCAAAAAAAGUGGAGAGCAAGCACCCACCCACAAUCCUCCAUCCAAGAAAAAUGCAACGAAGAGGGGAGAGGGGGGCUGUGCUAUAUAUAGGCAGAGGACUUUAGUCCCGGUUUGAGACACAAACCGGGACUAAAGGUGGCGCACAUGUGGGCUGCACACCGCGUAGCCCUUUAGUCCCGGUUUGGGACACGAACCGGGACUAAAGGCUCCUUACGGGCCGGGACUAAAGCCUCGAGGGAGGAUAUGAGAAUUGGGGCGACGUGGCCGGGCCUUUAGUCCCGGCCCAGAGGCAGGCCGGGACUAAAGGGUCCCGGCCAAAGGCCCGUUUUCCACUAGUGUAUGUUCUAAGAUUGAUGUUGCUACUACUUUGUUAUGCUUAAUGCUUGUCACUAGGGCCCGAGUGACAUGAUUUCGGAUCUGAACCUAUUAUGUUGUCAUCAAUAUAUGUGUGUUCUUGAUCCUAUCUUGCAAGUUGUAGUCAUCUACUAUGUGUUAUGACCCCGCAAUCCCGGAGUGACAAUAGCCGAUACCACUCCCGGAGAUGACCAUAGUAUGAGGAGUUCAUGUAUUCACUUUAUGCUAAUGCUUUGUUCCGGUUCUCUAUUAAAAGGAGACCUUAAUAUCCCUUAGUUUCCAUUAGGACCCCGUUGCCACGGGAGGGAUGGACAAUAGAUGUCAUGCAAGUUCUUUUCCAUAAGCACGUAUGACUAUAUAUGGAAUACAUGCCUACAUUAUAUUGAUGAACUGGAGCUAGUUACAAAUCACCCCAUGUUAUAACUGUUACAUGAUGAAUGUCAUCCGACAUAAUUAUCCAUCACCGAUCCAAUGCCUAUGAGUCUUUUCCUACUGGUCCUUGCUAAGUUACUUUACCGCUACUACUGUCACUGCUGCUACUGUUACCGCUAUUGUUGUCACUGCCGCUACUGUUACCGUUGCUACCAUUGCUAUCACACUACUUUGCUAUUAAAACUUUGCUGCAGAUACUAAGUCUUUCAGGUGUGGUUGAGUUGACAACUCAACUGCUAAUACUCGAGAAUAUUCUUUGGCUUUCCCUUGUGUCGAAUCAACAAAUUUGGGUUGAAUACUCUACCCUCGAAAACUGUUGCGAUCCCCUAUACUUGUGGGUUAUCAAUCACUACUGUACUUUGGGUUUAAUGUGAUGAUGAACUUGUAUUAAUUUUGUCAUUUCUCUAUUCAUGAUGUUCUGCAAUGGUUUUUGAUAUACUUAAUUUCAUAAUACAGAUGAAGCGCCAAUGGAUGUACGGUGAACGAUACACUUCGGAGUAGCUACUGCCGAGUUCCUUGUUUAUCAGUAGCGCAUAUUAUGAGGCCCGCGCUACUGCUAAGGACAUUAGCAGUAGCGCUGGGAGGCAUCCAGCGCUACUGCUUAAUAGUAGCAGCGCUUUCUACUUUCCAGCGCUACUAAUAGGCUCCUACCUAUAAGGUUUUUCCUAGUAGUGCUUAUCUCUAUUGUGUUCCAUCUCCUCUCCUCUUCAAGGAAAAACUCAAUGCAGUUUACGAGUAGCACGCUGCCACAUCUUUACCAUCUCCACAUAAGUGCCCUUCACCCACACCGCUUUCUAGAGUUUGUGAUCAUCGCCCCGCCGCAUUCAGCGAGAGGUCACCACCUCCGCCGCGGCCGCUGCCACCACUCUAGAAUGUAUCUUGCUGCUCAAAGGUCGUUGUUGGUAGACAGGCCUACCUUUGAAGGGCCUCAUCUCCCCUUCAGAUCUGCAUCUGCCAUUGAAGUGGAAAAGCUCGAGCGGGGUGGUCUGUGUCGCUGGAAGUAGAGGAUGUUUUGAUGCAGGAGCAGAAAGGAAGCAUGGCAGAGAAGGUAUUAACGACCCUGGGUCUUUACAGGCUGGUGGAAACAUGAAUGGUCCACUUAACCGCUCCGAUAAGAUCUUCAUGUUUCAGCUCAAUCGAGCCGUUGUGGACAUGUGGGGUCUAACACUCAAUUAAUGGUGUCCCGCGAAAUGCGGGGCACGAUCUUUGUUUUGAUAAGACUUGCCAAGAGUUGCCUCAAAUCGUUGUUCGAGUAAGUUAUGACUGAUAUGCACAAUGUCAUUAACAUGAUGAUUCGGGAAAAGUUAUCAGUACCUUGUUUCAGGAUUGGUCUAUGGUUUAGUCCUCGGUGCUCUGGUAACCACUUUGGGCAAAAGAAGGUGCCACACAGAUGACUAGAGAACUGUUGAACUCAUUUGUCGAGCCGAAAUCUGAAGAAGAUUGUUCGAUAAAGAACCUUAUGCUCGGCAUCGAAGACUAGUUCAAGGGAUACUCAAGAAGUCCUGGACUAAGGGGUCCCACUUGAGGUGGUCUAGUCCCUAGACUGAGCUCGAGGCCCACCGUGGAGGAAGGAUUUCGGAGGUCCACUAAAGGAUUGUGAGCAUAUCAGAUUCUACCAAACACUUGGCGUGCACUCCAGGGAAAGGAUGAUUCGUUCGACAUGUAAUCCAUAGAUGGUAUCUGAUACGUCUCCAUCGUAUCUACUUUUCCUAACUCUUUUGCCCCUGUUUUGGACUCUAAUUUGCAUGAUUUGAAUGGAAUUAACCUGGACUAACGCUGUUUUCAGCAGAAUUGCCUUGGUGUUAUUUUUCUGCAGAAAUCAAAGUUCUCCAAACGUCCUGAAAAUUUACGGAGAUCAUUUGUGGAAAAUAUGAAAAAUAUCUGCGCGAAGUUACACCUGAGGGGGUGGGCCAGUGGGCCACAAGCCCCGGCUCCGCCACCACCCCCCUGGUAGCGGUGGGCAAGCUUGUGGGGCCCACACGGCUCUGACGCCCCCAAUUCCAGCUCUGUAAGUUCACUUUCGUCCCAGAAAAAAUAAAAAGAGAAGUUUUCAUCGCGUUUGUGAUACGGAGCCGCCGCCACCACCUGUUCUUCAUCUGGAGGGCAGAUCUGGAGUCCGUCUUGGGCUUCGGAGAGGGGAAAUCGUCGCCAUCGUCAUCAUCAACCUUCUUCCCUCUCCAAUUCCAUGAAGCUCUUCGUCGUUCGUGAUUAAUCUAUUCGUAGGCUCGCUGAGCGGUGAUGAGUAUGAUGAGAUCUAUCAUGUNNNNNNNNNNNNNNNNNNNNNNNNNNNNNNNNNNNNNNNNNNNNNNNNNNNNNNNNNNNNNNNNNNNNNNNNNNNNNNNNNNNNNNNNNNNNNNNNNNNNNNNNNNNNNNNNNNNNNNNNNNNNNNNNNNNNNNNNNNNNNNNNNNNNNNNNNNNNNNNNNNNNNNNNNNNNNNNNNNNNNNNNNNNNNNNNNNNNNNNNNNNNNNNNNNNNNNNNNNNNNNNNNNNNNNNNNNNNNNNNNNNNNNNNNNNNNNNNNNNNNNNNNNNNNNNNNNNNNNNNNNNNNNNNNNNNNNNNNNNNNNNNNNNNNNNNNNNNNNNNNNNNNNNNNNNNNNNNNNNNNNNNNNNNNNNNNNNNNNNNNNNNNNNNNNNNNNNNNNNNNNNNNNNNNNNNNNNNNNNNNNNNNNNNNNNNNNNNNNNNNNNNNNNNNNNNNNNNNNNNNNNNNNNNNNNNNNNNNNNNNNNNNNNNNNNNNNNNNNNNNNNNNNNNNNNNNNNNNNNNNNNNNNNNNNNNNNNNNNNNNNNNNNNNNNNNNNNNNNNNNNNNNNNNNNNNNNNNNNNNNNNNNNNNNNNNNNNNNNNNNNNNNNNNNNNNNNNNNNNNNNNNNNNNNNNNNNNNNNNNNNNNNNNNNNNNNNNNNNNNNNNNNNNNNNNNNNNNNNNNNNNNNNNNNNNNNNNNNNNNNNNNNNNNNNNNNNNNNNNNNNNNNNNNNNNNNNNNNNNNNNNNNNNNNNNNNNNNNNNNNNNNNNNNNNNNNNNNNNNNNNNNNNNNNNNNNNNNNNNNNNNNNNNNNNNNNNNNNNNNNNNNNNNNNNNNNNNNNNNNNNNNNNNNNNNNNNNNNNNNNNNNNNNNNNNNNNNNNNNNNNNNNNNNNNNNNNNNNNNNNNNNNNNNNNNNNNNNNNNNNNNNNNNNNNNNNNNNNNNNNNNNNNNNNNNNNNNNNNNNNNNNNNNNNNNNNNNNNNNNNNNNNNNNNNNNNNNNNNNNNNNNNNNNNNNNNNNNNNNNNNNNNNNNNNNNNCCCAGUUACGUUGCGACAUUUGAUACACACAAAGUAUUCCUCCGGUGUUAGUGACUUAUAUGAUCUCAUGGUCAUAGGAACAAAUACUUGACAUGCAGAAAAACAGUAGCAACAAAAUGACACGAUCAACAUGAUACGUUUAUUAGUUUGGGUCUAGUCCAUCACGUGAUUCUCCUAAUGACGUGAUCCAGUUAUCAAGCAACAACACCUUGUUCAUAAUCAGAAGACACUGACUAUCUUUGAUCAACUGGCUAGCCAACUAGAGGCUUGCUAGGGACAGUGUUUUGUCUUUGUAUCCACACAUGUAAAUGAGUCUUCAUUCAGUACAAUUAUAGCAUGGAUAAUAAACGGUUAUCUUGAUACAGGAAUUAUAAUAAUAACUAUAUUUAUUAUUGCCUCUAGGGCAUAAUUCCAACAACUCUACCCUCGAAAACUGCUACGAUCCCACGCGCUGGUGGGUCGUCAACAACAUUCUUCUCGUUUCAAUUGCCGGAGAGUGCUAGCAGCAUUCUUUUGGUGCCGUUGCAAGGGGAAGCACAGUUGACAUCAAGCAUUUUUCUGGCAUCGUUGCCGGGGAGGUAUUGCUAUAUUCUCUGAGUCACUUGGGAUUUAUAUCUGCUGAUCACUAUGAAGAAUCUGAAGGAUCCGAAUACCAAAGUCUUGCCCUCAACUACCUGGGGAGGAAAGGAACUUCCAUCUAGCUCUGCACUUGAUUCACCUUCAGUUAUGAGUAAGUUUGCGACAUCACCUCCUGCUAGAAAUCUUGAUAUAUCGCAUGUGCUUGAUGAUGCCUAUGAUGCUAUUGCUAGAGAUGCUAUGCUUGAUACUAUGGCUGAUGAUACUAUGCUUGAUACUAUGCCUGAUGAUGCUAUGCUUGAUACUGCUAGAGAUGUUAUGCCUGAUACUGCUUUGCCUGAUGAUGCUAGAGAUGCUAUUUUGCCCGAUGAUGUUAUGCUUGAUACUUCUAGAGAUACUACUUUGCCUGAUGUUCCACUAGGGGUGUUCCUUGAUGCUCAUAUUGCUAGAGUUACUGCCAAUGCUCGUGAUGCUUCUGAAAUUGCCGAUACUAUUGAGAUAGAACCUGCUUUUGCUCCUGUUAGAUCUAGCUCUCCUAGAAAUGAAUUGCGUGAUAUAUCUGAGGGUUGCGUUAUGGAGGGAGAGAUAGCUGAGGAUUUUCUUGCGUGUAAGGAUGCCUAUGACGCUGAGAAAUUACUUCUCAACUGGAAGGAAAAAUCUCUAGAAGCUAGGAUGAAAUACGACCCGGAGUUUGCCACUUCACCUAUCUUUAUCACCGAUAAGGAUUAUGAAUUCUCUAUCGACCCUGAGAUAAUCUCUCUAGUCGAAUCUGAUCCUUUUCACGGUUAUGAGUCUGAGACGGCCGUAACCCAUCUUGUCAAACUACACGAUAUAGCCACCCUUUUCACUAAUGAGAAGAAGCUCUGCCACUACUAUAUCCUUAAGAUGUUUCCUUUCUCUCUAAAGGAUGACGCUAAAGCCUGGUUCACCUCUCUUGCUCCUGGAUGUGUGAGUAGUCCCCAGGAUAUGGUCUAUUACUUCUGUGAGAAAUAUUUCCCUGCCCAUAAGAAGCAAGUUGCCUUGCAAGAAAUAUACAACUUUGGUCAACUCCAAGAAGAGAGUCUUCACAAGCUUGGGGGAGGCUCGUCCAGCUACAGAAUGCUUUGCCUGAUCACCCUCUUAAGAAGAACGAGAUACUUGAUAUCCUCUAUAACGGACUUACCGAUGCCUCUAGAGACCACCUAGAUAGUUGUGUCGGUUGUGUUUUUAGGGAACGAACUGUAGAACAAGCUGAGACCCUACUGAAUAACAUCUUGAUCAACGAUAAUGCUUGGACUAUUCCCGGACCACCUCCUAAGCCAACUCCUAAGAAAAGAGGUAUUCUAUUCCUCAGUCCCGAAGAUAUGCAAGAAGCCAAGAAAUCUAUGCAAGAGAAAGGCAUUAGAUCUGAAGAUGUCAAAAAUCUACCACCUAUCGAAGAGAUCCAUGGUCUCGAUAACCCGAUACAGGUAGUAGAAGUGAAUUCUGUGUGUAGGUUUGAUGAGAGUGAUAUUCCUUUUGAUAAACCUGCUAGCCUAUGCUUUGAUGAAUUUGACAACUUUGUUGCCAAACAACAGAGUUUCAAUGAUUAUGUUAGCAGACACUUGGAACAAAGUACUCGUAUGCUUAGCCAUUUAAGUGCUUUUGUAGACAGAAAUAUCAAUGAUCUGAAGCUUCUGAGUAAACAUGCCUCUAUGAUUACUACUCGGGUAGAACAAGUACUUAAAGCUCAGAAUGACUUGCUCAAUGAAUUAAAUGACAACUAUGUCAGAGUCAUUACUAGAGGAGGUAAAAUUACUUAGGAACCUUUGUAUCCUGAAGGUCAUCCCAAGAGAAUUGAUCAAGAUUCUUAAGGAAUCAAUGCUGAUACACCUAGUCAUCCUAAGGAGAAGAAGAAGGAUGACAGAAACCUACAUGCCAGUUCACCAAAUACUGUCACACUUGAAGAACCUAAUGAUAUUUCUACGUCUGAUGCAUAAACACAAUCUGGUGAUGAACAUGAACCUGGUGACAAUAUGGACAGUGAUGUACAUAAUAAUGCUCAACCUAGCAAUGAUGAGGAUGUGGAGAUUGAACCUACGAUUAAUCUUGAUAACCCACAGCCUAAGAAAUACGAUAAGAAUGACUUCACUGCUAGGAAGCAUGGUAAAGAAAGGGAGCCAUGGGUUCAGAAAUCUAUGCCCUUUCCUCCUAAGCCAUCCAAGAAAAAGGAUGAUGAGGAUUUUGAGCGCUUCGUUUAGAUGAUAAGACCCAUCUUUCUGCAGAUGCAGUUAACUCAUAUGCUCAAGAUGUCUCUGUAUGCCAAGUACAUGAAAGAUAUCGUGACUAAUAAACGGAAGAUACCAGAUCUUGAGAUCUCCACCAUGCUUGCCAAUUACACUUUCAAAGGUUGAACUCGUAAGAAACUUGGUGAUCCCGGAGUGCCCACUAUACCUUUCUCCAUUGAAGGAAACUACGUAAGAACUGCCUUAUGUGACCUUGGAGCCGGUGUUAGUGUUAUGCCGCUCUCUCUUUAUCGUAGACUUGAAUUGGAUAAGUUGACACCCACUGAAAUUUCUGUGCAAAUGGCCGACAAAUCAACUGCUUUCCCUAUCGGCAUUUGCGAGGAUGUGUCUGUUGUGGUUGCUAACACCACUAUCUUAACAGACUUUGUUAUCUUGGAUAUUCCCGAGGACGAUGCCAUGGCUGUCAUCCUCGGAAGACCCUUUUUAAACACUGCAAGGGCUGUUAUAGAUUGCAACAAAGGCAAUGUCACUUUCCAUGUCAACGGUAAUGAGCACACAGUGCACUUUUCGAAGAAACGAUGUCAAGUACAUUGCAUCAAUGCUAUCGAAAAGACUUCAUUGAUUCUCUUUGGGAGCUUUGAAUGCCCUAUUCCUUGUGUCAAGAUGAAGUACGAUUUGCAUGUUGGGGAGAUACAUAUCCCCAUUGAGGUGACUUAGUGGCUAUUAGAAAAUUCUCCGUUCUCUCUUGCGAUUCGAGAAGGUUUUGUCAUGAGGACUUGAUCAACCCCAUUGACGGAUUUCUUUCGAUGACCAUGAAAUGGAUGAAUCAAAGAGUCACAUACCUCUGUUUUGAACUUUCAUUUUCUUUUGCUUAGAAGAAAAAUGAUAGAUUAGUUUAGUUUUUCCUGUUUUCUGUUUUAGCGUCCCGGAGAAAAAUACCUCGAAAAUAAAAGUUCUCCGAUGGUCCUGAAAAUUUAGUAUGAUUUUUUCUGGAAUUUUUGAAAAUUACUGGGCCUGAGAGCUGGCCUGGGGGCCAGACCAGUGGGCCACAAGCCCUGCCACCGCCACACCCCCCUGGUGGAGGAGNNNNNNNNNNNNNNNNNNNNNNNNNNNNNNNNNNNNNNNNNNNNNNNNNNNNNNNNNNNNNNNNNNNNNNNNNNNNNNNNNNNNNNNNNNNNNNNNNNNNACUUUAAAUAGGGCACCGCGUAUUUCCGUUGAGAUGACACAGUAUAGACUGAGGUUUAGAGAAAUCUAAACUGUCGUUUCUUGAAAGUUUGGGGUUUCGACACUUAUGUGAAAAAGUUUCAGUCUGAUAAGCUCGAACCCAAAGCGGAUAAAUGCAUCUUCAUAGGAUAUCCAAAACAGUUGGGUACAUCUCCUAUCUCAGAUCCGAAAGCAAAGUGUUUGUUUCUAGAAACGGAUCCUUUCUCGAGGAAAGGUUUCUCUCGAAAGAAUUGAGUGGGGGGGNNNNNNNNNNNNNNNNNNNNNNNNNNNNNNNNNNNNNNNNNNNNNNNNNNNNNNNNNNNNNNNNNNNNNNNNNNNNNNNNNNNNNNNNNNNNNNNNNNNNNNNNNNNNNNNNNNNNNNNNNNNNNNNNNNNNNNNNNNNNNNNNNNNNNNNNNNNNNNNNNNNNNNNNNNNNNNNNNNNNNNNNNNNNNNNNNNNNNNNNNNNNNNNNNNNNNNNNNNNNNNNNNNNNNNNNNNNNNNNNNNNNNNNNNNNNNNNNNNNNNNNNNNNNNNNNNNNNNNNNNNNNNNNNNNNNNNNNNNNNGGGGGGGGGGGGUAGUAGAACUUGAUGAGGUUAUUGAACCAUCACUUCAACCAGUGUGUAGCAGGGCGUAGGAAGUUGUUCCUGUGGCGCCUACACCAAUUGAAGUGGAAGCUGAUGAUGGUGAUCAUUGAGCUUCGAAUCAAGUUACUACAAACCUCGUAGGUCGACAAGGUCGCAUACUGCUGCAGAGUAGUACGGUAACCCUGUCUUGGAGGUCAUGUUGUUGAGCAACAGUGAACCUACGAGUUAUGGAGAAAGCGAUGGUGGGCCCAGAUUCNNNNNNNNNNNNNNNNNNNNNNNNNNNNNNNNNNNNNNNNNNNNNNNNNNNNNNNNNNNNNNNNNNNNNNNNNNNNNNNNNNNNNNNNNNNNNNNNNNNNGGAGAGGUAGAAGAGUUCUCCGGCAGCGUGACGGCGCUCCGGAGGUUGGUGAUGAUCUUGUCUCAGCAGGGCUCCGCCCGAGCUCCGCAGAAACACGAUCUAGAGGAAAAACUAUGGAGGUAUGUGGUCGGGCAGCCNNNNNNNNNNNNNNNNNNNNNNNNNNNNNNNNNNNNNNNNNNNNNNNNNNNNNNNNNNNNNNNNNNNNNNNNNNNNNNNNNNNNNNNNNNNNNNNNNNNNNNNNNNNNNNNNNNNNNNNNNNNNNNNNNNNNNNNNNNNNNNNNNNNNNNNNNNNNNNNNNNNNNNNNNNNNNNNNNNNNNNNNNNNNNNNNNNNNNNNNNNNNNNNNNNNNNNNNNNNNNNNNNNNNNNNNNNNNNNNNNNNNNNNNNNNNNNNNNNNNNNNNNNNNNNNNNNNNNNNNNNNNNNNNNNNNNNNNNNNNNNNNNNNNNNNNNNNNNNNNNNNNNNNNNNNNNNNNNNNNNNNNNNNNNNNNNNNNNNNNNNNNNNNNNNNNNNNNNNGAGGGGGACCUUGCCUUGGGGUCCAAGGGAUCCCCAAGGGGUCGGCCGAGCCAGGGGGGAGGACUCUCCCCCCCAAACCGAGUCCUACUUGGUUUGGUGGGAGGGAGUCCUUCCCCCUUCCCACUUCUUCCUNNNNNNNNNNNNNNNNNNNNNNNNNNNNNNNNNNNNNNNNNNNNNNNNNNNNNNNNNNNNNNNNNNNNNNNNNNNNNNNNNNNNNNNNNNNNNNNNNNNNNNNNNNNNNNNNNNNNNNNNNNNNNNNNNNNNNNNNNNNNNNNNNNNNNNNNNNNNNNNNNNNNNNNNNNNNNNNNNNNNNNNNNNNNNNNNNNNNNNNNNNNNNNNNNNNNNNNNNNNNNNNNNNNNNNNNNNNNNNNNNNNNNNNNNNNNNNNNNNNNNNNNNNNNNNNNNNNNNNNNNNNNNNNNNNNNNNNNNNNNNNNNNNNNNNNNNNNNNNNNNNNNNNNNNNNNNNNNNNNNNNNNNNNNNNNNNNNNNNNNNNNNNNNNNNNNNNNNNNNNNNNNNNNNNNNNNNNNNUCCGGUGAACUCCCGGAACCCAUUCGUCAUUCCCGGUACAUUCCCGGUAACUCCGAAAACCUUCCGGUAAUCAAAUGAGGUCAUCCUAUAUAUCAAUCUUCGUUUCCGGACCAUUCCGGAAACCCUCGUGACGUCGGUGAUCUCAUCCGGGACUCCGAACAACAUUCGGUAACCAACCAUAUAACUCAAAUACGCAUAAAACAACGUCGAACCUUAAGUGUGCAGACCCUGCGGGUUCGAGAACUAUGUAGACAUGACCCGAGAGACUCCUCGGUCAAUAUCCAAUAGCGGGACCUGGAUGCCCAUAUUGGAUCCUACAUAUUCUACGAAGAUCUUAUCGUUUGAACCUCAGUGCCAAGGAUUCNNNNNNNNNNNNNNNNNNNNNNNNNNNNNNNNNNNNNNNNNNNNNNNNNNNNNNNNNNNNNNNNNNNNNNNNNNNNNNNNNNNNNNNNNNNNNNNNNNNNCGGUAGCAUUAUGAGGUCAUCUCUCACUAAAAUUUCAAGACGAAAUUGUGUUCUCCCCGACUAUGCACCGUUGCUACAAUUCAUCGUUUCGAGACACCACGUGAUGAUCGGGUGUGAUAGACUCAACGUUCACAUACAACGGGUGCAAAACAGUUGCGCACGCGGAACACUCGGGUUAAGCUUGACGAGCCUAGCAUGUGCAGACAUGGCCUCGGAACACAUGAGACCGAAAGGUCGAUCAUGAAUCAUAUAGAUGAUAUGAUUAGCAUAGGGAUGCUUACCACUGAAACNNNNNNNNNNNNNNNNNNNNNNNNNNNNNNNNNNNNNNNNNNNNNNNNNNNNNNNNNNNNNNNNNNNNNNNNNNNNNNNNNNNNNNNNNNNNNNNNNNNNNNNNNNNNNNNNNNNNNNNNNNNNNNNNNNNNNNNNNNNNNNNNNNNNNNNNNNNNNNNNNNNNNNNNNNNNNNNNNNNNNNNNNNNNNNNNNNNNNNNNNNNNNNNNNNNNNNNNNNNNNNNNNNNNNNNNNNNNNNNNNNNNNNNNNNNNNNNNNNNNNNNNNNNNNNNNNNNNNNNNNNNNNNNNNNNNNNNNNNNNNNNNNNNNNNNNNNNNNNNNNNNNNNNNNNNNNNNNNNNNNNNNNNNNNNNNNNNNNNNNNNNNNNNNNNNNNNNNNNNNNNNNNNNNNNNNNNNNNNNNNNNNNNNCCUGAAUUUUAAUACGUUCCUAGAGAAAGCUAAGUUGAAAGAUGAUGGAAGCAACUUUGUAGACUGGGCUCGUAAUCUUAAGCUAAUCUUACAAGCUGGGAAGAAAGAUUAUGUCCUUAAUGCUGCGCUAGGAGAUGAACCACCCGCUACGGCUGAUCAGGAUGUUAAGAACGCUUGGUUAGCACGUAAGGAGGACUACUCAAUAGUUCAAUGUGCAGUCUUGUAUGGCUUAGAACCGGGACUUCAACGUCGCUUUGAGCGUCAUGGAGCAUUUGAGAUGUUCCAGGAGUUGAAGUUUAUCUUUCAGAAGAACGCCCGGAUCGAGAGGUAUGAGACCUCCGAUAAAUUCUAUGCUUGCAAGAUGGAGGAGAACUCGUUUGUCAGUGAACAUGUGCUCAAAAUGUCUGGGUACUCAAACCGUCUAGCUGAACUGGGGAUUGAACUCCCGCAAGAAGCUAUCACUGACAGAAUCCUUCAAUCACUGCCGCCAAGCUAUAAAGGCUUUGUGUUGAACUACAACAUGCAAGGGAUGAACAAGUCUCCCGGCGAGUUGUUUGCGAUGCUGAAAGUCNNNNNNNNNNNNNNNNNNNNNNNNNNNNNNNNNNNNNNNNNNNNNNNNNNNNNNNNNNNNNNNNNNNNNNNNNNNNNNNNNNNNNNNNNNNNNNNNNNNNCCAGUUACGUUGCGACGUUUGAUACACACAAAGUAUUCCUCCGGUGUUAGUGAGUUAUAUGAUCUCAUGGUCAUAGGAACAAAUACUUGACACGCAGAAAAACAGUAGCAACAAAAUGACACGAUCAACAUGCUACGUCUAUUAGUUUGGGUCUAGUCCAUCACGUGAUUCUCCUAAUGACGUGAUCCAGUUAUCAAGCAACAACACCUUGUUCAUAAUCAGAAGACAGUGACUAUCUUUGAUCAACUAGCUAGCCAACUAGAGGCUUGCUUGGGACAGUGUUUUGUCUAUGUAUCAACACAUGUAAAUGAGUCUUCAUUCAAUACAAUUAUAGCAUGGAUAAUAAACGAUUAUCUUGAUACAGGAAUUAUAAUAAUAACUAUAUUUAUUAUUGCCUCUAGGGCAUAAUUCCAACAGUCUCCCACUUGCACUAGAGUCAAUAAUCUAGCCCUCACAUCAUCAUGCGAAUUACAUUGUAAUAAAUCUAACACCCAUACAGUUCUGGUGUUGAUCAUGCUUUGCCCGUGGAAGAGGUUUAGUCAGCGGGUCUGCUACAUUCAGAUCCGUGUGCACUUUGCAUAUAUUUACGUCCUCCCCUUCGACAUAGUCGCGGAUGAGGUUGAAGCGUCGUUUGAUGUGUCUGGACUUCUUGUGAAACCGUGGUUCCUUUGCUAAGGCAAUGGCACCCGUGUUGUCACAGAACAAGGUUAUUGGAUUCAGUGCACUUGGCACCACUCCAAGAUCCGUCAUGAANNNNNNNNNNNNNNNNNNNNNNNNNNNNNNNNNNNNNNNNNNNNNNNNNNNNNNNNNNNNNNNNNNNNNNNNNNNNNNNNNNNNNNNNNNNNNNNNNNNNGUAUGUGCUUUGUGAAAGUCCUAUCAGGCGUUUUGAUCUAUCCCUGUAGAUCUUAAUGCCUAGAAUAUAAGCAGCUUCUCCUAGGUCCUUCAUAGAGAAACUAUUAUUCAAUUAAUCCUUUAUGCUCUCCAAAAACUCUACGUUGUUUCCAAUCAGCAAUAUGUCAUCCACUAGUAUAAACCACUUGUAUAAACCCAAAUGCUUUGAUCACCUCAUCAAAGCGUUUGUUCCAACUCCGAGAUGCUUGCACCAGUCCAUAAAUGGAUCGCUGGAGCUUUCACACCUUGUUAGCAUUCUUAGGAUUGACAAAACCUUCGGGUUGCAUCACAUACAAUUCUUCCUUAAGGAAACCGUUAAGGAACGCAGUUUUGACAUCCAUCUGCCAGAUUUCAUAAUCGAAAAAUGCAGCUAUUGCUAACAUGAUUCUGACGGACUUAAGCAUCGCUACGGGUGAGAAUGUCUCAUCGUAGUCAACUCCUUGAACUUGUGAAAAACCCUUUGCCACAAGUCGAGCUUUAUAAACGGUCACAUUGCCGUCCGCGUCCGUCUUCCUCUUAAAGAUCCAUUUGUUCUGAAUAGCCUUCCGGACCUCAGGCAGUACUUCCAAAGUCCACACUUUGUUCUCAUACAUGGAUCCUAUCUCGGACUUCAUGGCUUCUAGCCAUUUGUUGGAAUCUGGGCCCACCAUUGCUUCUUCAUAAUUUGCAGGUUCAUUGUUGUCCAACAACAUGAUUGAUAAGACGGGAUUACCGCACCACUCUGGAGCAGCACGUGGUCUCGUCGACCUGCGUGGUUCGACAGAAACUUGAACCGGAGUUUCAUUAUCAUUAUCAUUAACUUCCUCCUCAACCGGCGUCGCAACGACAGAGGUUUCCCCUUGCCCAGCGCCGCCAUCCAGAGGGAUGAGAGGUUCGACAACCUCGUCAAGUUCUAUCUGCCUCCCACUCAAUUCUCUCGAGAGAAACUCCUUCUCGAGAAAAGCUUCGUUUUUAGCAACAAACACUUUGCCCUCGGAUUUGAGAUAGAAGGUGUACCCAACUGUCUCUUUUGGGUAACCUAUGAAGACGCACCUUUCCGCUUUGGGUUCCAGCUUUUCAGGCUGAAGCUUUUUGACAUAAGCAUCACAUCCCCAAACUUUAAGAAACGAUAGCUUUGGCCUUUUGCCAUACCACAGUUCGUAUGGUGUCGUCUCAACGGAUUUUGAUGGUGCCCUAUUUAAAGUGAAUGCAGCUGUUUCUAAUGCAUAACCCCAAAACGAUAACGGCAAAUCGGUAAGAGACAUCAUAGAUCGCACCAUCUCUAAUAAAGUACGAUUACGAUGUUCGGACACACCAUUACGCUGUGGUGUUCCAGGCGGUGUCAACUGUGAAACAAUUCCAUAUUGUCUUAAGUGAGCACCAAACUCGAAACUCAGAUAUUCACCCCCACGAUCAGACCGUAGGAACUUGAUCUUCUUGUUACGAUGAUUUUCAACUUCACUCUGAAAUUGCUUGAACUUUUCAAAUGUUUCAGACUUGUGCUUCAUUAAGUAGACAUAACCAUAUCUACUCAAAACGUCAGUGAAGGUGAGAAAAUAACGAUAUCCGCCGCGUGCCUCUACGCUCAUCGGACCACACACAUCGGUAUGUAUGAUUUCCAACAAGUCACUUGCAUGCUCCAUUGUUCUGGAGAACGGAGUUUUAGUCAUCUUGCCCAUGAGGAAUGGUUCGCACGUGUCAAGUGAAUCAAAGUCAAGUGACUCCAAAAGUCCAUCGGCAUGGAGUUUCUUCAUGCGCUUUACACCAAUAUGACCUAAGCGGCAGUGCCACAAAAAUAUGGCGCUAUCAUUGUUAAAUCUAACUCUUUUGGUCUCAAUGUUAUGUAUGUGUGUAUCGCUAUCAAGAUUCAAUAUGAACAAUCCUCUCACAUUGGGUGCAUGACCAUAAAAGAUGUUACUCAUAGAAAUAGAACAACCAUUAUUCUCUGACUUAAAAGAGUAACCGUCUCGCAAUAAACAAGAUCCAGUAUAAUGUUCAUGCUCAACGCAGGCACUAAAUAACAAUGAUUCAAGUUCAUAACUAAUCCUGAUGGUAACUGAAGUGAAACUGUGCCGACGACGAUUGCAUCAACCUUGGAACCAUUUCCUACGCGCAUCGUCACUUCAUCUUUCGCCAGCCUUCGUCUAUUCCGCAGUUCCUGUUUCGAGUUGCAAAUAUGAGCAACAGAACCGGUAUCGAAUACCCAGGCACUACUACGAGAGCCGGUUAAGUACACAUCAAUAACAUGUAUAUCAAAUAUACCUGAUUUUUCUUUGGCCGCCUUCUUAUCAGCCAGAUACUUGGGGCAAUUGCACUUCCAGUGACCCAUACCCUUGCAAUAGUAACACUCUGUUUCAGGGUUAGGUCCAGCUUUGGGUUUCUCCGUCGGAUUGGCAACAGGCUUGCCGCUCUUCUUUGAAUUACCCUUCUUGCCUUUGCCGUUUCUCUUGAAACUAGUGGUCUUAUUCACCAUCAACACUUGAUGCUCUUUACGGAGUUCAGACUCUGCGACUUUCAGCAUCGCAAACAACUCGCCGGGAGACUUGUUCAUCCCUUGCAUGUUGUAGUUCAACACAAAGCCUUUAUAGCUUGGCGGCAGUGAUUGAAGGAUUCUGUCAGUGAUAGCCUCUUGCGGGAGUUCAAUCCCCAGCUCAGCUAGACGGUUUGAGUACCCAGACAUUUUGAGCACAUGUUCACUGACAAACGAGUUCUCCUCCAUCUUGCAAGCAUAGAAUUUAUCGGAGGUCUCAUACCUCUCGAUCCGGGCGUUCUUCUGAAAGAUAAACUUCAACUCCUGGAACAUCUCAAAUGCUCCAUGACGCUCAAAGCAACGUUGAAGUCCCGGUUCUAAGCCAUACAAGGCUGCACAUUGAACUACUGAGUAGUCCUCCUUACGUGCUAACCAAGCGUUCUUAACAUCCUGAUCAGCCGUAGCGGGUGGUUCAUCUCCUAGCGCAGCAUUAAGGACAUAAUCUUUCUUCCCAGCUUGUAANAUUCCGGAAACCCUCGUUACGUCCGUGAUCUCAUCCGGGACUCCGAACAACAUUCGGUAACCAAACAUAUAACUCAAAUACGCAUAAAACAAUGUCGAACCUUAAGUGUGCAGACCCUGCGGUUUCGAGAACUAUGUAUAUAGACAUGACCCGAGAGACUCCUCGGUCAAUAUCCAAUAGAGGGACCUAGAUGCCCAUAUUGGAUCCUACAUAUUCUACGAAGAUCUUAUCGUUUGAACCUCAGUGCCAAGGAUUCAUACAAUCCCGUAUGUCAUUCCCUUUGUCCUUCGGUAUGUUACUUGCCCGAGAUUCGAUCAUCAGUAUCUGUAUACCUAUUUCAAUCUCGUUUACCGGCAAGUCUCUUUACUCGUUCCGUAAUACAAGAUCCCUCAACUUACACUAAGUCACAUUGCUUGCAAGGCUUGUGUGUGAUGUUUGUAUUACCGAGUGGGCCCCGAGAUACCUCUCCGUCACACGGAGUGACAAAUCCCAGUCUCGAUCCAUACUAACUCAACGAACACCUUCGGAGAUACCUGUAAAGCAUCUUUAUAGUCACCCAGUUACGUUGCGACGUUUGAUACACACAAAGUAUUCCUCCGGUGUCAGUGAGUAAUAUGAUCUCAUGGUCAUAGGAACAAAUACUUGACAUGCAGAAAACAGUAGCAACAAAAUGACACGAUCAACAUGCUACGUCUAUUAGUUUGGGUCUAGUCCAUCACGUGAUUCUCCUAAUGACGUGAUCCAGUUAUCAAGCAACAACACCUUGUUUAUAAUUAGAAGACACUGACUAUCUUUGAUCAACUGGCUAGCCAACUAGAGGCUUGCUAGGGACAGUGUUUUGUCUAUGUAUCCACACAUGUAUAUAAGUCUUCAUUCAAUACAAUUAUAGCAUGGAUAAUAAACGAUUAUCUUGAUACAUGAAUUAUAAUAAUAACUAUAUUAUUAUUGCCUCUAGGGCAUAAUUCCAACAGGACGGGCAUGGGACGACACCUUACACAUGUGCAGAAUCUAAGAAGUUAAUUUAAGCUCAAAUUUUGCAUCUAAAUAAAAGGAAAUCCCACAUACACUCGUACACUAAAACCCACAAACCACUCUACUUCUAGAGCAUUUGAAAUGAGCGAAACUAGCAGUGAGAGAUGAAAGGAUGAAGUAGCUAACCUUCUAAAACACUUGUGUAGUUGGUGCACCGCCAAACCUAGACAAAUAUUGAGGAAAAUGGAGCUUCGAGGUCGAGCUUGGAGAGGAGAAAGCUUAAGUGUGUCUCGGGCAUUUCAUCGAACACCUCAUGUGCAUGCAUAGAAGGGUGGCAACAAGAGCAUGGCAUGCAUGCACACCUAGGCCAAAAAACAGAGAAGAGGGUCGGCAGGGCGCGGGUAUAUAUAGGCAUCUCUUUGGUCCCGGUUUGUGGCCGGAACCGGGACAGAAGACUAACCAUUAGUCCCGGUUCCAGCCCCCAACCGAGACUAAUGCUUCGUGGCACGCCACGUGUCAGUCACUCGAUCUUUAGUCCCGAUUUUAGGGACGAACCGGGACUAAUGCAGCGAACCUAAUCAGGACUAUUGCCCCGUGAGGCUCUGGCAGCUCGAACGAGGACCAAUGCCUCACAUUGGUCUCGGUUUUACGUGGACCGAGGCUAAUGGGAUUUGGGCCUCCGACCGAAAGCCUCAUUUUCUACUAGUGUAUACUAGUCCUGUAGGUACUCGACUAGUCAAUUCACUUGAGUCCUAUGACAGCUCGAGUGCGACCGAAAUGCCAACUAGAACACUCGCCUAAGCUCUUCAUUUGGACGAUAUUUCAACUCUGACAAAAACGACUUAUGGUGGAAAGUGCUUCUUUCUAUGGCAGGUAGGACUCUAAGGAGUUCGCCAAAGUUUUCCAUGACACAGGCGAGGAAGGGGGGCAUCGAGCUGGAGGAGCCCCUUAUCAAGGAUCAACUCAUGGAGUUGUGGAUGUAUAUGACUAACAUCUAUUUUGACUCGUGGUUCCACAGUUUCUUAGGACAUGUAAGCUAUAUAUGUUCAAUUUAAUUUUGGCACCAUCAUUGGAGUAAAUCAAUGAGACCUAAAAAUGAAAUUUAUCUUAAAGGCAUGUGACAAAAAUAGGUGCGACAAGAACGGUGAUGGGAUGCUCAUUGAAGACAAGGUCAAGGAGGUGGAUACGACGAUGAUGUCUGAUAUGUCUCCAACGUAUCUAAUUCUCCAAACUCUUUUGCCCUUGUUUUGGACUAUAAUUUGCAUGAUUUGAAUGGAACUAACCUGGACUGACACUGUUUUCAGCAGAAUUGCCUUGGUGUUAUUUUUGUGCAAAAAUCAAAGUUCUCCAAACGUCCUGAAAAUUUACGGGGAGCAGUUUUGGAAAAUAUCAAAGAUAUAUGCGCCAAGUUCCACCUCAGGGGGUGGGCCAGUGGGCCACAAGCCCCUCCUCCGCCACCACCCCCCUGGUGGCGGUGGGCAGACUUGUGGGGGCCACAGGCACCUGCCGCCCCCAACUCCAGCUCUAUAAGUUGUCUUUCGUCCCAGAAAAAAUAAAAAGAGAAGUUUUCAUUGCGUUUUCGAUACGGAGGCGCCGCCACCACCUGUUCUUCAUCUGGAGGGCAGAUCUGGAGUCCGUCUUGGGCUCCGGAGAGGGGAAAUUGUCGACAUCGUCAUCAUCAACCUUCUUCCCUCUCCAAUUCCAUGACGCUCUUCGUCGUUCGUGAGUAAUCUAUUCGUAGGCUCGCUGGGCGGUGAUGAGUAGGAUGAGAUCUAUCAUGUAAUCGAGUUAGUUUUGAUGGGGAUUGAUCCCUAGUAUCCACUAUGUUCUGAGAUUUGAUGUUGCUACUACUUUGCCAUGCUUAAUGCUUGUCACUAGGGCCCGAGUGCCAUGAUUUCGGAUAUGAAAUUAUUAUGUUGCCACCAAUAUAUGUGUGUUUUAGAUCCGAUCUUGCAAGUUGUAGUUACCUACUAUGUGUUAUGAUCCGGCAACCCCGGAGUGACAAUAACCGGAACCACUCCCGGUGAUGAUCAUAGUUUGAGGAGUUCAUGUGUUCACCAAGUGCUAAUGCGUUGGUCCGGUUCUUUAUUAAAAGGAGAACCUUAAUAUCCUGUAGUUUCUUUUUGGACCCCGCUGCCACAGGAGGGAUGGACAAUAGAUGUCAUGCAAGUUCUUUUCCCUAAGCACGUAUGACGACACACGGAAUGCAUGCCUACAUCACAUUGACGAACGGGAGCUAGCCACAUAUCUCUCAGUGUUAUAGCUCUUGCAUGAUGAAUAUCAUCCAAACAAAUCACCGACCCAUUGCCUACGAGUUUGUCCUACUGCUGUUACUUGUCUUGCUCUGCUGCUGCUACUACUGUUGCUACUGUUGUUACUUGUCUUGCUCUGUUGCUGCUACUAUUGUUGCUAUUGCUGUUACUUGUUUUGCUCUGCUACUAUUGCUACUACUGUCGCUUGCUACUGUUGCUACUUGCUACUGCUGUCACUACUGUUGUUCCUUGCCACUGCUAUUGCUCGUUACACUGCUACUACCUGCUACACUGUUGAUUCGCCAGACCGUUGACGGGAAUUGACAACUUCCGUCGACGCGGCAACGGAGGCGCCAUUGAUACAAUUGUUAGGAAUAGUCUGCCGUCAACAGAUCGUUUCUGACACUGUUGUUAUCAUACUACUUUGUUGUUACUACUGUGCUUGCAGAUACUAAUCUUUCAGGUGUGGUUGAAUCCGACAAAUUCAGCUGCUAAUACUUGAGAGUAUACUCUCACCUCCUGACUGGCUUACCUACAAAUUUGGGUCGAAUACUCUACCCUCGAAAACUGCUGCUAACCCACGCGCUGGUGGGCCAUCAACAACAUUCUUCUAGUCUCAUUACUGGGGAGUGCUUUCAGCAUUCUUCUGGUGCCGUUGCAGGGGAAGGUUUGUUGUCAUAAGCAUUCGUCUAGCUAACGCCAGAGAUUGCAGGAUCAACCCUUUUCUGGAGCCAUUGCCAGGGAAGCACAGCUGACGUCAAUGUCUUCAUACAUGUAUUCAUAAGCCGAUUGUGGAUCUUGGAAGUUUACAACAAUUCAAGAACUGUGCAUGCAUAGAGAUACUAUGACAAGAAUCUCAAGCUAAGAUUUAGUUUUGGUAAUAAAUUUUGUUGCAUGUAGCAAUGCAUGGGCUUUUGACUAGUAUAUAUACCAAAAGUGCUAGCCCAGGCAAGCAUGCGAGUUAAAGACAAGUUAUCUACUAGUGGUAGAUGGUGACAUGAUAGAAAUAUGGCGGACUGAACACAUGCACUUGACUAGAGCGCUCACUCCAGACNNNNNNNNNNNNNNNNNNNNNNNNNNNNNNNNNNNNNNNNNNNNNNNNNNNNNNNNNNNNNNNNNNNNNNNNNNNNNNNNNNNNNNNNNNNNNNNNNNNNUUCCCCGGCCUAUCCCCGUGCCGUCGUCGCCGCCCGCGCCCCCCGGCAACCGUUCAGGCGCUUCCCCGACUAUCUCCGCUGUCGCCGCCGGCCGCGCCCCCCGGCGAUCGUUUAGGCGCUUCCCCGGCCUCCCCGCGCCGUCGCGCUUCCGCCCCACCCCCUCCUAGUCCCGCCGGCCCUCGCGCGCCCCCGUCGUCCGAGGAACAGCGCCCGAGCGCUCGCUGCCGCAGCGCGCCCGCAAGGUGUUCGACAAAACGCCUACAAGGUAUGUAUUGCUCAAACUUAUGAAUUUGGUGCAUGUUUUGAAUUGUAGUUUUUAUAGUAUAGUAUUGAACAUUGUAGAUGAGUUCGUCGUAUGAUUCUUCCGAAGAAGAAUUUGAUAUGGAAGAGGAGGAGGAUCUUGCAAUGAUCCUAGCUAUGCAUAUCAAUAAAAAACCGAAGCACGGUGGUUCGGUUAUGGGUUGGGAGAAAAUUUGGAGAGAUAGGAUUGAUGCCCAUAACAGAUUGAUGAAGAACUAUUUUGUGGAGAAUCCCACAUACCCGGAGUCGUAUUUUCGUCGCCGGUUUAGGAUGAGCACUCACUUGUUCAAGCGCAUUGCAGAGAAACUAGCGAGCCAUGACCGGUUUUUCCAGCAAAGGAGGAAUGCCGCCGGAGAGCUCAGGCAUAGCACCUUUCUGAAGGUGACAGCCGCUUUGCGUAUGUUGGCAUACGGUAUCCCGGCUGAUCUAGUUGAUGAUCACUUGGCUAUGGGUGAGGGCCAAGCCAUCAUGUGUGUCAAGCGCUUUGCAGUGGGAAUUGUGCAAGUGUUUGGCGAGGAGUAUUUGAGAUCUCCCACUGCUGAAGACGUCACAAGGCUAUUGGCGAUGAACAAGGCUCGCGGCUUUCCUGGCAUGCUUGGCUCAAUAGAUUGCAUGUAUUGGAGUUGGAAGAAUUGUCCAAAGGCAUGGCAUGGGCAAUUCCACGACCAAAAAAGGGUUACACUAUAAUCCUUGAAGCGGUGGCCGAUUAGGAGACUUGGAUUUGGCAUGCAUUCUUUGGAAUGCAUGGAUCUUUGAAUGAUAUCAAUGUUGUCAACCGGUCACCACUGAUGAAUAAGAUUGCAGAUGGUGAGUUGCCACCGGUGCAGUUUGUAGCAAAUGGUCGUACGUACAACUAUGGCUAUUAUCUAGCGGAUGGCAUCUAUCCAAAGUGGCAAACCUUUGUGAAGCCGUUGAAAAAGCCGGAGGGUAAGAAAAAUCUUGAUUUCCACAAUGUUCAGGCGGCGGCUAGAAAAGAUGUGGAGAGAGCAUUUUGGAUUUUGCAAGCCCAAUUUGCUAUUGUGAGAGGACCGGCUAGAUUUUGGGAUCAAAAAUGCUUUGGUACAUCAUGCACGCUUGUGUGAUCAUGCACAACAUGAUCAUCAAGAAUGAGCGUGGCCAAGAUUUAGACUACUCACAGUAUGAGCUCUUGGGACAUCCCGUGCGAGUGCGACGGAGGGCUAAAAGGGUAGCCCGUUUUGUUGCCUCCUAUGAUGCCAUUCGGCGCCCCACAACGCACAAUAAACUUUAGAAGGAUCUGAUUGAAGAGUGGUGGGCAUGGCAUGGACGAGAAAGAGCAUGAUUUCUGCAUUCGACAUUGUAUUGUUCAUGAACUAUUGGUUGUGUUUAUUGCAUUAUUUGUUGUACUAAACGAUAAACUAUUAGUUUGAGUUGUAAUGACUAUUUAUUGUUGAUUUAUUUUGUUUAUUUGAUCAUUUUUGCAUCUAUUUUUUGAAAUGUAUAUGUGGUUUGUGCGUGCUGCGCGCGCUGUAUUUUUGGGCGCUGCUGGAGCGGCGCGCGCGCUGCAUUAUAGCGCGGCCGUUGGAGCCAGCGCCUAUCCCCGCGCUAAAUCAGCCGAAGCGCGCGCGGCAAACACAUUUUUUGGGCGCAGCGCGAAGCGCGGCUGUUGGAGAUGCUCGAGGCAUGGUCACUACUACGUCCACCAUGCUAGAGCGGCGGGCUAGCCGUGUCGGUGGUUGGCCAUGGUACGGACUCUAUGGAUAUGGGGCUCCUGAUUGAAUGCGUCCGGCAAAACGGAGCUCGUCGGGACCUAAAGAGGAGGAGAUGCCGCUGGUGGAAGCGGAGGGAGUGUGGCGUAUGGGGGUCAGGGAGGUCUCGCUGCUGGGUCACGGCUGCUGCAACACGAGGAGGAAAGAAUGUUUCGACGCACGGAGGCCCGCGGAAGUGGCGGCUGUUGCACCCUUGCUUGAGGAUCAGGUGAAGUCAAGGUCGUUCUCCCUCAUCCAGAUAGCCAGUACCAUCGGAUCCGCUCGCCGGGUUGGAUCACCCCCGGAUGUGCACAUGGAGUUGCGAGGGGUCUGUCGUCGCUGGCCUCGCCGCCGUCGCUUGCCUAGCGUGAGGCUUUCCCUCUGCUAGGGUUGGUCGCAUGGAGGGUUGUGGGCCGUUUGUUCUAGGUUUUCAUCGGAGGGAGCCCGGGGUGUUGGAUGGGAGGCCCAACCAAGUUUUGGUUUUUGUUUCAUGGACUUAGCGGCUCGGCCUGCCUUGAUGACCCGUGAAGCGCAGCCAACGGUGGCUGAUGCCACCGAUCGCUUCCUUAAGUGGUGGUGGGUGUCUAGGGAUGGCCCAUCCACUCACUUAUGGUUUGAAGCCGCAAUCAGAGACAUCGGGAGAGGAGCUAACACCGCUCACAAGAUCCACUGUUCUCGCGCGCUCAUCCUCGAGGCCUCGCUCGCGGCCAUGGAUGUGAUAGGGCGGCUGGCAAGCAUGCGUUCGAGGAGCAUCAUGCUGAUUACGUGACCUACACAUGGAGAGGGAUAUGUUGAAUUAGAUGUUGGGGGUAGAGGGCAGCCGCAAGAGGGGUCGAGAGGACGUGUUCCCCUUCUUCCAGGUGAUCAAUGCCCAUGGGAUCCCGAGGACAACGGUUGCUUCCUGGUGCCCUCCUUGCGCCACUUCAGGCGGUUGAGGUGUCCAGAGAGGGGCGACAAUGACUCGCGUUGGUCGGACUAGGCCCAAUAAAGAGAUGCCGGGGACACUGCUUGGGAUAGGGAUAAAGGGAGCCUUGAGGACGACCAGUGUGGGAAGGGGGAUUUGGAUACUCCAAAUGUGCUUCCCCUCACGACGACACAUUGUUGGAAAUAUGCCCUAGAGGCAAUAAUAAAUUAGUUAUUAUUAUAUUUCUUAGUUCAUGAUAAUCGUUUAUUAUCCAUGCUAUAAUUGUAUUGAUUGGAAACACAAUACUUGUGUGGAUACAUAGACAAAACACUGUCCCUAGUAAGCCUCUAGUUGACUAGCUCGUUGAUCAAAGAUGGUCAAGGUUUCCUGGCCAUAGGCAAGUGUUGUCACUUGAUAACGGGAUCACAUCAUUAGGAGAAUCAUGUGAUGGACUAGACCCAAACUAAUAGACGUAGCAUGUUGAUCGUGUCAUUUUGUUGCUACUGUUUUCUGCGUGUCAAGUAUUUGUUCCUAUGACCAUGACAUCAUAUAACUCACGGACACCGGAGGAAUGCUUUGUGUGUAUCAAACGUCACAACGUAACUGGGUGACUAUAAAGAUGCUCUACAGGUAUCUCCGAAGGUGUUCGUUGAGUUAGUAUGGAUCAAUACUGGGAUUUGUCACUCCGUAUGACGGAGAGGUAUCUCGGGGCCCACUCGGUAAUACAACAUCACACACAAGCCUUGCAAGCAAUGUAACUUAGUGUAAGUUGCGGGAUCUUGUAUUACGGAACGAGUAAAGAGACUUGCCGGUAAACGAGAUUGAAAUAGGUAUGCGGAUACUGACGAUCAAAUCUCGGGCAAGUAACAUACCGAAGGACAAAGGGAAUGACAUACGGGAUUAUACGAAUCCUUGGCACUGAGGUUCAAACGAUAAGAUCUUCGUAGAAUAUGUAGGAUCCAAUAUGGGCAUCCAGGUCCCGCUAUUGGAUAUUGACCGAGGAGUCUCUCGGGUCAUGUCUACAUAGUUCUCGAACCCGCAGGGUCUGCACACUUAAGGUUCGACGUUGUUUUAUGCGUAUUUGAGUUAUAUGGUUGGUUACCGAAUGUUGUUCGGAGUCCCGGAUGAGAUCAAGGACGUCACGAGGGUUUCCGGAAUGGUCUGGAAACGAAGAUUGAUANNNNNNNNNNNNNNNNNNNNNNNNNNNNNNNNNNNNNNNNNNNNNNNNNNNNNNNNNNNNNNNNNNNNNNNNNNNNNNNNNNNNNNNNNNNNNNNNNNNNGAGAUUCCAGAUGGCGAGUUGCGGCAAGGACAUUGUCCACCAAGUUGGAAAAGUGGCCUUGAGGCGUCCGGAAUCGGGGAAUGCGAUCCUCAGCCGGCUGAACCGGCGGGUUAGGUGGGCGACCCGGCCCUCCCCCCGGGGCGGCUCCCGACCCAGGGGUUCAUGGAGUGUCGAACAGGCAGGUCGGGUUAAGGUCAUGGGGCAGGCGACCCUGGUGUCUCCGUUGAUGGACGGCGUCAGAUGCGCGCUGCUGUCUCUCGAGCCGCCAGUUGUUAAUGUUUAAACGCAUCCUUUCGGCCGUAAUUUGAGCUUGCCGAGUCUCGAUCCUGGCGGUCUCCACCUCGGCGUCCCGAUGAGCCUUUGCCACUGCCUCUUUGAGUUUCGCCAACUCCGUGUUUAUCUCCUCCUGGUUUUCUGGUGUAAGGGGAGUCGCCAUCAGCCUUGUGAUCUCCGCCGCUAAAUCCACCAGGACUGCGGCCGGGCUUCUGGACGUCUCGCCGGCUCCCUUGCCUCCGGUAGGGUUUUGUGUGGGUUGAGUCGCCCCUGCCAUGUAGAUGGCGAUCUGGCGGCGGGUUCGGUCAAGGACUUCGGGGUCCAUGGCCAGCGACAAGCCCCCAAGACAAUCCCCAUGCAGAGACCGGAUUGAAUCUGAAUCGCCCAUGGAUGAUUCGUCAUCAGAGUUGACCGGUGUAGUUUCCUGAGUCGCUGAGCGCUCUGGCUUGUCCGAUCCCUGCGUGAACCCCACAAAGACCGGGCGAGUCAGAUUUUGCGUUAUCACUGGGUGGACGUACCUGGCCGGCUCGACGAUGUCGGUGGAGAUGUCCGGCUCACGCACGGAUGAUCCGAUCAUGCCGAUGAAGAUGUUGAUCUUGCCGAAGAGGACCCUGUAACCAGAUUCAAUUGAAUCCGCUUCAGGCCCCCAUCGCUGGUUGUCGAUGUAGGUUUUCCCGCGGCGGCUCCGUGUCAUGAGUCCCAUCACGUAACUCCCAAACCCUGGUAGAGCUCCCUUUGAGAACUCAACUCCACCGUGUGUAGGCCCCACGGUGGGCGCCAACUGUCGUGGUUUUGUCACGGCAGAUGUCCUCGUGAAAGGACUUAGUACUGGAGCCAUCGCACCUUGGUGGCGACUCAAAGGGGUUAAGCGGGAGAGACACGACGAUUUACCCAGGUUCGGCCCCUCGUGAGGAGGUAAAAGCCUACGUCCUGCUUUGGUUUGUAUUGAUGUGGUUUCGAUUACAAGGAGGGCGUAACUCGCUGAACCUAGCACUCGAUGAUUUCUAACUUGCCCUCUCCUGCCCUAGGACUCGCCUUUAUAUACAGGUCGAACCCUUAGGGUUUACAAGGAUACUUUCCUUCCUGCAAAUCGUGACCCCUGUGGUCUCUAAGUCGCCCUCUUUCAAAGCUUGGAGACCUUCCAGAAAUCAUAAACAGCCAUACGGCCUUGAUCCCGCCAGGCCAAGGCCCAAACCACUGUUUAGGUGAAUCGCCUGAUUGGUGACCCGGCCCAACUAGGGCGGGUUAUUAACAGGUAAUAUCCCCAACACCAAGUGCUAAUGCGUUGGUCCAGUUCUUUAUUAAAAGGAGAACCUUAAUAUCCCGUAGUUUACUUUUGGACCCCGCUGCCACGGGAGGGAUGGAUAAUAGAUGUCAUGCAAGUUCUUUUCCCUAAGCACGUAUGACGACACACAGAAUGCAUGCCUACAUCACAUUGACGAACGGGAGCUAGCCACAUAUCUCUCCAUGUUAUAACUGUUGCAUGAUGAAUAUCAUCCAAACAAAUCACCGACCCAUUGCCUACGAGUUUGUCCUGCUGCUGCUACUACUGUUGCUACUGUUGUUACUUGUCUUGCUCUGCUGCUGCUACUACUGUUGCUAUUGCUGUUACUUGUCUUGCUCUGCUGCUACUGUUGCUACUACUGUCGCUUGCUACUGUUGCUACUUGCUACUACUAUCACUACUGCUUUUCCUUGCCGCUGCUAUUGCUCGUUAGACCGUCGUUACUCGCUACUUUGUUGUUACUACUUUGCUUGCAGAUACUAAUCUUUCAGGUGUGGUUGAAUCUGAAAAUUCAACUGCUAAUACUUGAGAGUAUUCUCCCACCUCCCGUCGUGCGAAUCAACAAAUUUGGGUCGAAUAAUCUACCCUCGAAAACUGCUGCGACCCCAUGCGCUUGUGGGCCGUCAACAACAUUCUUCUAGUUUCGAUUGCCAGGGAGUGCUAGCAGCAGUCUUCUGGUGUCGUUGCAAAGGGGAAGAACAGUUGGCAUCAAGCAUUUUUCUGGCGCCGUUACCGGGGAGGUAUUGCUAUAUUCUCUGAGUCACUUGGGAUUUAUAUCUGCUGAUUACUAUGAAGAAUCUGAAGGAUCCGAAGACCAAAGUCUUGCCCUCAACUACGAGGGGAGGUAAGGAAUUGCCAUCUAGCUCUGCACUUGAUUCACCUUCAGUUAUGAGUAAGUUUGCGACAUCACCUCCUGCUAGAAAUCUUGAUAUGUCGCAUGUGCUUGAUGAUGAUUANNNNNNNNNNNNNNNNNNNNNNNNNNNNNNNNNNNNNNNNNNNNNNNNNNNNNNNNNNNNNNNNNNNNNNNNNNNNNNNNNNNNNNNNNNNNNNNNNNNNAAUCGAGUUAGUUUUGAUGGGGAUUGAUCCCUAGUAUCCACUAUGUUCUGAGAUUGAUGUUGCUACUACUUUGCCAUGCUUAAUGCUUGUCACUAGGGCCCGAGUGCCAUGAUUUCAGAUAUGAAAUUAUUAUGUUGUCACCAAUAUAUGUGUGUUUUAGAUCCGAUCUUGCAAGUUGUAGUUACCUACUAUGUGUUAUGAUCCAGCAACCCCGGAGUGACAAUAACCGGAACCACUCCCGGUGAUGACCAUAGUUUGAGGAGUUCAUGUGUUCACCAAGUGCUAAUGCGUUGGUCCGGUUCUUUAUCAAAAGGAGAACUUAAUAUCCCGUAGUUUCAUUUUGGACCCCGCUGCCACGGGAGGGAUGGACAAUAGAUGUCAUGCAAGUUCUUUUCCCUAAGCACGUAUGACGACACAUGGAAUGCAUGCCUACAUCACAUUGACGAACAAGAGCUAGCCACAUAUCUCUCCGUGUUAUAACUGUUGCAUGAUGAAUACCAUCCAAACAAAUCACCAACCCAUUGCCUACGAGUUUGUCCUACUGCUGUUGUUACUUGUUUUGCUCUUCUGCUGUUACUACUGUUGUUGUUGCUGUUACUUGUUUUGCUCUGCUGCUGUUACUACUAUUGCUGUUUCUGUUACUUGUCUUCCUCUGCUGCUGUUACUACUAUUGCUACUGAUGUUACUUGUCUUGCUCAGCUGCUAUUGUUGCUACUACUGCCGCUUGCUUCUGUUGCUACUUGCUACUGCUGUCACUACUACUUUUCCUUGCCGCUGCUAUUGCUCGUUACACUGCUGCUACUUGCUACAAUUUUGGUUCGCUGGUCAUUGACGGGAACUAACAAUUUCCGUAAACGAGGCAACUUGGCGCCAUUGAUACAAUCGUUAGGAAUAGUCUGUCGUCAACAGAUCGUUUCUGACACUGUUGUUAUCAUACUACUUUGUUGUUACUACUUUGCUUGCAGAUACUAAUCUUUCAGGUGUGGUUGAAUCUGACAAAUUCAGCUGCUAAUACUCGAGAGUAUUCUCUCACCUCUUGUUUGGCGAUCAACAAAUUUGGGCCGAAUACUCUUGUUGGGAACGUCGCAUGGGAAACAAAAAAUUUCCUACGCGCACGAAGACCUAUCAUGGUGAUGUCCAUCUACGAGAGGGGAUGUGUGAUCUACGUACCCUUGUAGACCGUACAACGGAAGCGUUAGUGAACGCGGUUGAUGUAGUGGAAUGUCCUCACGUCCCUCGAUCCGCCCCGCGAACCGUCCCGCGAUCAGUCCCACGAUCUAGUGCCGAACGGACGACACCUCCGCGUUCAGCACACGUACAGCUCGACGAUGAUCUCGGCCUUCUUGAUCCAGCAAGAGAGACGGAGAGGUAGAAGAGUUCUCCGGCAGCGUGACGGCGCUCCGGAGGUUGGUGAUGAUCUCGUCUCAGCAGGGCUCCGCCCGAGCUCCGCAGAAACGUGAUCUAGAGGAAAAACCGUGGAGGUAUGUAGUCGGGCUGCCGUGGAAAACUCGUCUCAAAUCAGCCCUAAAACCUCCGUAUAUAUAGGUGGGAGAGGGGGAGCCUUGCCUUGGGGCUCAAGGAGCCCCAAGGGGGUCGGCCGAGCCAAGGGGGGAAGGUCUCCCCCCCCCCAAACCGAGUCCUACUUGGUUUGGUGGGUGGAGUCCUUCUUUCCUUUCCCACCUCCUCCUUUUUUUUAUUUUCUCUUUCAUUUUUUUCUAUGGCGCAUAGGGCCUUCUUGGGCUGUCCCACCAGCCCACUAAGGGCUGNNNNNNNNNNNNNNNNNNNNNNNNNNNNNNNNNNNNNNNNNNNNNNNNNNNNNNNNNNNNNNNNNNNNNNNNNNNNNNNNNNNNNNNNNNNNNNNNNNNNGCUAAACUCCCACUCAAAAAGUACAUCUCUCUAGUCAUUUGAGUGGUUCAUGAUCCACUUACACUAGCUCAAGUCCGAUCAUCACGUGAGUUGAGCAUAGUUUCAGUGGUAAGCAUCCCUAUGCUAAUCAUAUCAUCUAUAUGAUUCAUGAUCGACCUUUCGGUCUCAUGUGUUCCGAGGCCAUGUCUGCACAUGCUAGGCUCGUCAAGCUUAACCCGAGUGUUCCGCGUGCGCAACUGUUUUGCACCCGUUGUAUGUGAACGUUGAGUCUAUCACACCCGAUCAUCACGUGGUGUCUCGAAACGACGAACUGUAGCAACGGUGCACAGUCGGGGAGAACACAAUUUCGUCUUGAAAUUUUAGUGAGAGAUCACCUCAUAAUGCUACCGUCGUUGUAAGCAAAAUAAGGUGCAUAAAAGGAUUAACAUCACAUGCAAUUCAUAAGUGACAUGAUAUGGCCAUCAUCACGUGCUCCUUGAUCUCCAUCACCAAAGCACCGGCACGAUCUUGUUGUCACCGGCGCCGCACCAUGAUCUCCAUCAACGUGUCGCCAUCGGGGUUGUCGUGCUACUCAUGCUAUUACUACUAAAACUACAUCCUAGCAAAAUAGUAAACGCAUCUGCAAGCACAAACGUUAGUAUAAAGACAACCCUAUGGCUCCUGCCGGUUGCCGUACCAUUGACGUGCAAGUCGAUAUUAUCUAUUACAACAUGAUCAUCUCAUACAUCCAAUAUAUCACAUCACAAGCAUACCCUGCAAAAACAAGUUAGACGUCCUCUAAUUUUGUUGUUGCAUGUUUUACGUGGUGACCAUGGGUAUCUAGUAGGAUCGCAUCUUACUUACGCAAACACCACAACGGAGAUAUAUGAGUUGCUAUUUAACCUCAUCCAAGGACCUCCUCGGUCAAAUCCGAUUCAACUAAAGUUGGAUAAACUGACACUUGCCAGUCAUCUUUGAGCAACGGGGUUACUCAUAGCGAUGAAACCAGUCUCUCGUAAGCGUACGAGUAAUGUCGGUCCAAGCCGCUUCAAUCCAACAAUACCGUGGAAUCAAGAAAAGACUAAGGAGGGCAGAAAAAUGCACAUCACCGCCCACAAAAACUUUUGUGUUCUACUCAAGAAGACAUCUACGCAUGAACCUAGCUCAUGAUGCCACUGUUGGGGAACGUCGCAUGGGAAACAAAAAAUUUCCUACGCGCACGAAGACCUAUCAUGGUGAUGUCCAUCUACGAGAGGGGAUGUGUGAUCUACGUUGUAGACCGUACAGCAGAAGCGUUAGUGAACGCAGUUGAUGUAGUGGAACGUCCUCACGUCCCUCGAUCCGCCCCGCGAACCGUCCCGCGAUCAGUCCCAUGAUCUAGUGCCGAACGGACGGCACCUCCGCGUUCAGCACACGUACAGCUCGAUGAUGAUCUCGGCCUUCUUGAUCCAGCAAGAGAGACGGAGAGGUAGAAGAGUUCUCCGGCAGAGUGACGGCGCUCCGGAGGUUGGUGAUGAUCUCGUCUCAGCAGGGCUCCGCCCGAGCUCCGCAGAAACGCGAUCUAGAGGAAAAACCGUGGAGGUAUGUGGUCGGGCUGCCGUGGAAAAGUCGUCUCAAAUCAGCCCUAAAACCUCCGUAUAUAUAGGUGGGAGAGGGGGAGCCUUGCCUUGGGGCUCAAGGAGCCCCAAGGGGGUCGGCCGAUCCAAGGGGGGAAGGUCUCCCCCCCCCCAAACCGAGUCCUACUUGGUUUGGUGGGUGGAGUCCUUCUUUCCUUUCCCACCUCCUCCUUUUUUUUCUUUUCUCUUUGAUUUUCNNNNNNNNNNNNNNNNNNNNNNNNNNNNNNNNNNNNNNNNNNNNNNNNNNNNNNNNNNNNNNNNNNNNNNNNNNNNNNNNNNNNNNNNNNNNNNNNNNNNACUGUAAUCCAUAUUCCACUCAACAACAAGCUACCAAGAGCACUGAGACGUAGGGCUUUUACCUCCGCCGUAGAGGGGCCUGAACUCAUACAACCUCGCCGUAGCUAAGGCUCUGCCCAUCCUUUCAUACCCUACACAUCUACUGUUAGACUUAUACCCACGACAGUUGGCGCCCACCAUGGGGCAGGCGUCUAAGCGACUUUUCGGUGAGUUUGCGACUACAUCUUUUCGUCAUGUCGUCCGGUGGUGAUUUGAGCAUGUGUCGUGAGAUCCUCUUCGGCACUCUCUCCUUCAUCGUCGACGAUUCGGCAUGGCUUCGGGAUGCCCGUCUUGACGUCGAGGCGCUCCCCAGUCGCGGGGCUACGCACUUCCGUGCCGGCGCCCGCGGCAUCCUUCUUUUCCAGCAGUCGGCUCCGGUGUCGACCUUCCCCCCUGUCACGCGCCGCAACAAGCGGUCUCGCCGUCCUCGGCUCCAGCGUUGGGUGCAACACGCCCAGGCGCGCCAGAGCGCGUCUUCACAAGUGGCGGUCCUCGAGUCGGUUGUAGUUGCGCCGCCGUCCUAGUGCUCGGACUCGGUUCCGACUGAGUUCCCUUCCUAGUAUGUGGGUCGCGGGCCUGCAGCCGAAGUGCACAUGGCCAACUCCCAUGAAAGCCCCCGCCCAACCGGCCGGAACGAGCACGAGGUCGGUGAAACCUCCGGCGCUCGCCGUCAACCCCGCCGUUCUGCCAGUCGGCGCACUCGUCAGAGCAACAUGGAGGUGUUCCGCACACCCGUCCUCAACCUGGCUGCCGCCGCCAAGAUAGCCGAUUCCCUCUCACCGACCGAUUCAGAGGCUAGCAGAGGGAUCGAGCAGAUCCGUGCCCUGCUGCACACGGCGCAGCAGCAAAAUUCGGCGGUCUCCCAGUCGCACAACAGGAUCCACAAUAGUUCUGUUCAUGCGAAGACGCAUCGGUCAGUUCACAACCCCGGUUCUCAUGAGCGACACAGGGGAGGCAGUUGUUCCAUAAAUCCCGAAGAUCGUCGUCGUUCACGCACCCCUCCGUGGGGUGGGCCCUACGGGCCCCGACAUCCUGAUGAUCGGCGUUCAGUCAAUGACACUUAUGAUCCAAGGCCCGACGCAAGAGGGCAUAUCGCUCAGAGUAGGGUCGACAGGGGCCGGGCCCACCGCGAGGAUCACGAUAUGGGCCGUCCGAGUGGAAGCAGGACCAUCGUCUCUGGUCCCGAGUGUUUCAGCCGAGCCAUCCGUUCGGCUCACAUCCCUCCCAACUUCCGAUUGGCGACGGGGAUCAGCAAGUUUACAGGAGAAUCCAAGCCAGAAACGUGGCUGGACGACUACCAAGUGGCACUCCAGAUCGGAGGAGGGGACGACCACGUCGCCAUGAAACACCUUCCUCUGAUGCUUGACGGCUCGGCACGUGCAUGGCUGAACCAGUUGGCCCCCUCAAGCAUCUACAGCUGGGCAGAUCUGGUCCAAGUCUUCAUCAGGACCUUCGAAGGGACGUGCAAACGCCCUGCUGGCCUCGUGGAGCUCCAGCACUGUGUCCAGAAGCAGAAUGAGCCCCUGCGUGAUUUCAUUCAGCGUUGGACGACCCUCUACCACACGGUGGAGAACGUCACAGAGCACCAAGCAGUCUGCACCUUCAAGGCAGGCGUGCGGUACAGAGAUUUGUACCUGAAGUUCGGUCGAACAGGCGACGUCUCCAUGAGUAAGAUGAUGGAGAUAGCGACACGCUAUGCAAAUGGCGAAGAAGAAGACCGCAUUCGGAGCGGCAAGCACAAAGCAGUCGUCGAUGGAGAUGGGAACAACACUCGGAAGCAGAAGCAGAAAGCUCCGUCCACUCUGCAUGUAGAGGCCGCAGCCGUUACCAAUGCCAAGUUUAAGGGCAAGGGGAAGGCUCAGUUCACCCCCAAGAAGAAGCAGUUCGGAAACCCCAUCCUGGACCAGCCAUGUCAGAUUCACACGAAGAUGGAUGAAGAGGGCAACGCCAUAUAUCCGAAGCAUACCACUCGGCAAUGUCGCCGCCUGAUCUAGGGGUUCGGCGAAGGGCAACCGAGUGAAAAGGGCAAUGAACAGGAUGAGGAGGACAAGGAGGAUCCGUUCCCCAAAGUCCAUGCAACACUGAUGAUUUUUGCUGACGUUGAGAGUAAGAGUCGACUGAAGCUGGUGAACAGGGAGGUGAACAUGGCCACGCCGAGCAACCCCACGUUCCUCAAAUGGUCUUAGACUGCGAUCACCUUUGACCAGUCGGAUCAUCCAGCACACGUACCCACCCCAGGGAGGCAGGCUCUGGUCGUCGACCCGGUGGUGGAAGGAGUCCGACUGCGCAAAGUCCUCAUGGACGGCGGCAGUGGUUUGAACAUCAUGUACGCUGACACUCUCAAGGGGAUGGGCAUUCCGAUGUCCAAACUUAGCGAGAUCAGCAUGCAGUUCCAUGGAGUCGUCCCUGGAAGAAAGGCCAAGUCACUCGGCCAGAUCGCGUUGGACGUCGUCUUCGGCUCCGACAAGAACUUCCGCAAGGAAAAGUUGACGUUCGAGGUGGUGGACUUCCAGAGUGCGUAUGACGCAAUUCUGGGCCGCCCGGCGUAUGCGCGUUUCAUGGCCCGUCCAUGUUACGUGUACCUGAAGCUAAAGAUGCCAGGCCCGAAAGGUGUGAUCACUAUCACAGGCAAUCGGCAGCGGGCCGAGGAGUGUCUGCAGCAGGGAUCGAGGAUCGCCGAUCAGCAGAUGGUUGUCCUCGAGCUUGACGAGUACAAGAAGACAGUCGACCCCGCUGACUUGAUGCAUUCGAAGAAGCCAGCUUCGGAAUCCGCAUUCCAGUCAGCGGGAGAGACGAAGAAGGUCAUCAUCCAUCCGACGGACGACACCGCUGCCCCGACGAACAUCUCCACCACCCUCGAUCCUAAAUAGGAAGCCGAGCUCAUCCAAUUCCUCCGUGAGAACUAGGACAUCUUCGCAUGGAAGCCCUCUGACAUGCCAGGUGUACCCAGGGAGUUGGCUGAGCACCGACUGCAUGUGGAUCCCGCCGCUCGGCCUGUCCGAGAACGCCUGCGUCGGUCCGCCGCGCACAAGAGGAAGGCAAUCGUAGAAGAGGUGGCCAAGCUUUUGGCAGCCAACUUCAUUCUUGAGGUACACCACUCCGAGUGGCUCGCCAAUGUUGUCAUGGUGCCCAAGAAGGACAAGUCGCUCCGAAUGUGCAUCGACUUCAAGCAUCUCAAUAAGGUCUGCCCGAAAUACCAUUUUCCGAUCCCCCGCAUCGAUCAAAUUGUCGAUUCGACUGCGGGUUGCGAGCGUUUGUCAUUUCUUGAUGCCUACUCGGGCUAUCAUCAGAUCCGUCUGUAUGGCCCCGACGAAUUAAAAACAGCCUUCAUCACCCCAUUCGGGUGCUUCUGCUACAUCACUAUGCCAUUUGGUUUGAAGAAUGUAGGAGCAACCUUUAUGCGCAUGAUCCAAAAAUGCCUCCUCGACCAGAUCGGUUGGAAUGUGGAGGCGUAUAUGGAUGAUAUCGUAGUCAAGUCACGCAAAGGUUCCGACCUGCUGACUGACUUGGCAGAAACAUUCGCCAACCUUCGUAGGUACGAUAUCAAGCUCAACCCAGCCAAGUUUUCAUUCGGCGUUCCGAGCGGAAAGUUACUCGGUUUCUUCGUUUCUGAACGAGGUAUCGAUGUCAACCCCGAAAAGAUCGGGACCAUCGUCCGAAUGGAGCGCCCGGUCAGAAUACAUGAUGUUCAAAGGCUCACAGAUUGCCUAGCGGCUUUGAGCAGGUUUAUCAGUCGACUCGGCGAGAAGGCGCUUCCUCUGUACCGCCUCAUGAAGAAAUCAGAUACUUUUGAGUGGACAGACGAAGCCCAAGUCGCAUUCGACGACCUCAAAGUCCUACUUUCCACCCAGCCGGUUCUUACUGCUCCGCUCAGUAAAGAGCCCCUUCUUCUGUACAUCGCGGCUACAAAUCAAGUCGUCAGCACUGUUCUCACAGUCGAACGGGAAGAAGAAGGCAAAGCAUACAAGGUUCAGCGGCCAGUGUAUUAUGUCUCCGAAGUCCUGACUCCUUCCAAGCAGAGGUAUCCCCACUAUCAAAAACUUAUCUACGGGAUUUACAUGACUGCGAAGAAGGUGGCUCAUUAUUUCCAAGACCACUCGGUGUCUGUCGUUUCUGAUGCUCCGUUGUCGGAAAUCCUCCACAAGGGGGAUGCAUCGGGCCGAGUUACGAAGUGGGCAAUGGAGAUGUUGUACUGCGACAUCAAGUUCGAGGCCAAGAAAGCUAUAAAGUCUCAAGCUGUGGCUGACUUCAUAGCAGAAUGGGUAGAACAACAGCAACCGACCCACAUCUACUCGGCUCAUUGGACAAUGUUCUUCGAUGGGUCCAAGAUGUUGAAUGGCUCCGGCGCUAGCGUUGUGAUCAUAUCGCCAAAGGGUGAGAAACUCAAGUAUGUGUUGCAGAUACACUUUGAUUCCUCCAACAACGAGGCAGAGUAUGAAGCUCUCCUCUAUGGACUGCGCAUGGCCAUCGCACUCGGCGUUCGUCGCCUGAUGGUCUAUGGCGAUUCGGAUUUGGUGGUUAAUCAAGUGAUGAAGGAGUGAGACGUCAGAAACCCCACCAUGACCACAUACUCCAAUGCAGUGAGGAAGCUCGAGAAAAAGUUUGAAGGUCUAGAACUCCACCAUGUUCCGCGACUGAAAAACCAAGCAGCUCAUGAGUUGGCAAAACUCGGAUCCACUCGGAGACCAGUCCCGAGUGACGUCUGCCUCGAGCACCUCCACCUUCCCUCAGUUAAAGAAGAUCCUGUCACAGAGGAACCAGUACAACCAAAGAGCUCNNNNNNNNNNNNNNNNNNNNNNNNNNNNNNNNNNNNNNNNNNNNNNNNNNNNNNNNNNNNNNNNNNNNNNNNNNNNNNNNNNNNNNNNNNNNNNNNNNNNGCAUUAAUGGCAAGACUGAGCAUUGUCACCUCUGUGCACCCGACCUUAGUAUCCUUAAGAGCGCGGUGACGGGUGACAAAAGCUUCAACAUGGGAGCUAUAAUAGCAAGGAGGCUGAAUAAGAAUGCUAAUGAAGGGGAUUUCUUUGGUGGGAUCUAUGCCACUCGCAUAGCAAAUUUUCUUGGAGUACCCAUCCGCGAAGGAGAUCCCCCGCUCCAUACAGCUUUCCUUGACCGCAUCGCUUUGACACGCUACCAGUUCCUUGAGAGGGAUGCCGAAUCCCUCCUAUACCGUUUGAUAUUUAACCGGCAGUGUNNNNNNNNNNNNNNNNNNNNNNNNNNNNUUUGAUAUUUAACCGGCAGUGUGUUUUUCAUAUUAGCCUUCCUGCUCCUGCCUUCUUUGACUUCCAGGUAAAACGGAUAUAUUGCAUAACCAGAGGAGAGACAGAGGAGUAUGAGAGGGAGGCAAAGGCUGCUCGUCUCCAUGAGGAAGCUAUUCAGGCAGUGGUUGCAGCGCUCCCGUAUAACCCUCAUUAUGAUUUUGGGUGUCGCUAGGACCAUCCUUGGGAGUAGACCAACUUAGGCCAAAAGCCUAAGCUUGGGGGAGUAUGUGUUCUCGCCGACUUUACAUUCUUGCUUAUGCUUUCACUUUGUUAGCCGGUGUUCACACUUUGCCACUGUAUCAUCCAUGCUAGUUUAUUUUCUUUUUCUCGUUUUCUUUUCGUGUGUCUGUCUAGUUUGAGAAAAAACCAAAAAGAUUUUCCUUUUCUUCUUUUGCUUGUUGGGAGCUUUCCCGUGUAGAUAGUUUUCUUUUUCUUUGGGUCAAGGUAGAAGACCAUGGUUACAAUGUUUAGUGGCUCUUGCAUGCAUACCUAUUUAGCUUUCAAAGAGCCAUAUUACCUUGUCUUCUCCUUUGUGUUUGCCCGCAGAUUCCAGCUUUAGUCCAAUGCACGAGGACUCUUAUUAUUGUUCACAUCAUUCGGUCGUGCAAGUGAAAGGCAAUAAUGAAGAUAUAUGAUGAAGUGACUGAGCCUGGAAAAGCUGGUAUGAACUCGACCUAUUUUGNNNNNNNNNNNNNNNNNNNNNNNNNNNNNNNNNNNNNNNNNNNNNNNNNNNNNNNNNNNNNNNNNNUAAAUAUGACUAGCUCAUCAUGCCUGAUUCAGAUUUGUUGUGAGAGAAACAUGUUUGCAAUGACAACUUAGAGAUAAUAGUUUCUUAUGCCAUGCUUACUUAGCUAGGAGCUUAUAAUGGUCUGUCUUGGUUGCCAACAUGAAUGUUGAGAUGACUAUGAUGUAGUUUGAUAGGAUGGUAUCCUCCUUUGAAUGUUUCAAGUGGCUUGACUUGGCAUAUGUUCACGCAUGUAGUUGAAACAAAAUCAACACAGCCUCUAUGAUGUUCAUGUUCAUGGUGAUUUAUGUCCUACUCAUGCUUGCACUCAAUGUUAGUUAAUCUCAAUGCAUUUUGAUGACUGUUGUCGCUGUCUAGUUGGUCGCUUCUCAGUCUUUUGCUAGCCUUCACUUGUACUAAGCGGGAAUACUGCUUGUGCAUCCACUUCCAUAAACCCAAAGUUGUUUCAUAUGAGUCCACCUAUGUGCGGUAUCUACCUACCUGUGACAACCCGAUGCCGACGUUCCAAAAGAUUCCCCUCUCUUUCCGUUUUCGUCGUGUGGCUUAUUUUAUUUGUCGUGUCAUCAUCGCAUCAUGCGCAUCAUCUNNNNNNNNNNNNNNNNNNNNNNNNNNNNNNNNNNNNNNNNNNNNNNNNNNNNNNNNNNNNNNNNNNNNNNNNNNNNNNNNNNNNNNNNNNNNNNNNNNNNCAUUCAGGACAGGCCAAGGGGGAUUCACACAUCUGUUGGUGGCAGUCGACAAGUUCACAAAGUGGAUUGAAGCCAAACCCAUCAAGAAGCUCGACACCCUUACGGCCAUCAAGUUUGUCACGGACAUCAUCUCCAGAUUCGGGGUACCUCACAGCAUAAUCACUGACAACGGAACAAACUUUGACUCGGACAGAUUCAAAAGUUUCUGUACAGGCCAAGGUAUCCGAGUGGAUUUUGCAUCUGUGGCGCAUCCCCAAACAAACGGGCAAGCAGAGCGGGCGAAUGGACUUAUUCUGCAAGGUUUGAAGCCUCGACUCCUGCGAGAAGUGGGACAUGCCACCGGCGCACGGGUCACUGAGCUACCUUCGAUGCUUUGGGGUCUUCGCACAACCCCAAAUAGAUCUACAGGGCGAUCCCCGUUCUUCCUCGUUUACGGAGCAGAGGCAGUCCUUCUGAGUGACUUGCUUCACAAUGCUCCAUGAGUUGAACUCUUCUCCGAAGCUGAAGCAGAGAAAGCAAGGCAAGACGGUGUGGAUCUUCUAGAGGAGGAGCGCGAGAUGGCACUGACACGCUCAACCAUUUACCAACAAGAUCUGCGGCGCUUUCACGCGCGACACGUCAGGAGUCGUACAUUCCAAGCAGGCAACCUGGUGCUCCGAGUGGAUCAGCAGAGACCUCACAAAUUGGCUCCCGCCUGGGAAGGACCCUUCAUCAUCUCCAAGGUGCUGAACAACGGAGCNNNNNNNNNNNNNNNNNNNNNNNNNNNNNNNNNNNNNNNNNNNNNNNNNNNNNNNNNNNNNNNNNNNNNNNNNNNNCGGGCGGGAAAACAGGGGAGCCGCGAGCAUGGAACGGAGAUCUCCUCAAGCGCUUCUACACGUGACCGUCGACUGAAGCAAUGUAAAGAACAAGUAUCGGUGAAGUAAUACAAAGCAGAUUGAGUUUUUGCAGAUUCAAAAUUCUUCCGCGGUCGCAGACUCCGGUAUAAAAAAAAACUUAGCUGCGAACCAGAAUCGCCUAAGUAUUAACUUUCUCNNNNNNNNNNNNNNNNNNNNNNNNNNNNNNNNNNNNNNNNNNNNNNNNNNNNNNNNNNNNNNNNNNNNNNNNNNNNNNNNNNNNNNNNNNNNNNNNNNNNGCGCUCUUUUUUAGUACGUACACACAUAUGGAAGUAGAAUGUUUUAUCCUCCAUUUCAGAAGAAGAAUGUUUUAUCCCUCCCGUGGUUGCACGCUUGCUUCCACUUGAUCCUGUGCGGCCUAUAAAUUGCCGUGAGCCGAACCUCCUGAACAUAACUCAUCGUGCACUGCCAACGGGUCGUGUGAGAAGAUAAAGCGCACAUCGCUCUAGCUGCUCGAAGCAACACUUGUUUGUUCAACUCAGCUAGCUACUAGCAAUGGCGGGUGCCAGCUUUGUAGUCGGUUCAUGUGCCCUGGUCAUCAUGGCUUUCAUGUCCGCGGCAACGGCAGCGUCCGUGCCGGCAGUGUACGUGUUCGGCGACUCGCUGGCCGACGUCGGAAACAACAACCAUCUGCUGACGGUGCUCAAGGCGGACUUCUCGCACAACGGCAUGGACUACCCGGGCGGGAUGGCCACCGGCCGCUUCAGCAACGGCAAGAACUCCGCCGACUUCCUAGGUGAGUUGCCUACUCAUUUCACUCCAUCGAAUACCAAUCAAUAGAUUUUUUUUUUCUUGCUUGUUUGCUACUACUCUCUCCGUUCCUAAAUAUAAGUCUUUUUAAAGAUUUCAUCAGAAAACUACAUACAGAUGUAUAUAGAGUAUAGACAUACUUUAGAGUGUAGAUUCAUUCAUUUUACUCCGUAUGUAGUCCCUUAGUGAAAUCUUUUAAAACAAUUAUAUUUAGGAACGGAGGGAGGGAGUAGUUUGUACGGCCGGAGCUAGGUUAGUUACUUAGUUAAAUAAAAUUAAAUAAAUGAUUGUCACGUUCAGUGUCAAUCUGUUAUUGAAGAUAUAUCUUCUGCUACAGAAAAAGUGUAAUCUACACNNNNNNNNNNNNNNNNNNNNNNNNNNNNNNNNNNNNNNNNNNNNNNNNNNNNNNNNNNNNNNNNNNNNNNNNNNNNNNNNNNNNNNNNNNNNNNNNNNNNUUAAAUAUAACUUGAGAAAGUGUACGACUUUUCACUAUAUCCAAGUUGUAGCAACUAUGACUUGGCCAGCUAGCAUAUAUAUCUACGUGCAGAUUUGGCGGCCAUAAGAAAGUAUAUUCUUUUUGUAGACGUUGAUAUCUUUACCCAUGUCUUUCAUCCCAAUUAGCUAGCAAUUGGUACCAUGCAAAAAAAAAAGCCUAGCAAUUGGUGAGUUCAGCCACAUUUAGUCGAAUUUGUUGCCACACAACAUUUCCUUAUUGAAGGAGCAUAUAUAUAUAUGCUGAUCAACAUACAUGCAUGUGAUGUAAGUACGUGUUCUCCGACUUUGUUGUUAAUGGAUGACUUGAAUUACAGCCGACAAGCUUGGGCUGGCGACCUCGCCACCGUACCUGGCCCUGUCCUCAAGCAGCAAUGCCAACUACGUGAACGGCGUCAGCUUCGCUUCCGGUGGCGCAGGGGUCUCCAACGCCACAAAUACNNNNNNNNNNNNNNNNNNNNNNNNNNNNNNNNNNNNNNNNNNNNCCAACGCCACAAAUACAGACCUGUGCAUCACAUUUGACAAGCAGAUCGAGUACUACUCCGGCGUGUACUCCUCCCUGGCGCGCAGCCUCGGACAGGCCCAGGCCGCGACCCACCUGGCCAGGUCCAUCUUCGCCAUCACCAUCGGCAGCAACGACAUCAUCCACUACGCCAAGGCCAACACCGCCGCCACACCNNNNNNNNNNNNNNNNNNNNNNNNNNNNNNNNNNNNNNNNNNNNNNNNNNNNNNNNNNNNNNNNNNNNNNNNNNNNNNNNNNNNNNNNNNNNNNNNNNNNAGGCAGUGAGAGCAACAUAUUGUUCACAUUUAUCGGAGAUGAAUUCUUCGAGUCCGACGUUGUAACAAGUGCAUCAAACUCAUCUUUGAAACCUGCCUCAAUCAUAAAUUCAUCACAAGGCCAUUCACAUGGUUGUACCUGCGCGUCCCUUGGUUGGUAAGGAUCAGGCUCCUGAAUCGCAAGACGGGGACCUCUCUUGCUUGAGGAACCACCAUGAAAGUUUCUCCUGAACAUCUUCCUUUUCUGAAAUUUUCAGUGACCCAGAGGAACAGUGAACAAGGCUCAACUAAACUAGUAGCAACNNNNNNNNNNNNNNNNNNNNNNNNNNNNNNNNNNNNNNNNNNNNNNNNNNNNNNNNNNNNNAGCAACUAUUCCCACAAGUGCCUAGAGGCCAUAUUACGCAUCAAAACUACUUGGGACCAGCUAAAAUCAGCAUGCAAAGCUCAAGAACAUGGUCACCAAGGCAGCAAAAAUACGAGGAGUAUAAGGCACUAGAGCAAAAACUAAUUGGACUAAUGGAGGAGUCACUUACCAAGGAGUAAUUUCCUCAAAAUAGUUCGGAGAAUGGUGCUUUGAGCAAAGAGAUCGAAAAUCCUAGCAAGAGGAGCAAGAACGCGGGUUUGAGNNNNNNNNNNNNNNNNNNNNNNNNNNNNNNNNNNNNNNNNNNNNNNNNNNNNNNNNNNNNNNNNNNNNNNNNNNNNNNNNNNNNNNNNNNNNNNNNNNNNNNNNNNNNNNNNNNNNNNNNNNNNNNNNNNNNNNNNNNNNNNNNNNNNNNNNNNNNCUGGGUGGCACGGCCAGGGGGUGCCCGCACCGUCAGGGCUUGUGGCCCACUGGUACAGCCCCCAGACAAGCUCUUUGUCUCAGAAUUUUUUUAAAAUCCAGAAAAAAUCAUACAUGAUUUUCAGGACGUUCGGGAAACUUUUAUUUUCGGGGUACUUUUCUACCGGACGCUAAAACAGAAAACAGGGAAAACUAAACUAAAUCUAUCAUUUUUCUUCUAAGCAACCUAAAGUGAAAGCUUGGAACAGAGGUUUGUGACUCCUCGAUUCAUCCAUCUCAUGGUCAUCGAAAGACAAUCCGUCAAUGAGGUUGAUCAAGUCUCCUCGACAAAACUUUUCGAAUCGCAAAAGAGAACGGAGAAUUUUCGAAUAGUCACUAGGUCACCUCAAUGGGGAUGUGAAUCUCCCCAACAAGCAAAUCAUACUUCAUCUUGACACAAGGAAUAGGGCAUUCAAAGCUCCCAAAGAGAAUCAAUGAAGUCUUUUCGAUAGCAUUGAUGCAAUGUACUUGACAUCGUUUCUUCGAAAAGUGCACUGUGUGCUCAUUACCGUUGACAUGGAAAGUGACAUUGCCUUUGUUGCAUCGUAUGCUCAUUACCGUUGACAUGGAAAGUGACAUUGACUUUGUUGCAACCUAUGACAGCCCCUGCGGUGUUUAAAAAGGGUCUUCUGAGGAUGACAGUCAUGGCAUCGUCCUCGGGAAUAUCCAAGAUAACAAAGUCUGUUAAGANNNNNNNNNNNNNNNNNNNNNNNNNNNNNNNNNNNNNNNNNNNNNNNNNNNNNNNNNNNNNNNNNNNNNNNNNNNNNNNNNNNNNNNNNNNNNNNNNNNNAGGGAAAGCCAAAGAAUAUUCUCGAGUAUUAGCAGUUGAGUUGUCAAUUCAACCACACCUGAAAGACUUAGUAUCUGCAGCAAAGUUUCAGUAGCAAAGUAGUGUGAUAGCAAUGGUAGCAACGGUAACAGUAGCAACAGUGACAACAAUAGCGGUAACAGUAGCAACAGUGACAGCAGUAGCGGUAAAGUAAGUUAGCAAGGACCAGUAGGAAAAGACUCGUAGGCAUUGGAUCGGUGAUGGAUAAUUAUGUCGGAUGACAUUCAUCAUGUAACAGUUACAACAUGGGGUGAUUUGUAACUAGCUCCAGUUCGUCAAUAUAAUGUAGGCACGCAUUCCAUAUAUAGUCAUACGUGCUUAUGGAAAAGAACUUGCAUGACAUCUAUUGUCCAUCCCUCCCGUGGCAGCGGGGUCCUCAUGGAAACUAAGGGAUAUUAAGGUCUCCUUUUAAUAGAGAACCGAAACAAAGCAUUAGCAUAAAGUGAAUACAUGAACUCCUCAUACUAUGGUCAUCUCCGGGAGUGGUAUCGGCUAUUGUCACUCCGGGGUUGCCGGGUCAUAACACAUAGUAGGUGACUACAACUUGCAAGAUAGGAUCAAGAACACACAUAUAUUGAUGAAAACAUAAUAGGUUCAGAUCUGAAAUCAUGGCACUCGGGCCCUAGUGACAAGCAUUAAGCAUAGCAAAGUAGUAGCAACAUCAAUCUCAGAACAUAGUGGAUACUAGGGAUCAAACCCCAUCAAAACUAACUCGAUUACAUGAUAGAUCUCAUCCAACCCAUCACCGUCCAGCAAGCCUACGAUCGAUGAGAUUACUCACAAACGGUGAAGAGCAUCAUGGAAUUGGCGAUGAAGGAUGGUUGAUGAUGACGACGACGUCGAUCUCCCCUCUUCGGAGCCCAGAACGGACUCCAGAUCUGCCUUCCAGAGGAAGAACAGGUGGUGGCGGCGGCUCCGUAUCUUAAAACGCGAUGAACUCUUCUCCUUUUAUUUUUCCUGGGCGAGAUAGACUAUAUAGAGCUGGAGUUGGAGGCGGCGGAGCCACGAGGGCCUCACAAGCCUGCCAAGCGCGGCCAGGGGGGCACGCCUCCUAGGCUUGUGGGCUCCUGGCUCCGUCCCUCCAGGUAAUUCUUGUGCCAGUAUUUUCUACAUAUUCCACAAACAAUCCUCGUAAAUUUCCAGGUCAUUUCGAAAACUUUUAGUUCUGCGCAAAAACAACACCAUGGCAAUUCUGCUAAAAACAGCGUCAGUCCGGGUUGGUGCCAUUCAAAUCAUGCAAAUUAGAGUCCAAAACAAGGGCAAAAGAGUUUGGAAAAGUAGAUAUGAUGGAGACGUAUCAGUGAUCAAAUGUUAUUACUGCAAAAAUAAAUACGUAAAAUUCAUAUGUUGUGCUCAUAAAACAACAUACAACUAUGUAAAAUAUUUAAAUGCAAGAACAAAUGUGAUCAACAUCGCAACUAAGGUAACAAUUGACCCAACAACAUAAUGAUACCAAGCCUCUUUAUCAAUGGCAUAUUUUCUAAUAUUCCUAAUCUUUAAGCACACUUCAUCCAUCUUCAAGCGCAUUGCGUCCAUCUUCAAUCGCAUUGCAUCCAUCUUGAUCUUGUGAUCAACGACAUCGGCAACAUACAACUCCAAUUCCAUAUUCUUCUCUUUAAUUUUUUCAAUUUUUUUCUUUAAGUAAUUGUUUUCUCUUUCAACUAAAUUUUUUUUCUAUUUUUUUCUUCAAGUAACUAUUUUCUUUUUCAACUAAAUUUAACCUCUCGACAAGAGGGUCGGUUGGAGUUUCCGGUUCACAUACCUCCUAGAUAAAAACAUCCAUGUCACGUUGGUCGGCAUAAUUGUCAUAAACACUAAAUGAAACAAAUAGUUAUAAAAGAAAAUAUAGCACGUCCGAAUCAUAGGCCGGACGAGGGCCGACGUGUGUGGAUACCAAUACCAUCGCACUACAUAAUAACAAACAAUAAUGAAAGUAAGAAAUUUACACAAGUAUCUAUCUAAAUCAUACAAGUAAGAAUUUUUUCUUUUAGAAAGAAGAUAAGAACAAGAGGCUCACCAUGGUGGUGCCGGCAAUGGGAUCGGCGCAGGAGAUGGAUGAUGGUGACGACAAGGACGAGACGACACCCUACACAUGUGCAGACUCUAAGAAGUUAAUUUGAGCUCAGAUUGUGCAUCUAAAUCAAAAGAACUCCCACAUACACUCCUACACUAAAACCCACAAGCACUCUACUUCUAGAGCAUUUAAAAUUAGCUAAACUAGCGGUGAGCGAUGAAAGAAUGAAGUAGCUAACCUUUUAGAACACUUGUGUAGUUGCUGCACCACCAAACCUAGACAAAUCUUGAGGAAAAUGGAGCUUGGAGGUCGAGCUUGGAGAGGAGAAAGCUUAAGUGUGGCUCGGGCAUUUCAUCGAACACCUCAUGUGCAUGCAUAGAACGGUGAACAUAGCAGGGCAUGCACACCUCCCACAUGGCCAAAAAACAGAGGAGAGGGUGGGCAGGGGCGAGGGUAUAUAUAAGUAUCUCUUUGGUCCCGGUUGGUGGACAGAACCGGGACAAAAGACUGACUUUUAGUCCCGGUUCCACUCACCAACCGGGACUAAAGGUGCUGCUCGAGGAGUGAGGACCAUUGGUCUCGGUUCGUGUAUGGAACCAGGACCAAAGGGGUCAGACGAACCGGGACCCUGGCCCGGCCGGCGCCCUGGCCUCAUGAACCGGGACUGAUAUGGUCCCGGUUCGUAACAGAAUCGGGAUUAAAGCUCUUAUCUCGCCUCGACCAAAGCCCUGUUUUCUACUAGUGUUGAUUUUCUGCUCGGACACAUGCCACUCCUUUCUCUUCCAACGUCAUCAAAUUUGUGAAAGAUUCAUCGUUAUUUUUUCCAACAAAGUUGUAUUAUCUCAUCGUACAAACUUUCCCGGUCCCAGGUAGAGGUCAGUUGCAUUCUAGAAAAAAGCAAUGGUGCUCACUCAUGAGUGAAUCUACCAUCGAUACGACAUCUUAUGUUAGACAUUUUUAUAUGAUGACUUCAUAUUAAAAAUGGCAUCUUAAGAUACCUUAGUUUGUGCUUUGCUUCGCAUUCGAGAGGUUUUUGGAUCCACCACAGGUGAUUAGACAAGGUGCUAAGUGCAUCGAAGGACUUAUGAACUAAACUCACAUAUGCAUGUAUAUAGCUUAGCUUUUUCUAGCUAAGAUUUCUCCAUUUUAUUGUUUAGCAACAAAAUUCCGCAUGCAUAUGAUGUUUUGCAUAGAUUUACUCGUUUGACAUUGUUGUUUCUUCCUUGGGUCUCCAUGCUAUCUCUUCUUCUAAUUAAUUACUUUGCUACGUCAACUUUUUGCCGAUGUGACAUUUUUAGCACCGUGGAGCGCUGAAAAGGCCCUAAAGCACAUAAGGACAAGAACUAGCUAACUGCCCAAAAGUUUCGGUUUUGAGAGAUGCAUUACCAUGUGAACUGUGGUCGCAGAUGGUUUGAUACAAACAUGUUUGCUUGCACGUAUUUCAUAACCAUCAUCUUUAUCAUACACUUGACCAAAUUUCUCUUGGGAUGGAUGACAGCCAUAAGGUCGCCUUUUUUCCAUUGCCGCCUGUGAUUAACGACACUUUGUUUUCAUUGCCAAAGUCGGCUCCNNNNNNNNNNNNNNNNNNNNNNNNNNNNNNNNNNNNNNNNNNNNNNNNNNNNNNNNNNNNNNNNNNNNNNNNNNNNNNNNNNNNNNNNNNNNNNNNNNNNGUUGGAAUUAUGCCCUAGAGGCAAUAAUAAUAUAGUUAUUAUUAUAAUUCAUGUAUCAAGAUAAUCGUUUAUUAUCCAUGCUAUAAUUGUAUUGAAUGAAGACUUAUAUACAUGUGUGGAUACAUAGACAAAACACUGUCCCUAGCAAGCCUCUAGUUGGCUAGCCAGUUGAUCAAAGAUAGUCAGUGUCUUCUAAUUAUAAACAAGGUGUUGUUGCUUGAUAACUGGAUCACGUCAUUAGGAGAAUCACGUGAUGGACUAGACCCAAACUAAUAGACGUAGCAUGUUGAUCGUGUCAUUUUGUUGCUACUGUUUUCUGCAUGUCAAGUAUUUGUUCCUAUGACCAUGAGAUCAUAUUACUCACUGACACCGGAGGAAUACUUUGUGUGUAUCAAACGUCGCAACGUAACUGGGUGACUAUAAAGAUGCUUUACAGGUAUCUCCGAAGGUGUUCGUUGAGUUAGUAUGGAUCGAGACUGGGAUUUGUCACUCCGUGUGACGGAGAGGUAUCUCGGGGCCCACUCGGUAAUACAAACAUCACACACAAGCCUUGCAAGCAAUGUGACUUAGUGUAAGUUGAGGGAUCUUGUAUUACGGAACGAGUAAAGAGACUUGCCGGUAAACGAGAUUGAAAUAGGUAUACAGAUACUGAUGAUCGAAUCUCGGGCAAGUAACAUACCGAAGGACAAAGGGAAUGACAUACGGGAUUGUAUGAAUCCUUGGCACUGAGGUUCAAACGAUAAGAUCUUCGUAGAAUAUGUAGGAUCCAAUAUGGGCAUCUAGGUCCCUCUAUUGGAUAUUGACCGAGGAGUCUCUCGGGUCAUGUCUANNNNNNNNNNNNNNNNNNNNNNNNNNNNNNNNNNNNNNNNNNNNNNNNNNNNNNNNNNNNNNNNNNNNNNNNNNNNNNNNNNNNNNNNNNNNNNNNNNNNAUACUCUACCCUCGAAAACUGUUGCGAUCCCCUACACUUGUGGGUUAUCAGUAUUGCGUGUGCGUAGGAAUUGUUUUGUUUCCCAUGCAACGUUCCCCAACACUCUCCUCUCCUCCGGUCUGCCCUCUACCUCAUGUCCUCGUCCUCCACGCGAGACGCAAGGCUGCCGGAGUACCUCCUGCAGCCAUGGAGCCUAACGGUGAGGAGGCGAUUCACUCCAGCGCGGAUGCAACUCCGACGGAUGGGGGAGGAUUUGAAGAAGAAGGCACUGGUAGUGGUUCUCGUGCGUCGACGCCUUCUCCUACCUCCAUGCCCCUACGUCUUCAGUCACCAUCAACGGGGAAGGUUACCUGGCGCCACUCCUCUCGAUCCUUUGUGUCCGGUUACAAGAUGGGGCGUGCUCGUGGCUGUCGCGGUGCUACACCUGCAACGGCGGCGACCAGCACCCAGCGUCGUCCAACACCCACUCCAGCAACGAGAAGGGCAGCAAAGCGUCCAAUUUGGUGAAGAGUUCAUCUGUUUUUAAAAUGUGUUGAUUAGAUCUGUUAAUGAAUGAUUGAGUGUGUUGAAUAGUUAAUUGAUCUAUUAUUGGAUGACUGAAUUUGCUCAUUAGAUUAACUGAUAUGUUUCUUAAUUAACUAGUGUGUAUCAUACAUUCAUGCUUGUAUCUCUGUUGUUCAUACAUUCAUGUUAAUGAAUGACUGAGUGGUUUGGAUGGCUAUUUUUGUUGUGCAGCGGUACAAGCAAUGGUCAAAGCCAAGUAGAUGAGUCCAUGCAUGACACAAGUCACACAACAACACCAAUGGAUGAAUAGGGAGAUCAUANNNNNNNNNNNNNNNNNNNNNNNNNNNNNNNNNNNNNNNNNNNNNNNNNNNNNNNNNNNNNNNNNNNNNNNNNNNNNNNNNNNNNUAUGAUGUGGAAGUGGUGGAGGUGCAACCUUCUAAGCGCAAGCUCACAUCUAAUGUUUGGUUGGAAAUGAAGAAGAUGAGGAUCAAUGGUGAAUGGAAUGCCAAGUGUAACUGGUGUCACAAGGUACUUACCGCGGGAUUGAGGAAUGGACCUAAGCAUCUUAAUUUGCAUCUUAAGAUUUGCACUCUUAAGAAGUUGAAGACCAAGGGAGGUAAAAAUUUGAGUCAAUCCUCAUUGAAGGUGAGUGCUGAAGAGGAUGGGAAAGUGAGCAUGGAGAGCUAUACUUUUUAUCAAGANNNNNNNNNNNNNNNNNNNNNNNNNNNNNNNNNNNNNNNNNNNNNNNNNNNNNNNNNNNNNNNNNNNNNNNNNNNNNNNNNNNNNNNNNNNNNNNNNNNNGACAACAUCAGACGUCAGACAGUAAUACAAGAAAAAGCGAUAAACCUAAGACAAUUGGGUGCACUCGACAAUUUAUACUCACUUCAUUCGGAGGAGGGUUGUCCUCACGGAAGGGCUUCACUCGCCGAGAUCCUCUGGGAUUAUCGCAGGCGCCUGUGAUGUUGAGGACCCACGACGCCACCAGCUCCCCGGUCACGCACUCGGGGUUAGUCCGAGUGGAGUCCUCAGGCCCCGUGUAGUGCCACAUGGCAUGGUGUCGAGCUUGCAAAGGCUGGAUACGCCGACCCAGAAAAACAUCCAGCAAAUCUAUGCCGGUGACUCCCUUUCGGACGACCUCUACAAGCGCAUCGACCAGAGGCUGGAUCUGGAUCUUCUCCAUCUUCGUGAGCACGAGCUUCCUAGGCGGAGCCGGUCGGUCUAAGCUAAAAGGCAGUAGUCCAGUGGCGGCAUUCGGGCCAGCAACGUCCUGGCAGUAAAACCAAGUCGACUGCCAGUUCCUAACGGAUUCAGACAACUGAAGAGCGGGAUAGCUACUUUUACUUUUCUUUUGGAAGCGUAAGCCUCCGCAGAGCUGGAGGAGGUGAGUUUUGUCAUUCGACUGGCUCAGCCUUUUGAUGGUUUGAGAUCUAGCAGAGAAGAUGUGCUGAAAAAGCCCCCAAUGGGGAGGACAGCCGAUAAAACACUCGCACAGCACGACGAAGGCGGAGAGAUGAGCUAUUGCAUUGGGAGGAAAAUGGUGGAGUUGUGCCCUGAAGUGGUUCAUUAUACCUCUGAAGAAGGGGUGAGGAGGCAGAGAGAAGCCUCGAUGCACGUGACUGAGCAGCAAGACGCGCUCCCCCUCCUGGGGCGCCGGCUCGGUCUCGCCCUCCGCCGGCAACCUCCACGUCUUGUGCUCGAUCAUGACAUGCUCCACCAGCUCCAGCAUGUCCUCCUCCGUCAUCGUGGAGGGGAGGAAAUCCCCCUGGAUCCAACCCGCCGGCAGUGCUUGUUGCCGCCGCUGAGCAGGAGCCGCCGCCUUCCCCUUCUUCUUCCGUGCCUUGAGCUUGCUCGUUUGCCCCUUUGUCAUGGUGGAGGCUGCUGACCCGCAAGGAAGAAGGAGAAGGAAGGAGCUUGAGAUGCGUAGGAGGUGACGAGAGAAGCGGGGCAAGUGCGAGCUAUCAGGCGAGUGCAACGAAAAACCCUCGCUGUAGAGGUUUAAAUAAGGUUCCGACUGNNNNNNNNNNNNNNNNNNNNNNNNNNNNNNNNNNNNNNNNNNNNNNNNNAAGGUUCCGACUGGGUCACUAGCAGGCGGCCCCGAAAUCUUAUCCCCCGACCGGUUGCUGCGAUAUUAGUGGAAGAGAUAAAGGCGCAGAAAUCGAGGUGGCAGAUAUUACUCGAUUACGAUGUCGUCAUCCCCACCGAGCGCGCGGCAACCGAAAUUUGAGGAUCCCGGAAAAUCCGCCGCUGCCAGUUGACUGGUCACGUCAAAAGAUACCGCGAAAGCACUCGGUCCCUGACGGUUCGUUUCGCAAAUACAUCCACUCGGAUCACUAGUCAAGAAGAUAAAAUGGAUCGAGGCAAACAACGACAAAGUCGCAUCCGUACCAGUCGGAUCCGUACUCCAAGCAUCGCUUCGUCGUUCCAACCCGAAUCCAUUCGGGGACUAAUGAUGGGGUUAUAGUCCUAGGGUAGGUUGAUAGGCCUACUAGCAUUAAUAUGGUGAUUGAUGGGGUUAUAGUCCUAGGGUAGGGUCAUAGGCCUGCCCUGUGGGGCCUACCCAAGGACCACCCUUCAUAAGGGACAAGGCCCUUAGUCAGUUCCGACUGAAUUAAGGACUUCCCAUCAUCCAGUCGGUGACGAUUCCUCUAUCAUCCAGUCGGAGAUGAGCAUUCGGAGUGUAUCAAACUUACCGACUGGAUUCCACUCUGUACAUCGUAACCCCCCUGGAGGACAACGGUCAUACGUUUCCAUGUACCUUUAUUAGCAUUUAAGGCAUACGUUACCUGUAACGUAUGCAAUUAUUCGCCACUACUCCACCCCUGUGCACCGAACCGUUAUGAAGGGUAGCGCACUCUAUAUAAGCCACCCUUCUCCACUUGUGCAGGGGUUAGCAAUUCACUGUAANNNNNNNNNNNNNNNNNNNNNNNNNNNNNNNNNNNNNNNNNNNNNNNNNNNNNNNNNNNNNNNNNNNNNNNNNNNNCCCAAGAGCACUGAGACGUAGGGCUUUUACCUCCGCCGUAGAGGGGCCUGAACUAAUACAACCUCGCCGUAGCUAAGGCUCUGCCCAUCCUUUCGUACCCUACACAUCUACUGUCAUACUUAUACCCACGACAGUGAUAUAACAAGGAACCCAUGCUUUCACAUGUAAGCAUCUACACCUGCAACUAGCAACGCUAACAACAUGGUUAAGCAAGCAGUAACAUAGCCAAUCAGUGGUNNNNNNNNNNNNNNNNNNNNNNNNNNNNNNNNNNNNNNNNNNNNNNNNNNNNNNNNNNNNNNNNNNNNNNNNNNNNNNNNNNNNNNNNNNNNNNNNNNNNGCAGACGUAUCCGGCCAGUUGCCACAUAGGAUUAACGCUUCAUAUGUUACUUUUUUUUCUUUGUUCUUUCCCUCUCUUCAUCAACAUCAAGUAUAUGCAUGUAACCGAACGUAUGAAAACAAAAUAUGGUUGGACACUGACCGGACACUUUCACAUAUGUUUAAGUGGUCAAAUUUUCCCGGUCCGACCUACAGUUGUAGAUGCCCUAACCAUCGCAAAAAGAUGUGAUUGUAGGAAAGAAAAAUACAAUAGCCGUGGAUGUGUGUACUAGCAGUAGUGUACUAGACUGCGCGGCAAGCGUGGGUCAGGAUGAGCAAUGUUUACAAAUAGGAAAACAUGACGACAGUUCGGCCGAGCGCUCGGCGUCGUUCGUAUUGUUGGAUUAGAUAAGGAUCCCACGCCCUUGACUGCAGCACCCACACGUGCCUCAUGGGCUCCACGUAACGCUCCCUUCUAGCCCAACCUUGUCCCCUCACACGAUGUGUUCUUCAGCCAUCUCUUUUUUCUACAAACACAUGUAGGAAAUCUGUGCAUCAUCACUACAGGGAGCUCCCCCCAUCCCUUUUUUUUGGCUCAAUGCCGGUGAGCCCGGCCGCGCGCCUUCGUAGAGCUGCCGUGGAACCCGCUCCGUCCAUGCAUCUAGCUGCACUCAGAUGAGCAACCUCCAACUUGCAAGUUGUAACCGACGAGUCAGAAGAUGCAACCAUAAUGGAUUUUUGCUACUAGCGGCGACAGAUUUGCUACAUACAUCACGGCUGAUCCGCGAGCUACUACGACGGUGUUUUUUUUGUUGUUGCAACAGUCCUCGGAUUUUGCUACUACAAGAGAUGGAUUUUGCUACAACCAUAGUGUUGGAGCUGUGACCCGGGACGACGAUGACGAUGUUUGCUACAACCUCGUUGAAUUUUGCUACUACUGGUGAGGAAUUUUGCGACAUCCAUCAUGACGGAGCCGCGACGGUGGCAGCAACGAUUUUGCUACAACCGUCGUUCUUUUUUACUAUAACCGGCGAUCUUUUUUUGCUACAUCCACACAAAGGCAUUGACUCUUUUUUGAUCAUCGCUCACGCAACCUCGUGCAGCAAGCGUCAAUGACAAGGGGGCGGCAACGACGCAUCAAGGUGCUGCAACCACGGAGCCCGACGACAUGAGUUGCAACUAAUCAACGUGUAGCUGCAACNNNNNNNNNNNNNNNNNNNNNNNNNNNNNNNNNNNNNNNNNNNNNNNNNNNNNNNNNNNNNNNNNNNNNNNNNNNNNNNNNNNNNNNNNNNNNNNNNNNNGGGGUGCUCCAACUAGUCCAUCACAAAUUACCACAAGCCGCGUAGAAAUCCUCCAUCACGAAGCUCGCGAUCUCGUCGGAUUCCCUAGUGGAAAACCUCAACUCUGAGAUUACCCAAAGCAUCACCGGAAUCCCGAUGCACAAGAUAUCUCGUCAAAGGUAAAACUAAUCCAGCAAGGCCGCCCGACGUGUCGACGAUCCCGAUAGGAGUCGCGUACCUCGUUCUCAGGACACGACGGAUAAGCGACGCGUACAAGUGCCAAACCUCGAGUUUCCUCGCGGUGGCCCCGCACAGUGCUCUGUUUUGGACCAACACUCAUGAGGAGCACUGGUCCGGGGGUUGAUUAAAUUAGUCCGCGGGUGUCGGCGGGUCCCUAUGCAAUUUUUAUUAGGUGAUUAGGCAAAUGUAGUACCAAUGUUGGGCCUUGCCAGACCAGCUUUAAUCUAAAACAAAUUAUCAAGGGGGUCCCCAUUACGAACGUUGGGCCUUGCCAGACCAGCUUUAAUCUAAAACGAAUUAUCAAGGGGGUCCCCAUAAUAACCACGAUCGUGUUAGGAGCGCUCGUUUAUGGAACAUAACACCGGUAGCCGAAACUAAGGGGGCAAAGGUGGAACAAAACACCAGGCUAGAAAAGGGCCGAGCCUUCCACCUUUUACCAAGUAUAUAGGUGCAUUAAAUUAAAUAGCAAUUAAUAUGGUGAUAUAACAAGGAACCCAUGCUUUCACAUGGAAGCAAUGCACCUGCAACUAGCAAUGCUAUCAACGGGGUUUAAGCAAGCAGUAACAUAGCCAAUCAGUGGUUUGCUAGGUCGAACAGGUUGAAGGUAUUCAUGGCAUUGUUGAGAGGCUGAUAUUUAACAUGUGGUAGGCAACGAGACAUAUCAUGACAUUGUUGAGAGGCCGAUAUUUAACAGGUGGUAGGCUACGAGACAUAAUUGAUAGAAGCGAUAAAACCAGCAUGGCAAUAAUAGUAAUGGUAUCUGGGGAAAUGGUCAUCUUGCCUGAGAUCCUGCUUGGAAGAAGAAUGCCUCAGUGAAGCAGNNNNNNNNNNNNNNNNNNNNNNNNNNNNNNNNNNNNNNNNNNNNNNNNNNNNNNNNNNNNNNNNNNNNNNNNNNNNNNNNNNNNNNNNNNNNNNNNNNNNCGAGGAAGCACGUCGUGGCACUCAACUCAACUACCCAUGUCGCUUUUGUGUGCAGAUCUGGAUUACCAUGCGCUAAAUCGGCUUCUGGUCGGUCGUCAUGGGCUCGAUCGAGCGUGCGUGCGUGUUCUCUCCCCCUCUCCGCCGCGAAGGCCGGUGACGGACAGCGAGAGCAUUCAUUAACUACAGUUGAUCGUUUUCUCCAUUGAAUUCCGUCUUUAUCACAGCUGCAGCACGCAGCUGCCCGUGACGUGCGAACAUGGAUCCAGUCUUUUCUCCCGGAUCAUGGAUAUCUCGCGUGGGCUCUUCACGGUUUUAAUUCGGUUUUAGUCGCCACCUGGCUUGCUGGUCCAUGCACGGAAGCUGUUGGAUCGUUGAACCAUCAUCAUCAUCAUCAUCUUCUUCUUCUUCUUCUUCUUCUUCUUCUUCUUCUUCUUCUUCUUCUUCUUCUUCUUCUUCUUCUUCGUGGCAGGGGAGAGAAUAGCAGAAAGGGGCAGAGAGAGGAAGGCGCCGCUAUGUCAAUGCCGUGGGCGAUGACCGUAUCCGUCGUGGACAAGGUGUGGGAGGUCCUGGCGGCGUGGGUGUCGUCGUGCCUCGCCGGCGCCACCGCCGUCGCCCGCGCCUUCCGGACAGGGGACCUCGUCGGAUCCUUCCGGCCCGGCAUCUGACACUCCUCGCUGCCUCCCUUCGUGCAGGUAGGUGACCAUACAUCCCUGAACUUAUCCAUGCUCCUCUAUGGUUCUUCCUGAUCAUGCUCAUGCAUGGACACUCGUAUCUCCGACUCUCCAUGCUGUAAUUUAUUUUAGUUCCCACAAAGCUCCUGUUCUCAGCCUUGAUUUUGGAACUUAUUUUGUUGGUUCGUUUCUUCCUUCCAUCCUAGUAUUUCACAUGACUCGACUUGGUCUUGAUCUGCCCGUCUUGUUGCAGAUCGGUCGCUUCCAUUGCUACGGCGCUGCUCCUGUCGAUCAAGCGCGGAGCUCUCGAUCCGUCAGGUCGUUGUAGCAACAUCAUUGUUUUUUGUUUAGUUUAGUUUAGUUUAGUUNNNNNNNNNNNNNNNNNNNNNNNNNNNNNNNNNNNNNNNNNNNNUUUAGUUUAGUUUAGUUUAGUUUAGUGCGUGUCUAUUAUAUCGCGCGGUGGCAGUGUAACAUUGGACGGCAUUAUUCUUCUUCUAUUUUUAUUCUUUCAUUGGUGUACAUAACAAAUUAAUAAUACUAGUGGUGAUCUCGGAAAUGAGUGGAAUGGUUCAGUGAUUAACUUCUGUUGUAUACCAAAAAUGGACAUCUUGCAAGCAUUAUCAAAGCUUCUGGGUGGUCGAUGAAAACCAAGAACGCCCGGCCAGGGUACAUGAUGUUAUCCUGAUCAGUUUUGACUAUAUUGUUUCAUAUACAGAACUUAAAUUGUUCAUAAAUGAACAAUUCAACAGUAUCAACACUAGGAAAUAGAUCGGUACAUAAAUGCUAGGAUCAUCUUUUAGUAGCACCGAACAUAAGCAUAGGAAUGAUGUUAAUUAAGCCCCCNNNNNNNNNNNNNNNNNNNNNNNNNNNNNNNNNAGGAAUGAUGUUAAUUAAGCCCCCGUUCCCUAGCCAAUUUACUCUCCAAUUUGCUAACAUUACCGACAGUAAUUGAAGAUCUGAAGUUAUGGGUCAGAUUCUUUAAAAAAACUAGGUCAACCAGUGAGAGUAACACCGACAAAAGAUAAAAAAGGAAAGAAAGCAUGGAUGAACAAGAAACACAAAAUGUUAUGAGCAAUCAUUAUCUUAAGAAAUGUGUAACUUACCAUAGUCAUACACGCCACAUAGACUGUGCAUAUAUUAUUGGGUUAAUUUCAUUCUUACCCCCAAAAUGAGCCGAAGUACCCCGUAAUGUAUGUCACUUUGGCUCAUUUUGGGGUAAAAAUGAAAUUAACUCUAUAUUAUUUAUGCAUCAUUGUCUUUGGAACAUUAUAGCUGGUUCAUCUCCCAUUUCUAGGGUUUGUCUCCUCUAGGCGAUCGAUCACCCUGAGUCCAAUCCACCAGCGACCUUCCCCCGCUGCUACCCAACCGAUCCCCGUUAUCGUUCCCUUGUCUCUUGGUUGUUCCUCCUUCGCGACCACUCUCUUGGGCUGGGUAGAUGGCGACGACUUCAGAUGCAAACUCUGCAACAAAAGAGAGCUCUUAUGGUGGCCAUCCUGGUGAUCUAGGUGACUUCUUCAACAUGCUUGAGCUCCACGAGGAUGUGUUUGACAAUCUUAGAUGAGGGAGAAGAGGAUCUCCAAGAGGGGUUUUGUUGGCUAGCCCUAGCUAGGGUUCAAAUAGCGAAAAAUUUCAGCCAAACCACGGUAUUCCAUGACAUGUGUUCAAUGAGGAAGCUCACUCAAAUUGUGAGAUUUAGAGCAAUCGGUCCCAAUCACUUAGUAGUUCAGGUGUAAUGCUUGGGAGAUUGGGAAUGAAUAGUGGAUCAAGGGCCUUGGCUGUUUCGCAAUUGAGUCGUCCUGCUUAGUCCGUAUUAUGGGUUCUCUAAUGCGUAUGAGAUCGAGAUUGUUCGUAUGCCUAUAUGGCUACACAUACACAAGCUACCCGAUGGUUACUGCAAGAAGGGGUUGAUUGAGAAACUGCAAAGAAAUGNNNNNNNNNNNNNNNNNNNNNNNNNNNNNNNNNNNNNNNNNNNNNNNNNNNNNNNNNNNNNNNNNNNNNNNNNNNNNNNNNNNNNNNNNNNNNNNNNNNNUUUUGUUAUGUAUCUCAAUAGGGCGGACCUGUUUGAGGUUCAUGCCAGUGGGGUCACUCUAAGUGAACCCACUAGGUGUAGUCCCCGAGACCGUUGUCGACUGCUUGCGUCGGCAGGGGUCUGAAGAACUUCGAGUUUUUCUUGUUGUCCUUGUUGAAUGUGUCUGACCGUCUCUUCCGCUGACUUGCAGAAGACUUGCGAGAUGGGAUCGGCGUACGACACCUUGAGGGGUGAAAAGAUUCAGUUUGUUGCAAAACUGGAUGCAGCAAUGCUCGCCUUGGUUGGUCUGAAGGGUGUUCUGGUUGAACGAGAGAAGUCUUUGGAGGAGUCCCGUGAGGCAAGCAAGGCAUUGGUGGCCGAAAUGGAGAAAAUGGGUAAACAAAGAACCGAGCUGAUGGGACAGAUGCAUGUGAUGAACAGGCGGUGCAUAGCACAAGAGAAUUACGUCAGUGACUGGGCAAGCAAGAUGAUUGUGCUUCUCGGUGGUAAGUUCUGUUUUCCCGAGUGCUUCUUGACUGUGUAUUUUAUUUUGUGCUUACUUUUUGCUCGUCCUGUCUUUGCAGAUGUUUGCAUGGACGCUGAGGCUGAAGCAGCUGACGUUGAGCGGUCGAUUCUUCCGAACGUUCCACUCGGCGAGGACGCCAAUCGAGACAUGCUCCGAGCGCACAUUCGCCUGGGCAAAGUGGGAACUUUCAUCGGUCGAGUGAGAGAGGUCGUCGGCCGAAUCGACAAGGAGCUUUGGCCUGAAGACGAGUCUCGGCAAGAGAUGGAAGGUUUGAUGACUCGGCUGGAGAAGGUCCCGAACCGAGUGCAGGCGUGUAAGAAGUCUGCGGCUUGCUGUGGUGCGGAUGUCGCUCUGUCGCUGCUCCGAGUGCACUGCAAGGAGGCGCGCGAAGAGAAGAUGAAGGCAUUGCAAGUCGCCAACUCCAAAAAGCUUUGAUUCGAAGAUUUCAUGGAGACCUUCCUUGAGAGCGCCACUCGCAUCGCAGACGGGAUCGACCUCGACACUUUCGUGGAGCCUGCCAGUCCCAGUGCCAGUCCUGACGAUGUUUAAGAAAACUUUUACCUCGGUAUGCCGAGUGUUAGUUGUAUGAAACUUUGGCCACUGCUGUUGGCUGUCACAUUCGUGGUUCGGUGUGGAUAAGCUUGAUCUACACCGAACCAACUAUCUUUAGGCGAACUUUGAAUUUGAAUCGAAUCCUAUGCUCUUCUUUUGCCAAAGAGUUGUUGACACGAUUUUGGCUCGUGGUUUUUGUUUGGCGUUUCUUGGUGAAGCCAAUGGCAAACAUGCGGAGCAUGUAAUUGUCAGUUGUCUUGACAUCUGCGUGAGCCUCACUGAGGGUCUGCUGAGUCUCCGAGUGGAUCUGUAGGAUACACUCGAAGGCAAUUGUGUACUUAGGCGAUUCGUAAUCGCGGCUAAGUCUUCGAGUGCGACUGUAAGGUCGUACUCGGAGCGAGUUGUUACUCAUGUAAUUGUCAGUUGUCUUAACAUCUACAUGAGCCUCAAUGAGGUUCUGCUACUCAUGUAAUUGUCAGNNNNNNNNNNNNNNNNNNNNNNNNNNNNNNNNNNNNNNNNNNNNNNNNNNNNNNNNNNNNNNNNNNNNNNNNNNNNNNNNNNNNNNNNNNNNNNNNNNNNCCUCGUUUGAAUUAGUUGUCAACUAGAGAGUUGAUCUUGGAUGUUUUGUUUAGCCCCUGGUAUUUUUGGUUGCAAUAGAAAUGCAUGUUUAGGAGUUGUUUGCUUGGUCUCAAGUUGCUAGAAAUAGUGCUGAUUUGGAGGAGCUGAAAUAUUUCUAAGUCUGGAAUCUGUUAUAUUUUGUUGCUGUCUUGUCUUGCUUGCAUCUUGUGAUCUGUAGCUCUUUUGAGGUUGGUCCAAUGGAGUUAGUUGUACCCCUUGUGUUUCUCUAGCAUGCUGUAAAGUUUCAUGCCAUUUGGAGUCAUGUAUCUAUAGGUUUUGCUGCUGUCAAUAUAGCUUCAGAUGGAAAACUGCACUUUCAUGAGGUGUAAUUUUCACUACGUCUAAAAUAGUGUGUGAGAUGCCAUUUUGUGUCUUCUUCUCAUGAGGUGUAAUUUUCACUAAGUCUGAAAGAGUGAGUGAGAUGCCUUUUUGUGACUUCUUUUCCUAGUGAUCCAUGAUGCCAUGCUAGUUGUUGUUAGUUGUUUGUAGUAGUGCUUCUUGCCCUAUUUCGUGCCAUGCCUUGCUUGAGUUUAUUGGAGUUGUGUAGCUCGUAGUUGUGGGGCAUAGAAAGNNNNNNNNNNNNNNNNNNNNNNNNNNNNNNNNNNNNNNNNNNNNNNNNNNNNNNNNNCUAUGUGGCUGAUUUUGACAGAUUGUAGUGAUUUCUUGAUUUGCUCGUAUCUUUUGAACCGUAGCUCCGUUUUGAUCGUGCCCUACAUGAAACUUGCUUAGAAUCUUGUGUAGUUUUAUUUUCUCUUGCUGUUCGUAUGUUUUGAAGUGCUCGUAGCCAUCGUUGCACACAUAUUGCAUUUAUGCCAUCAUAUCUUGCGGUGCUUGUAUCUUUUGAACCGUAGCUCCGUUGGAGAUGUUCUUUAUGUGUAGAUUGCUUGUCAUGACACGUGGAAUCACGUGAACCUAUUUGUUUUGCUGUUUAACAACUAAUUAAAUGCAUUAGUUCAGAUCUGGACAGAAUUGUAAAUUAACAUGUGAGGUCGUCUCNNNNNNNNNNNNNNNNNNNNNNNNNNNNNNNNNNNNNNNNNNNNNNNNNNNNNNNNNNNNNNNNNNNNNNNNNNNNNNNNNNNNNNNNNNNNNNNNNNNNAAUUUAGAAAAAACUUUCGACCAGUAACCCCCAAGGGCCGGGUCAUCAGUAAAAAGAUGAGCCGGGUCUUGAUAUUGUAUAAUUUCAUCUGAAAAGAAAAAAUUAUACAUUAGCCCCCAAGUGUCAGGGAUAUUGCUUGCAAUAGUUCUGAGACUUGCCCCUUUGUUUGUACUUUCAACAGGAAACUCUUGCUCAGACUGAAUCGGCGCUUGGCGAAUUAAAGAAAAACUUAUAUGGUGAGCAAGAUGCUCGAGCUAAGUCAGAGGAGAAGUAUCAAUUGGUCCUGGCUGAGCUGGAAAAACUCAAAGCCGGUUUGAAAAGAGCUCAAGCUGACCAAGAUGCUGCCACAAAAAGAGCAGAGAAGGCUGAAGCCAGGCUGGCUACUGUGCAACAAGAAUUGUCCGGCUUGAAGCAUCAUAUCUCAAACAUGACGCAAGCCGUCUUUGGUAAACUUACUCAAACUUUUGAUCUUUUCUCCCUUUUUUUAUAUAAAUAACUCUUAUUGUAAGUCGCUGAUUAUCAUGACCCCUUACACAGGUCCGAGAGCCGCCAACCUUCAGGAAGACUGUGUGCUGAUGCUAAAGGCGAUUUACACGCUGACAGAGCAACUGUACACCGGCAGUGUUUUAACUGUUAAAGCUGUGAUGGGUGCCAAAGAGCCUAUAACUUCCGUAAAGAAGGUGCUUGGCUGCCUAUCCACGCUUCCCCCUCAGAUUGGCGAGCUAACUCGGUCAGCCGCCCGAAAGGGGGUUCUGACUGCCUUGAGUCGCUGCUUGGCGUAUGCUCCAGAGAUCAACCCGGAAGAGGUAGCGGCAGGCUUUCCUCAACUCAAAGAUGAUGGUUCAGAAUUCGUUGAAGAGGACUAUCAACGUGUUGUCAUGGACUCCCGACUGGCAGCAACCCAACUCGCAGCAAGUCUGGAUUUAUCAAAGUAUCAGGCUGCUUAUGAUAGCAAGAACAAGAAAGUCAACCCGCCAACCUUUGUGACGACCAGUUUAACUCCUCGGCGACCCAAGAACCCUUUUGACUUGGAAGCAGACCUGGCAUCAAUCCUGACUGAUGAAGAUGACUUCGCAGCUCUGGCCAAGUUUAACUGGGUACUGGGCGACUUGCAAAUUGAGGUCGACCAGAGCUCGCAGCAAAAUGAUCCGAAGGCGCCAACAGAAUAAACCUCAUCGAUUUGGCCUGAGAGCCAUGUAAUAGGUCUUUUUCAUAAGUCGAUACUGUUUUUGUGAUACUCUCGAAAGAAUCUUUAUAUCGCCCUUAAGGCGAUUUGAAAUAUUUGACCCGUCAUUUGAGAAUCCUUUAUAAUGCUUAAUCCGCCAUGGAUGAAGUGAUUCUGAUCAUCAACCUGAUUUAGGCUUUGAAAACAUCAUAUGUGAAACCAAAUAAAUGAUAACAAAUAUUUUCAAGAGGAAUCAAAAUAGAAGGUUUUGAAAACCCUCGAGGCUAUGCCACGAAGGAUAAUACAAAACAGCAAUCUCGUCGGCUCAUAAGGUCGCGACAGGAUGGGGCGAGUCAGAAAGCUCGAGCACACACCCACAAUGAUGGUUUCGUCGGCUCAUAAGGUCGCGACAGGAUGGGGCGAGUCAGAAAGCUCGAGCACACACCCACAAUGAUGGUUUCGUCGGCUCAUAAGGUCGCGACAGGAUGGGGCGAGUCAGAAAGCUCGAGCACACACCCACAAUGAUGGUUUCGUCGGCUCAUAAGGUCGCGACAGGAUGGGGCGAGUCAGAAAGCUCGAGCACACACCCUAAAUGAUGAUGGUUUCGUUGGCUCAUAAGGUCGUGACAGGAUGGGGCGAGUCAGAAAGCUCGACCACACACCCUAAAUGCUGGUUUCGUCGGCUCAUAAGGUCACGACAGGAUGAGGCGAGUAAGAAAACUCGAGCACACACCCUAAAAUGCUGAUGGUUUCGUCGGCUCAUAAGGUCGCGACAGGAUGGGGCGAGUCAGAAAGCUCGAGCACACACCCUAAGAUGCUGAUGGUUUCGUCGGCUCAUAAGGUCACAACAGGAUGGGGCGAGUCAGAAAGCUCGAGCACACACCCUAAGAUGAUGAUGAUUUCGUCGGCUCAUAAGGUCGCGAUAGGAUGGGGCGAGUCAAAAAGCUCGAGCACACACCCUAAGAUGAUGAUGAUUUCGUCGGCUCAUAAGGUCGCGAUAGGAUGGGGCGAGUCAAAAAGCUCGAGCACACACCCUAAGAUGAUGAUGAUUUCGUCGGCUCAUAAGGUCGCAACAGGAUGGGGCGAGUCAGAAAGCUCAAGCGCCACCCUAAAAUGCUGGUUUCGUUGGCUCAUAAGGUCGCAACAGGAUGAGGCGAGUCAGAAAGCUCGAGCACACACCCUAAGAUGAUGAUGAUUUCGUUGGCUCAUAAGGUCGCGACAGGAUGGGGCGAGUCAGAAAGCUCGAGCACACACCCUAAAUGAUGAUGGUUUCGUUGGCUCAUAAGGUCGUGACAGGAUGGGGCGAGUCAGAAAGCUCGAGCACACACCCUAAGAUGAUGAUGAUUUCGUCGGCUCAUAAGGUCGCGACAGGAUGGGGCGAGUCGGAAAGCUCAAGCGCCACCCUAAAAUGCUGGUUUCGUCGUCUCAUAAGGUCGCGACAGGAUGAGGCGAGUCAGAAAGCUCGAGCACACACCCUAAGAUGAUGAUGAUUUCGUCGGCUCAUAAGGUCGCGAUAGGAUGGGGCGAGUCAAAAAGCUCGAGCACACACCCUAAGAUGAUGAUGAUUUCGUCGGCUCAUAAGGUCGCGAUAGGAUGGGGCGAGUCAGCGCCACCCUAAAAUGCUGAUUCUGUCGGCUCAUAAGGUCGCAACAGGAUGACAAAAUUGUUCUUUUAAAGAAGAAGCCCCCAAGUCGGGGAGUAUUUUUAACUUUAUUACUUCAUAAUGAAACUGAAAAACUUACAAAAUGCAGAGCUUAAGAGCUCAAGUGUAAUAAGGCCGCAGGUGGGUAAUAUUCCAGGAGCGAGUUGACUCAGCCUCCGUGGUUGGCCGGUCAGGCCGGAGAUCCACCAAAUAAUAAGAGCCAUUGCGGAGAUUCUUGCUGACGACGAACGGCCCUUCCCAAGGUGGUGACAACUUAUGCAUGGCUGCACGAUCUUGUAUCAACCGAAGAACCAAGUCGCCUUCCUGAAAGGUCCGACUCUUAACCCGGCGGUUGUGAUAACACCGUAGAUCCUGCUGGUAGAUAGCUGAACGGGCCGCAGCCAGGUCACGUGCCUCCUCUAAGGCGUCCAAAGAGUCUUGACGCGCCAGCUCAUUGUCUUGUUCCACAUAUGCGGCUACUCUAGGUGAGUCAUGCCUUAUAUUAGUAGGAAGGACAGCUUCUGCUCCGUAGACCAGAAAGAAAGGGGUGAAACCCGUGGACCGGUUCGGGGUAGUCCGAAUACUCCAUAGUACUGAAGGUAAUUCUUCAACCCAACACCCUGGGGUUUUUUCCAGGGGAACCAUGAGUCGGGGCUUAAUUCCUCGCAAAACCUCCUGAUUCGCCCGCUCCGCCUGCCCAUUAGAUUGUGGGUGAGCGACUACAGAAACAUCAAGCCGGAUAUGUUCUCGACGACAAAACUCCUGCAUCGCCCCUUGGGACAAGUUAGUACCAUUAUCAGUAAUGAUACUGUGCGGAUAUCCAAACCGUAAAAUCAACUUCUUCAAGAAUUUGACCGCUGUUUCCGCAUCGCAAGCUCCAAUAGGUUCCGCCUCAACCCACUUGGUGAACUUAUCAACCGCCACCAGCAGAUGGGCCUUCUUGUUAGAGGACAUUUUAAAGGGGGCGACCAUGUCAAGCCCCCAGACCGCAAAAGGCCAAGUGAUGGGGAUCAUUCUUAAUUCUUGAGCCGGCACAUGAGCCUGUCGCCCAUAACGCUGGCAUCCUUCACACCGGCGAACUAUAUCUUCUGCAUCUACAUGAGCCGUCAGCAAAAGAAACCAUGACGGAAAGCCUUUGACACCAAAGACCGUGACCCGGCAUGAUGCCCACAGUCUCUGGAAUGAAUGUCAUUUAAGAUUAUGCAUCCUUCUUUGGAGGAAACGCAUCGCUGAAAAACUCCAGAGGCGCUCCGCUUAUAUAACUCGCCAUUGAUGAUGACCAUGGAUUUGCUGCGACGAAUGAUUUGACGAGCUGAAACUUCGUCUGCUGGUAACUCGCCCCGAGCGAGAUAAGCCAGAUAAGGAAGAACCCAAUCCAGCAUGACGUGGAGAGCCGCCACGAGCUGAGACUCAGGAUCUGGUAUUGCCAAUUCCUCCUCCGAUGGUAGAAUCACGGAUGGUUUAUGCAAGAUAUCCAGAAAAACAUUGGGAGGAACUGGCUUUCGCUGGGAGCUAAGUCGUGAGAGGGCGUCAGCUGCCUCGUUGAGGCGCCGAUCAAUGUGGUCCACCUGAUAACCAUGAAAAUGACCCGCCACAUCAGACACAGCUCUUCUGUAAGCCGCCAUCAUGGGGUCCCGAGAAUCCCAGGUACCUGAAACUUGUUGUGCCACCAAAUCAGAGUCGCCAAAGCAUCUGACUCGCGUUAGAUUCAUCUCCUUGGUGAGUCGCAAGUCAUGAAGCAAAGCUUCGUAUUCCGCCGCAUUGUUAGUGCACGGAAACAUGAGUCGGAGAACGUAACAGAAUUUAUCUCCUUGAGGGGAUACCAACACCACACCAGCCCCCGAGCCUUCCAGCUGCCUAGAUCCAUCAAAGUAAAUAGUCCAGUAAGUGAGAUGAGGCCUAUCUUCCGGAGCCUGCAACUCCGUCCAGUCGUUGACGAAAUCAACUAAAGCCUGAGACUUGAUGGCUGUACGGGGGGUAUAUUGUAUGUGAUGCGGCCCAAGUUCUAUUGCCCACUUGGCAAUCCGCCCUGUUGCCUCCCGAUUCUGGAUGAUGUCCCCAAGGGCGGCAGAGCUAACCACUGUGAUAGGGUGUUCUUGGAAAGAAUGCUUAAGUUUUCGACUCGCCAUAAACACCCCAUAUACCAACUUCUGCCAGUGUGGGUACCGCUGCUUGGAAAGAGUUAACACCUUGCUGAUAAAAUAUACCGGGCAUUGCACUGGGUAUUCCUUCCCUUCCUCCUUUCUUUCAACGACCACUGCCACACUUACUGCUUUGGAAUUUGCCGUGAUAUACAGAAGCAUGGGCUCUUUUUCAGUCGGGGCGGCCAGGACCGGCGGGUUAACCAAUUGGCGUUUCAGGGCUUCGAGCGCCUCGUCUGCCUCAUUCGUCCAAACAAACCGAUCAGAUUUCCUUAAUAACUGAUAAAGAGGAAUCGCCUUCUCACCCAGGCGACUCACAAAACGACUUAGGGCCGCAAUGCGACCCGCCAGUCGUUGAACUUGAUUAACGUUCGCCGGCUUUCCAAGGGAUGUAACUGCUUCGAUCUUGUCCGGGUUAGCUUCAAUGCCGCGCUCCGAUACCAGGAAACCCAGCAAUUUCCCUGCAGGCACACCAAAAACAUACUUGGUGGGAUUUAGCUUCAUCUGAUAUACCCGUAGAUUAUCGAACGUUUCCUUGAGAUCCUCCAGUAGUGUCUCCCCCUGGCGGGUUUUGAUCACAAUAUCGUCGACAUAGGCAUGGACGUUGCGACCGAUUUGGUUGCGGAGGCAAUUCUGGAUGCAGCACUGAUAAGUCGCCCCCGCACUCUUGAGUCCAAAGGGCAUGGACACAUAACAAAAAGCCCCGAAGGGGGUUAUAAAGGCUGUUUUCUCUUGAUCCUUGACGGCCAUCUUGAUUUGGUGAUAUCCUGAGUAGGCGUCCAAAAAGCACAAUCGUUCGCAUCCCGCCACCGAGUCAAUGAUAUGGUCGAUGCGGGGAAGAGCGAAGGGAUCUUUUGGACAAGCUCUGUUGAGGUCUCUGUAGUCAAUGCACAUACGAAAGGUACCGUUCUUCUUGAGUACCAAAACCGGGUUAGCCAACCAUUUGGGGUGAAAAACUUCCACGAUGAAUCCGGCGGCUAAAAGACGGGCAACCUCUUCCCCAAUCGCCUUGCGUCGCUCCUCGUUAAAUCUGCGAAGGUACUGCUGGAUGGGUUUGCUCUUUGGGUCAACAUUAAGAUGGUGCUCAGCGAAUUCUCUCGGCACACCAGGCAUGUCAGAAGGUUUCCAUGCGAAGAUGUCCCGAUUCUCACGGAUGAAUUCGAUGAGCGCGCUUUCCUAUUUGGGGUCCAGACCUGUCCCAAUGGUGAACUGCUUGGAUGAAUCGCCAGGAACGAAAUCGAUUGUCUUAGUGUCAUCCGUUGGCUUGAACUUGAGGGGCGACUCAGAAUCUGUAGUCGGCUUCUUUAAGGGUGACAUGUCCGCUGGGUCAACAUUGGCCCGAUGGUGUUUGAGCUCUUCCGCAGUGCAGGCGACUUCCGCACAAGCCGCGUCCCCUUCUUCACAUUCCUUUGCAAUCCUUCUAUCUCCAUCAACCGUGAUAGGUCCUUUGGGACCAGGCAUUUUGAGCUUGAGGUAAACAUAGCACGGGCGAGCCAUGAAGUGGGCAUAACCCGGCCGCCCAAACAACGCAUGGUAGGGGCUUUUCAAUUUGACCACCUCGAAAAUCAGCGACUCCGACCUGUAAUUUUGCGCAGUUCCAAACGCCACUGUGAGCCUGACCCGGCCUAUGGGGUAGGCCGACUUGCCCGGUACGAUUCCGUGGAAAACCGUGGUUGAAGGCAUCAGGUCCUUUUCCAAUAGGUUCAUCCUUUGGAAAGUGUCAAAAUAUAAGAUAUUGAUGUUGCUGCCACUAUCCAUUAGCACUUUGGAUAGGGUGUAACCCCCAACUUGGGGAGCCACGACCAACGCUAAAUCGCCUGGGUUGUCAACUCUCGGCGGGUGAUCCUCCCUGCUCCAUGUUAUGGUUUGCUCAGACCAAUGGAGGUAUCUCGGAAGCGCCGGUUCAGAUACACUGUACGCCCGGUGACACACCUUCUUAUCGCGCCUGCAAGCAUUGGUGGUGAAAACAUGAUAUUGCCCAUUACUUAACUGUUUGGGGUUGCUGCGGAAACCCCCAUUAUCGUCCUGACCCUGCGGAGCCCCCUGUGGGGGUGGCUGCUGAAAGGCUCCUGGCGGGUUAUACCGCCGCUGGUGGUGCACCGGGUAUUGGCCGCCGCCUGGCUGUGGGCCUCCCUGAGCCCCCUAUUCGGGAAAGCCGCCGAAGGGAUUCUGUCGUUGGUUGGGUGCGGUGAAUUUCUCCUGGCGCUGGUCCGGAUCAUCGUUUUGACUUUUCUUGAUCGCCUCCGCCCGAAACUCCCGCAUUACGAAGCAGUUCUCCCAGGAGUGAGUCGCCGGACCGUCUGCCGUGGCAUGGUGCGGGCAAGGGCCUUUGAGUAGCUCUUCAUAGUUACCCGGCCUCUUCCCGCUAAACCCCCUAUUUUUCUUCUGGCGUUGGUUGCCGUUGUUGGCGUUGGUAUUGGCGACUAAGUCUGAGGGCUCUUCUUGCGGUCUUCGCUUGCCAUUGGCCCCUUGAUUGUGGCGGUUACGUCCCUGGAACCGGGUAUGAUUUUUGGAUGACUCGCCCUUUUUGGGCGAAUUAGCCUUACCGUCCUCACCAGGAUCUUUGGUGUCAUCUGCCUCAGCGUACCUAGUGAGGGUGUCCAUCAGCUCUCCCAUGUCUUGGACCUUUCGCUUGAGUCGCCCCCAUUUUUGCACCAAGGGUUCGUAAUGGCAAUUCUGCUCGAGGAUCAGCACAGCUUGAGCCGCCGUAAUACCAUCUGACGAAUGGAUAAUUUCUGCAACCCGUCGUGACCAAUGGUGAGCCGACUCAUCCGGGCGCUGAACACAAUGCUGUAGAUCGACGAUCGUCAUCGGACGUUUGCAAGUUCCUCGGAAGUUUUUGAUGAAACGCUCUUUUAACUCGGCCCAGGUCUGGAUGGAGUUGGCAGGUAAGUUUUUCAACCAAGUGCGUGCUAACCCCUCGAGCAUCAUCGUGAAGUAUCUGGCGCAAACCGCCUCGUUCACGUCAAGCAUGUCCAUGGCGAUUUCAUAACUCUCGAUCCACGAUGCCGGCUCAAGGUCCGGGGUGUAAUUAGGCACCUUUCUUGGUCCCUUAAAAUCUUUGGGCAUCCUUUCGUUAUGAAGAGCGAGGGCCAAGCAUGGUACCCCUACUCGCCCUCCGCCCCCGACGAGGGGGACCGGGGCGUCUUGGGUGUUCGGGAGAUCCNNNNNNNNNNNNNNNNNNNNNNNNNNNNNNNNNNNNNNNNNNNNNNNNNNNNNNNNNNNNNNNNNNNNNNNNNNNNNNNNNNNNNNNNNNNNNNNNNNNNAACGCUUUGAUGAGGUGAUCAAAGCAUUUGGGUUUAUACAAGUGGUUUAUACUAGUGGAUGACAUAUUGCUGAUUGGAAACAACGUAGAGUUUUUGGAGAGCAUAAAGGAUUAAUUGAAUAAUAGUUUCUCUAUGAAGGACCUAGGAGAAGCUGCUUAUAUUCUAGGCAUUAAGAUCUACAGGGAUAGAUCAAACNNNNNNNNNNNNNNNNNNNNNNNNNNNNNNNNNNNNNNNNNNNNNNNNNNNNNNNNNNNNNNNNNNNNNNNNNNNNNNNNNNNNNNNNNNNNNNNNNNNNNNNNNNNNNNNNNNNNNNNNNUCUUGCCAGUUUUACAAGGUACGAGAUUGAGUAAGACUCAGUGCCCAACAACUGAUGACGAUAGAGAGCAUAUGAGCACCGUCCCCUAUGCUUCAGCCAUAGGUUCUAUCAUGUAUGCAAUGCUGUGCACUAGACCGGACGUUAGCGUGGCCAUAAGUAUGGCAGGUAGGUUCCAGAGUAAUCCAAGAGUGGAUCACUGGACGGCGGCCAAGCAUAUCCCGAAGUACUAAGGAGAUGUUUCUCGUGUAUGGAGGUGACGAAGAGCUCGCCGUAAAAGGUUACGUCGAUGCAAGCUUUGACACAGAUCCGGACGACUCUAAGUCGCAAACCGGAUACGUAUUUAUUCUUAAUGGGGGUGCGGUAAGCUGGUGCAGUUCCAAGCAAAGCGUCGUAGCAGAUUCUACAUGUGAAGCGGAGAAAAAGCGUCAUAGCAGAUUCUACAUUUGAAGCGGAGUACAUGGCUGCCUCGGAGGCAGCUAAGGAGGGUGUCUGGAUGAAGCAGUUCAUGACGGAUCUUGGAGUGGUGCCAAGUGCACUGAAUCCAAUAACCUUGUUCUGUGACAACACGGGUGCCAUUGCCUUAGCAAAGGAACCACGGUUUCACAAGAAGUCCAGACACAUCAAACGACGCUUCAACCUCAUCCGCGACUAUGUCGAAGGGGAGGACGUAAAUAUAUGCAAAGUGCACACGGAUCUGAAUGUAGCAGACCCGCUGACUAAACCUCUUCCACGGGCAAAGCAUGAUCAACACCAGAACUGUAUGGGUGUUAGAUUUAUUACAAUGUAAUUCGCAUGAUGAUGUGAGGGCUAGAUUAUUGACUCUAGUGCAAGUGGGAGACUGUUGGAAUUAUGCCCUAGAGGCAAUAAUAAUAUAGUUAUUAUUAUAAUUCCUGUAUCAAGAUAAUCGUUUAUUAUCCAUGCUAUAAUUGUAUUGAAUGAAGACUUAUAUACAUGUGUUGAUACAUAGACAAAACACUGUCCCAAGCAAGCCUCUAGUUGGCUAGCUAGUUGAUCAAAGAUAGUCACUGUCUUCUGAUUAUGAACAAGGUGUUGUUGCUUGAUAACUGGAUCACNNNNNNNNNNNNNNNNNNNNNNNNNNNNNNNNNNNNNNNNNNNNNNNNNNNNNNNNNNNNNNNNNNNNNNNNNNNNNNNNNNNNNNNNNNNNNNNNNNNNAUCCAAACAAAUCACCGACCCAUUGCCUACGAGUUUGUCCUGCUGCUCCUACUACUGUUGCUACUGCUGUUACUUGUCUUGCUCUGCUCCUGCUACUACUGUUGCUACUGCUGUUACUUGUCUUGCUCUGCUGCUGCUACUACUGUUGCUACUGCUGUUACUUGUCUUGCUCUGCUGCUGCUACUACUGUUGCUACUGCUGUUACUUGUCUUGCUCUGCUGCUACUGUUGCUACUACCGUCGCUUGCUACUGUUGCCACUACUGCUUUUCCUUGCCGCUGCUAUUGCUCGUUACACCGCCGUUACUCGCUACUUUGUUGUUACUACUUUGCUUGCAGAUACUAAUCUUUUAGGUGUGGUUGAAUCUGACAAUUCAACUGCUAAUACUUGAGAGUAUUCUCUCACCUCCCGUCGUGCGAAUCAACAAAUUUGGGUUGAAUACUCUACCCUCGAAAACUGCUGUGAUCCCAUGCGCUUGUGGGCUGUCAACAACAUUCUUCUAGUUUCGAUUGCCGGGGAGUACUAGCAGCAUUCUUCUGGUGUCGUUGCAAAGGGGAAGAACAGUUGGCAUCAAGUACCAUUUCAUCUCAUUGUGGAUCNNNNNNNNNNNNNNNNNNNNNNNNNNNNNNNNNNNNNNNNNNNNNNNNNNNNNNNNNNNNNNNNNNNNNNNNNNNNNNNNNNNNNNNNNNNNNNNNNNNNGGGCUCCUUGAGCCCCAAGGCAAGGCCCCCCCUCUCCCACCUAUAUAUACGGAGGUUUUAGGGCUGAUUAGAGAUGACUUUUCCACGGCAGACCGACCACAUACCUCCACGGUUUUUCCUCUAGAUCGCGUUUCUGCGGAGCUCGGGCGGAGCCCUGCUGAGACAAGGUCAUCACCAACCUCCGGAGAGCCGUCAACCAACCUCCGGAGCGCCGUCACGCUGCCGGAGAACUCUUCUACCUCUCCGUCUCUCUUGCUGGAUCAAGAAGGCCGAGAUCAUCGUCGAGCUGUACGUGUGCUGAAUGCGGAGGUGCCGUCCGUUCGGUACUAGAUCGUGGGACUGAUCGCGGGAUUGUUCGCGGGGCGGAUCGAGGGACGUGAGGACGUUCCACUACAUCAACCGUGUUCACUAACGCUUCUGCUGUACGGUCUACAAGGGUACGUAGAUCACUCAUCCCCUCUCGUAGAUGGACAUCACCAUGAUAGGUCUUCGUGCGCGUAGGAAAAUUUUUGUUUCCCAUGCGACGUUCCCCAACACCUUCUAAGUCUUCGGUCAGAGAAUUUGUCUCCAGUAUAACUGUUGGAGAAACCAGAGAUAUCACGCAAGCCACCAUAGGAAGCAUCCAUUUCCCUGCCUUACACUACAUUGCCCUCUUCAUAGGUAGGUGCAUUAACGGCAAGGGUGCACAUUGUCACCUAUGCGCUUCCGACCUUAGUAUCCUUAAGAGCGCAGUAACAGGUGACAGGAGCUUCAAUAUGGGAACUAUAAUAGCAAGGAGGCUGAAUAAAAAUGCCAGUGAGGGGGAUUUCUUUGGUGGAGUUUAUGCUACACGCUUAGCAAAUUUUCUUGGAGUAUCCAUCCGUCCAGAAGACCCUCCUCUCCGUACAGCCUACCUUGAUCGUGCCGCUCUAACAUAGUACUAGUUCCUUGAGAGAGAUCAUGGAUCCCUCCUAUACCGCUUGAUAUUUAACCGGAGCGUGUUUUCCAUAUUACCCUUCCUGCUCCUGCUUUCUUUGACUUUCAGGUAAAACGAAGAUACUACAUAACCAUAGGAGAGGCAGAGGAGUAUGAGAGGGAGGCGACUGCUGCUCGACUUCGUGAGGCAGCUAUUCAGGCAGUGGCUGCAGCGAUCCCGUAUAACACCCAUUAUGAUUUUGGGUUUCGCCAGGAUCAUCUUUGGGAGUAGACCAAGCUAGGCCAAAAGCCUAAGCUUGGGGGAGUACGUGUUCUCACCGACUUUACAUUCAUGCUUAUGCUUUCACUUUGUUAGCCGGUGUUUACACUUUGCCACUGUAUUAUCCAUGCUAGUUUAUUUUCGUUUUCUUGUUUUCUAGUUUUGUGUCCUUUUGAGAAAACCCAAAAAGAUUUUUCUUUCUUCUUUUGCUUGUUGGGAGCUUUCCCGUGUAAAUAGUUUUAUUUUUCUUUGUGUCAAGGUAGAAGAUAUUGGUUACCAUGUUUAUUGGUUCUUACAUGCUUACCUGUUUAGCUUUCAAAGAGCCAUAUUACUUUGUCUUCUCCUUUGUGUUUGCCUGCAGAUUCAGCUUAGUCCAAUGCUCUUAUUAUCGUUCACAUCGUUCGAUCGUGCAAAUGAAAGGCAACAAUGAUGAUAUAUGAUGAAGUGACUGAGACUAAAAAGCUGGUAUGAACUCUAGCUAUUUUGUUUUUGUAAAUAUGACUAGCUUGUCAACCCAGAUUUAGCUUUGUUGUGAGAGAACCAUGUUUGCAAUGACAACUUAGAGAUCAUAGUUUUUGAUGCCAUGCUUAUUUAGCUGAGAGCUUAUAAUGGUUUGUCUUGAAUGCCAACAUAGAUUUUGAGAUGACUAUGAUGUAGUAUGAUAGGAUGGUAUUCUCCUUUGAAUGUUUCAAGUGGCUGGACUUGGCGCAUGUUCAUGCAUGUAGUUGAAACAAAAUCAACAUAGCAUCUAUGAUGUUCGUGUUCAUGGUGAUUUAUAUCAUGUUCAUGCUUGCAUUCAAUGUUAGUCAAACUCAUUGCAUCUUGAUGACUGUUGUCGCUCUCUAGUUGGUCGCUUCCCAGUCUUUUGCUAGCCUUCNNNNNNNNNNNNNNNNNNNNNNNNNNNNNNNNNNNNNNNNNNNNNNNNNNNNNNNNNNNNNNNNNNNNNNNNNNNNNNNNNNNNNNNNNNNNNNNNNNNNAUAAUAAUAACUAUAUUAUUAUUGCCUCUAGGGCAUAAUUCCAACAGGACGGGCAUGGGACGACACCUUACACAUGUGCAGAAUCUAAGAAGUUAAUUUAAGCUCAAAUUUUGCAUCUAAAUAAAAGGAAAUCCCACAUACACUCGUACACUAAAACCCACAAACCACUCUACUUCUAGAGCAUUUGAAAUGAGCGAAACUAGCAGUGAGAGAUGAAAGGAUGAAGUAGCUAACCUUCUAAAACACUUGUGUAGUUGGUGCACCGCCAAACCUAGACAAAUAUUGAGGAAAAUGGAGCUUCGAGGUCGAGCUUGGAGAGGAGAAAGCUUAAGUGUGUCUCGGGCAUUUCAUCGAACACCUCAUGUGCAUGCAUAGAAGGGUGGCAACAAGAGCAUGGCAUGCAUGCACACCUAGGCCAAAAAACAGAGAAGAGGGUCGGCAGGGCGCGGGUAUAUAUAGGCAUCUCUUUGGUCCCGGUUUGUGGCCGGAACCGGGACAGAAGACUAACCAUUAGUCCCGGUUCCAGCCCCCAACCGAGACUAAUGCUUCGUGGCACGCCACGUGUCAGUCACUCGAUCUUUAGUCCCGAUUUUAGGGACGAACCGGGACUAAUGCAGCGAACCUAAUCAGGACUAUUGCCCCGUGAGGCUCUGGCAGCUCGAACGAGGACCAAUGCCUCACAUUGGUCUCGGUUUUACGUGGACCGAGGCUAAUGGGAUUUGGGCCUCCGACCGAAAGCCUCAUUUUCUACUAGUGUAUACUAGUCCUGUAGGUACUCGACUAGUCAAUUCACUUGAGUCCUAUGACAGCUCGAGUGCGACCGAAAUGCCAACUAGAACACUCGCCUAAGCUCUUCAUUUGGACGAUAUUUCAACUCUGACAAAAACGACUUAUGGUGGAAAGUGCUUCUUUCUAUGGCAGGUAGGACUCUAAGGAGUUCGCCAAAGUUUUCCAUGACACAGGCGAGGAAGGGGGGCAUCGAGCUGGAGGAGCCCCUUAUCAAGGAUCAACUCAUGGAGUUGUGGAUGUAUAUGACUAACAUCUAUUUUGACUCGUGGUUCCACAGUUUCUUAGGACAUGUAAGCUAUAUAUGUUCAAUUUAAUUUUGGCACCAUCAUUGGAGUAAAUCAAUGAGACCUAAAAAUGAAAUUUAUCUUAAAGGCAUGUGACAAAAAUAGGUGCGACAAGAACGGUGAUGGGAUGCUCAUUGAAGACAAGGUCAAGGAGGUGGAUACGACGAUGAUGUCUGAUAUGUCUCCAACGUAUCUAAUUCUCCAAACUCUUUUGCCCUUGUUUUGGACUAUAAUUUGCAUGAUUUGAAUGGAACUAACCUGGACUGACACUGUUUUCAGCAGAAUUGCCUUGGUGUUAUUUUUGUGCAAAAAUCAAAGUUCUCCAAACGUCCUGAAAAUUUACGGGGAGCAGUUUUGGAAAAUAUCAAAGAUAUAUGCGCCAAGUUCCACCUCAGGGGGUGGGCCAGUGGGCCACAAGCCCCUCCUCCGCCACCACCCCCCUGGUGGCGGUGGGCAGACUUGUGGGGGCCACAGGCACCUGCCGCCCCCAACUCCAGCUCUAUAAGUUGUCUUUCGUCCCAGAAAAAAUAAAAAGAGAAGUUUUCAUUGCGUUUUCGAUACGGAGGCGCCGCCACCACCUGUUCUUCAUCUGGAGGGCAGAUCUGGAGUCCGUCUUGGGCUCCGGAGAGGGGAAAUCGUCACCAUCGUCAUCAUCAACCUUCUUCCCUCUCAAAUUCCAUGAAGCUCUUCGUCGUUCGUGAGUAAUCUAUUCGUAGGCUCGCUAGGCGGUGAUGAGUAGGAUGAGAUCUAUCAUGUAAUCGAGUUAGUUUUGAUGGGGAUUGAUCCCUAGUAUCCACUAUGUUCUGAGAUUUGAUGUUGCUACUACUUUGCCAUGCUUAAUGCUUGUCACUAGGGCCCGAGUGCCAUGAUUUCGGAUAUGAAAUUAUUAUGUUGCCACCAAUAUAUGUGUGUUUUAGAUCCGAUCUUGCAAGUUGUAGUUACCUACUAUGUGUUAUGAUCCGGAACCCCGGAGUGACAAUAACCGGAACCACUCCCGGUGAUGACCAUAGUUUGAGGAGUUCAUGUGUUCACCAAGUGCUAAUGCGUUGGUCCGGUUCUUUAUUAAAAGGAGAACCUAAAUAUCCUGUAGUUUCCUUUUGGACCCCGCUGCUACGGGAGGGAUGGACAAUAGAUGUCAUGCAAGUUCUUUUCCCUAAGCACGUAUGACGACACACAGAAUGCAUGCCUACAUCACAUUGACGAACGGGAGCUAGCCACAUAUCUCUCAGUGUUAUAGCUCUUGCAUGAUGAAUAUCAUCCAAACAAAUCACCGACCCAUUGCCUACGAGUUUGUCCUACUGCUGUUACUUGUCUUGCUCUGCUGCUGUUACUACUGUUGCGACUGCUGUUACUUGUCUUGCUCUGCUGCUGCUACUACUGUUGCUACUGUUGUUACUUGUCUUGCUCUGUUGCUGCUACUAUUGUUGCUAUUGCUGUUACUUGUUUUGCUCUGCUACUAUUGCUACUACUGUCGCUUGCUACUGUUGCUACUUGCUACUGCUGUCACUACUGUUGUUCCUUCCCACUGCUAUUGCUCGUUACACUGCUACUACCUGCUACACUGUUGAUUCGCCAGACCGUUGACGGGAAUUGACAACUUCCGUCGACGCGGCAACGGAGGCGCCAUUGAUACAAUUGUUAGGAAUAGUCUGCCGUCAACAGAUCGUUUCUGACACUGUUGUUAUCAUACUACUUUGUUGUUACUACUGUGCUUGCAGAUACUAAUCUUUCAGGUGUGGUUGAAUCCGACAAAUUCAGCUGCUAAUACUUGAGAGUAUACUCUCACCUCCUGACUGGCUUACCUACAAAUUUGGGUCGAAUACUCUACCCUCGAAAACUGCUGCUAACCCACGCGCUGGUGGGCCAUCAACAACAUUCUUCUAGUCUCAUUACUGGGGAGUGCUUUCAGCAUUCUUCUGGUGCCGUUGCAGGGGAAGGUUUGUUGUCAUAAGCAUUCGUCUAGCUAACGCCAGAGAUUGCAGGAUCAACCCUUUUCUGGAGCCAUUGCCAGGGAAGCACAGCUGACGUCAAUGUCUUCAUACAUGUAUUCAUAAGCCGAUUGUGGAUCUUGGAAGUUUACAACAAUUCAAGAACUGUGCAUGCAUAGAGAUACUAUGACAAGAAUCUCAAGCUAAGAUUUAGUUUUGGUAAUAAAUUUUGUUGCAUGUAGCAAUGCAUGGGCUUUUGACUAGUAUAUAUACCAAAAGUGCUAGCCCAGGCAAGCAUGCGAGUUAAAGACAAGUUAUCUACUAGUGGUAGAUGGUGACAUGAUAGAAAUAUGGCGGACUGAACACAUGCACUUGACUAGAGCGCUCACUCCAGACNNNNNNNNNNNNNNNNNNNNNNNNNNNNNNNNNNNNNNNNNNNNNNNNNNNNNNNNNNNNNNNNNNNNNNNNNNNNNNNNNNNNNNNNNNNNNNNNNNNNACAUGGUAUAUCACUUAAGUGUUGGUAAUGCAUCCUGCUACUGCAACAAAAGACCUUUCAACGGCGCCAAAAAUAGGAGUGUUGCUUGAUACUCCUCAGCAACGGCACCAGGAAUCCUUCUGCUACGGCUACACCUUAAGGACUUCCUAGGCAAAUAUGCAAAGGAUUCCCCCCGUGGCCUUGGAGCCUUGCGUUGGUGUUCCCCUCGAAGCGGAAAGGGUGAUGUAGCACAGCGGUGGUAAGUAUUUCCCUCAGUUUAAGAACCAAGGUAUCGAUCGAGUGAAGGAGUAUCACAAGAGCCUGCACAAACACAAAAAGCUUGCUCCCAACGCUAUAAAGGGGUUGUCAAUCCCUUAUAGAUUGUUCGCCAAGUGAGAACUGAAAGCAACAAAGUAACAAAGUAAAGUAAAAGCAAAAGUGGAAACGAUAGAUGUGAAUAGACCCGGGGGCCGUAGUGUUUACUAGUGGCUUCUCUCAAGAAAGCAAGUAGACGGUGGGUGAACAAAUUACUGUCGAGCAAUUGAUAAAACCGCGCAAAGUCGUGACGAUAUCUAUGGCAAUAAUUAUAUCUAUAGGCAUCGCGUCCAAAUUCAAGUAGACCGAUACUUUCUGCAUCUACUACUAUUACUCCACACGUCAACCGCUAUCCAGCAUGCAUCUAGUGUAUUAAGCAUGAUGACAUGAUGUAGAUGGACAAUCUCAUAUCUACGACAGAGCCCACCUUGUUACCCUUGAUGGCAACUACACGAUGUGUGCCUUGCUGCCCCUACUGUCACUGGGAAAGGUCACCACACGGUAAGAACCCAAAACCAAACACUUCUCCCAUUGCAAGAAUCAUAGAUCUAGUUGGCCAAACAAAACCCAAGACUCGGAGAGACUUACAAGGAUAUCAAAUCAUGCAUAUAAGAAAUCAGCAAAGACUCAAAUAUAUAACAUAGAUAAUCUCAUCACAAAUCCAUAAUUCAUCGGAUCUCGACAAACACACCGCCAAAGAAGAUUACAUCGGAUAGAUCUCCAUGAAGAUCAUGGAGAACUUUGUAUUGAAGAUCCAAGAGAGAGAAGAAGCCAUCUAGCUACUAACUACGGACCCGUAGGUCUGAAGUUAACUACUCACGAGUCAUAGGAGGAGCGAUGAUGAUGAUGAAGAAGCCCUCCAACUCCAAAGUCCCCUCCGGCACGGCACCGGGAAGGGUCUCCAGAUGAGAUCUCGCGGAAACGGAAGCUUGCGGCGGCGGAAAAGUAUUUUCGUGGCUCCCUUGAAUUUUUUUCUGAUUUUUAGGGAAUAUAUAGGCGCAAGAUCUAGGUCACGGGGCGCCAAGGAGGCCACAAGCCUGCCCACCGCCCCCUGGUGGCGGAGUGGGGGCUUGUGGGCUCCCUGUAGCCCUCCUAGCUUGGCCCACAAGCCCCCCGAUCUUCUUUCGUUUGGGAAAAAAAUAUUUCGGGGAUUUUAUUCCGUUUGGACUCCGUUCCAAAAUCAGAUCUGAAAAUAGCCAAAAACACAGAAAAAAAACAGGAACUGGCACUUGGCACUGAAUUAAUAAGUUAGUCCCAAAAAGGAUAUAAAAGGUACAUAAAACAUCCAAAGUUGACAAGAUAACAGCGUGAAACCAUCAAAAAUUAUAGAUACGUUUGAGACGUAUCAAGCAUCCCCAAGCUUAACUCCUGCUCGUCCUCGAGUAGGGAAGUGAUAAAGAAUGAAUUUUUGAUGCUUUCAUGCUACCUAGCAUAGAUGUCCUUUGUAACUCCUCUUAUGUGAUGUGAAUGUUCAGAUCCAUUAGAUUCAAAACAAUAGUUUGCUAUUGAUGUGGAAACAAUAAUAAUUCAAGCAAACUAGCAAGGUAAUCAUGAACUUUCAAAAUAACAAGGCCAAAAGAAAGUUAUCCCUACAAAAGCAUAUAGUCUCGCUAUGCUCUAUCAUCAUGGCACAACGAAUUUAAAUCAUGCACAACCCCGGUAUUGGCCAAGUAAUUGUUUCACACCUCUACUUUCUCAAACUUUUUCAACUCUCACGCAAUACAUGAGCGUGAGCCAUGGUUAUAGCACUAUAGAUGGUGUGGAGUGUGGUGGAGGUUGCAAGACAAAACAAGGAGAAGAUGGUCACAUUAACUAGGCAUAUCAAUGAGCUGUGGAGAUGCUCAUCAAUAGAUAUCAAUGUGAAUGAGUAGGGAUUGCCAUAUAAAUGAUGUACUAGAGCUAAGAGUAUGUGAAAGCUCUUAAAGAAAACUAGUGGGUGUGCAUCCAACUUGCUUGCUCACGAAGACCUAAGGCAAUUUUGAGGAAGCGUAUCAUUGGAAUAUACAAGCCAAGUUAUAUAAUGAAAAAUUUCUACUAGCUAUAUGGUGGUGACAAAACGAGAAACUCUCAAUCAUGAAGAUCAUGGUGCUUAAUAUGCACAAGUGUGGAAAAGUGGUAACAUUGUCCCUUCUCUCUUUUUCUCUCUUUUUUUAUGGUGGGCUCUUUGGCCUCUUUUUUUUGGUGGGCUUCUUUGGCCUCUUUUAUUUCCUCACAUGGGACAAUGCUCCAUUAAUGAUGAUCAUCACACUUUCAACUCAAAACUUAGAGCAACGAUGACUCUAUAUGGAAUGCCUUCGGUAGUGUACCGUGGCAGUGAUCUAGCAUGGCAUAGACAUUAAUGGAAACAUCAUGCUAGAUAUCUUAUGAUCAUGCAAUGGCAAUGUAGACGUGAUGGCACAUGUCAUGGUGGUAGCUGCAUGGCAAUAUAUCUCGGAAUGACUUUGAAAAAGCCAUAGUAGGUAGGUAUGGUGGCUGUUUUGAGGGAGGCUAAUGGUGGGUUUUGUGCACCGGCAAAAGUUGCACUGCACUAAGAAGAUAGUGAUGGUGGAAGGUGAAAGUGAAUCUAAACCAUGGACUCAACAUUAGUCAUGAAGAACUCAUAUACUUUUUGCAAAAGUUUCAUUAGUAAUCGAAACAAAGCAUUCAACGCAUACUCCUAGGGGAAGGGUUGGUAGGUAUAAACCAUCGCGCGAUCCCGACCGCCAUGCAAAGGAUGACAAUCAAUAGACUAAUCAUGCUCAGAUUUCAUCACAUAGCGGUUCACCAUACGUGCAUGCUACGGGAAUCACUAACUUCAACACAAGUAUUUCUAGAUCCACAACACCUUAUUAGCAUAACUUCAAUAUUACCACAACCAUAUCUCAAAACUAAUUGAGAGGAAUCAAACUUCUCUAACUAUUCAAUGCACAUGAAGGUGGAAGUUUUCGUAUACCUUUGGAUAACUACCCCUUUUGAGACUACUUUCAAAGCAUAGAUCAACUACCAAGCCACGCACCGUUGUGCUCUAAAAGAUAUAAGUGAAGCACAUAGAGCAAAAGUAUCUAGCUCAAAAGAUAUAAGUGAAGCACAUGUGAGCUGAAUUGUCUACCAAAAGAUAUAAGUGAAGCUCGACAAAAUCACGGUGAGUGCAUGUCUCUCUCUUUAGGUGUGCAGAAAGGAUGAUUGUGACACAAAAAAUAAAAGACUCCUACGAUACAAGACGCUCCAAGAAAAACACAUAACAUGUGGUGAAUAAAAAUAUAGCCCCAAGUAAUGUUACCGAUGGAUUGAAGACGAGAGAGGGGAUGCCUUCCCGGGGCAUCCCCAAGCUUAGGCUUUUACGACAUCCUUGAAUCUCUUGGGGUGCCUUGGGCAUCCCCAAGCUUGAGCUCGUGCCACUCUUUAUCUCUUUGUCCAUAAGAACUUCACCCAAAACUUGAAAACUUCACAACACGAAACUUAAACAGAAACUCGUGAUAACAUUAGUAUGAGAAAGCAAACCACCACUUCCUUAGGUACUGUAGCAAACUUAAAUUCUACUUGUGCUGAUGUUGGGUUACUGUAUUUUCAAUCUUCCAUGGCUAAUACCCCCUGAUACUAUCCAUAGUUUCAUCAAAAUAAGCAACCAACACAACAAAAACAGAAUAUGUUAACAGCAGACCAGUCUGUAGCAAUUUGUAUAUUUCGUAUACCUCUGGUACUUCAACAAUUCUGAAAAAUUACGACAGUCUGAAGAAUUUGCGUAUCAAUCAGAAGCAAAAAGAAUCAACUCAAAAUCUCUUACACAAAAAACAAUGAAAAUUCUUUUCGUGAGCAGAAAGUUUCUGUCUUUUCCAGCAUGACCAAACGAUCAUCCCCAAGACUAAUCAUAACGGUUUUGCUUGGCACAAACGCAAAAAUAAACACAAAAAACACAAUCAUAACAGAAUUAUGAAAGUGUGGAAAACACAAAACAAAAAUAAAAAGGGUAGAUUCGUUGGGUUGCCUCCCAACAAGCGCUUUUGUUUAACGCCCUUAGCUAGGCAAAAGGUGAUGGAAUCACGUAUAGUCAUCUUUGGUGCUCAAACCAUAAGUAGCCCUCAUCAUAGAUUCAUAAGGCAAUCUUAUUUUCUUUCUAGGAAAUUGCUCCAUGCCCUUCUUUAAAGGAAAUUGAAAUCUAAUAUUCGCUUCCUUCAUAUCGAUGAUAGCACCAAUAGUCCUUAGGAUAGGUCUACCAAGAAUAAUGGGACAUGAAAGAUUGCAAUCUAUGUCAAGUACAAUGAAAUCCACGGGUACAUAGUUCUUAUUUGCAACAAUAAGAACAUCAUCGAUCCUCCCCAUGGGUUUCUUGACAGUAGAAUCCGCAAGAUGCAAAUUAAGAGAACACUCUUCAAUCUCAUGAAAACCAAGAAUAUCACAUAAAGACUUUGGAAUCGCGGAAACACUAGCAUCCAAAUCACACAAAGCAUUGCACUCAUAGUUUUUUAUCUUGAUUUUGAUAGUAGGUUCCCACUCAUCAUGAAGUUUUCUAGGUAUAGAGACUUCUAGUUCGAGCUUCUCUUCAAGAGAUUUCAUCAUAGCAUCUACGAUAUGCGCGGUAAAGGCUUUGCUUUGGCUAUAAGCGUGUGGAGAGUUUGCAAUGGAUUGCAUCAAAGAAAUGCAUUCAAACAAGGAGCAAUUAUCAUAAUUGAAUUCCUUGAAAUCCAAAGUGGGAGUUUCAUUACUACCCAAAAUUUUGAUUUCUUCUACUCCACUCUCCACACCUUUAUCAUCAAGAUAGGUGGACUCCGAAUCAUUGGGGCGUUUUUCAACCAAAGUGGAUUCAUAUCCAGCCCCUCCAUAAAUAGGUUUGACACGCGAAAACAAAGAUUCAAGAGGAGACACACCAAGCACUUUAAGAUCUUCGUGAUUUGCAUCACUAGAACGCACCCUUUUAAACCAUUCAUGCCUAGCGCGAAUUUGGACGGUUCUUUCUUUGCUCUCAUUCAUGGAGACACGCAUAGCUUUCAAAGUUUUAUCCAAGUUGACCUUGGGAGGAGCUCAUCUAACUUUCAAAGCAUCAAUAUCACAAGACAUCAUAUCAACGCUUUUAGCCAAAUCGUCUAUUUUGAGUAGUUUUUCCUCUAUGGACGCAUUGAAAAUCUUUUGAGAGUUGAUGAACUCUUUGAUAUUACUCUCUAAAUCAGAGGAUAAUUUGUUGUGAUUUCCAUAAGUGUUGUUGUAGGAAUUGCCAUAAUUGUUAGAGGAGUUACUAGGAAAAGGCCUAGGAACAUAGUUUCCUCUAAAAGCAUUGUUGUUGCCAAAAUUGUUCCUACCAACAAAAUUCACGUCCAAACUAGCGUUGCUACUCUCAAUCAAAGAAGAUAGUGGCAUGUCAUUAGGAUCUACAGUAGCGUUUCUACUAGCAACCAAAUUCAUCAACUCGUCCAUCUUAGCACUAAGCGAGUUAAUCUCUUCUAUAGCGUGUACCUUUUUGCUAGCAGGUGACCUUUCAGUGUGCCACUGAGAGUAGCUGGUCAUGAUAUUGUCUAGGAGUUUUGUAGUGUCUCCUAACGUGAUUUCCAUGAACGUUCCACCUGAGGCGGAUUCCAAGAUAUUGCGAGAAGCGAAAUUCAAGCCAGCGUAAAAGAUUUGUAUAAUCAUCCACAAACUCAAGCCAUGAGCGGGACAAUUUCUAAUCAUAAGCUUCAUCCUAUCCCAAGAUUGUGCAACGUGUUCAUGAUCAAGUUGCUUGAAAUUCAUGAUAUCGUUACGUAAGGAGAUGAUCUUAGCCGGCGGAAAAUACUUGGAUAUGUAAACAUCUUUGCACUUAUCCCAAGAAUCGAUACUAUUUUUAGGCAAAGAAGAAAACCAAGUUUUUGCGCGAUCUCGCAACGAGAAAGGAAAAAGUUUCAACUUAAUCACGUCAUUAUCCACAUCUCUUUUCUUUUGUAUAUCACAAAGCUCAAUGAAGGUAUUGAGAUAGAAUGCGGCAUCUUCACUAGGAAGGCCAGAGAAUUCCUCUUUCAUAACAAGAUUCAGCAAAGCUGCGUUGAUUUCAUACGAUUCCGCACUAGUGGCGGGAGCAAUCGGAGUACUAAUAAAAUCAUUAUUAUUGGUACUCGAGAAGUCGCAAAGUUUGGUAUUUUCAGCCAUGAUGACUUCAACAAACAAACAAGCACACAAGCAAGCAAGAAAACCAGCAAAGGAAACGGCAAAGGCAAAAGAAAACGGCAAAGGAAAAAAGGCAAAUGAAAACGGCAAAUGUGAAGUGGGGGAGAGGAAAACGAGAGGCAACUCGCAAAAAAGUAAAUGCAAGAGUUGAGUUUGUGAGACCUACUUGGAUAGAUCUCUCCUCCCCGACAACGGCGCCAGAAAUUGGCACGUUGACGGGAAACUAUUCUCAACGUGAUCCUCCUCACCGGCAACAUCGCCAGAAAUACUUCUGCUACUGCAACAAAAGACCUUCCAACGGCGCCAGAAAUAGGAGUGUUGCUUGAUACUCCUCAGCAACAGCACCAGGAAUCCUUCUGCUACGGCUACGCCUUAAGGGACUUCCUAGGCAAAUAUGCAAAGGAUUUCCCCCGUGGCCUUGGAGCCUUGCGUUGGUGUUCCCUCGAAGCGGAAAGGGUGAUGUAGCACAGCGGUGGUAAGUAUUUCCCUCAGUUUGAGAACCAAGGUAUCGAUCCAGUGAAGGAGUAUCACAAGAGCGUGCACAAACACAAAAAGCUUGCUCCCAACGCUAUGAAGGGGUUGUCAAUCCCUUAUAGAUUGUUCGCCAAGUGAGAACUGAAAGCAACAAAGUAACAAAGCAAAGUAAAAGCGAAAGUGGAAAUGAUAGAUGUGAAUAGACCCAGGGGCCGUAGUAUUUACUGGUGGCUUCUCUCAUGAAAGCAAGUAGACGGUGGGUGAACAAAUUAUUGUCGAGCAAUUGAUAGAACAGCGCAAAGUCGUGACGAUAUCUAUGGCAAUGAUUAUAUCUAUAGGCAUCACGUCCAAAACAAGUAGACCGGUACUUUCUGCAUCUACUACUAUUACUCCACGCGUCGACCGCUAUCUAGCAUGCAUCUAGUGUAUUAAGUCCAAAAGAACAGAGUAACGCCUUAAGCAAGAUGACAUGAUGUAGAUGAACAAUCUCAUAUCUACGACAGAGCCCACCUUGUUACCCUUGAUGGCAACUACACGAUGUGUGCCUUGCUGCCCCUACUGUCACUGGGAAAGGUCACCACACGGUAAGAACCCAAAACCAAACACUUCUCCCAUUGCAAGAAUCAUAGAUCUAGUUGGCCAAACAAAACCCAAGACUCGGAGAGACUUACAAGGAUAUCAAAUCAUGCAUAUAAGAAAUCAGCAAAGACUCAAAUAUAUAACAUAGAUAAUCUCAUCACAAAUCCAUAAUUCAUCGGAUCUCGACAAACACACCGCCAAAGAAGAUUACAUCGGAUAGAUCUCCAUGAAGAUCAUGGAGAACUUUGUAUGGAAGAUCCAAGAGAGAGAAGAAGCCAUCUAACUAGUAACUACGGACCCGUAGGUCUGAAGUGAACUACUCACGAGUCAUUGGAGGGGCAAUGAUGAUGAUGAAGAAGCCCUCCAACUCCAAAGUCCCCUCCGGCAGGGCACUGGGAAGGGUCUCCAGAUGAGAUCUCGCGGAAACGGAAGCUUGCGGCGGCGGAAAAGUAUUUUCGUGGCUCCCUUGAUUUUUUUUCUGAUUUUUAGGGAAUAUAUAGGCGCAAGAUCUAGGUCAGUGGGGCGCCAGGGAGGCCACAAGCCUGCCCACCGCCACCCCCCCCCCUGGUGGCGGAGUGGGGGAUUGUCGGCUCCGUGUAGCCCUCCUGGCUUGGCCCACAGGUCCCCUGAUCUUCUUUCGUUCGGGAAAAAAUCAUUUCGGGGAUUUUAUUCCGUUUGGACUCCGUUCCAAAAUAAGAUCUGAAAAGAGCCAAAAACAAAGAAAGAAACAGGAACUGGCACUUGGCACUGAAUUAAUAAGUUAGUCCCAAAAAAGAUAUAAAAGGUACAUAAAACAUCCAAAGAUGACAAGAUAACAGCGUGAAACCAUCAAAAAUUAUAGAUACGUUUGAGACGUAUCAAGCAUCCCCAAGCUUAACUCCUGCUCGUCCUCGAGUAGGGAAGUGAUAAAGAAUGAAUUUUUGAUGCUUUCAUGCUACCUAGCAUAGAUGUCCUUUGUAACUCCUCUUAUGUGAUGUGAAUGUUCAGAUCCAUUAGAUUCAAAACAAUAGUUUGCUAUUGAUGUGGAAACAAUAAUAAUUCAAGCAAACUAGCAAGGUAAUCAUGAACUUUCAAAAUAACAAGGCCAAAAGAAAGUUAUCCCUACAAAAGCAUAUAGUCCAUCAUAUGCAUGCGGAAUUUUGUUGCUAAACAAUAAAAUGGAGAAAUCUUAGCUAGAAAAAGCUAAGCUAUAUACAUGCAUAUGUGAGUUUAGUUCAUAAGUCCUUCGAUGCACUUAGCACCUUGUCUAAUCACCUGUGGUGGAUCCAAAAACCUCUCGAAUGCGAAGCAAAGCACAAACUAAGGUAUCUUAAGAUGCCAUUUUUAAUAUGAAGUCAUCAUAUAAAAAUGUCUAACAUAAGAUGUCGUAUCGAUGGUAGAUUCACUCAUGAGUGAGCACCAUUGCUUUUUUCUAGAAUGCAACUGACCUCUACCUGGGACCGGGAAAGUUUGUACGAUGAGAUAAUACAACUUUGUUGGAAAAAAUAACGAUGAAUCUUUCACAAAUUUGAUGACGUUGGAAGAGAAAGGAGUGGCAUGUGUCCGAGCAGAAAAUCAACACUAGUAGAAAACAGGGCUUUGGUCGAGGCGAGAUAAGAGCUUUAAUCCCGAUUCUGUUACGAACCGGGACCAUAUCAGUCCCGGUUCAUGAGGCCAGGGCGCCGGCCGGGCCAGGGUCCCGGUUCGUCUGACCCCUUUGGUCCUGGUUCCAUACACGAACCGAGACCAAUGGUCCUCACUCCUCGCGCAGCACCUUUAGUCCCGGUUGGUGGGUGGAACCGGGACUAAAAGUCAGUCUUCUGUCCCGGUUCUGGCCACCAACCGGGACCAAAGAGAUACUUAUAUAUACCCUCGCCCCUGCCCACCCUCUCCUCUGUUUUUUGGCCAUGUGGGAGGUGUGCAUACCCUGCUAUGUUCACCGUUCUAUGCAUGCACAUGAGGUGUUCGAUGAAAUGCCCGAGCCACACUUAAGCUUUCUCCUCUCCAAGCUCGACCUCCAAGCUCCAUUUUCCUCAAGAUUUGUCUAGGUUUGGUGGUGCAGCAACUACACAAGUGUUCUAAAAGGUUAGCUACUUCAUCCUUUCAUCUCUCACCGCUAGUUUAGCUAAUUUUAAAUGCUCUAGAAGUAGAGUGCUUGUGGGUUUUAGUGUAGGAGUGUAUGUGGGAGUUCUUUUGAUUUAGAUGCACAAUCGAUCCCAUCGCCGGCACCACCAUGGUGAGCCUCUUGUUCUUAUCUUCUUUCUAAAUAAAAUCUUACUGGUAUGAUUUAGAUAGAUACUUGUGUAAAUUUCUUACUUUUAUUAUUGUUUGUUAUUAUAUAGUGCGAUGGUAUUGGUAUGCACACACGUCGGUCCUCGUCCGGCCUAUGAUUGAGACGUGCUAUAUUUUCUUUUAUAACUAUUUGUUUUAUUUAGUGUUUAUGACAAUUAUGCCGACCAACGUGACAUGGAUGUUUUUAUCUAGGAGGUAUGUGAACCGGAAACUCCAACCGACCCUCUUGUCGAGAGGUUAAAUUUAGUUGAAAAAGAAAAUAGUUACUUGAAGAAAAAAAUAGAAAAAAUUAAAGAGAAGAAUAUGGAAUUGGAGUUGUAUGUUGCCGAUGUCGUCGUUGAUCACAAGAUCAAGAUGGAUGCAAUGCGAUUGAAGAUGGACGCAAUGCGCUUGAAGAUGGAUGAAGUGUGGUUAGAGAUUAGGAAUAUUAGAAAAUAUGCCAUUGAUAAAGAGGCUUGGUAUCAUUAUGAUGUUGGGUCAAUUGUUACCUUAGUUGUGAUGUUGAUCACAUUUGUUCUUGCAUUUAAAUGUUUUACAUAGUUGUAUGUUGUUUUAUGAGCACAAUAUAUGAAUUUUACGUAUUUAUUUUUGCAGUAAUAACAUUUGAUCACUGAUACGUCUCCANNNNNNNNNNNNNNNNNNNNNNNNNNNNNNNNNNNNNNNNNNNNNNNNNNNNNNNNNNNNNNNNNNNNNNNNNNNNNNNNNNNNNNNNNNNNNNNNNNNNNNNNNNNNNNNNNNNNNNNNNNNNNNNNNNNNNNNNNNNNNNNNNNNNNNNNNNNNNNNNNNNNNNNNNNNNNNNNNNNNNNNNNNNNNNNNNNNNNNNNNNNNNNNNNNNNNNNNNNNNNNNNNNNNNNNNNNNNNNNNNNNNNNNNNNNNNNNNNNNNNNNNNNNNNNNNNNNNNNNNNNNNNNNNNNNNNNNNNNNNNNNNNNNNNNNNNNNNNNNNNNNNNNNNNNNNNNNNNNNNNNNNNNNNNNNNNNNNNNNNNNNNNNNNNNNNNNNNNNNNNNNNNNNNNNNNNNNNNNNNNNNNNNNNNNNNNNNNNNNNNNNNNNNNNNNNNNNNNNNNNNNNNNNNNNNNNNNNNNNNNNNNNNNNNNNNNNNNNNNNNNNNNNNNNNNNNNNNNNNNNNNNNNNNNNNNNNNNNNNNNNNNNNNNNNNNNNNNNNNNNNNNNNNNNNNNNNNNNNNNNNNNNNNNNNNNNNNNNNNNNNNNNNNNNNNNNNNNNNNNNNNNNNNNNNNNNNNNNNNNNNNNNNNNNNNNNNNNNNNNNNNNNNNNNNNNNNNNNNNNNNNNNNNNNNNNNNNNNNNNNNNNNNNNNNNNNNNNNNNNNNNNNNNNNNNNNNNNNNNNNNNNNNNNNNNNNNNNNNNNNNNNNNNNNNNNNNNNNNNNNNNNNNNNNNNNNNNNNNNNNNNNNNNNNNNNNNNNNNNNNNNNNNNNNNNNNNNNNNNNNNNNNNNNNNNNNNNNNNNNNNNNNNNNNNNNNNNNNNNNNNNNNNNNNNNNNNNNNNNNNNNNNNNNNNNNNNNNNNNNNNNNNNNNNNNNNNNNNNNNNNNNNNNNNNNNNNNNNNNNNNNNNNNNNNNNNNNNNNNNNNNNNNNNNNNNNNNNNNNNNNNNNNNNNNNNNNNNNNNNNNNNNNNNNNNNNNNNNNNNNNNNNNNNNNNNNNNNNNNNNNNNNNNNNNNNNNNNNNNNNNNNNNNNNNNNNNNNNNNNNNNNNNNNNNNNNNNNNNNNNNNNNNNNNNNNNNNCCCUUGUGUCGAAUCAACAAAUUUGGGUUGAAUACUCUACCCUCGAAAACUGUUGCGAUCCCCUAUACUUGUGGGUUAUCAAUCACUACUGUACUUUGGGUUUAAUGUGAUGAUGAACUUGUAUUAAUUUUGUCAUUUCUCUAUUCAUGAUGUUCUGCAAUGGUUUUUGAUAUACUUAAUUUCAUAAUACAGAUGAAGCGCCAAUGGAUGUACGGUGAACGAUACACUUCGGAGUAGCUACUGCCGAGUUCCUUGUUUAUCAGUAGCGCAUAUUAUGAGGCCUGCGCUACUGCUAAGGACAUUAGCAGUAGCGCUGGGAGGCAUCCAGCGCUACUGCUUAAUAGUAGCAGCGCUUUCUACUUUCCAGCGCUACUAAUAGGCUCCUACCUAUAAGGUUUUUCCUAGUAGUGCUUAUCUCUAUUGUGUUCCAUCUCCUCUCCUCUUCAAGGAAAAACUCAAUGCAGUUUACGAGUAGCACGCUGCCACAUCUUUACCAUCUCCACAUAAGUGCCCUUCACCCACACCGCUUUCAAGAGUUUGAUGAUCAUCGCCUCGCCGUAUUCAGCGAGAGGUCACCACCUCCGCCGCGGCCACUGCCACCACUCUAGAAUGUGUCUUGCUGCUCGAAGGUCGUUGAUGGUAGACAGGCCUACCUUUGAAGGGCCUCAUCGCCCCUUCAGAUCUGCAUCUGCCAUUGAAGUGGAAAAGCUCGAGCGGGGUGGUCUGUGCCGCUGGAAGUAGAGGAUGUUUUGAUGCAGGAGAAGAAAGGAAGCAUGGCAGAGAAGGUAUUAACCACCCUGGGUCUUUACAGGCUGGUGGAAACAUGAAUGGUCCACUUAACCGCUCCGAUAAGAUCUUCAUGUUUCAGCUCAAUCGAGCCGUUGUGGACAUGUGGGGUCUAACACUCAAUUAAUGGUGUCCCGCGAAAUGCGGGGCACGAUCUUUGUUUUGAUAAGACAUGCCAAGAGUUUCCUCAAAUCGUUGUUCGAGUAAGUUAUGACCGAUAUGCACAAUGUCAUUAACAUGACGAUUCGGGAAAAGUUAUCAAUACCUUGUUUCAGGAUUGGUCUAUGGUUUAGUCCUCGGUGCUCAGGUAACCACUUUGGGCAAAAGAAGGUGCCACACAGAUGACUAGAGAACUGUUCAACUCAUUUGUCGAGCCGAAGUCUGAAGAAGAUUGUCCGAUAAAGAACCUUAUGCUCGGCAUCGAAGACUAGUUCAAGGGAUACUCAAGGAGUCCUGGACUAAGGGGUCCCACUUGAGGUGGACUAGUCCCUAGGCUGAGCUCGAGGCCCACCGUGGAGGAAGGAUUUCAGAGGUCCACUAAAGGAUUGUGAGCAUAUCAGAUUCUACCAAAGACUUGGCGUGCACUCCAGGGAAAGGAUGAUUCGUUCGACAUGUAAUCCAUAGAUGGUAUCCAACAUUCAUGUAACCCUAGAUACUACUGGUGCCUACAUAAACCGUGGGGUUUAGCCCAUAGACGACACCCAUAUACACAACAUCAUAACCCCUAGGGUUUAGCCCACAAACUCACAAUCUCGAGGUAGAUCAACUCCGUAAUUGCUACAUCAUCAAUACAAAAAAGAGCAUGACAUAGGGUUUUACCUUCAUUGAGAGGGCCCGAAUCUAGGUAAAAACCUCAUGUUCUUUGUCUCGUGUUACCGUCGAUCCAAUCUCAUAGCUCGGGCCCCCCUACCCGAGAUCUGCCGGUUUUGACAUCAACACUGGGCGUGGCCCGUUUCAUUUGGUGUUGUAUCCGAGACGAUCAUUGUUCUAGCUAAAAGCGAGUGAAAUACCUAUUUGUCGUAUUUUGCGUCAAACUGUUAACGAAUUGCACAUCACAAGCGCGCGAGCAAGCGAUUCGGCAGGCCCAUCUAGAGUUGUACAUGUACAUCUUUCACGUUCUAGUUUUGGGAAUCUAGGGUUCACAGUGUUUUAUCGUUUUUGGGAACCUUCUAGAAGGUUCACCUGUUUUUAUAUUUUCCUUUUUCCCUUUCUUGUUUUGUUUUUGUAUCUAUUUAUUUUCCUUUUUCUUUUUAAUUUUUAAUUUUUGUUUUUUGUUUUAAUUUCAGUUUUUCUCUUUCUUUUUGUCACUUCCAUGUUUUUUAUUUUUCAUGUUUCUUUUUCUUGAAAAUUUCAAAUUAUCUUUGGAAUUUAAAAAAUCUCACUUUCAAAUUUGUUAGCACUUUGAAAAAAAAAAUUGUUUCAGAAUUUAUUUAGGAAUUUCAAAACAUUUAGCCACUUUCUAAAUUUGUUCACAAUUUUCAAUAAAAAUCAUGUUUACAAAAAUGUUCAAGACUUUCAAAAAAUGUUCUUGCUUUCAAAAACUGUUCAUAGUUUCAAAAACGUUCAAGCUUCAAUAAUUUUUCAGGAAUUUCAGAAAAGUUCUAGUCUUCAAAUUUUGUGUACAAUUUCUGAAGAUGGUCUUGUUUCAAUAAAGGUUUGGAAAUUUCAAAAAAUCUUGUUUUAAAAACUUGUUCGGAGCUUCUGAAAAAUGUUCGUGUUUCCAAAAAUGUGUAGAAAUUUCACAAAGAAAAUAACUGUUUCAACAUUUCGUUCAUAAUUUAGUAAAAUGUUCACAUGUUCCAUAUUUCGCCCGAAUUUUAAGAAAACUUAAAAACACAUUUUGUUCGCAUUUUCUGUAUAUAUAUUUUUUGCUCAAAUAUUAAAAAGUUCCUUUUUCCAAAAAAAAAUCAAAAUUCAAAAAAUGUUCGUGAUCUUAGAAAAUAUUCAAAAAUUUCAAAAAAUGAUUGUGUUUUAGAAAAAAAACGUAUUCAAUAAAAAAAUUCAUAUAUUUAUAAAAACAAUGUGUCAUGUUUUGAAGAAAUAUUCGUAAAUUUGGUAAAAAUGUUCGCAAAAUUCAUUCAAAAUUCAAAAUAAAAAUAAGUUUUGCAUAUUUGAAAAAAAAUGCCCGUGUUUGCAUUAAAGGUUCAAAUCUGGGAAAAAACUUUCAUUUUUUAAUGUUUACAUUUAUUAAAACCAUUUCGAAAUUUGAAAAAUGUUCGUUUAAAAAAUGCAUUAGGUACCGUAACUAUGUCGGUCACUAUAGUAUGUCCCUUUGAGGUUAUAGUUCUUAAAACAUCGGCCAUGUGGGUGCCACGAGAGCUGAUCGGGUUUGUUGGCAAGCAACGUGCUCACAACCGCGCGAGGUCACGGAUUUGAUGCCUAGCAAGCACAUGACUUUUUUUUAUUUUUGAUCCCAUGCUGGAAUGCAUGUUCAUUAUUGGACCGUCUCAGGGUGGACUCCCCCCGUGCGUUUGCUCGAUAAUAUGCCGCAGAACGCGAUAUAUAGGAGGUCCCGAAAGCGAGACAUAGACGCGUCCAUCAUAGAUAAGAAAUUACAUAGAGGUAAAGGAAGACUCAACUUAGCCCAAUAUUCAUUUGGAAAUUGACUAAUAGCCCACUUAUCUCAAAAUAUUGGGCCGCAACUAAUUGCAUGAGUGAGAAGAACUUUUUUUCGAUUGAAGUGGCAUCCGGCGUAAGUGAGAUGUGGGACAGUGAUCGUGGCAAAGUAGAUUUGAGCUAGAGGUGGAGUGCACUAUCAAACAUCACAUCCGAUGUCACGUUGUUUCUCGAGUGCCGCUCCGAUUUGGUUCCUCCUUCCUCACUAUCCCCGUCCUUCCUUACAAAGGAGGCAUGCACGCGCGUAUGUGGGGGAAGGGAAGAAAGCUUCGGGUCGUUCCAUCGAUUUGCUGCCUCGAGCCAAAUUUAAUUAUUACCCCACCUUGGCCCAAGAACUUGGGCCUGCAACUAAUCGGGGGAGUGAUAAGAACUUUUUUUGUUCAAUUAAAGUGACACAUGACAGUCCCUAAUCGUGUGCAAUGUAGUGGUGCCUAGGAAAAGCAAUCCAUACACGUAAGCGCGCGUACAACGCUGAUAUCUUAACAGUGCACGUAAGAUGAAUGUUGAGGUGGAGAAAAAAAGAAAGCAGAAAAAAUAAAACAUACAUCUUCCCUUAAUUAAGAGAUGGUCUCUUAGCAACAAAGCUCUCAUCAAAUUUUUAGAAACUAACACAUAUGCCCAUACAAUGCAUUGAGAGGGAAACCCGUUGGUUACAUGCGAGCACAAUGUCUUGUAGCAAAUCCGCUAUGGAGAAAAUGGUAUUUGUCUAGUUCACCAAAACAAUUAAUAUUGCAACAUCCAAGUGGUAUGACCCGGUGACAGAGAGGUGUAUCAGACAUACAUGAAUCAUAUAUGCAUGUGCCUUCCAAAGGGGGAGAAAUUGAUUACGUGGAAGCACAACGUCACUAUAAAUAUGCCCAUGUGAUGAAACGAAUAUAAGGGCAUUUCUAAUUGAACCCCAAUAAAUAGAGGAGUAUACGAUGGAGUAAACCCUUAGUGGAGUAUUUUAUAUCAUUAAGAUUUGACCAGACCUAGCCGAUCCCCUAUAUUUAACGGAGUAAAUGUCUGCUUUUUUCUAAACUUUGCAAUUCUAGUAGACAUUGCAACUACAUAUUAGUAGACAAAUAAAAAUUAAACAUAAAUUUGAAUGUUCAAGCAAAUAACGAAUAGAGUUUGCAAAACAAAUUUAAAGUUUAAAAACCAAAUUAUUCAAAUUUAAACACGCCGAAUGGUCCAAAUUUAGCAAAUAGCAUGUGAUAGAACAACUAGGACUCGCUAUGACAUUUGCUAGUGAUGCUCAAUAAAAUAUUCUUGAAGUUGAGCAUGAACUUUUCGAUUCUCGAUCUCGCAAAGCUCUUCAAAGAAUGCCAGGAUCCUAUUCGGAUCAUACUCUAGCUCAACCGGAGCCCCGUUGGCCAUGUACCGAAAGUACUCAUGCAUAUCACUCUCGUCUUUAAUGAUCAUGGUAUGCAAUAUGAUGCAACAAAUCAUGAUCCUCCAUUUAACCUUGGAGCUCCAAUACUCGACAAGGUCACGAACAAUUGCAAAGCGCCUCUAUAGCACACUGAAAGCUCUCUCCACAUCUUUCCUAGCAGCUUCUUCAGAUUGGGCAAAGUAAUAUUUUUGUUAACUUUUGGAAGUAGAAUUGUUUUGACCAAGAUGGCCCAUUGUGGAUAGACGCCAUCCCCAAGGUAGUAACACAUCAAGUAGUUGUGCCCAUUGACCGAGUUGUUGCAAGAAGGAGCAUAUCAUGUAAUAAGCCUAGAAAACAAUGGUAAUCUCGACAACACAUUCAAGUCAUUGUGACUUGUGAGAGCCAGGCAAACAAAAGAAUGAAUGUCAUAUCCAAAGAUCCUUCGUUGCAACUGCCUCAAGAAUGAUCAUUGGAUUGUUGGUGUGGCUUUUGUACUAACCCUUCCACCCUGUAGGACAGUUCUUCCAUCUCUAGUGCAUACAGUUAAGUGAUCCAAGCAUCCCUGCCAUCCUCUUGCGUCAGUCUAUGUCAUCAGCAUCUGGGUAUCUUCCUCUGUGGGUGCUCUCAAGUACUCGGGGCCAAAGACAUCGAUCCCUACUUUCGUGAACCUUUGAAUGGCUUCCAAGAUUGUGUAUUCACCAAUGCAGACAUAGUCAUCAAUUGCAUCGACAGAACACCCAUAUGCCAAGAAUCGAACAGCCGCAAUGCACCUCAUUAAUGGGCUUUCACUUAUCUGUCCACUUGCAUUUCUCCAGAGCUUGAACUAGUUAUCAUACCUCUCAACGACUUUUGCAAUGGUCAAAGAAAGACUUGUGUGCAUCCGAAAGCAUCGAUAAAAGUACUUCUCCAGAUAGGUUAUAUUUGGAUCAAAGGAAUCUCUCAUGAUCUUGGCAUGACCCUCCGCUCUAUGAUGGGUGAUGUGUAUGCAGCUAAACUAGGGUCAUUUCUUAGGCAGCCGAAUAUCAUAAUUGAAAACCAUGUAUAAAACGGUUUCAAAGUCAUCAUCGUCUUCUUCCACUUCGAAUGACGACGAGUCCUCGAAGACUAUCUCCCUCAACAUCUUGGUAUACAAUUCAAACGGCUACAUUCAAACCGAACGGCUUGGUUAAAAAAGAAACAGAAAAAAAACUAACCUAGGGAAUUCGUCAAAGACUUGCAGUGGGGUGGUGGUGCACCAGCCGAUCGGUGUGGUUUACACCUAAACGGAAGGUGGUAACGCGUGUGAUGACCUAUAGCGGUGUGGAAGCAAGGUGAGAUGCAGCGGCUGGCAGAAUAGGAAGAAGCUUUAAGCAAUUUGACGAAUCAACAAUGGCGACGGCAACAACGUUUCACCUUGAUUCCAGCGAAGGCGACGGGGCUGAACAAGCUCAAGGCAACGAGGUAGUGACGGGGCCGGCGAGUAGUCGCCGGGAGGCGCACCGGCGAAGAUAGAAUGGUACCGGGGGCGGGGGGUGGGGGCGCGAGGGAGAGGCACGAAUUUUACUCAGCCGCUAAGCAGUGAAGUAUAUUUAGGAAAAGGAUCGGCAAGGUGCCGGUUAAAGGAGUGAAACCGAAUUUUUACUCCUCCAACCGGUUAUAGGGCAUCGGUUAAAAAUGACUUGAAUAAAUUAUGCAUGCUUAAAUUUAAUAUGAAUACACAAGCAUCACAUAAUCGAUAAUUUGUUGUUUCCCUGCAGGUCAUCGGCGCUUAUGUAGGAUAUUUAGGCUGGUGAACCAUAACCACGUUUGUAUUUUUUCAAGCGAGGAGUAAUCAUUCGUUUCAAGCCGGCAGUAUCAAUCACUAAUAGUUUGUUAGGUCUAUGAACAACACGACCCAGUGCCCAUAUAUUUGAACAACACUUGGAAGUCUUGGGCGCCUCUCAGGGUCAAGAUUUUCCUAUGGCUGGCGCUGGCAGAUGUUGGACGGCCGACAGCUUGGCGCGUUGUGGCCUUCCCCACGCGCCUUUCUGCUUGUUCUGCGACCAGGAACCGGCCGGAGAGGAUAUGCAACACCUGCUGGCCGGUUGCUCCUUCUCGCAACAAGUUUGACAUGAGAUCCUCUCUCGGUGCCAUGCCAUAGUCACCCUGCCCAACUCGGACUGCGAUUUUCGCGAGUGGUUUUCCGCCUCCAUACAUGACUUGCCGAUCGCUCUUCGCCGUGGGCUUGCCACAAUCAUCGUCCUCGCUACUUGGAGACUCUAGAAGUUGUGCAAUGAUUGUGUGUUCAACGUCGACAGCCCUUCCGUCAACAGACUCUCUGACAGGUGCUCCUUGAUUACAUCAAGGAAGACCCCCGCGCUUGGGUGCACGCCGGGGCCAAGGGCCUUGGCCAACUGAUUGACGAGACGUAGAGUUUUUCAUUUUGGGUGCGCCCUUGUUCAUCUCGUUCACAGCAUCUCAUUUGCGCAUAUCCUCACGAGAUCAACCCUGUAACCAUUUUAUUCGUUUCCAUCUAUCAAUGCAAUGAUACGCAUAUUUUUUGUGUAUUCUCCAAGAAAAAUAUUUGCACUUACACUUUCAAAGAAUCUCCAAUCAUAUAGACGCACACACAUGAGCACAUAACCUUUCUUAGCUUCUUUGCAUCAAAUUCAACCAACAAUUCGAAUGUGAUAUCAUGGAGCCUGCAAAGCACCUCCACUUUAUAUGCGAAGGAUCCCGCUUAAUUAGCUCACACCCGGAAAUGAUGUUGAUGUAUAUAAAUUGGUGAGAAUUUGUUAAAAGGAGCCAUGUGAGACUUUUCAACACGAAAUAUGCAUACGCAUUAAUACCGCAAUGUGUCACUCCUCGAAAGCAUAGUUAGCUUUGUCUGGGGAAGGCCUUUCGAGAUCAGCAUAUGGUCAUUUGAUGGCAGAGAUAAAGUUCAUUAUGCAACAGUGAGAGUUUAUUCUCAUCAAAAUCAAGGGUGAGCAAAAUAGGGUGGUAGAUUGAUUGAUGCCGUAUGGUCGAGUAGAAAGUGGUAUUAUUGUAUGGCUAUGUAGCGCAUCAUCGUGUAUAGAGGAUCUUUUACCUCUCAAUUGUAACCCUAAUACGAUGAAAUAAAACUCUUUUCAGUAAAAGAAAAUACUGCAAUGUGUUAAUUUUUCUUUUUACGUUGAUGGUGCAUGCGCACGCUGGUCAAACUGGCCCAACAGUUGGAGUGCAGGCCGAAGCACAAUCCCCUUUAUUUUUGGACGCCCCUAUGUACGCGAGACAGAGGCAAGCCUCACGCCAGGGGAGCUCUAUAUUGGCCAGCCCAGCUGCGCGGGAGGCUACAACCUCAUUUUCCUGUUUUUUAUGUCUUUUGUUUUAUUUAUUUAUUUAUUAAAUUUUGUUUAUACUUCAAAAAAUAGUAUGAAAAAAUUACAAAAAAAACAUUUGAAAAAUGUUAAGCAACCUUUAAAAAAUGUCAAAUGUGUAUAGAGAAAAUAUUUACCAAUUAUAUGAAAAAUGUAUUAUAAAAUUUAACAUGUAUUUAAAAUAUUAAUCAAGCACUUGAAAACACAUUUGAAAAAUGUUAAUCAAGCAUUUUUUAAAUGUCAAAUGUGUAUAGAAAAAAUGCUGACCAUGUAUUAAAAAUUAAUGAAAUGUUUGGAUAAUGUAUAUAAAAUGUUUAAGCAAGCAUUUGAAAAAAUGUUGAAGAAGUAUUUGAAAAAUAUUAAUCAAGCAUAUGGAAAAUGUUUAAAAUGUGUAUAGAAAAAAUGUUGACCAUGAAAAUGAUGAUUGUUUUUAUCAUGUAUAUAAAAAUAUUAAUCAAGCAUUUGAAAAAAUAUCAGACAUGUAUUUGAAAAUGUUAAUCAAGCUUUUGAAAAGUGUUAAAAGUGUAUAGAAAAAAUGUUGAGCAUGUAUUAAAAAAUGGUGAAAAAAGUUGAUCAUGUAUAUAAAAAUAUUAGUAAAGAAUUUAAGAAACAUGUUGAACAAGUAUUUGAAAAUAUUAAUCAAGUAUUCUAAAAAAAUUAAAUGCGUAUAGGAAAAAUGUUUACCAUGGGUUAAAAUAUUGUAAACUUGUAUUGAACAAGUUAAUCAAGAGUUUCAAAAACAAUACGGAAUGUGUAUAGAAAAAUGUUGACCAUGUAUUUAAGAAAUGUUAAUCUGGUAUCUGAAGAAAACCAAAAAAACAAGAAAGAAAGAAAGAAGACCGAAAAAACAAUGAAAAGAAAAGAGAAGACAGAGUGAAAACUGAGAAAGGAUAUGAAGAAAAUCAAAGAAAGAUAAUGAAAAAAUAAAGAAAAGGAAACCAAUAAGAAUUGAGAAAGUGGAGAAAAUAAUAAAUAAAACUAAAAAACCCUGAAAAACCAGUGAAACCCUAGAUGUUUUCUCGUCAAGUAUGCUCAUGCCUCGAUGCCUAAAGCAUCUCCAACAGCCGCGCUAAACUAGCGCCGCGCCGCAAAAUAGCCCGUUUUAGCGCGCGCGCAACGCGGCGGGUAGCUCCAGCGGGCGCGCAAAAACGGCGCGCGCGGCAUAUGCAGUUCACCGCGCUGGUCGAAACGCAAUCGCGCGCCGCUUAUUUACUGCAACAGCUCCCGCGCGCUGGACUCUCCCGCGCUCGCUCCUUCACUCUCGCGCGCUCGCUCCUCCACUCUCUUGCGCUCGCUCCCCACUUCCACCCCCAUCCGGUCGCGCCGCCGCCGCCGCUAGCGCCCCCCGGCGACCGUUCAGGCGCUUCCCCGGCCUAUCCCCGUGCCGCCGUCGCCGCCCGCGCCCCCCGACGACCGUUCAGGCGCUUCCCCGGCCUAUCCCCGUGCCGUCGUCGCCGCCCGCGCCCCCCGGCAACCGUUCAGGCGCUUCCCCGACUAUCUCCGCUGUCGCCGCCGGCCGCGCCCCCCGGCGAUCGUUUAGGCGCUUCCCCGGCCUCCCCGCGCCGUCGCGCUUCCGCCCCACCCCCUCCUAGUCCCGCCGGCCCUCGCGCGCCCCCGUCGUCCGAGGAACAGCGCCCGAGCGCUCGCUGCCGCAGCGCGCCCGCAAGGUGUUCGACAAAACGCCUACAAGGUAUGUAUUGCUCAAACUUAUGAAUUUGGUGCAUGUUUUGAAUUGUAGUUUUUAUAGUAUAGUAUUGAACAUUGUAGAUGAGUUCGUCGUAUGAUUCUUCCGAAGAAGAAUUUGAUAUGGAAGAGGAGGAGGAUCUUGCAAUGAUCCUAGCUAUGCAUAUCAAUAAAAAACCGAAGCACGGUGGUUCGGUUAUGGGUUGGGAGAAAAUUUGGAGAGAUAGGAUUGAUGCCCAUAACAGAUUGAUGAAGAACUAUUUUGUGGAGAAUCCCACAUACCCGGAGUCGUAUUUUCGUCGCCGGUUUAGGAUGAGCACUCACUUGUUCAAGCGCAUUGCAGAGAAACUAGCGAGCCAUGACCGGUUUUUCCAGCAAAGGAGGAAUGCUGCCGAGAGCUCGGGCAUAGAGAGCUCAGGCAUAGCACCUUUCUGAAGGUGACAGCCGCUUUGCGUAUGUUGGCAUACGGUAUCCCGGCUGAUCUAGUUGAUGAUCACUUGGCUAUGGGUGAGGGCCAAGCCAUCAUGUGUGUCAAGCGCUUUGCAGUGGGAAUUGUGCAAGUGUUUGGCGAGGAGUAUUUGAGAUCUCCCACUGCUGAAGACGUCACAAGGCUAUUGGCGAUGAACAAGGCUCGCGGCUUUCCUGGCAUGCUUGGCUCAAUAGAUUGCAUGUAUUGGAGUUGGAAGAAUUGUCCAAAGGCAUGGCAUGGGCAAUUCCACGACCAAAAAAGGGUUACACUAUAAUCCUUGAAGCGGUGGCCGAUUAGGAGACUUGGAUUUGGCAUGCAUUCUUUGGAAUGCAUGGAUCUUUGAAUGAUAUCAAUGUUGUCAACCGGUCACCACUGAUGAAUAAGAUUGCAGAUGGUGAGUUGCCACCGGUGCAGUUUGUAGCAAAUGGUCGUACGUACAACUAUGGCUAUUAUCUAGCGGAUGGCAUCUAUCCAAAGUGGCAAACCUUUGUGAAGCCGUUGAAAAAGCCGGAGGGUAAGAAAAAUCUUGAUUUCCACAAUGUUCAGGCGGCGGCUAGAAAAGAUGUGGAGAGAGCAUUUUGGAUUUUGCAAGCCCAAUUUGCUAUUGUGAGAGGACCGGCUAGAUUUUGGGAUCAAAAAUGCUUUGGUACAUCAUGCACGCUUGUGUGAUCAUGCACAACAUGAUCAUCAAGAAUGAGCGUGGCCAAGAUUUAGACUACUCACAGUAUGAGCUCUUGGGACAUCCCGUGCGAGUGCGACGGAGGGCUAAAAGGGUAGCCCGUUUUGUUGCCUCCUAUGAUGCCAUUCGGCGCCCCACAACGCACAAUAAACUUUAGAAGGAUCUGAUUGAAGAGUGGUGGGCAUGGCAUGGACGAGAAAGAGCAUGAUUUCUGCAUUCGACAUUGUAUUGUUCAUGAACUAUUGGUUGUGUUUAUUGCAUUAUUUGUUGUACUAAACGAUAAACUAUUAGUUUGAGUUGUAAUGACUAUUUAUUGUUGAUUUAUUUUGUUUAUUUGAUCAUUUUUGCAUCUAUUUUUUGAAAUGUAUAUGUGGUUUGUGCGUGCUGCGCGCGCUGUAUUUUUGGGCGCUGCUGGAGCGGCGCGCGCGCUGCAUUAUAGCGCGGCCGUUGGAGCCAGCGCCUAUCCCCGCGCUAAAUCAGCCGAAGCGCGCGCGGCAAACACAUUUUUUGGGCGCAGCGCGAAGCGCGGCUGUUGGAGAUGCUCGAGGCAUGGUCACUACUACGUCCACCAUGCUAGAGCGGCGGGCUAGCCGUGUCGGUGGUUGGCCAUGGUACGGACUCUAUGGAUAUGGGGCUCCUGAUUGAAUGCGUCCGGCAAAACGGAGCUCGUCGGGACCUAAAGAGGAGGAGAUGCCGCUGGUGGAAGCGGAGGGAGUGUGGCGUAUGGGGGUCAGGGAGGUCUCGCUGCUGGGUCACGGCUGCUGCAACACGAGGAGGAAAGAAUGUUUCGACGCACGGAGGCCCGCGGAAGUGGCGGCUGUUGCACCCUUGCUUGAGGAUCAGGUGAAGUCAAGGUCGUUCUCCCUCAUCCAGAUAGCCAGUACCAUCGGAUCCGCUCGCCGGGUUGGAUCACCCCCGGAUGUGCACAUGGAGUUGCGAGGGGUCUGUCGUCGCUGGCCUCGCCGCCGUCGCUUGCCUAGCGUGAGGCUUUCCCUCUGCUAGGGUUGGUCGCAUGGAGGGUUGUGGGCCGUUUGUUCUAGGUUUUCAUCGGAGGGAGCCCGGGGUGUUGGAUGGGAGGCCCAACCAAGUUUUGGUUUUUGUUUCAUGGACUUAGCGGCUCGGCCUGCCUUGAUGACCCGUGAAGCGCAGCCAACGGUGGCUGAUGCCACCGAUCGCUUCCUUAAGUGGUGGUGGGUGUCUAGGGAUGGCCCAUCCACUCACUUAUGGUUUGAAGCCGCAAUCAGAGACAUCGGGAGAGGAGCUAACACCGCUCACAAGAUCCACUGUUCUCGCGCGCUCAUCCUCGAGGCCUCGCUCGCGGCCAUGGAUGUGAUAGGGCGGCUGGCAAGCAUGCGUUCGAGGAGCAUCAUGCUGAUUACGUGACCUACACAUGGAGAGGGAUAUGUUGAAUUAGAUGUUGGGGGUAGAGGGCAGCCGCAAGAGGGGUCGAGAGGACGUGUUCCCCUUCUUCCAGGUGAUCAAUGCCCAUGGGAUCCCGAGGACAACGGUUGCUUCCUGGUGCCCUCCUUGCGCCACUUCAGGCGGUUGAGGUGUCCAGAGAGGGGCGACAAUGACUCGCGUUGGUCGGACUAGGCCCAAUAAAGAGAUGCCGGGGACACUGCUUGGGAUAGGGAUAAAGGGAGCCUUGAGGACGACCAGUGUGGGAAGGGGGAUUUGGAUACUCCAAAUGUGCUUCCCCUCACGACGACACAUUGUUGGAAAUAUGCCCUAGAGGCAAUAAUAAAUUAGUUAUUAUUAUAUUUCUUAGUUCAUGAUAAUCGUUUAUUAUCCAUGCUAUAAUUGUAUUGAUUGGAAACACAAUACUUGUGUGGAUACAUAGACAAAACACUGUCCCUAGUAAGCCUCUAGUUGACUAGCUCGUUGAUCAAAGAUGGUCAAGGUUUCCUGGCCAUAGGCAAGUGUUGUCACUUGAUAACGGGAUCACAUCAUUAGGAGAAUCAUGUGAUGGACUAGACCCAAACUAAUAGACGUAGCAUGUUGAUCGUGUCAUUUUGUUGCUACUGUUUUCUGCGUGUCAAGUAUUUGUUCCUAUGACCAUGACAUCAUAUAACUCACGGACACCGGAGGAAUGCUUUGUGUGUAUCAAACGUCACAACGUAACUGGGUGACUAUAAAGAUGCUCUACAGGUAUCUCCGAAGGUGUUCGUUGAGUUAGUAUGGAUCAAUACUGGGAUUUGUCACUCCGUAUGACGGAGAGGUAUCUCGGGGCCCACUCGGUAAUACAACAUCACACACAAGCCUUGCAAGCAAUGUAACUUAGUGUAAGUUGCGGGAUCUUGUAUUACGGAACGAGUAAAGAGACUUGCCGGUAAACGAGAUUGAAAUAGGUAUGCGGAUACUGACGAUCAAAUCUCGGGCAACUCACCAACCGGGACUAAAGGUGCUGCUCGAGGAGUGAGGACCAUUGGUCUCGGUUCGUGAGUNNNNNNNNNNNNNNNNNNNNNNNNNNNNNNNNNNNNNNNNNNNNNNNNNNNNNNNNNNNNNNNNNNNNNNNNNNNNNNNNNNNNNNNNNNNNNNNNNNNNNNNNNNNNNNNNNNNNNNNNNNNNNNNNNNNNNNNNNNNNNNNNNNNNNNNNNNNNNNNNNNNNNNNNNNNNNNNNNNNNNNNNNNNNNNNNNNNNNNNNNNNNNNNNNNNNNNNNNNNNNNNNNNNNNNNNNNNNNNNNNNNNNNNNNNNNNNNNNNNNNNNNNNNNNNNNNNNNNNNNNNNNNNNNNNNNNNNNNNNNNNNNNNNNNNNNNNNNNNNNNNNNNNNNNNNNNNNNNNNNNNNNNNNNNNNNNNNNNNNNNNNNNNNNNNNNNNNNNNNNNNNNNNNNNNNNNNNNNNNNNNNNNNNNNNNNNNNNNNNNNNNNNNNNNNNNNNNNNNNNNNNNNNNNNNNNNNNNNNNNNNNNNNNNNNNNNNNNNNNNNNNNNNNNNNNNNNNNNNNNNNNNNNNNNNNNNNNNNNNNNNNNNNNNNNNNNNNNNNNNNNNNNNNNNNNNNNNNNNNNNNNNNNNNNNNNNNNNNNNNNNNNNNNNNNNNNNNNNNNNNNNNNNNNNNNNNNNNNNNNNNNNNNNNNNNNNNNNNNNNNNNNNNNNNNNNNNNNNNNNNNNNNNNNNNNNNNNNNNNNNNNNNNNNNNNNNNNNNNNNNNNNNNNNNNNNNNNNNNNNNNNNNNNNNNNNNNNNNNNNNNNNNNNNNNNNNNNNNNNNNNNNNNNNNNNNNNNNNNNNNNNNNNNNNNNNNNNNNNNNNNNNNNNNNNNNNNNNNNNNNNNNNNNNNNNNNNNNNNNNNNNNNNNNNNNNNNNNNNNNNNNNNNNNNNNNNNNNNNNNNNNNNNNNNNNNNNNNNNNNNNNNNNNNNNNNNNNNNNNNNNNNNNNNNNNNNNNNNNNNNNNNNNNNNNNNNNNNNNNNNNNNNNNNNNNNNNNNNNNNNNNNNNNNNNNNNNNNNNNNNNNNNNNNNNNNNNNNNNNNNNNNNNNNNNNNNNNNNNNNNNNNNNNNNNNNNNNNNNNNNNNNNNNNNNNNNNNNNNNNNNNNNNNNNNNNNNNNNNNNNNNNNNNNNNNNNNNNNNNNNNNNNNNNNNNNNNNNNNNNNNNNNNNNNNNNNNNNNNNNNNNNNNNNNNNNNNNNNNNNNNNNNNNNNNNNNNNNNNNNNNNNNNNNNNNNNNNNNNNNNNNNNNNNNNNNNNNNNNNNNNNNNNNNNNNNNNNNNNNNNNNNNNNNNNNNNNNNNNNNNNNNNNNNNNNNNNNNNNNNNNNNNNNNNNNNNNNNNNNNNNNNNNNNNNNNNNNNNNNNNNNNNNNNNNNNNNNNNNNNNNNNNNNNNNNNNNNNNNNNNNNNNNNNNNNNNNNNNNNNNNNNNNNNNNNNNNNNNNNNNNNNNNNNNNNNNNNNNNNNNNNNNNNNNNNNNNNNNNNNNNNNNNNNNNNNNNNNNNNNNNNNNNNNNNNNNNNNNNNNNNNNNNNNNNNNNNNNNNNNNNNNNNNNNNNNNNNNNNNNNNNNNNNNNNNNNNNNNNNNNNNNNNNNNNNNNNNNNNNNNNNNNNNNNNNNNNNNNNNNNNNNNNNNNNNNNNNNNNNNNNNNNNNNNNNNNNNNNNNNNNNNNNNNNNNNNNNNNNNNNNNNNNNNNNNNNNNNNNNNNNNNNNNNNNNNNNNNNNNNNNNNAUAGCAUAAGUAGCACGACAACCCCGAGGGCAACACGUUGAUGGAUGAUCAUGGUGUGGCGCCGGUGACAAGAAGAUCGUGCCGGUGCUUUGGUGAUGGAGAUCAAGAAGCACGUGAUGAUGGCCAUAUCAUGUCACUUAUGAAUUGCAUGUGAUGUUAAUCCUUUUAUGCACCUUAUUUUGCUUAGAACGACGGUAGCAUUAUGAGGUGAUCUCUCACUAAAAUUUCAAGACGAAAUUGUGUUCUCCCCGACUGUGCACCGUUGCUACAGUUCGUCGUUUCGAGACACCACGUGAUGAUCGGGUGUGAUAGACUCAACGUUCACAUACAACGGGUGCAAAACAGUUGCGCACGCGGAACACUCGGGUUAAGCUUGACGAGCCUAGCAUGUGCAGACAUGGCCUCGGAACACAUGAGACCGAAAGGUCGAGCAUGAAUCGUAUAGUUGAUAUGAUUAGCAUAGAGAUGCUUACCACUGAAACUAUUCUCGACUCACGUGAUGAUCGGACUUGAGAUAGUGGAUUUGGAUCAUGUACCACUCAAAUGACUAGAGAGAUGUACUUUUUGAGUGGGAGUUCUUAAGUAAUAUGAUUAAUUGAACUAAUUGUCAUGAACAUAGUCUAAUGGUCUUUGCGAUUUACGAUGUAGCUUGCGCUAUAGCUCUACUGUUUUUAUAUGUUCCUAGAGAAAAUUUAGUUGAAAGUUGAUAGUAGCAAACUUUGCAGACUGAGUCUGUAAAACCGAGGAUUGUCCUCGUUGAUACACAGAAGGCUUAUGUCCUUAAUGCACCACUCGGUGUGCUGCACCUCGAGCAUCGUCUGUGGAUGCUGUGAACAUCCGACAUACACGUUUCUGAUGACUACACGAUAGUUCAGUACAAAAUACUUAAUGGCUUAGAAGCAAGGCGCCGAAAAUGUUGUAAAACGUCACAGAACAUAAGUGAUGUUCUAAAGAGAUGAAAUUGUGAUUUCAUGCUUGUGCCCUUGUUAAGAGGUACGAGACCUCCGACAAGAUUCUUUGUCCACAAAGUAAAGGAGAAAGGCUCAAUCGUUGAGCAUGUGCUCAGAUUGUCUCAGUACGACAAUCGCUUGAAUCAAGUGGGAGUUAAUCUUCCAGAUGAGAUAGUGAUAGUUCUCCAAAGUCACUGCCACCAAGCUGUGAGAGCUUCGUGAUGAACUAUAACAUAUCAAGGAUACAUACAAUGAUCUUUGAGCAAUUCGCGAUGUUUGACACUGCGAAAGUAGAAAUCAAGAAGGAGCAUCAAUGGUUGAUGGUUUGUAAAACCACUAAGUUUCAAGAAAGGCAAGGGCUAGAAGGGAUACUUCGUGAAACGGCAAAACAGUUGCUGCACUAAUGAAGAGACCCAAGAUUAAACCCAAACCCGAGACUAAGUGCUUCUGUAAUGAGGGGAACAGUCACUGAGGCGGAGCAACUCUAGAUACUUGGUAGAUAAGAAGGCUGGCGAAAGUCGAAAUAAGUGUAUUUGAUAUACAUGAUGUUGAUGUGUACUUUACUAGUACUCCUAGUAGCAUGAGGGUAUUGGAUACCGGUUCGGUUGCUAAGUGAUUAGUAACACGAAAUGAAAUCUACGACAUAAACGGAGACUAGCUAAAGGCGAGGUGAUGAUACGUGUUGGAAGUGUUUCCAAGGUUGAUAUGAUCAAACGUCGCACGCUCCCUCUACCAUCGGGAUUGGUGUUAAACCUAAAUAAUUGUUAUUUGGUGCUUGCGUUAAGCAUGAACAUGAUUGGAUCGUGUUUAUUGCAAUACGAUUAUUCAUUUAAAGAGAAUAAUGGUUACUCUAUUUUCUUGAAUAAUCACCUUCAAUGGUUUAUUGAAUCUCGAUCGUAGUGUUACACAUGUUCAUGAUAUUGGAGCCACAAGAUACGAGUUGAUGAUGAUAGUACCACUUACUUGUGCCACUGCCGCUUGAGUCAUAUUAGUAUAAAUUGCAUGAAGAGACUCCAUGCUGAUGGAUCUUUGUACUCACCUGAUUUCGAAUCACUAGUGACAUGCAAAUCAUACCACAUGAGCAAGGCCUUGUUUUUCAUUGAGAUGAAAUAAGAUAGUAACUUGUUGGAAGUGAUACAUUUUGAUGUAUGCAGUCCAAUGGGUGCUGAGGCACGCAGUGGAUAUCAUUAUGUUCUUACUUCAUUGACGAUUUGAGUAGAUACAGGAGUAUUUACUUAAUGAAUCACAAGUCUGAAAUGUUGAAAAGUUCAAUUCCGUUUCAGAGUGAAGUUCGUCGUAACAAGAGGAUAAACUGUCUAUGAUAUGAUCAUGGAAAUGAAUAUCUGAGUUACAAGUUUUGGUACACAGUUAAGACAAUGUGGAAAUUGUUUCGCAGUUCAUGCCACCUGGAACAUCAUAGUGUGAUGAUGUGUCUGAACGUCAUAGCCACGCACUAUUUGGUAUGGUGCAUACUAUGAUAUCUCUUAUCGAAUUACCACUAUCGUUUAUGGGUUAUGCAUUAGAGACAACCGCACUCACUUUAAAUAGGGCACCGCGUAUUUCCGUUGAGAUGACACAGUAUAGACUGAGGUUUAGAGAAACCUAAAUUGUCGUUUCUUGAAAGUUUGGGGUUUCGACACUUAUGUGAAAAAGUUUCAGUCUGAUAAGCUCGAACCCAAAGCGGAUAAAUGCAUCUUCAUAGGAUAUCCAAAACAGUUGGGUACAUCUCCUAUCUCAGAUCCGAAAGCAAAGUGAUUGUUUCUAGAAACGGAUCCUUUCUCGAGGAAAGGUUUCUCUCGAAAGAAUUGAGUGGGAGGGUAGUAGAAAUUGAUGAGGUUAUUGAACCAUCACUUCAACCAGUGUGUAGCAGGGCGCAGGAAGUUGUUCAUGUGGCGCCUACACCAAAUUGAAGUGGAAGUUGAUGAUAAUGAUCAUUAAGCUUCAAAUCAAGUUACUACAGACCUCGUAGGUCGACAAGGUCGCGUACUGCUGCAGAGUAGUACGGUAACCCUGUCUUGGAGGUCAUGUUGUUGAGCAACAGUGAACCUACGAGUUAUGGAGAAAGCGAUGGUGGGCCCAGAUUCCGACAAAUGGCUGGAAGCCAUGAAAUCCGAGAGAGGAUCCAUGUGUAAAAACAAAGUGUAGACUUUGGUAGAACUACUUGAUGGUCAUAGGACUAUUGAGUAAAAUGGAUCUUUAAAAGAAGACAGACGAUGAUGGUGAUAAGUCACUAUUAAGAAAAGCUCGACUUGUCGCAAAGAUGUUUUCGACAAGAUCAAACAGUUGACUAUGAUGAGACUUUCUCACUCGUAGCGAUGCUAAAGGUCUGUUAGAAUUAUGUUAGUUUUUGAUGCAUUAUUUAUGAAAUAUUGCACGUAGGAUGUCAAAACAUUGUUUUCUCGACGGUUUCCUUGAGCAAACAUUGUAUGUGAUACAACCAGAAGGUUUUGUCGAUCCUAAAGAUACUAGCAAGUAUGCAAGCUCCAGUGAUCUUUCAAUGGACUGGUGCAAGCAUCUCGGAGUUGGAAUAUACACUUUGAUGAGAUGAUCAAAGAUUUUGGGUUUGUACAAGGUUUAUGAGAAACUUGUAUUUCCAAAGAAGUGAGUGGGAGCACUAUAGAAUUUCUGAUAAGUAUAUGUGAUUGACAUAUUGUGGAUCAGAAGUAAUGUAGAAUUUCUGUAAAGCAUACAAGGUUGUUUGAAAGGAGUUUUCAAAGGAAUACCUGGAUUGAGCUACUUGAACGUUGAGCAUCAAAGAUCUAUGGAGAUAGAUCGAAAGCGCUUAAUGGAAGUUUCAACAAGAUGCAUGCCUUGACAAGUUUUGAAGGAGUUCAAAAUAGAUCAGCAAAGAAGGAGUUCUUGGUUGCGUUGUGAGGUGUGAAUUUGAGUAAGACUCAAAACCCGACCCCGGCAGAAUAAAGAGAAUAGACGAAGGUCGUCUUCUAUGCCUUAGCCGUAGAAUCUAAAGUAUGCCAUGCUGUGUACCGCACCUGAUGUGUGCCUUGACUCAAGGUAUGUUGAGAGGUACAGAGAGUGAUCCAUGAUUGAAUCACUAGCAGCGGUCAAAAUUUAUCCUUAGUAACUAAUGGACUAAGGAAUUUUUCUCGAUUAUGGAGGUGGUUAAAGGGUUCGUCGUAAAGGGUUACGUCGAUGCAAGCUUUGACACUAAUCCGAAUAAUUAUGAGUAGUGAAACGGAUUCGUAUAGUAGAGUAGAUAUUUGGAGCAUUUCCGAAUAGCACAUAGUAGCAGCAUCUAUAAGAUGACAUAAAGAUUUGUAAAGAACGCACGGAUCUGAAAGUUUCAGAACAGUUGACUAAAACCUCUCUCACGAACAAAACGUGAUCAGACCCCAUAACUAUAUGGGUGUUGGAUUCGUUGGAAUCACAUGGUGAUGUGAACUAGAUUAUUGACUCUAGUGCAAGUGGGAGACUGUUGGAAAUAUGCCCUAGAGGCAAUAAUAAAUUGGUUAUUAUUAUAUUUCUUAGUUCAUGAUAAUCGUUUAUUAUCCAUGCUAUAAUUGUAUUGAUUGGAAACACAAUACUAGUGUGGAUACAUAGACAAAACACUGUCCCUAGUAAGCCUCUAGUUGACUAGCUCGUUGAUCAAAGAUGGUCAAGGUUUCCUGGCCAUAGGCAAGUGUUGUCACUUGAUAACGGGAUCACAUCAUUAGGAGAAUCAUGUGAUGGACUAGACCCAAACUAAUAGACGUAGCAUGUUGAUCGUGUCAUUUUGUUGCUACUGUUUUCUGCGUGUCAAGUAUUUGUUCCUAUGACCAUGAGAUCAUAUAACUCACGGACACCGGAGGAAUGCUUUGUGUGUAUCAAACAUCGCAACGUAACUGGGUGACUAUAAAGAUGCUCUACAGGUAUCUCCGAAGGUGUUCGUUGAGUUAGUAUGGAUCAAUACUGGGAUUUGUCACUCCGUAUGACGGAGAGGUAUCUCGGGGCCCACUCGGUAAUACAACAUCACACACAAGCCUUGCAAGCAAUGUAACUUAGUGUAAGUUGCGGGAUCUUGUAUUACGGAACGAGUAAAGAGACUUGCCGGUAAACGAGAUUGAAAUAGGUAUGCGGAUACUGACGAUCAAAUCUCGGGCAAGUAACAUACCGAAGGACAAAGGGAAUGACAUACGGGAUUAUANNNNNNNNNNNNNNNNNNNNNNNNNNNNNNNNNNNNNNNNNNNNNNNNNNNNNNNNNNNNNNNNNNNNNNNNNNNNNNNNNNNNNNNNNNNNNNNNNNNNNNNNNNNNNNNNNNNNNNNNNNNNNNNNNNNNNNNNNNNNNNNNNNNNNNNNNNNNNNNNNNNNNACAGCCCACAAGUACCCAAUGCGCCAAGAGAAGAAAAAUCAAGAGGAAAGAAAAAAAAAAGAGGAAGGAGGUGGGAAGGAAGGGGGACUCCUCCCACCAAACCAAGUCCAACUCGGUUUGGGGGGGGAGUCCUCCCCCCCUUGGCUCGGCCGACUCCUUGGGGGUCCUUGGACCCCAAGGCAAGGCCCCCCCUCCCUCCUCCUAUAUAUAUGGAGCAAUUAGGGCUGAUUUGAGACGACUUUCUCACGGUUGCCCGACCACAUACCUCCAUAGUUUUUCCUCUAGAUCGCGUUUCUGCGGAGCUCGGGCGGAGCCCUGCUGAGACAAGAUCAUCACCAACCUCCGGAGCGCCGUCACGCUGCCGGAGAACUCUUCUACCUCUCCGUCUCUCUUGCUGGAUCAAGAAGGCCGAGAUCAUCAUCGAGCUGUACGUGUGCUGAACGCGGAGGUGUCGUCCGUUCGGUACUAGAUCGUGGGACUGAUCGCGGAAUUGUUCGCGGGGCGGAUCGAGGGACGUGAGGACGUUCUACUACAUCAACCGCGUUCACGAACGCUUCUGCUGUACGAUCUACAAAGGUACGUAGAUCACUCAUCGCCUCUCGUAGAUGGACAUCACCAUGAUAGGUCUUCGUGCGCGUAGGAAAAUUUUUGUUUCCCAUGCGACGUUCCCCAACACACAUGCUACAACUAUGGAGGAACGAGCAUUACCAAGCGAGGUGCCACUUCCUGGCGAUCUGCUUCACCUGUAAGGAGGGCCACACCUUAUCCGUGUACCGCAAAAGGAUCCAGAAACCAAAGCUUUUUAUGUACGGUUUUGGCACGAGAGAGUUGGGGGUUUACCUUCUAGAAGGGGGCUCGGACGUGGCGGAGGUCACAAUUCCAAAUGUGGCCUCAAUCACCAUCUUCAAGGGGACGGCUUCACUGGAAUCAUUAGCGUUGGACCUGGUUGGCCUCGACGAAAGCUAGUACUGGCACAUUAAGAGGGUGAAGCCGAAUAUGUUCAUGGUCGUCUUCCCUUCCAAGGAAUUCUUCAGGAUCACCAGGAAUAGUGGGACCAUAACCACGUCGUGAGCAAGUUGAAAUCCAUGGUGCGUUACCCGCUCGCUAAGCCUUUGGUCACCUCUAGGCUAAAGGAAACCUAGAUCCACAUCUUUGUCGUUCCUUAAAGGGUCUGCAGUGUUCCGCUGAACUCCGAGUUCAGCAAGAAUGUUGAUGGCUUGAGAAUUUGCGAUGUUUUCAUAGUAAUUCCCAUUUAGUUUUGUUGUUUUUUUUAUUCUUCGAAUACUUAUAAUGCUAAUCCAACAAAAGAGGGGAAAUUUUGCUUUGUUCUUUGGAUGGCAGGAAAUAACAUAUUUGGAAGGAAACCACAGGAGAUUGCUUCAAAUCAAUCCAAUUGGAGCAACUUUCCUGAAGAGAGUUUGUCAAUAGGCACACCAGAGUGAAAGACGACGUUCCAUACGACCGCACGCGCUCACUUGAGCGAUCAUUUAGAGUGCCCAGAACUCCUCCUCGUUUAUAGAAGCAACUUUCGUGAAGGGACCACAGGGAGAAGAGAACCCUAGCCGCCGCCAUACGAUCUAGAACAGGAGAAGACAGGAUGUGAAGAACUCACGAGGGUCAUCAUAGUCUUUAGUCCUUUCAUCCCCAUCAUCAUCAACACUUCCUUUGCUAUUAUAAGAGGGAUUGGAACUUGUAAUCUAUACUCCAUCUCAUAUGAGAUCAAGACUAUUUGAGUACUGAUACGUCUCCAUCGUAUCUACUUUUCCAAACUCUUUUGCCCUUGUUUUGGACUCUAAUUUGCAUGUUUUGAAUGGAACUAACCUGGACUCACGCUGUUUUCAGCAGAAUUGCCUUGGUGUUAUUUUUGUGCAGAAACCAAAGUUCUCCAAACGUCCUGAAAAUUUACGGGGAUCAGUUUUGGAAAAUAAGAAAAAUAUCUGCGCCAAAUUCCACCUGAGGGGGUGGGCCAAUGGGCCACGAGCCCUGGCUCCACCACCACCCCCUGGUGGCGGUGGGCAGGCUUGUGGGGCCCACACGGCUCUGCCGCCCCCAACGUCAGGUCUAUAAGUCCCCUUUCAUCCCAAAAAAAAUAAAAAGAGAAGUUUUCAUCGCAUUUUCGAUACGGAGGCGCCGCCACCACCUGUUCUUCAUCUGGAGGGCAGAUCUGGAGUCCGUCUUGGGCUACGGAGAGGGGAAAUCGUCGCCAUCGUCAUCAUCAACCUUCUUCCCUCUCCAAUUCCAUGAAUCUCUUCGUUGUUCGUGACUAGUUUGCCAUGCUUAAUGCUUGUCACUAGGGCCCGAGUGCCAUGAUUUCAGAUCUGAAAUUAUUAUGUUGUCACCAAUAUAUGUGUGUUUUAGAUCCGAUCUUGCAAGUUGUAGUUACCUACUAUGUGUUAUGAUCCGGCAACCCCGGAGUGACAAUAACCGGAACCACUCCCGGUGAUGACCAUAGUUUGAGGAGUUCAUGUGUUCACCAAGUGUCGUGGUUUUGUCACGGCAGAUGUCCUCGUGAAAGGACUUAGUACUGGAGCCAUCGCACCUUGGUGGCGACUCAAAGGGGUUAAGCGGGAGAGACACGGCGAUUUACCCAGGUUCGGCCCCUCGUGAGGAGGUAAAAGCCUACGUCCUGCUUUGGUUUGUAUUGAUGUGGUUUCGAUUACAAGGAGGGUGUAACUCGCCGAACCUAGCACUCGAUGAUUUCUAACUUGCCCUCUCCUUCCCUGGGACUCGCCUUUAUAUACAGGUCAAACCCUUAAGGUUUACAAGGAUACUUUCCUUCCUACAAAUCGUGACCCCUGUAGUCUCUAAGUCGCCCUCUUUCAAAGCUUGGAGACCUUCCAGAAAUCAUAAACCGCCAUACGGCCUUGAUCCGGCCAGGCCAAGGCCCAAAUCACUGUUUAGGUGAAUCGCCUGAUUGGUGACCCGGCCCAACUAGGGCGGGUUAUUAACAGGUAAUAUCCCCAACAUUAGGCCCCAGAUUGACUUGAACUCUCUUCAUGCCAAUACUUCUGCUCAGUUGAAGGCGAUUCAUUCUUCAGUUUUCUCCAUACGUCAAAAAUUGUAACCCGCCAUCUGGCACCGAAAAAUCUUUAAGUCGCCGAACCAUUUCCUGUUGGCAUCUUCUUAUCCCUCGAUUUUCGGGAAGACUGACAUAAUCCCAACGGAUCCUGGUGCAUCGUUAUCCCAAAAUCUUCGGAACGCUAUUAUGGCGAAUCUUUUCAUUCCCCGGCGGUUCCUGCUCACGGCGCCUCGAUUCCAGCGCCCGCCCUGUUAAAUAGAUGGGAGGGGACAGGACUGGUGCUUCCCACCUACCAGUCUCGUCAAUCUCCUCCCCAUUAUCACAGCGAGGAAGUCUCAUCGCCUCCCGAGAGCUCCGCCGCUGACCGCACGUUCCUUCUUCAUCCGAGAGGCUUUGGCGUCGCCCAUAGAUCUUCGCCGUCGUCAAGCUUCGCACCGCGCCCGAUCCGUCCACCGCCAUUGACCACCGCAUCGUCGUCGACCGUCUCGUCGCUCGCCAAGAACUCCGCCGUCGUCGAAGAUCUCUUCGCUCGACGGGACCUCCGUGCUUCUCCAACAACCUCCGUCACUGUCGGCCUUUUCCGACCGAAAGCAUCAGGUUAGGCCACCGCCCAUUUAAGAGCAGAUCUAAUCUCCGUUCGAAGCUCCAGUACUGCCAUGUUCUUGAUGUUCUUCACGAGCAUUUGUUGCCUAUCCUGGACUGAUUAGCACAAAUGUCGACGAGAUAGCCAAUGCUUUGAAUACCUUCAUUUAUCCGCUCUUACUUGCGAAUCUAGAGUAAUGUUUCAUCAAGCGAAGGGCAUCACCUUGCCCUAGUAAUAAAUUGCUGCAUCGAGCCACUUUUCUCAUGUUUUUUCAUCUGUCUAGUAGAUCCAUAAUUUACCUACUGUUUUGCAAAAAGUUGUUUGUAGUCUUCACAUUUUGAUGUUUUGAACGAACGUCUCCAUCAUCUUUAGAACGCAGCUCUCUUAAAUAACCAAAUUUCGUAAGUCGCCAUAGCAACCCAACUCGGCUCUUGAUAUGGCGGGUCAAGUUUUUCCCUCAGUCCGUGGACAAAUUACUUGGCGAGUUAAAUGAACUUAUUUCACCCCUUACAGUAGAUGUUCGAGGCGUGUAAAUUCAUCCAUACUUCACUUCUUUGUAGCAUGGGCGCCGUCUUCAAAAGUGACUGGCUUCCUACCAAAGUCAACGACACCAUACUAGCAGACUAUGUGAAAACGGGCAACUUGGACCCUCAGAAUGUUAUCGGCUGGCGUACCGGGUUCGAAGAGGAUCUCCCCAACCCCAAAGAAGGGGAGAUAGUCGUUUUCGUUGAACACCUGGAGCGAGGUUUUAAGCUGCCCGGACCGAAGUUUCUUAGAGACGCCAUGGCUUUCAUGAACGUCCGCCUCCAGGAUCUGGGACCUAACUCGAUAAGUAACCUAUGUCAAUUCCAAGUGUUCUGUGAGGCUUAUCUGCGGAUUGAACCCUCUGUCCCCUUAUUCUGGCACUUUUUCCAUCUGAAUCGCCAAACGGAAUUUCACAAUGGCCCCAGCCUGGAACUCGGCGGUGUCAACGUCCAGCGCCGCAGGGAUAGCCCAUUUCCCUCACUCGCCAUGCCCAGCCAUCCCAAAGGUUGGGGCGAGUCUUGGUUCUAUUGUCAAGAGACCUCACCUGCAGGCGAAAACAAGCCUCUGGGCUAUAGAAAAGAUCGCCUUCCAAUGAACUUCAAGCUUCCAGACAAGCUCACCGAGGAGGAGGAAUCAGAAUUCAUCCCAGUAUUGUCCGAGUUAAGAUCUUUGACAAACAAUGGCCUUACUGGGGUUGACCUGAUCCGCUGCUGGGUCGAAUGGCGCAUCCUCCCUCUGAGUCGCCGGGACGGGCUAAUGUGCGAAUUUGAUGGCACCUUAGAUCAUCCUCAAUGUUAUUUCCAUACGGCUUUAACAGAAAAGGAUAUCGUCACCAUCAUCAAGAAACUGACUGGCGAGCCUCCGGGAAAAUGCGGCCAAAUCGGCCUCAAGCCUUUCUGCAAAAUUAAUCCGGUGCCCAAGGUGAGCAAAUCUAACCCGCCUUUUGUCUUUACUUCUUAUGUUUCACUUGUAUUGUGGUUUUUGUAACAUAUGCUAUUUCAGAAAGGCGAUAAAUUUUGGUCCAAGAAACCCAAAAGGCCAGCCAUGAGAAAUGUUAAGCCGCCCUUAAAGAAAACCAAGGGCAAGGGCAAAGCUGCUGCGGCUGAGCCAUCCGAAGUCGAUGAGUCUCAAGUCGGCGAUGCACUUUCGGAGGUAAAAACCUAUCCUAUUUUCACUCGCCAUCCACAACUUGUUAACUUUGUAUUUAUAUCUCUGCCUCUCUUGAAUAGAAUGAAGACAACGAAAGCCAGGAGGACUCUGUUGAGGUAAUUUCUGUUUCCUCCGAUUCAUCUCCUUCUCCACCUAAGCCGGCCAGGAGAAUUUGUGGGGAAGUUCCCUUCUCACACCCAAAUGCUUGUUUGGACCCAAAUUUCCUACUGAAGAAAGCACAGCAUACUUCAAAUCGGAAAACCCGAAGUCAUUCCGGUGAUCUGGUGUCCGGCUUACCACCAACGAACAAGAGGAAACCAAACGAGGUACUUUAUGAAUAACAAUUCUUCCUGUUUCUUUGGAUCACGUCUGUAACCUGCCUAUAUUUUUGAUGUAUAAUUCUUGCAGAACUCUCCUCCUACAUCUGGCGACUCAGUGAUGUCGACACUUCCGCCAAUGAUUCGAGUCCCUGGGUAAGUCUUUUGAUAAUCUUACUCUGAACCUGAGGGUAAUAAACUUUAGUUUCCUUAAUGCGCUUCUCCCUUCUUUUAGGGCACAGGCCAAGAAAAGGAAAACCAGCGGACCCACUCCUGUCGCAACUUCAGAGCCCAUCAAAGAGUCAGUGCCGAUUCAGGACAACCCGGACCAAGGCGAGCCCGAAAAUCAAAUGGAUCUUCCCAACUCGCCCAAGGAAACAAUGGAUGCCCCUAAGCCGCCAAGUCCAUUGAUGACAACAGAAGACCCGGAUGCUGUAGUUAUUACUGGUACCGGCUUCUCCAAACCGGCGGCAACGGUUUUGUCAAGGCAUGUGGCAUCCUCCUCUCAAACCAUUCCUGAGUCUGGACUCUCCAAGGAUAAGCUUUCUGAAUAUGAAAAUCUGGAGUUCAAGGAGCUCUGCUCUGGUUUUGCAAGUCGCCUGGAGGUGAGUUAUGAGAUGGAGAAAAGCCUGCUGCGGAUGCUAAAAAACAAACAUGAGGUAAGUUUUGUUAUAUUAUAUUACUCCCAUUAACCCCCAAGGGCCGGGUCAUCAGUAAAAAGAUGAGUCAGGUCUUGAUACAUUUAGAAAAAACUUUCGACCAGUAACCCCCAAGGGCCGGGUCAUCAGUAAAAAGAUGAGCCGGGUCUUGAUAUUGUAUAAUUUCAUCUGAAAAGAAAAAAUUAUACAUUAGCCCCCAAGUGUCAGGGAUAUUGCUUGCAAUAGUUCUGAGACUUGCCCCUUUGUUUGUACUUUCAACAGGAAACUCUUGCUCAGACUGAAUCGGCGCUUGGCGAAUUAAAGAAAAACUUAUAUGGUGAGCAAGAUGCUCGAGCUAAGUCAGAGGAGAAGUAUCAAUUGGUCCUGGCUGAGCUGGAAAAACUCAAAGCCGGUUUGAAAAGAGCUCAAGCUGACCAAGAUGCUGCCACAAAAAGAGCAGAGAAGGCUGAAGCCAGGCUGGCUACUGUGCAACAAGAAUUGUCCGGCUUGAAGCAUCAUAUCUCAAACAUGACGCAAGCCGUCUUUGGUAAACUUACUCAAACUUUUGAUCUUUUCUCCCUUUUUUUAUAUAAAUAACUCUUAUUGUAAGUCGCUGAUUAUCAUGACCCCUUACACAGGUCCGAGAGCCGCCAACCUUCAGGAAGACUGUGUGCUGAUGCUAAAGGCGAUUUACACGCUGACAGAGCAACUGUACACCGGCAGUGUUUUAACUGUUAAAGCUGUGAUGGGUGCCAAAGAGCCUAUAACUUCCGUAAAGAAGGUGCUUGGCUGCCUAUCCACGCUUCCCCCUCAGAUUGGCGAGCUAACUCGGUCAGCCGCCCGAAAGGGGGUUCUGACUGCCUUGAGUCGCUGCUUGGCGUAUGCUCCAGAGAUCAACCCGGAAGAGGUAGCGGCAGGCUUUCCUCAACUCAAAGAUGAUGGUUCAGAAUUCGUUGAAGAGGACUAUCAACGUGUUGUCAUGGACUCCCGACUGGCAGCAACCCAACUCGCAGCAAGUCUGGAUUUAUCAAAGUAUCAGGCUGCUUAUGAUAGCAAGAACAAGAAAGUCAACCCGCCAACCUUUGUGACGACCAGUUUAACUCCUCGGCGACCCAAGAACCCUUUUGACUUGGAAGCAGACCUGGCAUCAAUCCUGACUGAUGAAGAUGACUUCGCAGCUCUGGCCAAGUUUAACUGGGUACUGGGCGACUUGCAAAUUGAGGUCGACCAGAGCUCGCAGCAAAAUGAUCCGAAGGCGCCAACAGAAUAAACCUCAUCGAUUUGGCCUGAGAGCCAUGUAAUAGGUCUUUUUCAUAAGUCGAUACUGUUUUUGUGAUACUCUCGAAAGAAUCUUUAUAUCGCCCUUAAGGCGAUUUGAAAUAUUUGACCCGUCAUUUGAGAAUCCUUUAUAAUGCUUAAUCCGCCAUGGAUGAAGUGAUUCUGAUCAUCAACCUGAUUUAGGCUUUGAAAACAUCAUAUGUGAAACCAAAUAAAUGAUAACAAAUAUUUUCAAGAGGAAUCAAAAUAGAAGGUUUUGAAAACCCUCGAGGCUAUGCCACGAAGGAUAAUACAAAACAGCAAUCUCGUCGGCUCAUAAGGUCGCGACAGGAUGGGGCGAGUCAGAAAGCUCGAGCACACACCCACAAUGAUGGUUUCGUCGGCUCAUAAGGUCGCGACAGGAUGGGGCGAGUCAGAAAGCUCGAGCACACACCCACAAUGAUGGUUUCGUCGGCUCAUAAGGUCGCGACAGGAUGGGGCGAGUCAGAAAGCUCGAGCACACACCCUAAAUGAUGAUGGUUUCGUUGGCUCAUAAGGUCGUGACAGGAUGGGGCGAGUCAGAAAGCUCGACCACACACCCUAAAUGCUGGUUUCGUCGGCUCAUAAGGUCACGACAGGAUGAGGCGAGUAAGAAAACUCGAGCACACACCCUAAAAUGCUGAUGGUUUCGUCGGCUCAUAAGGUCGCGACAGGAUGGGGCGAGUCAGAAAGCUCGAGCACACACCCUAAGAUGCUGAUGGUUUCGUCGGCUCAUAAGGUCACAACAGGAUGGGGCGAGUCAGAAAGCUCGAGCACACACCCUAAGAUGAUGAUGAUUUCGUCGGCUCAUAAGGUCGCGAUAGGAUGGGGCGAGUCAAAAAGCUCGAGCACACACCCUAAGAUGAUGAUGAUUUCGUCGGCUCAUAAGGUCGCGAUAGGAUGGGGCGAGUCAAAAAGCUCGAGCACACACCCUAAGAUGAUGAUGAUUUCGUCGGCUCAUAAGGUCGCAACAGGAUGGGGCGAGUCAGAAAGCUCAAGCGCCACCCUAAAAUGCUGGUUUCGUUGGCUCAUAAGGUCGCAACAGGAUGAGGCGAGUCAGAAAGCUCGAGCACACACCCUAAGAUGAUGAUGAUUUCGUCGGCUCAUAAGGUCGCGACAGGAUGGGGCGAGUCGGAAAGCUCAAGCGCCACCCUAAAAUGCUGGUUUCGUCGUCUCAUAAGGUCGCGACAGGAUGAGGCGAGUCAGAAAGCUCGAGCACACACCCUAAGAUGAUGAUGAUUUCGUCGGCUCAUAAGGUCGCGACAGGAUGGGGCGAGUCAGAAAGCUCAAGCGCCACCCUAAAAUGCUGAUUCUGUCGGCUCAUAAGGUCGCAACAGGAUGACAAAAUUGUUCUUUUAAAGAAGAAGCCCCCAAGUCGGGGAGUAUUUUUAACUUUAUUACUUCAUAAUGAAACUGAAAAACUUACAAAAUGCAGAGCUUAAGAGCUCAAGUGUAAUAAGGCCGCAGGUGGGUAAUAUUCCAGGAGCGAGUUGACUCAGCCUCCGUGGUUGGCCGGUCAGGCCGGAGAUCCACCAAAUAAUAAGAGCCAUUGCGGAGAUUCUUGCUGACGACGAACGGCCCUUCCCAAGGUGGUGACAACUUAUGCAUGGCUGCACGAUCUUGUAUCAACCGAAGAACCAAGUCGCCUUCCUGAAAGGUCCGACUCUUAACCCGGCGGUUGUGAUAACACCGUAGAUCCUGCUGGUAGAUAGCUGAACGGGCCGCAGCCAGGUCACGUGCCUCCUCUAAGGCGUCCAAAGAGUCUUGACGCGCCAGCUCAUUGUCUUGUUCCACAUAUGCGGCUACUCUAGGUGAGUCAUGCCUUAUAUUAGUAGGAAGGACAGCUUCUGCUCCGUAGACCAGAAAGAAAGGGGUGAAACCCGUGGACCGGUUCGGGGUAGUCCGAAUACUCCAUAGUACUGAAGGUAAUUCUUCAACCCAACACCCUGGGGUUUUUUCCAGGGGAACCAUGAGUCGGGGCUUAAUUCCUCGCAAAACCUCCUGAUUCGCCCGCUCCGCCUGCCCAUUAGAUUGUGGGUGAGCGACUACAGAAACAUCAAGCCGGAUAUGUUCUCGACGACAAAACUCCUGCAUCGCCCCUUGGGACAAGUUAGUACCAUUAUCAGUAAUGAUACUGUGCGGAUAUCCAAACCGUAAAAUCAACUUCUUCAAGAAUUUGACCGCUGUUUCCGCAUCGCAAGCUCCAAUAGGUUCCGCCUCAACCCACUUGGUGAACUUAUCAACCGCCACCAGCAGAUGGGCCUUCUUGUUAGAGGACAUUUUAAAGGGGGCGACCAUGUCAAGCCCCCAGACCGCAAAAGGCCAAGUGAUGGGGAUCAUUCUUAAUUCUUGAGCCGGCACAUGAGCCUGUCGCCCAUAACGCUGGCAUCCUUCACACCGGCGAACUAUAUCUUCUGCAUCUACAUGAGCCGUCAGCAAAAGAAACCAUGACGGAAAGCCUUUGACACCAAAGACCGUGACCCGGCAUGAUGCCCACAGUCUCUGGAAUGAAUGUCAUUUAAGAUUAUGCAUCCUUCUUUGGAGGAAACGCAUCGCUGAAAAACUCCAGAGGCGCUCCGCUUAUAUAACUCGCCAUUGAUGAUGACCAUGGAUUUGCUGCGACGAAUGAUUUGACGAGCUGAAACUUCGUCUGCUGGUAACUCGCCCCGAGCGAGAUAAGCCAGAUAAGGAAGAACCCAAUCCAGCAUGACGUGGAGAGCCGCCACGAGCUGAGACUCAGGAUCUGGUAUUGCCAAUUCCUCCUCCGAUGGUAGAAUCACGGAUGGUUUAUGCAAGAUAUCCAGAAAAACAUUGGGAGGAACUGGCUUUCGCUGGGAGCUAAGUCGUGAGAGGGCGUCAGCUGCCUCGUUGAGGCGCCGAUCAAUGUGGUCCACCUGAUAACCAUGAAAAUGACCCGCCACAUCAGACACAGCUCUUCUGUAAGCCGCCAUCAUGGGGUCCCGAGAAUCCCAGGUACCUGAAACUUGUUGUGCCACCAAAUCAGAGUCGCCAAAGCAUCUGACUCGCGUUAGAUUCAUCUCCUUGGUGAGUCGCAAGUCAUGAAGCAAAGCUUCGUAUUCCGCCGCAUUGUUAGUGCACGGAAACAUGAGUCGGAGAACGUAACAGAAUUUAUCUCCUUGAGGGGAUACCAACACCACACCAGCCCCCGAGCCUUCCAGCUGCCUAGAUCCAUCAAAGUAAAUAGUCCAGUAAGUGAGAUGAGGCCUAUCUUCCGGAGCCUGCAACUCCGUCCAGUCGUUGACGAAAUCAACUAAAGCCUGAGACUUGAUGGCUGUACGGGGGGUAUAUUGUAUGUGAUGCGGCCCAAGUUCUAUUGCCCACUUGGCAAUCCGCCCUGUUGCCUCCCGAUUCUGGAUGAUGUCCCCAAGGGCGGCAGAGCUAACCACUGUGAUAGGGUGUUCUUGGAAAGAAUGCUUAAGUUUUCGACUCGCCAUAAACACCCCAUAUACCAACUUCUGCCAGUGUGGGUACCGCUGCUUGGAAAGAGUUAACACCUUGCUGAUAAAAUAUACCGGGCAUUGCACUGGGUAUUCCUUCCCUUCCUCCUUUCUUUCAACGACCACUGCCACACUUACUGCUUUGGAAUUUGCCGUGAUAUACAGAAGCAUGGGCUCUUUUUCAGUCGGGGCGGCCAGGACCGGCGGGUUAACCAAUUGGCGUUUCAGGGCUUCGAGCGCCUCGUCUGCCUCAUUCGUCCAAACAAACCGAUCAGAUUUCCUUAAUAACUGAUAAAGAGGAAUCGCCUUCUCACCCAGGCGACUCACAAAACGACUUAGGGCCGCAAUGCGACCCGCCAGUCGUUGAACUUGAUUAACGUUCGCCGGCUUUCCAAGGGAUGUAACUGCUUCGAUCUUGUCCGGGUUAGCUUCAAUGCCGCGCUCCGAUACCAGGAAACCCAGCAAUUUCCCUGCAGGCACACCAAAAACAUACUUGGUGGGAUUUAGCUUCAUCUGAUAUACCCGUAGAUUAUCGAACGUUUCCUUGAGAUCCUCCAGUAGUGUCUCCCCCUGGCGGGUUUUGAUCACAAUAUCGUCGACAUAGGCAUGGACGUUGCGACCGAUUUGGUUGCGGAGGCAAUUCUGGAUGCAGCACUGAUAAGUCGCCCCCGCACUCUUGAGUCCAAAGGGCAUGGACACAUAACAAAAAGCCCCGAAGGGGGUUAUAAAGGCUGUUUUCUCUUGAUCCUUGACGGCCAUCUUGAUUUGGUGAUAUCCUGAGUAGGCGUCCAAAAAGCACAAUCGUUCGCAUCCCGCCACCGAGUCAAUGAUAUGGUCGAUGCGGGGAAGAGCGAAGGGAUCUUUUGGACAAGCUCUGUUGAGGUCUCUGUAGUCAAUGCACAUACGAAAGGUACCGUUCUUCUUGAGUACCAAAACCGGGUUAGCCAACCAUUUGGGGUGAAAAACUUCCACGAUGAAUCCGGCGGCUAAAAGACGGGCAACCUCUUCCCCAAUCGCCUUGCGUCGCUCCUCGUUAAAUCUGCGAAGGUACUGCUGGAUGGGUUUGCUCUUUGGGUCAACAUUAAGAUGGUGCUCAGCGAAUUCUCUCGGCACACCAGGCAUGUCAGAAGGUUUCCAUGCGAAGAUGUCCCGAUUCUCACGGAUGAAUUCGAUGAGCGCGCUUUCCUAUUUGGGGUCCAGACCUGUCCCAAUGGUGAACUGCUUGGAUGAAUCGCCAGGAACGAAAUCGAUUGUCUUAGUGUCAUCCGUUGGCUUGAACUUGAGGGGCGACUCAGAAUCUGUAGUCGGCUUCUUUAAGGGUGACAUGUCCGCUGGGUCAACAUUGGCCCGAUGGUGUUUGAGCUCUUCCGCAGUGCAGGCGACUUCCGCACAAGCCGCGUCCCCUUCUUCACAUUCCUUUGCAAUCCUUCUAUCUCCAUCAACCGUGAUAGGUCCUUUGGGACCAGGCAUUUUGAGCUUGAGGUAAACAUAGCACGGGCGAGCCAUGAAGUGGGCAUAACCCGGCCGCCCAAACAACGCAUGGUAGGGGCUUUUCAAUUUGACCACCUCGAAAAUCAGCGACUCCGACCUGUAAUUUUGCGCAGUUCCAAACGCCACUGUGAGCCUGACCCGGCCUAUGGGGUAGGCCGACUUGCCCGGUACGAUUCCGUGGAAAACCGUGGUUGAAGGCAUCAGGUCCUUUUCCAAUAGGUUCAUCCUUUGGAAAGUGUCAAAAUAUAAGAUAUUGAUGUUGCUGCCACUAUCCAUUAGCACUUUGGAUAGGGUGUAACCCCCAACUUGGGGAGCCACGACCAACGCUAAAUCGCCUGGGUUGUCAACUCUCGGCGGGUGAUCCUCCCUGCUCCAUGUUAUGGUUUGCUCAGACCAAUGGAGGUAUCUCGGAAGCGCCGGUUCAGAUACACUGUACGCCCGGUGACACACCUUCUUAUCGCGCCUGCAAGCAUUGGUGGUGAAAACAUGAUAUUGCCCAUUACUUAACUGUUUGGGGUUGCUGCGGAAACCCCCAUUAUCGUCCUGACCCUGCGGAGCCCCCUGUGGGGGUGGCUGCUGAAAGGCUCCUGGCGGGUUAUACCGCCGCUGGUGGUGCACCGGGUAUUGGCCGCCGCCUGGCUGUGGGCCUCCCUGAGCCCCCUAUUCGGGAAAGCCGCCGAAGGGAUUCUGUCGUUGGUUGGGUGCGGUGAAUUUCUCCUGGCGCUGGUCCGGAUCAUCGUUUUGACUUUUCUUGAUCGCCUCCGCCCGAAACUCCCGCAUUACGAAGCAGUUCUCCCAGGAGUGAGUCGCCGGACCGUCUGCCGUGGCAUGGUGCGGGCAAGGGCCUUUGAGUAGCUCUUCAUAGUUACCCGGCCUCUUCCCGCUAAACCCCCUAUUUUUCUUCUGGCGUUGGUUGCCGUUGUUGGCGUUGGUAUUGGCGACUAAGUCUGAGGGCUCUUCUUGCGGUCUUCGCUUGCCAUUGGCCCCUUGAUUGUGGCGGUUACGUCCCUGGAACCGGGUAUGAUUUUUGGAUGACUCGCCCUUUUUGGGCGAAUUAGCCUUACCGUCCUCACCAGGAUCUUUGGUGUCAUCUGCCUCAGCGUACCUAGUGAGGGUGUCCAUCAGCUCUCCCAUGUCUUGGACCUUUCGCUUGAGUCGCCCCCAUUUUUGCACCAAGGGUUCGUAAUGGCAAUUCUGCUCGAGGAUCAGCACAGCUUGAGCCGCCGUAAUACCAUCUGACGAAUGGAUAAUUUCUGCAACCCGUCGUGACCAAUGGUGAGCCGACUCAUCCGGGCGCUGAACACAAUGCUGUAGAUCGACGAUCGUCAUCGGACGUUUGCAAGUUCCUCGGAAGUUUUUGAUGAAACGCUCUUUUAACUCGGCCCAGGUCUGGAUGGAGUUGGCAGGUAAGUUUUUCAACCAAGUGCGUGCUAACCCCUCGAGCAUCAUCGUGAAGUAUCUGGCGCAAACCGCCUCGUUCACGUCAAGCAUGUCCAUGGCGAUUUCAUAACUCUCGAUCCACGAUGCCGGCUCAAGGUCCGGGGUGUAAUUAGGCACCUUUCUUGGUCCCUUAAAAUCUUUGGGCAUCCUUUCGUUAUGAAGAGCGAGGGCCAAGCAUGGUACCCCUACUCGCCCUCCGCCCCCGACGAGGGGGACCGGGGCGUCUUGGGUGUUCGGGAGAUCCCGGCCCGGCGGGUUCUGUUCAGGCGGGUUGUCAUGUGGGACGUGUCGCGGACCGCUGUUUACGGCGGGCUGGUCCUCUGGACGGCUCCUGGUGUAACUUUCCUAGGGGGUGGAAUGCAACCUCUCGAGGCUAUGGGGGAACUGGGUGUUUUGAACCACCGCCGUCUUCAACAUCUCGAUGGCAUUCCUUGCUUCUAUCUCGGCAGGAGUGUUGCCAUGAAUCGGAANNNNNNNNNNNNNNNNNNNNCGGAAGAGAUUCCAGAUGGCGAGUUGCGGCAAGGACAUUGUCCACCAAGUUGGAAAAGUGGCCUUGAGGCGUCCGGAAUCGGGGAAUGCGAUCCUCAGCCGGCUGAACCGGCGGGUUAGGUGGGCGACCCGGCCCUCCCCCCGGGGCGGCUCCCGACCCAGGGGUUCAUGGAGUGUCGAACAGGCAGGUCGGGUUAAGGUCAUGGGGCAGGCGACCCUGGUGUCUCCGUUGAUGGACGGCGUCAGAUGCGCGCUGCUGUCUCUCGAGCCGCCAGUUGUUAAUGUUUAAACGCAUCCUUUCGGCCGUAAUUUGAGCUUGCCGAGUCUCGAUCCUGGCGGUCUCCACCUCGGCGUCCCGAUGAGCCUUUGCCACUGCCUCUUUGAGUUUCGCCAACUCCGUGUUUAUCUCCUCCUGGUUUUCUGGUGUAAGGGGAGUCGCCAUCAGCCUUGUGAUCUCCGCCGCUAAAUCCACCAGGACUGCGGCCGGGCUUCUGGACGUCUCGCCGGCUCCCUUGCCUCCGGUAGGGUUUUGUGUGGGUUGAGUCGCCCCUGCCAUGUAGAUGGCGAUCUGGCGGCGGGUUCGGUCAAGGACUUCGGGGUCCAUGGCCAGCGACAAGCCCCCAAGACAAUCCCCAUGCAGAGACCGGAUUGAAUCUGAAUCGCCCAUGGAUGAUUCGUCAUCAGAGUUGACCGGUGUAGUUUCCUGAGUCGCUGAGCGCUCUGGCUUGUCCGAUCCCUGCGUGAACCCCACAAAGACCGGGCGAGUCAGAUUUUGCGUUAUCACUGGGUGGACGUACCUGGCCGGCUCGACGAUGUCGGUGGAGAUGUCCGGCUCACGCACGGAUGAUCCGAUCAUGCCGAUGAAGAUGUUGAUCUUGCCGAAGAGGACCCUGUAACCAGAUUCAAUUGAAUCCGCUUCAGGCCCCCAUCGCUGGUUGUCGAUGUAGGUUUUCCCGCGGCGGCUCCGUGUCAUGAGUCCCAUCACGUAACUCCCAAACCCUGGUAGAGCUCCCUUUGAGAACUCAACUCCACCGUGUGUAGGCCCCACGGUGGGCGCCAACUGUCGUGGUUUUGUCACGGCAGAUGUCCUCGUGAAAGGACUUAGUACUGGAGCCAUCGCACCUUGGUGGCGACUCAAAGGGGUUAAGCGGGAGAGACACGGCGAUUUACCCAGGUUCGGCCCCUCGUGAGGAGGUAAAAGCCUACGUCCUGCUUUGGUUUGUAUUGAUGUGGUUUCGAUUACAAGGAGGGCGUAACUCGCUGAACCUAGCACUCGAUGAUUUCUAACUUGCCCUCUCCUGCCCUAGGACUCGCCUUUAUAUACAGGUCGAACCCUUAGGGUUUACAAGGAUACUUUCCUUCCUGCAAAUCGUGACCCCUGUGGUCUCUAAGUCGCCCUCUUUCAAAGCUUGGAGACCUUCCAGAAAUCAUAAACAGCCAUACGGCCUUGAUCCCGCCAGGCCAAGGCCCAAACCACUGUUUAGGUGAAUCGCCUGAUUGGUGACCCGGCCCAACUAGGGCGGGUUAUUAACAGGUAAUAUCCCCAACACCAAGUGCUAAUGCGUUGGUCCAGUUCUUUAUUAAAAGGAGAACCUUAAUAUCCCGUAGUUUACUUUUGGACCCCGCUGCCACGGGAGGGAUGGAUAAUAGAUGUCAUGCAAGUUCUUUUCCCUAAGCACGUAUGACGACACACAGAAUGCAUGCCUACAUCACAUUGACGAACGGGAGCUAGCCACAUAUCUCUCCAUGUUAUAACUGUUGCAUGAUGAAUAUCAUCCAAACAAAUCACCGACCCAUUGCCUACGAGUUUGUCCUGCUGCUGCUACUACUGUUGCUACUGUUGUUACUUGUCUUGCUCUGCUGCUGCUACUACUGUUGCUAUUGCUGUUACUUGUCUUGCUCUGCUGCUACUGUUGCUACUACUGUCGCUUGCUACUGUUGCUACUUGCUACUACUAUCACUACUGCUUUUCCUUGCCGCUGCUAUUGCUCGUUAGACCGUCGUUACUCGCUACUUUGUUGUUACUACUUUGCUUGCAGAUACUAAUCUUUCAGGUGUGGUUGAAUCUGAAAAUUCAACUGCUAAUACUUGAGAGUAUUCUCCCACCUCCCGUCGUGCGAAUCAACAAAUUUGGGUCGAAUAAUCUACCCUCGAAAACUGCUGCGACCCCAUGCGCUUGUGGGCCGUCAACAACAUUCUUCUAGUUUCGAUUGCCAGGGAGUGCUAGCAGCAGUCUUCUGGUGUCGUUGCAAAGGGGAAGAACAGUUGGCAUCAAGCAUUUUUCUGGCGCCGUUACCGGGGAGGUAUUGCUAUAUUCUCUGAGUCACUUGGGAUUUAUAUCUGCUGAUUACUAUGAAGAAUCUGAAGGAUCCGAAGACCAAAGUCUUGCCCUCAACUACGAGGGGAGGUAAGGAAUUGCCAUCUAGCUCUGCACUUGAUUCACCUUCAGUUAUGAGUAAGUUUGCGACAUCACCUCCUGCUAGAAAUCUUGAUAUGUCGCAUGUGCUUGAUGAUGAUUAUGAUGCUACUGCUAGAGAUGCUAUGCUUGAUACUAUGCCUGAUGAUACUAUGCUUGAUACUAUGCCUGAUGAUACUAUGCUUGAUACUAUGCCUGAUGAUACUAUGCUUGAUACUAUGCCUGAUGAUACUAUGCUUGAUACUAUGCCUGAUACUACUAGAGAUGCUAUGCUUGAUACUGCUAGAGAUACUAUGCUUGAUACUGCUUUGCCUGAUGAUGCUAGAGAUGCUAUUUUGCCUGAUGAUGUUAUGCUUGAUACUGCUAGAGAUGCUACUUUGCCUGAUGUUCCACUAGGAGUGUUCCUUGAUGCUCAUAUUGCUAGAGUUACUGCCAAUGCUCGUGAUGCAUCUGAUACUGUCGAUACUAUUGAGAUAGAACCUCCUUUUGCUCCUGCUAGAUCUAGCUCUCCUAGAUAUGAAUUGCCUAAUAUACCUGAGGCUUACGUUAUGGAGGGAGAGAUAGCUGAGGAUUUUCUUGCGUGUAAGGAUGCCUAUGAUGCUGAGAAAUUACUUCUCAAGUGGAAGGAAAAAUCUCGGGAAGCUAAGAUGAAAUAUCACCCGAAGUUUGCCACUUCACCUAUCUUUAUCACCGAUAAGGAUUAUGAAUUUUGUGUCGAUCCUGAGAUAAUCUCUCUAGUCGAAUCUGAUCCUUUUCACGGUUAUGAGUCUGAGAUGGUCAUAGCCCAUCUUGCCAAACUACACGAUAUAGCCAACCUUUUCACUAAUGAGGAGAAGAUCCGCCACUACUAUAUCCUUAAGUUGUUUCCUUUCUCUCUAAAGGAUGAUGCUAAAGCCAGGUUCACCUCUCUUGCUCCUGGAUGUGUGUGUAGUCCCCAGGAGAUGGUCUAUUACUUCUGUGAGAAAUAUUUCCCUGCCCAUAAGAAGCAAGCUGCCUUGCAGGAAAUAUACAACUUUGCUCAACUCCAAGAAGAGAGUCUUCCACAAGCUUGGGGAGGCUCGUCCAGCUACAGAAUGCUUUGCCUGAUCACCCUCUUAAGAAGAACGAGAUACUUGAUAUCCUCUAUAACGGACUUACCGAUGCCUCUAGAGACCACCUAGAUAGUUGUGUCGGUUGUGUUUUUAGGGAACGAACUGUAGAACAAGCUAAGACCCUACUCAAUAACAUCUUGAUCAACGAUAAUGCUUAGACUAUUCCCGAACCACCUCCUAAGCCAACUCCUAAGAAAAGAGGUAUUCUAUUCCUCAGUCCCAAAGAUAUGCAAGAAGCCAAGAAAUCUAUGCAAGAGAAAGGCAUUAGAUCUGAAGAUGUCAAAAUCUACCACCUAUCGAAGAGAUCCAUGGUCUCGAUAACCCGAUACAGGUAGUAGAAGUGAAUUCUCUGUGUAGGUUUGAUGAGAGUGAUAUUCCUUUUGAUAAACCUGCUAGCCUAUGCUUUGAUGAAUUUGACAACUUUGUUGCCAAACAACAGAGUUUCAAUGAUUAGUUUAGCAGACAUUUGGAACAAAGUACUCGUAUUCUUAGCCAUUUAAGUGCUUGUGUAGACAGAAAUGUCAAUGAUCUGAAGCUUCUGAGUAAACAUGCCUCUAUGAUUACUACUCAGGUAGAACAAGUACUUAAAGCUCAGAAUGACUUGCUCAAUGAAUUAAAUGACAACUCUGUUAGAGUCAUUACUAGAGGAGGCAAAAUGACUCAGGAACCUUUGUAUCCUGAAGGUCAUCCUAAGAGAAUUGAUCAAGAUUCUCAAGGAAUCAAUGCUGAUACACCCAGUCAUCCUAAGGAGAAGAAGAAGGAUGAUAGAAACCUACAUGUCAGUUCACCAAAUAUUGUCACACCUGAAGAACCUAAUGAUAUUUCUGCGUCUGAUGCAGAAACACAAUCUGGUGAUGAACAUGAACCUGGUGACAAUCUGGACAACGAUGUUCAUAAUAAUGCUCAACCUAGCAAUGAUGAGGAUGUGGAGAUUGAACCUACGGUUAAUCCUGAUAACCCACAACCUAAGAAAUACGAUAAGAAUGACUUCACUACUAGGAAGCAUGGUAAAGAAAGGGAGCCAUGGGUUCAGAGACCUAUGCCCUUUCCUCCUAAGCUGUCCAAGAAAAAGGAUGAUGAGGAUUUCGAGCGCUUCGUUGAGAUGAUAAGACCCAUCUUUCUGCAGAUGCGGUUAACUGAUAUGCUCAAGAUGUCUCCGUAUGCCAAGUACAUGAACGAUAUCGUGACUAAUAAACGGAAGAUACCAGAUCUUGAGAUCUCCACCAUGCUUGCCAACUACACUUUCAAGGGUGGAACUCCUAAGAAACUUGGUGAUCCCGGAGUGCCCACUAUACCUUAUUCCAUUAAAGGAAACUACGUAAGAACCGCCUUAUGUGACCUUGGAGCCGGUGUUAGUGUUAUGCCGCUCUCUCUUUAUCGUAGACUUGAAUUGGAUAAGUUGACACCCACUGAAAUUUCUGUGCAAAUGGCCGACAAAUCAACUGCUUUCCCUAUCGGCAUUUGCGAGGAUGUGUCUGUUGUGGUUGCUAACACCACUAUCUUAACAGACUUUGUUAUCUUGGAUAUUCCCGAGGACGAUGCCAUGGCUGUCAUCCUCGGAAGACCCUUUUUAAACACUGCAGGGGCUGUUAUAGAUUGCAACAAAGGCAAUGUCACUUUCCAUGUCAACGGUAAUGAGCACACAGUGCACUUUCCAAAGAAACGAUAUCCAGUACAUUGCAUUAAUGCUAUAGAAAAGACUUCAUCGAUUCUCAUUGUGAGCUUUGAAUGCCCUCUUCCUCGUGUCGAGAUGAAGUAUGAUUUGCUUGUUGGGGAGAUACAUAUCCCCAUUGAGGUGACUUAGUGGCUAUUAGAAAAUUCUCUGUUCUCCCUUGCGAUUCGAGAAGGUUUUGUCAUAAGGACUUGAUCAACCCCAUUGACGGAUUUCUUGCGAUGACCAUGAAAUGGAUGAAUCAAAGGGUCACACACCUCUGUUUUAAAGCUUUCAUUUUCUUUUGCUUGGAAGAAAAAUGAUAGAAUUAGUUUAGUUUUUCCUGUUUCCUGUUUUAGCGUCCCGGAGAAAAAUACCUGGGAAAUAAAAGUUCUCUGAUGGUCCUGAAAAUUUAGUAUGAUUUUUUCUGGAAUUUUUGAAAAUUUCUGGGCCUCAGAGCUGUUGGGUAACGUAGCAUAAAUUCAAAAUUUUCCUACGCAUAUUCAGAUCUUCCUAUGGAGAGACCAGCAAUGAGAGAGGGGUAAGAGCAUCUUCAUACCUAUGAAGAUCGCUAAGCGGAAGCGUUGCUAGAACGCGGUUGAUGGAGUCGUACUCGCAGCGAUUCCGAUCUAGUGCCGAACUACGGCACCUCCGCGUUCAACACACGUGCAGCCCGGUGACGUCUCCCGCACCUUGAUCCAGCAAGGAGGAGGGAGAGGAUGGGGAAGAACUCCAGCAGCACGACGGCAUGGUGUCGAUGGAGAGACGAGGUCUCCCGGCAGGGCUUCGCCAAGCACCGGCAGAGAGGAGGAGAAAGAAGGGCAGGGUUGCGCCGAGGGAGAGGGAAAAGGCUAAUCUCCAAUGGCCAAAAGUGCCCACUAUAUAUAGGGGGAGGGAGAGGCUGCGCCCCCUUGAGGGUUUCCCUCUUCAGGGGGGGAAGCCCUAGAUGGGGGCUGGUGCGGCGGCCAAGGGGGGGAGGAGGGGUGUGGCGCACCCCUGGUGGGCCUUAGGCCCACCUGGCUUAGGGUUUGCCCCCCCUUUUCUCUUCCCCACGCAUUGGGCUGAGUGGGGAAGCGCACCAGCCCACCUAGGGGCUAGUUCCCUUCCCCACUUGGCGAGUGGGGAGGCGCACCAGCCCACCUAGGGGCUGGUUCCCUUCCCCACUUGGCCCACCUUACCUCCCAGGGUCGUUGCCCCCCUUCGGUGGACCCCCGGGGCCACCUCCGAUGGUCCCGGUUGUCCCGGUACGUUACCGGUGAUGCCCGAAACACUUCCGGUAUCCGAAACCAUCCGUCCUAUAUAUCAAUCUUUACCUCCAGACCAUUCCAGAGCUCCUCGUGACGUUCGGGAUCUCAUCCGGGACUCCGAACAACUUUCAGUAACCUCGUAUAACAAUUCCAGAUAACCCUAGCGUCAUCAAACCUUAAGUGUGUAGACCCUACGGGUUCGGGAGACAGGCACACAUGACCGAGACGCCUCUCUGGCCAAUAACCAUCAGCGGGGUCUGGAUACCCAUGGUGGCUCCCACUUUCUCCAUGAUGAUCUCAUCGGAUGAACCACGAUGUCAAGGAUUCAAUCAAUCCUGUAUACGAUUCCCUUUGUCUGUCGGUAUAGAACUUGCCCGAGAUUCGAUCGUCGGUAUACCUAUACCUUGUUCAAUCUCGUUACCGGUAAGUCUCUUUACUCGUUCCGUAGCAUGUCAUCGUGUGAUUAACUCCUUAGUCACAUUGAGCUCAUGAUGAUGUUCUACCGAGUGGGCCCAGAGAUACCUCUCCGUCACAAGGAGUGACAAAUCCCGAUCUCGAUUCGUACCAACCCAACAGACACUUUCGGAGGUACCUGUAGUGCACCUUUAUAGUCACCCAGUUACGUUGUGACGUUUGAUACACCCAAAGCACUCCUACGGUAUCCGGGAGUUGCACAAUCUCACGGUCGAAGGAAAAGAUACUUGACAUUAGAAAAGCUUUAGCAUACGAACAAUACGAUCUAGUGCUAUGCUUAGGAUUGGGUCUUGUCCAUCACAUCAUUCUCCCGAUGAUGUGAUCCCGUUAUCAAUGACAUAUAAUGCCCAUGAUCAGGAAACCAUGAUCAUCUAUUGACUAACGAGCUAGCCAACUAGAGGCUUGCUAGGGACACAUUGUGAUCUAUUUAUUCACACAUGUAUUACUGUUUCCUGUUAAUACAAUUAUAGCAUGAACAAUAGACGAUUAUCAUGAACAAGGAAAUAUGAUAAUAACCAUUUUAUCAUUGCCUCUAGGGCAUAUUUCCAACAGUCUCCCACUUGCACUAGAGUCAAUAAUCUAGUUAUAUUGUGAUGUAUCGAACACCCAUAGCAUUAUGGUGUUGAUCAUGUUUUGCUCGUGGAAGAGGUUUAGUCAACGGGUCUGCAAUAUUAAGAUCCGUGUGUACUUUACAAAUAUCUAUCACUCCACUCUGGACAUGGUGCUGGAUGGAGUUGUAGCGGCGUUUGAUGUGCUUCGUCUUCUGGUUAAACCUGGGCUCCUUGGCUAUGGCAAUGGCCCAAGUGUUAUCACAGAAGAGUGUCAUUGGACCCGACGCGCUUGGAACCACUCCAAGGUCGGUGAUGAGCUCCUUCAUCCAAAUUCCUUCAUGAGUUGCUUCUGAAGCAGCUAUGUACUCCGCUUCACAUGUAGAUGCUGUCGCGACUUCUUGCUUGCUGCUGCACCAGCUCAAUGCCCCACCAUUCAACACAUAUACGUAUCCGGUCUGUGACUUAGAGUCAUCCGGAUCUGUGUCGAAGCUAGAAUCGACGUAACCCUUUACGACGAGCUCUUCGUCACCUCCAUAAACGAGAAACAUUUCCUUAGUCCUUUUCAGGUACUUGAGGAUAUUCUUGACCGCUGUCCAGUGUUCCAUAUCGGGAUCACUUUGGUACCGCCCUGCCAAGCUUAUGGCAAGGUUUAUCUCACGUCUGAUACACAGCAUGGCAUACAUUAGAGAGCCCACGGCUGAUGCGUAGGGGACAGAACUCAUCUUCUCUCUAUCUACUGCCGUGGUCGGCGACUGAGUCUUACUCAAUCUCACACCUUGCAAAGCUGGCAAGAACCCUUUCUUUGAGUUUUCCAUAUUGAACUUCUUCAAUAUCUUGUCAAGGUAUGUACUUUGCGAAAGACCUAUGAGGCAUCUUGAUCUAUCUCUAUAGAUCUUGAUGCCUAAUAUGUAUGCAGCUUCUCCAAGGUCCUUCAUUGAAAAACUUUUGUUCAAAUAGGCCUUUAUGCUCUCCAACAUCUCUAUAUUAUUCCCCAUCAAUAAUAUGCCAUCCACAUACAGUAUGAGGAAAGCUACAGAGCUCCCACUCACUUUCUUGUACAGACAUGCUUCUCUGUAAACCUGUAUGAACCCAAAUGCUUUAAUCACCUCAUUAAAGCGAAUGUUCCAACUCCGAGAUGCUUGCACCAGCCCAUAGAUGGAGCGCUGGAGCUUGCACACUUUGUUAGCACCCUUAGGGUCGACAAAACCUUCUGGUUGCAUCAUAUACAACUCUUCCUUAAGGUUCCCGUUAAGGAACGCUGUUUUGACGUCCAUUUGCCAAAUUUCAUAAUCAUAAAAGGUGGCAAUUGCUAACAUGAUUCGGACUGAUUUCAGCUUCGCUACGGGAGAGAAAGUCUCUUUGUAGUCAAUCCUUGAAUUUGUCGAAAACCCUUUGCGACAAGUCGAGCUUUGUAAACGGUUACAUUACCGUUUGCAUCAGUCUUCUUCUUGAAGAUCCAUUUAUUUUCUAUGGCUCGCCGGUCAUCGGGAAAGUCCACCAAAGUCCAUACUUUGUUCUCAUACAUGGAUCCUAUCUCGGAUUUCAUGGCUUCAAGCCAUUUGUUGGAAUCCUGGCCCGCCAUCACUUCUUCAUAGUUCGAAGGUUCACCGUUGUAUAACAACAUGAUUUCCAUCACAGGGUUGUCGUACCACUCUGGUGCGGAGCGUGCCCUUGUGGACCUUCGCGGUUCAGUAGUAACUUGAUCCGAAGCUUCAUGAUCAUCAUCAUUAACUUGCUCUUCAGUCGGUGUAGGCGCAACAGGAACAACUUCCCGCGCUGCGCUACUAUCCUAUUCGAGAGGGGGUGUAAUUACCUCAUCAAGUUCUACCUUCCUCCCACUUACUUCUUUCGAGAGAAACUCUUUCUCUAGAAAGGAUCCGUUCUUGGCAACAAAGGUUUUACCUUCGGAUCUAAGAUAGAAGGUAUACCCAAUUGUUUCCUUAGGGUAUCCGAUGAAUACGCAUUUCUCCGCUUUGGGUUCGAGCUUUUCUGGUUGAAGUUUCUUCACAUAAGCAUCGCAGCCCCAAACUUUAAGAAACGACAACUUAGGUUUCUUGCCAAACCAUAGUUCAUACGGUGUCGUCUCAACGGAUUUAGACGGUGCCCUAUUUAAAGUGAAUGCUGCAGUUUCUAAUGCGUAUCCCCAAAAUGAUAGCGGUAAGUCGGUGAGAGACAUCAUAGAUCGUACCAUAUCUAAUAAAGUGCGAUUACAACGUUCAGACACUCCGUUGCGCUGCGGUGUGCCGGGCGGCGUCAGUUGUGAAACGAUUCCACACUUCCUUAGGUGUGUGCCAAACUCGUGACUCAAAUAUUCUCCUCCACGAUCGGAUCGUAGACAUUUAAUUUUUCUGUCAUGUUGAUUCUCAACCUCACUCUGAAAUUCCUUGAACUUUUCAAACGUCUCAGAUUUGUGCUUCAUCAAGUAGAUAUACCCAUACCUACUCAAAUCAUCGGUGAGAGUGAGAACAUAACGAUAACCACCGCGAGCUUCAACGUUCAUUGGACCACACACAUCAGUAUGUAUUAUUUCCAAUAAGUCGGUUGCUCUCUCCAUUAUUCCUGAGAAUGGAGUCUUAGUCAUCUUGCCCAUGAGGCACGGUUCGCAUGUGUCAAAUGAUUCAAAGUCAAGAGACUCUAAUAGUCCAUCAGUAUGGAGCUUCUUCAUGCGUUUAACGCCGAUAUGACCAAGGCGGCAGUGCCACAAGUAUGUGGGACUAUCAUUAUCAACUUUGCAUCUUUUGGUACUCACACUAUGAAUAUGUGUAACGUCACGAUCGAGUUUCAUCAAGAAUAAACCAUUCACCAGCGGAGCAUGACCAUAAAACAUAUCACUCAUAUAAAUGGAACAACCAUUAUUCUCUGACUUAAAUGAGUAGCCGUCUCGCAUUAAGCAAGACCCUGAUACAAUGUUCAUGCUUAAAGCUGGUACUAAAUAACAAUUAUUAAGGUUUAAAACUAAUCCCGACGGUAGAUGUAGAGGUAGCGUGCCGACGGCGAUCACAUCGACCUUUGAACCAUUCCCGACGCGCAUCGUCACCUCGUCCUUGGCCAGUCUCCGCUUAUUCCGCAGUUCCUGCUUUGAGUUGCAAAUGUGAGCAACAGCACCGGUAUCAAAUACCCAGGAGCUACUACGAGCGCUGGUAAGGUACACAUCCUGAUCAGCCGUAGCGGGUGGUUCAUCUCCUAGCGCAGCAUUAAGGACAUAAUCCUUCUUUCCAGCUUGUAAGAUUAGCUUAAGAUUACGAGCCCAGUCUACAAAGUUGCUUCCAUCAUCUUUCAACUUAGCUUUCUCUAGGAACGUAUUAAAAUUGAGGAUGACACUAGCGUGAGCCAUGAUCUACAACACAAAUAUAUUCAAAGUGGACUUUAGACUAUGUUCAAGAUAAUUAGAGUUCAACUUAAUCAAAUUAUAUGCUAAACUCCCACUCAAAAAGUACAUCUCUCUAGUCAUUUGAGUGGUUCAUGAUCCACUUACACUAUCCCAAGUCCGAUCAUCACGUGAGUCGAGAGUAGUUUCAGUGGUAAGCAUCCCUAUGCUAAUCAUAUCAACUAUAUGAUUCAUGAUCGACCUUUCGGUCUCAUGUGUUCCGAGGCCAUGUCUGCACAUGCUAGGCUCGUCAAGCUUAACCCGAGUGUUCCGCGUGCGCAACUGUUUUGCACCCGUUGUAUGUGAACGUUGAGUCUAUCACACCCGAUCAUCACGUGGUGUCUCGAAACGACGAACUGUAGCAACGGUGCACAGUCGGGGAGAACACAAUUUCGUCUUGAAAUUUUAGUGAGAGAUCACCUCAUAAUGCUACCGUCGUUCUAAGCAAAAUAAGGUGCAUAAAAGGAUUAACAUCACAUGCAAUUCAUAAGUGACAUGAUAUGGCCAUCAUCACGUGCUUCUUGAUCUCCAUCACCAAAGCACCGGCACGAUCUUCUUGUCACCGGCGCCACACCAUGAUCUCCAUCAUCAUGAUCUCCAUCAAUGUGUCGCCAUCGGGGUUGUCGUGCUACUUAUGCUAUCACUACUAAAGCUACAUCCUAGCAAAAUAGUAAACGCAUCUGCAAGCANNNNNNNNNNNNNNNNNNNNNNNNNNNNNNNNNNNNNNNNNNNNNNNNNNNNNNNNNNNNNNNNNNNNNNNNNNNNNNNNNNNNNNNNNNNNNNNNNNNNUGCAAGCUUGUGGGGCCCAUAGGGACCCCCUCCACUCAUUCCAGCUCCCAGCCUCUUCUUCCACCUCCAAAAAAAAUUGUUUCACAGCACAAACCCGUGUUCUUGCUCAUUUGGCUGUGAUUUUCGAUCUCCUUGCUCAAAGCACCAUUCUCCGAACCGUUUUGGGGAAAUUACUCCUUGGUAAGUGACUCCUCCAUUGGUCCAAUUAGUUUUUUCUCUAGUGCUUUAUCCUUCGCGUAUUCUUGCUACCUUGGUGACCCUGUUCUUGAGCUAGAAAUGUUGAUUUUAGUUGGUCCCAAGUAGUUUUAGCGCGUGAUACGGUCUCUAGGCACUAGUAGGAGUAGUUGCUACAAGUUGGGUUAAUCUUUAUUCACUUUUCUUUCGAAGUCUCUAAAAAUUUCUGAAUUUUUCAGAGCUAGAAAGAGGAAAAGAUGAAGAGGUUCUUGAGAGGCUCUUCAAGCCGUAACCCCAAGGAGGAUGAGAAGAACCACCCCAAGUACGUAGUCCCUCGAGUUACAGAAGUUCGAGCGUGCGAGUGGCCAAGUGAUGAAUUUUUGCGCGCCGCCGGACUUUAUGAAGACUUUUAUUACUUGGUGGAGAACGCAGGUCUUACUGCGUUCGUUGCAGAUAAGUGCUCACAAUACCUCCUCCUCACCAAUAUUUUCGUUCAAAGCUUCAACUUUUAUCCGAGGAAGAAUCCUCCCAUGGUUGAGUUCAUGAUAUACGAUGUUCCCCAGUGCAUGACACUACAGGAUUUUUGCAAUGUAGGAAAAUUACCUUAUGUUGGGGAUAUCCGUGACCCUCGUCCACAGGACUUGGAGGAUUUCAUUGGUACUAUUGCUGUUGGAGAGGAGAGAGGAGUGUCUUGCGCUAGAAUUGCUAGCAUACAUUUUCCUGUGCUUCGGUACUUCUCACUAUUUGUGGAAGAAUGUUUGAUUGGACGUGGGGAGGCUGGAUCACUUAGUUCUCUAGACCUUGCGGUUUUGCACGAAGGCCUUUAUAACAAUAAGAUUUAUAGCCUAGGUGCUAUAGUGGCCCAGCGGUUGAACAUCAACCGUUCCAAGUGUGUCGUCUAUGGAGGUAUCUAUGCUACCCGUCUUGCGAGACACUUUGAGAUACCCAUUAGACUGGGAGAGUAAGGAGCGAUGCUUCUCCCUAAGAAAUAUAUGGAUUAUGACAGCAUGGUUCGCCAUGAUUUUCUGGAUAGAGAUGCUAGUAGACAGGUGAUUUAGAACCUGGUAUUUAGUCAGGGUACUCGAGAGACUAUUACUUUGCCUGCUCCUUCUUUGUUCGAUCUUCAUGCAGGCAGGUACACUAUUAUGCCCUCGGACAUCUACGCAUAUUGGGGCUUGGGCCAACCACAGGCGCCCGUGCCCGAACCGCCAGUCGAGUACCAGACGCCAGUUUAUCAGUGGGAGCUAGAGGAGCUCACACAGCAGUGGCAUCCACAGUCUGCUCCGGAGUAUCCUGGAGCUGGUUAUUUCCCACCUUGGGAGUAGACCAAGCUAGGCCAAAAGCCUAAGCUUGGGGGAGUACGAGUUCUCACCGAUUUUACAUUCAUGUUUAUGCUUUCACUUUGUUAGCCGGUGAUUACACUUUGCCACUGUAUUAUCCAUGCUAGUUUAUUUUUGUUUUCUUGUUUUCUUGUUUUGUGUCCUUUUGAAGAAAACCCAAAAAGAUUUUUCUUUCUUCUUUUGCUUGUUGGGAGCUUUCCCGUGUAAAUAGUUUUCUUUUUCUUUGGGUCAAGGUAGAAGAUAUUGGUUCCAAUGUUUAGUGGCUUUUUCUUGCUUACCUGUUUAGCUUUCAAAGAGACAUAUUACUUUGUCUUCUCCUUUGUGUUUGCCUGCAGAUUCAGCUUAGUCCAAUGCACGAGCACUCUUAUUAUUGUUCACAUCGUUCGAUCGUGCAAAUGAAAGGCAAUAAUGAUGAUAUAUGAUGAAGUGACUGAGACUGAAAAGCUGGUAUGAACUCUAUCUAUUUUGUUUUUGUAAAUAUGACUAGCUUGUCGACCCAGAUUUAGCUUUGUUGUGAGAGAACCAUGUUUGCAACGACAACUUAGAGAUCAUAGUUUCUGAUGCCAUGCUUAUUUAGAUGAGAGUUUAUAAUGGGUUGCCUUGAAUGCCAACAUAGUUUUUGAGAUGACUAUGAUUUAGUAUGAUAGGAUGGUAUUCUCCUUUGAAUGUUUCAAGUGGCUUGACUUGGCGCAUGUUCAUGCAUGUAGUUGAAACAAAAUCAACAUAGCCUCUAUGAUGUUCGUGUUCAUGGUGAUUUAUAUCCUGUUCAUGCUUACAUUCAAUGUUAGUCAAACUCAUUGCAUCUUGAUGAUUGUUGUCGCUCUCUAGUUGGUCGCUUCCCAGUCUUUUGCUAGCCUUCACUUGUACUAAGCGGGAAUACUGCUUGUGCAUCCACUUCCAUAAACCCAAAAGUUUUUCCAUGAGAGUCCACCAUACCUACCUAUUUGCGGUAUCUACUUGGUGUUCCAAGUAAAUUUGCAUGUGCCACUCUCUAAACCUUCAAGAAAUAAUCUGUUUUGCAUGCCCGAACCGCUCAUGUGGUGACAGAGGGCUAUUGGUAUCUGCCAUGCUAGGAGUGUUAUCCUCGACAUGUGUUUAUUCACUGUCAUUCAUGAUAAAGGUGUCGGUAAUUGGAAUUCCCAGUUCCACGCUUAAAUCAAAAACAUAACUGUAAAACAAGACUCCCCCUGGAUUGAUGUUAGUAUGGACGGUACCCGAGGAUUCGGCUAGCCGUGGAGUGUGAUUGAUUGGUGGUGGGGGAGUUAAAACUUUACUUUUCUGUUUGGGAACCGCCUAUAGCAUGAGUAGCAUGGAAGAUAUUGAGAACUCUUGGUCAUUGCGUUGACAAUGAAAGCAUGCCACCCAAAAUUAUUAUCUCUGUUUUCAAAGCUUGAGCUCUGGCACCUGUGCAAAUCAAUGCUUCCCUCUACGAAGGGCAUGUCUAUUUAUUUUCCUGUUGAGUCAUCCUCCUCUUAUAUAAGCACCAAUUAGAGAGCACCUCUGUCAUUUUUAUGCUUUGCUUUUGAUUGAUAUUGAGUAUGACUAUGACUGGAUCUUGGUUGCUAUGAAUUACAAUGUUUAGUCAGCCCUUGAUCUUUGAAAGUGCUCUGCAUUUAUGUUUUGCAGUCUCAGAAAGAGCUAGCAAGAUACCACCUAUUCAUAUUGCUUCAUGCUUGUUUUGACUGAAGUGUUGGUAUUUGAAACUCAUUAUUAUUUGCUCGUUAGCUGAUUAUGCCAUUGAUAUUAGUUUACCGUGAGACCUUUGUGUCAUUUGCUUAUGUGGUUAACUUGUGAUCUUGCUGAAAUUCUGGUUAUGAGUUAGACAUAGUUGCAACAACAAGAUCAAACAGAGUUUGUCAAAGUUUUUCUUUCUCUCUCAGUUUGUCAACUGAGUUGCUUGAGGACAAGCAAGGUUUUAAUCUUGGGGGAGUUGAUACGUCUCCAUCGUAUCUACUUUUCCAAACUCUUUUGCCCUUGUUUUGGACUCUAAUUUGCAUGAUUUGAAUGGAACUAACCUGGACUGACGCUGUUUUCAGCAGAAUUGCCUUGGUGUUAUUUUUGUGCAGAAAUCAAAGUUCUCCAAACGUCCUGAAAAUUUACGGACAUCAUUUAUGGAAAAUAUGAAAAAUAUCUGCACCAAGUUCCACCUAAGGGGGUGGGCCAGUGGGCCACAAGCCCUGGCUCCGCCACCACCCCCUGGUGGCGGUGGGCAGGCUUUGUGGGGCCCACACGGCUCUGCCGCCCCCAAUUCCAGCUCUAUAAGUUCAUUUUCGUCCCAGAAAAAAUAAAAAGAGAAGUUUUCGUCGCGUUUGCGAUACGGAGCCGCCUCCACCACCUGUUCUUCAUAUGGAGGGCAGAUCUGGAGUCCGUCUUGGGCUCCGGAGAGGGGAAAUCGUCACCAUCGUCAUCAUCAACCUUCUUCCCUCUCAAAUUCCAUGAAGCUCUUCGUCGUUCGUGAGUAAUCUAUUCGUAGGCUCGCUAGGCGGUGAUGAGUAGGAUGAGAUCUAUCAUGUAAUCGAGUUAGUUUUGAUGGGGAUUGAUCCCUAGUAUCCACUAUGUUCUGAGAUUGAUGUUGCUACUACUUUGCCAUGCUUAAUGCUUGUCACUAGGGCCCGAGUGCCAUGAUUUCAGAUCUGAAAUUAUUAUGUUGUCACCAAUAUAUGUGUGUUUUAGAUCCGAUCUUGCAAGUUGUAGUUACCUACUAUGUGUUAUGAUCCGGAACCCCGGAGUGACAAUAACCGGAACCACUCCCGGUGAUGACCAUAGUUUGAGGAGUUCAUGUGUUCACCAAGUGCUAAUGCGUUGGUCCGGUUCUUUAUUAAAAGGAGAACCUAAAUAUCCUGUAGUUUCCUUUUGGACCCCGCUGCUACGGGAGGGAUGGACAAUAGAUGUCAUGCAAGUUCUUUUCCCUAAGCACGUAUGACGACACACAGAAUGCAUGCCUACAUCACAUUGACGAACGGGAGCUAGCCACAUAUCUCUCCGUGUUAUAACUGUUGCAUGAUGAAUAUCAUCCAAACAAAUCACAGACCCAUUGCCUACGAGUUUGUCCUACUACUGUUGUUACUUGUUUUGCUCUGCUGCUGUUACUACUAUUGCUGUUUCUGUUACUUGUCUUCCUCUGCUGCUGUUACUACUAUUGCUGUUUCUGUUACUUGUCUUCCUCUGCUGCUGUUACUACUAUUGCUGUUUCUGUUACUUGUCUUCCUCUGCUGCUGUUACUACUAUUGCUGUUUCUGUUACUUGUCUUCCUCUGCUGCUGUUACUACUAUUGCUACUGAUGUUACUUGUCUUGCUCAGCUGCUAUUGUUGCUACUACUGCCGCUUGCUUCUGUUGCUACUUGCUACUGCUGUCACUACUGUUUUUCCUUGUCGCUGCUAUUGCUCGCUACACUGCUGCUACGUGCUACAAUUUUGGUUCGCUGGUCAUUGACGAGAACUGACAAUUUCCGUCAACGAGGCAACUUGGCGCCAUUGAUACAAUCGUUAGGAAUAGUCUGCCGUCAAUAGAUCGUUUCUGACACCGUUGUUAUCAUACUACUUUGCUGUUACUACUUUGCUUGCAGAUACGAAUCUUUCAGGUGUGGUUGAAUCUGACAAAUUCAGCUGCUAAUACUCGAGAGUAUUCUCUCACCUCUUGUUUGGCGAUCAACAAAUUUGGGCCGAAUACUCUUGUUGGGAACGUCGCAUGGGAAACAAAAAAUUUCCUACGCGCACGAAGACCUAUCAUGGUGAUGUCCAUCUACGAGAGGGGAUGUGUGAUCUACGUACCCUUGUAGACCGUACAACGGAAGCGUUAGUGAACGCGGUUGAUGUAGUGGAAUGUCCUCACGUCCCUCGAUCCGCCCCGCGAACCGUCCCGCGAUCAGUCCCACGCUCNNNNNNNNNNNNNNNNNNNNNNNNNNNNNNNNNNNNNNNNNNNNNNNNNNNNNNNNNNNNNNNNNNNNNNNNNNNNNNNNNNNNNNNNNNNNNNNNNNNNGUAUGUGCUUUGUGAAAGUCCUAUCAGGCGUUUUGAUCUAUCCCUGUAGAUCUUAAUGCCUAGAAUGUAAGCAGCUUCUCCUAGGUCCUUCAUAGAGAAACUUUUAUUCAAGUAAUCCUUUAUGCUCUCCAAAAACUCUACGUUGUUUCCAAUCAGCAAUAUGUCAUCCACAUAUAAUAUUAGAAACGCCACAGAGCUCCCACUCACUUUCUUGUAAAUACAAGAUUCUCCAACCACUUGUAUAAACCCAAAUGCUUUGAUCACCUCAUCAAAGCGUUUGUUCCAACUCCGAGAUGCUUGCACCAGUCCAUAAAUGGAUCGCUGGAGCUUUCACACCUUGUUAGCAUUCUUAGGAUUGACAAAACCUUCGGGUUGCAUCACAUACAAUUCUUCCUUAAGGAAACCGUUAAGGAACGCAGUUUUGACAUCCAUCUGCCAGAUUUCAUAAUCGAAAAAUGCAGCUAUUGCUAACAUGAUUCUGACGGACUUAAGCAUCGCUACGGGUGAGAAUGUCUCAUCGUAGUCAACUCCUUGAACUUGUGAAAAACCCUUUGCCACAACUCAAGCUUUAUAAAUGGUCACAUUGCUGUCAGCGUCCGUCUUCCUCUUAAAGAUCCAUUUGUUCUGAAUAGCCUUACGGCCCUCAGGCAGUACCUACAAAGUCCACACUUUGUUCUCAUACAUGGAUCCUAUCUCGGACUUCAUGGCUUCUAGCCAUUUGUUGGAGUCUGGGCCCACCAUUGCUUCUUCAUAAUUUGCAGGUUCAUUGUUGUCCAACAACAUGAUUGAUAAGACGGGAUUACCGCACCACUCUGGAGCAGCACGUGGUCUCGUCGACCUGCGUGGUUCGACANNNNNNNNNNNNNNNNNNNNNNNNNNNNNNNNNNNNNNNNNNNNNNNNNNNNNNNNNNNNNNNNNNNNNNNNNNNNNNNNNNNNNNNNNNNNNNNNNNNNUGUGAGCUGAAUUGUCUACCAAAAGAUAUAAGUGAAGCUCGACAAAAUCACGGUGAGUGCAUGUCUCUCUCUUUAGGUGUGCAGAAAGGAUGAUUGUGACACAAAAAAUAAAAGACUCCUACGAUACAAGACGCUCCAAGAAAAACACAUAACAUGUGGUGAAUAAAAAUAUAGCCCCAAGUAAUGUUACCGAUGGAUUGAAGACGAGAGAGGGGAUGCCUUCCCGGGGCAUCCCCAAGCUUAGGCUUUUACGACAUCCUUGAAUCUCUUGGGGUGCCUUGGGCAUCCCCAAGCUUGAGCUCGUGCCACUCUUUAUCUCUUUGUCCAUAAGAACUUCACCCAAAACUUGAAAACUUCACAACACGAAACUUAAACAGAAACUCGUGAUAACAUUAGUAUGAGAAAGCAAACCACCACUUCCUUAGGUACUGUAGCAAACUUAAAUUCUACUUGUGCUGAUGUUGGGUUACUGUAUUUUCAAUCUUCCAUGGCUAAUACCCCCUGAUACUAUCCAUAGUUUCAUCAAAAUAAGCAACCAACACAACAAAAACAGAAUAUGUUAACAGCAGACCAGUCUGUAGCAAUUUGUAUAUUUCGUAUACCUCUGGUACUUCAACAAUUCUGAAAAAUUACGACAGUCUGAAGAAUUUGCGUAUCAAUCAGAAGCAAAAAGAAUCAACUCAAAAUCUCUUACACAAAAAACAAUGAAAAUUCUUUUCGUGAGCAGAAAGUUUCUGUCUUUUCCAGCAUGACCAAACGAUCAUCCCCAAGACUAAUCAUAACGGUUUUGCUUGGCACAAACGCAAAAAUAAACACAAAAAACACAAUCAUAACAGAAUUAUGAAAGUGUGGAAAACACAAAACAAAAAUAAAAAGGGUAGAUUCGUUGGGUUGCCUCCCAACAAGCGCUUUUGUUUAACGCCCUUAGCUAGGCAAAAGGUGAUGGAAUCACGUAUAGUCAUCUUUGGUGCUCAAACCAUAAGUAGCCCUCAUCAUAGAUUCAUAAGGCAAUCUUAUUUUCUUUCUAGGAAAUUGCUCCAUGCCCUUCUUUAAAGGAAAUUGAAAUCUAAUAUUCGCUUCCUUCAUAUCGAUGAUAGCACCAAUAGUCCUUAGGAUAGGUCUACCAAGAAUAAUGGGACAUGAAAGAUUGCAAUCUAUGUCAAGUACAAUGAAAUCCACGGGUACAUAGUUCUUAUUUGCAACAAUAAGAACAUCAUCGAUCCUCCCCAUGGGUUUCUUGACAGUAGAAUCCGCAAGAUGCAAAUUAAGAGAACACUCUUCAAUCUCAUGAAAACCAAGAAUAUCACAUAAAGACUUUGGAAUCGCGGAAACACUAGCAUCCAAAUCACACAAAGCAUUGCACUCAUAGUUUUUUAUCUUGAUUUUGAUAGUAGGUUCCCACUCAUCAUGAAGUUUUCUAGGUAUAGAGACUUCUAGUUCGAGCUUCUCUUCAAGAGAUUUCAUCAUAGCAUCUACGAUAUGCGCGGUAAAGGCUUUGCUUUGGCUAUAAGCGUGUGGAGAGUUUGCAAUGGAUUGCAUCAAAGAAAUGCAUUCAAACAAGGAGCAAUUAUCAUAAUUGAAUUCCUUGAAAUCCAAAGUGGGAGUUUCAUUACUACCCAAAAUUUUGAUUUCUUCUACUCCACUCUCCACACCUUUAUCAUCAAGAUAGGUGGACUCCGAAUCAUUGGGGCGUUUUUCAACCAAAGUGGAUUCAUAUCCAGCCCCUCCAUAAAUAGGUUUGACACGCGAAAACAAAGAUUCAAGAGGAGACACACCAAGCACUUUAAGAUCUUCGUGAUUUGCAUCACUAGAACGCACCCUUUUAAACCAUUCAUGCCUAGCGCGAAUUUGGACGGUUCUUUCUUUGCUCUCAUUCAUGGAGACACGCAUAGCUUUCAAAGUUUUAUCCAAGUUGACCUUGGGAGGAGCUCAUCUAACUUUCAAAGCAUCAAUAUCACAAGACAUCAUAUCAACGCUUUUAGCCAAAUCGUCUAUUUUGAGUAGUUUUUCCUCUAUGGACGCAUUGAAAAUCUUUUGAGAGUUGAUGAACUCUUUGAUAUUACUCUCUAAAUCAGAGGAUAAUUUGUUGUGAUUUCCAUAAGUGUUGUUGUAGGAAUUGCCAUAAUUGUUAGAGGAGUUACUAGGAAAAGGCCUAGGAACAUAGUUUCCUCUAAAAGCAUUGUUGUUGCCAAAAUUGUUCCUACCAACAAAAUUCACGUCCAAACUAGCGUUGCUACUCUCAAUCAAAGAAGAUAGUGGCAUGUCAUUAGGAUCUACAGUAGCGUUUCUACUAGCAACCAAAUUCAUCAACUCGUCCAUCUUAGCACUAAGCGAGUUAAUCUCUUCUAUAGCGUGUACCUUUUUGCUAGCAGGUGACCUUUCAGUGUGCCACUGAGAGUAGCUGGUCAUGAUAUUGUCUAGGAGUUUUGUAGUGUCUCCUAACGUGAUUUCCAUGAACGUUCCACCUGCAGGCGGAUUCCAAGAUAUUGCGAGAAGCGAAAUUCAAGCCAGCGUAAAAGAUUUGUAUAAUCAUCCACAAACUCAAGCCAUGAGCGGGACAAUUUCUAAUCAUAAGCUUCAUCCUAUCCCAAGAUUGUGCAACGUGUUCAUGAUCAAGUUGCUUGAAAUUCAUGAUAUCGUUACGUAAGGAGAUGAUCUUAGCCGGCGGAAAAUACUUGGAUAUGUAAACAUCUUUGCACUUAUCCCAAGAAUCGAUACUAUUUUUAGGCAAAGAAGAAAACCAAGUUUUUGCGCGAUCUCGCAACGAGAAAGGAAAAAGUUUCAACUUAAUCACGUCAUUAUCCACAUCUCUUUUCUUUUGUAUAUCACAAAGCUCAAUGAAGGUAUUGAGAUAGAAUGCGGCAUCUUCACUAGGAAGGCCAGAGAAUUCCUCUUUCAUAACAAGAUUCAGCAAAGCUGCGUUGAUUUCAUACGAUUCCGCACUAGUGGCGGGAGCAAUCGGAGUACUAAUAAAAUCAUUAUUAUUGGUACUCGAGAAGUCGCAAAGUUUGGUAUUUUCAGCCAUGAUGACUUCAACAAACAAACAAGCACACAAGCAAGCAAGAAAACCAGCAAAGGAAACGGCAAAGGCAAAAGAAAACGGCAAAGGAAAAAAGGCAAAUGAAAACGGCAAAUGUGAAGUGGGGGAGAGGAAAACGAGAGGCAACUCGCAAAAAAGUAAAUGCAAGAGUUGAGUUUGUGAGACCUACUUGGAUAGAUCUCUCCUCCCCGACAACGGCGCCAGAAAUUGGCACGUUGACGGGAAACUAUUCUCAACGUGAUCCUCCUCACCGGCAACAUCGCCAGAAAUACUUCUGCUACUGCAACAAAAGACCUUCCAACGGCGCCAGAAAUAGGAGUGUUGCUUGAUACUCCUCAGCAACAGCACCAGGAAUCCUUCUGCUACGGCUACGCCUUAAGGGACUUCCUAGGCAAAUAUGCAAAGGAUUUCCCCCGUGGCCUUGGAGCCUUGCGUUGGUGUUCCCUCGAAGCGGAAAGGGUGAUGUAGCACAGCGGUGGUAAGUAUUUCCCUCAGUUUGAGAACCAAGGUAUCGAUCCAGUGAAGGAGUAUCACAAGAGCGUGCACAAACACAAAAAGCUUGCUCCCAACGCUAUGAAGGGGUUGUCAAUCCCUUAUAGAUUGUUCGCCAAGUGAGAACUGAAAGCAACAAAGUAACAAAGCAAAGUAAAAGCGAAAGUGGAAAUGAUAGAUGUGAAUAGACCCAGGGGCCGUAGUAUUUACUGGUGGCUUCUCUCAUGAAAGCAAGUAGACGGUGGGUGAACAAAUUAUUGUCGAGCAAUUGAUAGAACAGCGCAAAGUCGUGACGAUAUCUAUGGCAAUGAUUAUAUCUAUAGGCAUCACGUCCAAAACAAGUAGACCGGUACUUUCUGCAUCUACUACUAUUACUCCACGCGUCGACCGCUAUCUAGCAUGCAUCUAGUGUAUUAAGUCCAAAAGAACAGAGUAACGCCUUAAGCAAGAUGACAUGAUGUAGAUGAACAAUCUCAUAUCUACGACAGAGCCCACCUUGUUACCCUUGAUGGCAACUACACGAUGUGUGCCUUGCUGCCCCUACUGUCACUGGGAAAGGUCACCACACGGUAAGAACCCAAAACCAAGCACUUCUCCCAUUGCAAGAAUCAUAGAUCUAGUUGGCCAAACAAAACCCAAGACUCGGAGAGACUUACAAGGAUAUCAAAUCAUGCAUAUAAGAAAUCAGCAAAGACUCAAAUAUAUAACAUAGAUAAUCUCAUCACAAAUCCACAAUUCAUCGGAUCUCGACAAACACACCGCCAAAGAAGAUUACAUCGGAUAGAUCUCCAUGAAGAUCAUGGAGAACUUUGUAUUGAAGAUCCAAGAGAGAGAAGAAGCCAUCUAGCUACUAACUACGGACCCGUAGGUCUGAAGUUAACUACUCACGAGUCAUAGGAGGAGCGAUGAUGAUGAUGAAGAAGCCCUCCAACUCCAAAGUCCCCUCCGGCACGGCACCGGGAAGGGUCUCCAGAUGAGAUCUCGCGGAAACGGAAGCUUGCGGCGGCGGAAAAGUAUUUUCGUGGCUCCCUUGAAUUUUUUUCUGAUUUUUAGGGAAUAUAUAGGCGCAAGAUCUAGGUCACGGGGCGCCAAGGAGGCCACAAGCCUGCCCACCGCCCCCUGGUGGCGGAGUGGGGGCUUGUGGGCUCCCUGUAGCCCUCCUAGCUUGGCCCACAAGCCCCCCGAUCUUCUUUCGUUUGGGAAAAAAAUAUUUCGGGGAUUUUAUUCCGUUUGGACUCCGUUCCAAAAUCAGAUCUGAAAAUAGCCAAAAACACAGAAAAAAAACAGGAACUGGCACUUGGCACUGAAUUAAUAAGUUAGUCCCAAAAAGGAUAUAAAAGGUACAUAAAACAUCCAAAGUUGACAAGAUAACAGCGUGAAACCAUCAAAAAUUAUAGAUACGUUUGAGACGUAUCAAGCAUCCCCAAGCUUAACUCCUGCUCGUCCUCGAGUAGGGAAGUGAUAAAGAAUGAAUUUUUGAUGCUUUCAUGCUACCUAGCAUAGAUGUCCUUUGUAACUCCUCUUAUGUGAUGUGAAUGUUCAGAUCCAUUAGAUUCAAAACAAUAGUUUGCUAUUGAUGUGGAAACAAUAAUAAUUCAAGCAAACUAGCAAGGUAAUCAUGAACUUUCAAAAUAACAAGGCCAAAAGAAAGUUAUCCCUACAAAAGCAUAUAGUCUCGCUAUGCUCUAUCAUCAUGGCACAACGAAUUUAAAUCAUGCACAACCCCGGUAUUGGCCAAGUAAUUGUUUCACACCUCUACUUUCUCAAACUUUUUCAACUCUCACGCAAUACAUGAGCGUGAGCCAUGGUUAUAGCACUAUAGAUGGUGUGGAGUGUGGUGGAGGUUGCAAGACAAAACAAGGAGAAGAUGGUCACAUUAACUAGGCAUAUCAAUGAGCUGUGGAGAUGCUCAUCAAUAGAUAUCAAUGUGAAUGAGUAGGGAUUGCCAUAUAAAUGAUGUACUAGAGCUAAGAGUAUGUGAAAGCUCUUAAAGAAAACUAGUGGGUGUGCAUCCAACUUGCUUGCUCACGAAGACCUAAGGCAAUUUUGAGGAAGCGUAUCAUUGGAAUAUACAAGCCAAGUUAUAUAAUGAAAAAUUUCUACUAGCUAUAUGGUGGUGACAAAACGAGAAACUCUCAAUCAUGAAGAUCAUGGUGCUUAAUAUGCACAAGUGUGGAAAAGUGGUAACAUUGUCCCUUCUCUCUUUUUCUCUCUUUUUUUAUGGUGGGCUCUUUGGCCUCUUUUUUUUGGUGGGCUUCUUUGGCCUCUUUUAUUUCCUCACAUGGGACAAUGCUCCAUUAAUGAUGAUCAUCACACUUUCAACUCAAAACUUAGAGCAACGAUGACUCUAUAUGGAAUGCCUUCGGUAGUGUACCGUGGCAGUGAUCUAGCAUGGCAUAGACAUUAAUGGAAACAUCAUGCUAGAUAUCUUAUGAUCAUGCAAUGGCAAUGUAGACGUGAUGGCACAUGUCAUGGUGGUAGCUGCAUGGCAAUAUAUCUCGGAAUGACUUUGAAAAAGCCAUAGUAGGUAGGUAUGGUGGCUGUUUUGAGGGAGGCUAAUGGUGGGUUUUGUGCACCGGCAAAAGUUGCACUGCACUAAGAAGAUAGUGAUGGUGGAAGGUGAAAGUGAAUCUAAACCAUGGACUCAACAUUAGUCAUGAAGAACUCAUAUACUUUUUGCAAAAGUUUCAUUAGUAAUCGAAACAAAGCAUUCAACGCAUACUCCUAGGGGAAGGGUUGGUAGGUAUAAACCAUCGCGCGAUCCCGACCGCCAUGCAAAGGAUGACAAUCAAUAGACUAAUCAUGCUCAGAUUUCAUCACAUAGCGGUUCACCAUACGUGCAUGCUACGGGAAUCACUAACUUCAACACAAGUAUUUCUAGAUCCACAACACCUUAUUAGCAUAACUUCAAUAUUACCACAACCAUAUCUCAAAACUAAUUGAGAGGAAUCAAACUUCUCUAACUAUUCAAUGCACAUGAAGGUGGAAGUUUUCGUAUACCUUUGGAUAACUACCCCUUUUGAGACUACUUUCAAAGCAUAGAUCAACUACCAAGCCACGCACCGUUGUGCUCUAAAAGAUAUAAGUGAAGCACAUAGAGCAAAAGUAUCUAGCUCAAAAGAUAUAAGUGAAGCACAUGUGAGCUGAAUUGUCUACCAAAAGAUAUAAGUGAAGCUCGACAAAAUCACGGUGAGUGCAUGUCUCUCUCUUUAGGUGUGCAGAAAGGAUGAUUGUGACACAAAAAAUAAANNNNNNNNNNNNNNNNNNNNNNNNNNNNNNNNNNNNNNNNNNNNNNNNNNNNNNNNNNNNNNNNNNNNNNNNNNNNNNNNNNNNNNNNNNNNNNNNNNNNGAUUGCUGUUUUGUAUUAUCCUUCGUGGCAUAGCCUCGAGGGUUUUCAAAACCUUCUAUUUUGAUUCCUCUUGAAAAUAUUUGUUAUCAUUUAUUUGGUUUCACAUAUGAUGUUUUCAAAGCCUAAAUCAGGUUGAUGAUCAGAAUCACUUCAUCCAUGGCGGAUUAAGCAUUAUAAAGGAUUCUCAAAUGACGGGUCAAAUAUUUCAAAUCGCCUUAAGGGCGAUAUAAAGAUUCUUUCGAGAGUAUCACAAAAACAGUAUCGACUUAUGAAAAAGACCUAUUACAUGGCUCUCAGGCCAAAUCGAUGAGGUUUAUUCUGUUGGCGCCUUCGGAUCAUUUUGCUGCGAGCUCUGGUCGACCUCAAUUUGCAAGUCGCCCAGUACCCAGUUAAACUUGGCCAGAGCUGCGAAGUCAUCUUCAUCAGUCAGGAUUGAUGCCAGGUCUGCUUCCAAGUCAAAAGGGUUCUUGGGUCGCCGAGGAGUUAAACUGGUCGUCACAAAGGUUGGCGGGUUGACUUUCUUGUUCUUGCUAUCAUAAGCAGCCUGAUACUUUGAUAAAUCCAGACUUGCUGCGAGUUGGGUUGCUGCCAGUCGGGAGUCCAUGACAACACGUUGAUAGUCCUCUUCAACGAAUUCUGAACCAUCAUCUUUGAGUUGAGGAAAGCCUGCCGCUACCUCUUCCGGGUUGAUCUCUGGAGCAUACGCCAAGCAGCGACUCAAGGCAGUCAGAACCCCCUUUCGGGCGGCUGACCGAGUUAGCUCGCCAAUCUGAGGGGGAAGCGUGGAUAGGCAGCCAAGCACCUUCUUUACGGAAGUUAUAGGCUCUUUGGCACCCAUCACAGCUUUAACAGUUAAAACACUGCCGGUGUACAGUUGCUCUGUCAGCGUGUAAAUCGCCUUUAGCAUCAGCACACAGUCUUCCUGAAGGUUGGCGGCUCUCGGACCUGUGUAAGGGGUCAUGAUAAUCAGCGACUUACAAUAAGAGUUAUUUAUAUAAAAAAAGGGAGAAAAGAUCAAAAGUUUGAGUAAGUUUACCAAAGACGGCUUGCGUCAUGUUUGAGAUAUGAUGCUUCAAGCCGGACAAUUCUUGUUGCACAGUAGCCAGCCUGGCUUCAGCCUUCUCUGCUCUUUUUGUGGCAGCAUCUUGGUCAGCUUGAGCUCUUUUCAAACCGGCUUUGAGUUUUUCCAGCUCAGCCAGGACCAAUUGAUACUUCUCCUCUGACUUAGCUCGAGCAUCUUGCUCACCAUAUAAGUUUUUCUUUAAUUCGCCAAGCGCCGAUUCAGUCUGAGCAAGAGUUUCCUGUUGAAAGUACAAACAAAGGGGCAAGUCUCAGAACUAUUGCAAGCAAUAUCCCUGACACUUGGGGGCUAAUGUAUAAUUUUUUCUUUUCAGAUGAAAUUAUACAAUAUCAAGACCCGGCUCAUCUUUUUACUGAUGACCCGGCCCUUGGGGGUUACUGGUCGAAAGUUUUUUCUAAAUUNNNNNNNNNNNNNNNNNNNNNNNNNNNNNNNNNNNNNNNNNNNNNNNNNNNNNNNNNNNNNNNNNNNNNNNNNNNNNNNNNNNNNNNNNNNNNNNNNNNNAUAUUUGUAUGAGUUUUUCCAUGAACAACGUUUCCAUAAAUAUAAGUUUUCGUUAUUUUUUUACCAACAAGUAUUUUUUUCGAAAGGCUGUCUCUUAGGAUCCGAUUCAUCAAAAAAGUUAGAAAAGAGUUGCCUGGUUACCGAAAAGUAAUUGUGAAAUAACUAAUAAAAAGCGAAUGACGGAGACGAUGCCAAUAUCAAAGACGAUAAUGUAUUGUAAGAGAGGAAUUGUUUGUCUUAUACGCGAUUAUAUUUACAUGCUAGAUGUUUUAUUUUGACAGAUGAACCAGACACCGUCAAGUAUUGCAACUUGGGGUGUAGGGCUUCCAUGUGUGACUACAUGGUCAACGCAGGUAAAUAAAAUUCAUCUGGUAUGUGUAUUCCUGUAAACUAAUUGAAAAGGCUACUUCUUGACACAUAAUAUGCUAUAUAUUUGGGCACCAGCUGCUGACGACGAAGAAAUGAAACUCUAUUUGGAAAAUUGUGGUGAUGCUUGUGUCAAUUUCUGCAACGGUGAUGCUGGCCUCACAUCCCUUACUGCCUAAUGAUGUGUAUCCAUGGUCUGAGAUUUCACAGGGCAAGGUGUGUCUGACCUUUGCGUUCAAUAAAAUUGGAUCCCAUCGAGAGUAUCCAAACCAGUGUGUCAACCUGUUUUAUGUGUGUGUAUUUCCAUUCCUUGUUCGAAUAAAAGCCGUCAUAAUGAAUGCCAUGUUGCUGCCGUGAAGUACCGCCAUGACUGAGAUAAAAU
rnacentral:lncRNA from 1 species